CGCAAUGAUUCAGGGUCCCUUCCAUUGCUUUGGCUAGGGGUGAGUCAUCUGAGAACAAGAAGAAUUGAAGAAGGUAAGGCAGUUGUUUUAAUGAAAAUAGAGUGGAAUCUGCUUCUUCUCUAGGUAAAUCUUGAGGAUAAAUAUAAGGAUCUCUCUUAAAAAAAUAAACCGGCGUCGUUUCACCAUUCUUUAGAUCCUUCAAGGUGAAGAACACUAUUACUGAUGGGUCCAUGUGAUUCAUGUAGGAUGAUAUUGAAUGAGAAUCAUGAAGAUUCUCUGAAAGUACCUGAGCACACUGUAAAAUAAUUUAGCAAUUCAGUAUCACAACAUUGAUGAAAAAUCAACAACACAAGUUCUGCAAAGUGUAUAAAUGAAGGAACAAAGUAUAUCUUUUUGAGUUAUUGCUUUAAGACCGCACGUAUGUACAUGUAUUGCAAAGUAAGCCAUUUAAUUAGCACACAUUGAGGAUUAUUACCAGAAAGAGUAGAGAAACGAAGAGGUUCCAUGCUGAAAAUCCUAAGCCCAUCAUUUUUCUAUUAUCAAUGUUUUUUACGUAUUUUAGAUAUCUUUUUCUUUAGAGAGAAGAAACACAGAUAACAAGUAAAGCAGAAACAGAAGAGAUUGUAUAACUGUAUAUGUCAACAACCAAAUUAAAUGGUGUGUAUUAAUUUUCAAAUGGAAAUUUAUAACCUGCAUAAGCUAAACGUAUCCCAGUUUAAAUAUUGGCUUUAUUGAGUUGUGUUCCACAUUGGCUAAUAAAUAGGAGAUACUUGAGUUUACAAUGUCAAAAAGUGAACGGUGGGCACUGCUAGUGCCGCACUGAAAAGGAAAGAGAAAAAAGAAAAAAAAAAAAAGAGAAAGAAAGAAAGAAAAAGUGGCGGGCCGCAUAAGGAAAAAUAAAAUAAAAAUAAAUAAUAAAAUAAAAGGCUUGAAUAGUAGCCAAAUAGUAGCCAAUUUUUUGCUAUAAAAGAAGGAUGCUCCUCCUCAUUUUAGCAUCCAGUUUUGAGAGAAUCAUUUCCUGCAUUUAGAGAGUUGAGAGUAUUAAGCAUUUAAUAAAUUUUUGAGUGAUUAGUGAGUGAGAGAUUGGGUGUAUUGAGGUUUUGGGUAGUGAGUCAAAAUAUUACAAUAUUUGUAAUCCUCAUAUCACUAGUAAAAUAUUUUUCUUCUUUUUUCGCCUGUGGACGUAGGCUAAAAGUCGAACCACAUAAUUUCUGGUGUCCUAUGUGAUUCUGCUGUUUUAUUAUUUCUCAAUUUCACUUUAAUUGCGUGUUUGCUUCACCAAUCAAUUUCCCAACAUAUAAGAAGGACAAGUCACUCCAUCCAAAAAACUAGUUUUUUAGGUUGGAUACCUUGAAAUCUUAGGCCAAGUUCCCUCAACAGACCUUAAUAGUUCAGUCCAGCAAAGAUUACAAUACUCCAUUCAUAUUGGGACACCAUAUUGUACCUUCAUUACGUCUGCAAAUUUUAAUAGUUUUGACUAAGUGAAUGAUUAUUUCAAUUAACAAGAUUGCAUAUUAGAUUACUAGACUUAAAAUUGAUUUCUUAUUAAAAAAUUUACUGGCAAUUUGGAAACUCUCUUUGACACAUUAAUUACAGCACCGAAAUCUUUAUCAAUACUCGCCAUACAUAGACAAAACUGAGCAGAAGAAGUGGGAAGCAGAUCGUAAACAAAUUCGACAUGGUAGUUUACGAGGAUGAAUAGCAUUUUUUUAAUCCGAAAAUGGGAUAAUAUAUCAUUGAGUCACGUAACUAAGCUCUUCUCAAGCUAGUGUGCGUCGGAUAUGUGAACCUCGGGCCUCCUGUCUCCCGAACAAUUAAUCUUGAAAUUUUUUAUCCGUCGAAUUAACAGGCCGUACUCAGUAUAUUUGCAUAGAUCACACUACUUCAACUGAAAAAUAAUAAGUAUCGUUGGGACUUUACAGAAUGAUUUUCAAGUAGUUCUUAGCCAUUCAAAUUCGAAUUGAUAAAAAGAGAGAGAGAGACUGAAAAAUUAAUCUCAAUUUUACUCACUCCCAAUCUUUAAAAAAAUAACAAACAAUAAGUCAUAUUAAAAAUGUUUAAACGCAAUUUUUACUUCACACAUCUUUCAUUUGAAGUUUAAUUAUAUUCUCCAGUGGGACCUGGAUAAGUUGAAACAAAAUUUUAUUAAUAAAAAAUGUACAUUUAAUUGUCUUAGCCUGGAUCAAGAACAAAAGGUUAAAGGAUAAUAUACGCGGACAUGAUAAUGCAGCAACCGAUAUUCAAAAUAGCACAAGUUUCAAAUGCUAGACAAAGGAAAGAGGCAUGUGAGCUGGUCGAUUUUCUUCGCAUCACUAGCCACAUGCACAUUGGUAGUGGUUGAACUUCUAUUAUUUAAUUAUGUUGUCAUUUUCCAUCACUACAACAACAGAUGAUUCAUGUAGGAUCGGUCAAUAAUUGUCGCCCAAUGUUUGUCUUCUUUAAUAAUUUAGUUAUUUUUGUUCAUAUGUCUGAUGAAGAAGUUCUAAUUUUGCAAGUGGAAUUCAAGUUGAUAAGACCUUGUCGACUUGUCUUCUGCUGAAGAAUCUUAAAUAAUCAUGCAAAAUUCAAAAAGUGGCAAAAGCCAAAGGCUAACUUCUUAAUGAAGUCAAUAUUACUAUGAAUUUGGUGCUAGCUUAAUCUUGAAAAUGAUCCAAAAAUUAAAAAGUAAACAUAUAUAAUCACAUCUACAUAUGUACAUUAGUAAGUCAUUGAUGAUAUAUCACGAAUAUCAUUAGCUUAUUAAUUAAACAUACCAUGAAUAUAUUAAAUCACUUUGAUCAUCACCUCACCUGCCACCAACUUUUUCAUAAAUUUCAGCUGGAAAUUUAAAAAAAAAAAAGAACCAAUAAUUGUAUGAAAUGGCUGGCUUCUUCUCCUCCUCACAAAAGAUUAAGUUCUCUUUGAAAAGGUUUGUUACUGAAGUACAUAUCCUAUUAGACCAAUAAUCUCUAUUACCAUAUGAAUUUAGAUCUUCUCCUAACUUAAUCUUUCAUAUACUAUUGUACCAAUAAUUUUUCUCUCCAGAGAGAUUAGGAUCUUCUCCUAACUUAAUAUUUCGUAAGUGUUUUAUGAGAUUAUUUAACACGUCAUUUAAUUUGUUUUUUUUUUUGUUUAAACCAUCCGGUUUCCGGCGACCGUAUUGGGCCCCGACAAAUCCAGAUUUGGGGUGUAGUCACAAUUAAGGCUCCUUACCUCUCCCAAAUGGUGUGUUUAGUAGGAAUCGAACCCGAGAACUCUUCCCACUUACCCAACCUGUGUCGCCAACUAAGUUACAACCGUUUGGUGUCAUUUAAAUUUUUCUACAGCUAGGAUUUAGCAUACUUUAAACUUUCCUUAUUAAACAUUAAAACCCAUAAUUUUCUAGGCUAAAACUCUGAAUUCAAGUGUGCCGCCUUCUAACCAAACUGUUGCUUCUGUCUGUACUUUUUUUUUUAAUUCAAAAACUUUAAACUUUGGAAUAAACUUGAACAAAGAAGAAUUACUGGCAAUUAAUUCUUUUAAGAAUUGUUUAUGUCAUGGAAUCAGACUGGAACAGCAAUAUCCGUAGUCUACAAUAACAAUUGAGGGCACCGGAAGACAAUAUCAAUUAAAGACAAUUGUCAUUGCAAUAUUGCAAUUCAACGCAUUUUUGUUAUCGCUUGUCUGCAACUAAUUUAACAUAAAUUAAGUUGAUAUACCUCAUUUCAGUUGAACGUUGAUGCAGCCACUGAUAUUUCCCGGAACACAGCAUUUUUAGGAGCCAUUAUUCGUACUGUGAGAGGGGAGAUUAAUUAUGGUAGUAGCUAUCUAAAGUUAAAAAAAAAAAAAAAAUUUGAGAUGUUGAAUUCGCUGAAGCAGAAGCAAUGAGAUUUCGGAUCGAAAUAUGCAAAUGAUACAGGUCUAUUUCCAUUAAUUAUUGAAUCACAUACUAAGAAUGUCGUCAAUCUAGCCGCAGGACUUGAAAGUACUAGAAAAGGGAUUCUUUGAGUGGUCUCUGAUAUUUAAUUGUUGGAUAGACUAUUGGCAAUUUCAAAUUUGUGUUCAUUCCUAUAAUAUGUAAUGUGGAAGUUCAUAGAUUAGCUAAACUUGCAGUUAGCAAUCAGAAAGCCGUAUUGUUUGGAUUGAGAAUAUUCCUAUAGAUGUAAAAUCUUAUCGUUGCGAAAUGUAAUUCUCAUAGACUUUGCCGUCCACAUUAUGAAUUUAAAAUUCUUGCAUGAUUAAUCACCCACAUGAGCAUGCUCCACCAACCUGCCACAUCAUGUUACCACUUCUUCCAAUCUGUGUAUAUAUACACACACACACACCAGUAUGGCCUCCAUGCAAAUUACAAACGCAGUACCUAAUAUUGUUUGUCACUGGCCAGAAACAUGAAUAUUAAAGCCUUCUUUGUUCUCUCCACAGUGCUCUCAUUGCUUCUCUUGGUAUGUAUCAUUUGAUCAGUAAAAAUGUUAGGUUAAUCACAAAUUCAUUAUAAAAAAUAUUUUUUACCAAAUUGAUAACACAUAAUGUACAGUAUCAAUGUGCUGAGAACACCACACAACCCGAACAUUAUUUUGUAUUUACAUUCAACAAAUACUAUUUUAUCACAUCAGCUUUAAGAGUAGCUUAAUUAUAGCUAGCUCUGGCAUUACUCGUUUUGAUUCAAAUGAUUUUCGAAUCUUUAUCAUUUGCAUGGUUAAUAUAUAGAUCCUCUCUCUCUCUUUUUGUUUUUUUUUUAUUAAUUAUUUUCCAUAUGUGCAGUUUGCCAACAUGAUAGAUGCAAGAAAAGACCUGGGAGACAAUUGGAGUAUUGUCGUGAAAAAUCAAGACAUACCUGGGGAAUCAACUCUAGGUCUCGUUCCCGAAGAUCAAGGCUCGACCAUCUCUAAAACCAAAGCCUAUUGCCAUACACAUGAUGAUUCUGAGCACACCAUGGAGAAGCCUUUUGUCAAUAAGAAGUUUGAGCUGAUGCCUGAUAUUUCAAUUUAUGACAACGGUAUUAAGCCAACCAAACAAAAGGCUUUUGCCAAGAACUUCGAGCUCAUGCCUGAUCUUUCAAUUUACGACAACGGUAUUAAGCCAACCAAACAAAAGGCUUUUGCCAAGAACUUCGAGCUUAUGCCUGAUCUUUCAAUUUACGACAACGGUAUUAAGCCAACCAAACAAAAGUUCUUCGCCAAGAACUUUGAGCUCAUGCCUGAUGUUUCAAUUUAUGACAAUGAUAUUAAACCGAGGAGUUCAUAUGCCAAGGACUUUGAGCUGAAGGCUGAUAUUUCAAUUCAUGAACCGACCGAACAAAAAUCGGUUGUUAGCAGUACGGAUCUGCAGCCAGAUGCUACAAUUUAUCAUAAUUAAACAGAUGAUCAUGCUUGCAAUCAGGCGCAGGAUGGAGUCUCAUACCAUAUUUAAUGUGCCACAUAUAUGUAAUACUGCUUUCCUUGUUUGUGUAAUAAGUGCUGAAAUAACCCAUGCAAUAAAAUCAUAAAAUCAUGUCACGCGUCUUUAAUUUUGUUAUUCCUCUCCCUUAAACAAUCUUAUGAUAGAUUAUUUAGAAAGUUAUAAAGGGAGAAACUAUAUUAAACAAAUGCUUUUUACAUAAAUAUUCUAUCCAUUUAUCUCGUAUAGCUAAUUAAGUUUUUUUUUAAAAAGAAAAAUACAACGACAUGGUUAGAUGUUUAAAUUGUUUUUUUCUUUUCAAAAGUCAGAGGGUUGGGUAAAUCAAAAUCAAGUUUUUGACCCUGAUCUCUGUAAGAUUCAAACUUAGGUGGUUACCUAACUAAAAUUACUUGAAACCAUUCAAUUGGAUCCCUAGGGGCCUUGAAUGUUUAAAAUUUGUAUUUUGAACUGUUAUUUAGAUGGAACAAUAUAAUUAACUUUAAUUUUAAAGUCAAUUUGGCCUUAUUUGGUUUUGAAAUAGAGUAACUUUUAAAAUACCUGUUUGGGAAAAAAAUGUUGUAACCUUAAAAUAAAGAUUGAUAGUGUGUGGUAAAUAAGAUUUCUAAAUUAUAAUUUUGACAAAAUUGUAAGGAGGCCUUUAUUUCCCAAAUAUUAUUUAAACUAUUAUUACCAACCAAACAAAAAUUGAUUUUCUAUUAUACAAAAAUGAGAUUAAAUCAUAUUAAUUUCUGAGUUGCAAUAGAUAGUACUUACUAAACACUUUAAUGUCAAUACCACAUAUGCCUCUUUUUUCCUCUCCCUCUCUAAUUUGUAAGACUACCCAACCAUAUUUUAUAUAAUAUUCAAUUAUUGUAUUAACUAGUCUUAUUUUCUUAUGCUCACGUGAUAUCUCUCUUUUUUUUUUUUUUAAGAAUCUAAAUAGAUAAUGGUUUUAAAGCUCAGAAGUAGAUCUGAUUCUAAAUAUUUGGAAAUUGGAAAAAAGAAAUUGAUUCACAUUUGCAGAAGAAGGUAUAUACUUGAACGCCAUGAUGGUAUAUAAUUAAAUUUAACUAUUGUUAUAUUUUUAUUUAUUAAUUACUAAUUAUCCACAAUGAAUUUUAUUUGAAUAAGUUCAGAUCAUGGUAGGAUCUUAAUUCACAUACAUAUGAAAAAAAAUAUCUAUGACCGCACUAAUAAGAUAUUACAUUUAAUCAGGUGAUAUUAGAAUGAAAAUUAUGAUGGACAAACUUAAAUUUUCCAUUUUCCCCCCUUUAUCAUCUCAAACCGGCCACUUCAAUUUGUUGAAAUCCUGAUGAUUUGGCCUUCAGAUGUAAAAUAACAAAUGAGUCACAUAUAUUAUUGGUAGAUGCAUGAGUGGAUCACAUCUAACUCAACCAACAAAUUGCAUGCCAUUUGGAAAAUAAUUUAAAUAAAUGAAUAAACACUCAUUUAGCCUUCUAUUUUAAUUUAAGUAUUCGUUUAUUCUUUAUAUUUUGAAAAUACCUCAAAAUACAUUGUAGCUAAAUAUAUUAUAUUAUUAAUCUUGCUUUUGUUUUACUUUUAUAAUAAUGCCCUUAUAAUAAUAUUCUUGACAUUAAUUAAAUUUAAUUAAAAAAUUAACCAAUAAUUAUUUAGUAAUAAAUUAACCAAUAAAUAUUAGUAGAAAAGAAGUAGUAUUUUCUAUACCUGUGAGACAAUUGUGCUAAUAAUUUAUUUAUAAAUAAAAAUUAAUAUUAGCCAAUUUAAAGCAAUAUUUAUCAUCCUUAUAAUAAUUUUAUUAAUAGUUAUUUUAUAAAAAAAAUUAAUUUACCAAAUUAAUCCUAAAAGUAAAAUAAUAACAUAAAAAAAUUUUACUCUAAAAAUUUUUAUGCUACUUUUAAGGCUAAUUUGAUAAAAAAAAAAUGAAACUACUAGCACUCCUUCAAAAUCCUUUUAAGACCCCUUUUUAAAUACACCCAAUCAAAUAUAGAAAAAAAUAUAUCACUUCUAAAAACACCCAUCUUUAUUCCACAAUUACCCUUCAAAGUUAUCUCUCAUAAAAUGAUAAAAUUACCAAAAAAAAAAAAAAUCUUUUUGUCGAUACUAUUGAAAUAAUUAUUAGCAAUCUUCUCAAAUUCGAUUAACAAGUAUGGAAUGGUGUGUAACUUUAGAUUUCUAAAUUUCAACUUAUUUUUCUAUUUUGCAACAAAUAUAACUUCUAUUUGAAUAUAUGAUGCCUAUUACUUUUAUUUUUUUCAAAUAUCAAAACUCACUUGUUCAAACAAAUAGUGAGACCAACAAAAGUAAUGCAGCGGAAGUUUAAAGUUCAAAAUAUUCAGUUGAUUUUAAAGAAUACCGGAAUAUAAGAAUAAUUAAAUUCAUAUUGAUUCAAAAGAAUGCUGCAAAUUUAGCGGUUAAGACUCGUUGAUUCUAUAGAAUACCGAGAAUUAGCUGUUCAAAUACUCACAAAGAGACUUGAAAAUUGAAAAUAUUAUUGAAAUCGAAUUUUUGCUUGUAAAAACUACAAAAGACACUUAUUUAUACUAACAAAGACUUAUCCUAAUUUGAUUAGAAAACCUAUUUUAAUAAGACUUAUACCUAAAUUAUGAAUAUUAUUCAAAUAAGCAAUGCCUAAACAAUAAAACUCUAAAUAGGAAACCAAUUUAAAUUAGAAUACAAAUUAAUUAAAAUAUUCCUAAAUAUUAUAUAUUUAAAUCUAAUUAGGAUUUCUUCAAUUUCUUGCCCUGCAUCAUUCCCGCCAGGGUGGAGAAAAUUCGUCAUCGAAUUUUGUAUUUUGUAGUCUUCAAGAACAUCUUCAUAUGUAUAAGGAUUAAUUUUCAAAAUGGAGCUUCGACAUACACAACGAACUUUAAAUUUUCCAACUUUUGUAAUAAUGUCCAUCCAAUCACUCCAAUAGCGUAAAAUAAAUUCUUCUAUCAACAAUUUGCCUUCUCGUAUUGUUCGCAUCGAACUUCAAUAUAAUUGAGGAAAAAUAAUUUCUUCUCAUAAUCCACUAACUGUUGAAAAAUAUCAUAACUUUUUUUGUCUUCUUUUGGCAAAAUCCAGAGAACAAUAAGAGAUUGUAUCAACAACUACCUCUCUUUACUCCACAAGACCAAAAAAUGUAUGAACAAUUACCUAUUCUCAUCCCACAAUAUCAAGAUACUCAUCAAAUUUUAGUAGUUGAUCCAAAUCAAUGUCUGUGUGUGGAGAAUUCGUUGUAGAUAUGAAUGACCAAUUAAUAUUAUCCUCAUUCUCCUCAUAACAUAUAUCAUCAUAAACAACUUCGUCAAAUCUAUAUGUCUGCUUUAUAUGUAAAGAUUUUGUAUUUCGAAGUUUUUAUGCUACUUCUAAGUCAUUCACUAGUUUAUUUAUCGUAGCCAAACAAUUACAAAUGUGCUUGUAUUUGUGCACAUACUCUUCAACUGAUAGAGAUCCCUUUUUUAGUGUUACCAAUUUGUGUAAAAAAGUAAGCAGUGGGCACUGUUAGUGCCCCACCAAAAAGGAAAAAGAAAAAAAAGAAGAAGAAAGAAAGAAAGUGUCGAGCCGCUCAAGAAAGGAAAAAAAUAAUAAAAAAUAAAAAUAAUAUUAUUAUUUUUUAAUUGAAACAGAGAGAUGAAGUGAAGCUAUAAAUAGAGAGCUUCAUUUCCCUUCUCUAUAUCAAGUUCUUCUUUUCUUCAAUUCCAUUUUGAGAAGAGAAAAGAAUAGUGAGAGUUGAGUGAUUAGUGAGUGAGUGAUUGGGUGUAUUGGGGUUUUGGGUAGUGAACUAAAAUAUUACAAUACUUAUAAUCCUCAUUUCAUUAGUAAAAUAUUCUCCUUCUGUCUUCGCCCGUGGACAUAAGCUAAAUGUUGAACCACGUAAUUUUGUGUGUUCUUGUGUGAUUUUGUUGUCUUAUUAUUUUUCAAUUUCACUUUAGUUGCGUGUUUGCUUAACCAAUCAAAUUCCAAUAGUGGUAUCAGAGCUAUUGGUUGUAUUUUUUGGAGUCGGAUAUUGUUCACAUAAAUGGAACUAUUCACGUAUACGGCACUAUUCACAUAUACGAUAUUAUUCACGUAUAUGGUACUAUUCACAAGAAACGGUGGGAGCGAUCCAAGAAUUUUAUGGUGCAACGUAGGGAAUAAUGGUGUGAGUGGAGUAAUCGUGUGAUUUUGUACAUGUUUAGAAAAGUUUUGUCACAAAGGCGAUAAAAGCCUAAGGAGUCUGAGUUUUAAGUGAGACCGUUGUGACCCCUUCAAUCUUUCCUAGGAGCUUUCUUGGUGUGCAUUCUCACACAUACUCACAACUAUUCAAGGUGGUACGCUAUCUUGUAUACGGUAUUUAUCAACAAAAUGGCGGCAAAAUAUGAAAUUGAGAAGUUCAACGGGAUCAAUUUCUCAUUGUGGAAAAUGGAGAUGAAGGCAAUAUUGAGGAAAAAUAAUUGCUUGGCAGCAAUUGGAAAAAAGUCCAUGGAGAUAAUUGAUGAUGACAAGUGGAAUGAGAUGGACAACAACACAAUUGAUGAUCUACACUUGGCGCUUGUAGAUGGGGUAUUAUCCAGUGUGGCGAAGAAAAAUACAGUAAAGGAAAUAUGAGAUACUCUUACAAGACUAUAUGAGGCCAAGUCGCUACACAACAAGAACGUUUUGAAGAGAAAACUUUACACUCUUCGAAUGGCAGAAUCUGCAUCGGUGACCCACCAUAUCAACACCUUGAAGACUCUAUUUUCACAACUCACAGUGUUGGGUCAUAAUAUAAAGAAAAAUGAACGUGCAGAGCUUCUACUUCAAAGUCUACCAUAUUUGUAUGAUCAACUCAUCAUCAAUUUGACGAACAACAACCAAGCAGAAAAUCUAGUCUUUGACGAUGUUGCAGCCUCCGUAUUAAAUGAGGAGAGUAGGCGGAAGAAUAAGGAAGACAAACAAGUAAGUUUGCAAUAAGCAGAAGCACUAUUUGUGACAAGAGGAAGAGCAACAUAACGUAGCCCAGUAAGAGUCAUAAUCAUGGUAGAUCAAAGUCAAAAAGUAAGAAGAAUGUCAAAUGCUACAAUUGUAGCAAGAAAUGGCACGUUAAGAAAGUGUGUUGGAACUACCAGAAGAGAAAAGAGGGUAAAGAUCCUAAGUCAUCAAAUGUUCAGGGGUGUGUAGCAAGUACCUCGAAUGAUGGUGAAAUUCUCUAUAGCAAAGUAUUAAUUGUUUUAGAAGGCAAAAAAUGACUAUCUGACGUCUGGCUUAUAGACUCAGGAGUUACCUGGCACAUGACCUCUCGGAGAUAAUUGGUCCAUACAUAUGAAUCUAUUUCAAGAGGAUCUGUAUACAUGGGAGAUGAUUAUGCCUUGGAGAUCGCUGGUAUUGGUAUUGUCAAAAUCAAAAUAUUUGAUGAUACAAUUCGCACAAUUGAAGAGGUACGACAUGUCAAUAACUUGAAGAAAAAUAUAUUGUCUUUAGGACAAAUAAAUAGUCAUGGGUGCAAAACUCAUGUUGAAGAUGAGAUCAUCAAGAUUGCUAGAUGCGCGCUUGUAUUGAUGAAAGUAGAAAAUAUCAGUGUUAAUAUUUCAUGUUUUUAGGGGAAACACUACAGGAAGCUAAUGCAAAUGUCACAUCAAAUGGAGAAGAAUCAAUGAUGGUGUGGCACCUUAAACUCAGCCACAUGUCAGAACAAGGUUUGACAAUUCUCUCUGAGCGAAAAUUACUACUAGGGCCCAAAUUGGUGAACUUACUGUUUUACGAGCAUUGUGUUACAAGUAAGCAGCAUAGAUUGAAGUUCAGUAGAUCUGUUACCAGAAGUAAAUGCAUUCUAGACUUGGCUCAUUCUGAUAUUUGUGAAUCACCAGAUAUCUCCAUGGGAGGUGCAAAAUAUUUGGUGACUUUCAUUGAUGAUUAUUCUAGAAGAUGCUGGGUGUAUCUAAUCAAGAAAAAAUCAGAUGUGUUUUCAGUAUUCAAACAGUACAAAGCAUGGGUAGAACUUGAAUCUGGAAAGAGGAUAAAGUGCUUGAGGACAGAUAAUGGUGGAUAAUAUACAAACGACGAAUUUCUUGCAUGUUGUAAGCAAGAAGGUAUCCAGAGACAGUUCACGGUGGCAUACACUUCUCAACAAAAUGGAGUGUCAGGGCAGAUGAAUAGAACUCUUACAGAAAGAAUAAGAGUUAUGUUGAGGACUGCUAGUCUACCUAACUCAUUAUGGGCAGAAGCAGUCAAAAUUGCCUGUUAUAUAGUCAAUCAGUCGCCAUCCAUAGCAAUUGAAUUGAAGACUCUGAUGGAGAUGUGGGCUGAAAAGCCAGUUGAUUACUCUCACCUACACGCAUUUUGAUGUCCUGUGUACGUGAUGUAUAAUGCCCAAGAAAGAACAAAGUUGGAUAUAAAAUCUAGGAGGUGUAUUUUCUUGGGAUAUGCUGAUGGAGUAAGGAGGUAUUAUCUGUGGGACUCCACUGUUCACAAGAUUGUUAUCAGCAGAGAUGUUAUCUUUGUAAAAGAUCAACUGCAAAGGAGAGAUGAAGAUGAUAGUGUGAGGUACAAUUUUCUCACUUAAAUAUAGUAGAUUUUAUUUUAAGCUAACAAGCCCCUAAAGUUUAUAAUUUUUAAUUUUAAGGAAUGAUGGCAUAAGUAAUGACAUAAGAAAUGAUGACAUAAGCGAUGACAUAAGUGAUGAUGUAAGAAGAAGUAUGUAGAGAAAGUUAAGACUUCUUGAAUUUAGUAAGUUCUUUAUGAAGUUUAAUUUCAACCAUUGAUCAAGAGUUGUGGUGGCAAAAUCCUAACCAUCCAUUAGCCUUAAGAAAUUCUAUAAAUACCCCCCACCACCUCUAAUUUUCAAUGCAACCUAGAAAUUUUAAUCCCUUCUAUUCUAAGUCAUAAUAACAAGAGUAGAGGAAUCCUUAAGUUAGAAAGGUCUAGAGAAGUCAAGAUCAAGAGGUAAGUAACACUUCAACUGCAAUGUAAGGACAAAAUUCUUUUCAUACUUAAGUUCAGUUUUAACAAUUCCUUUAUAUUAUGAUGGCUAUUAUAGUGUAAUUAGUUAUAUCUUUAUAUGGUCGGCCCUGCUGCCUAAUAUGUGAUGCUAUGGUCGGCUCUGCCGCUUAAUAUGUGAUGCUAUGGUUGGCUUUGCCGCCUAAUAUGUGAUACUUAUACUUAAUUAUGCUAUGGUCGGCUAUGCCGCCUAAAUUAAAGACUCUUGUUUUUAAAUAUUGUUGUGUAUUGAUUUUGUUAUGCAUCGAGAAAUUUCAAAUGUUAUAAGUUGCAUUGGAUGCAUGCAUAUCAUGGACCACAUUAUGAAGAAGACGUUUUAGAAAAUGAAUUUAUGAAAAAUAUGUGGUUGUACUACCAGGUGGCAAAGUUCUAAGGAGGGCAAGCCCUCAAAGCUAAGUUGAAAGAAAUCUUUUGGGGACGGCGAUACAUAACGCCCAAAAGAUCAACUAAUGAGACCCAAUGUCAUAUUGUUUAAAGAGUAAAAGUGCCAGCCUUAUAGUGCAACAUACCUAGGGCUCAAAUAAAUAAAGUUGUUUUGUAUUUUCUAAGUUUAUUUUAAGAGCUUAAUAUGGUCAUCCAUAUGUAUCAUAAUUUAUACAUGCAUUAAAGUGUUAUCUUACUGGGCAUUAACUCACUAAGUCCUUACAUUGCAGGUAACGAUGAGUAGGGCAAGCUGGUGCCAAGUCCUAACCAAGACGAAGUGCAUAUGGGCAUAAUAGACCUUGAGAUUUUAUAAUGGCUCAGCUUUCUUUCAAUAAAAAUAAACAUCUUAGUUUUGUGUAAAAUAAAGUUUUUAUAUUAAGGAGUUUCUGUAUGACUCUUACUUUUUGUAAGAAAUUUUUAUUUGUUGUAAACUUUUAGAAUUCGUAUUUAUAUUAAAAGUAACUGUGUUUUAAAGCACUUUUAAGUAAAUAAAAUAUUGGAGUGUUAUCGAUAACACUGUAAAAGACGAGUCAGAGACUGUGCCAGUAUUUGUGGAAAAUAAUCCAUAAGAUUCAGCUUAUUCUGAAGCAGUACUAGAGCACGAAGAACAAGAACUAGUCGAGUUCAAGGCCCUAGAAAUUCGACGGUCAACUCGUGAGAGACAACCGCUAGCAUGGCACUCAGAGUAUAUUAUAGAGAUCAAUGUUGCAUACUGUCUUUUAACAGAGGAUAGAGAGCCAUCAAAUUUCCAUUAAACUUUAAAUAGCUCAGAUGUUACUUUGUGGAUGACAACAAUGCAAGAAGAAAUUAAAGCUCUACACAAGAAUAAAACAUGGGAACUUCUACCACUACCACGUGAAAUAAAAGCUUUUAGAAACAAAUGGGUCUACAAGAUCAAGCGUGAUGACAAUGAUCAAGUGGAGCGAUAUCGUGCAAGACUGGUGGUGAAAGAAUAUGUUCAGAAAGAAAGUAUUGACUUCAACGAAAUAUUUUCUCCGGUAGUUCGACUUACAACAGUCAGAGUAGUCUUGGCAAUGUGUGCAACAUUUGACCUACAUCUAGAGCAGUUAGAUGUGAAAACUGCAUUUCUUCAUGGAGAACUUGAAGAAGAAAUUUAUAUGCUCCAACCAGAAGGUUUUGCUGAAACAUGCAAAGAGAGCUAGAUUGCAGGAUGAAUAAAUCUCUAUACGGUCUUAAACAGACGCCGAGGUGUUGGUAUAAGAGAUUUGAUUCCUUCAUCAUGAGUCUUGAAUACAACAGACUCAGUUUAGACUAUUUGUAUAUUAUAAGAGGUUUGAAGAUAAUGAUUUCAUCAUUUUGUUGUUGUACGUGGAUGACAUGUUUGAAAUGCAAGUUAUGCAACCUAAGAGGGGGGGUGAAUUGUGAUUUUAAAAUUUAUGCAAAACAAUUCGCACAACAAUUUAAUCUAUUGCCUUAAUCAAAUGAAAACAAUAAAUUCAAUCAAGCACAAUAUUAAAAGAGUAAGGGAAGAGAAAACAAACACAAGGAUUUUUACGUGGUUCGGCUUAUCCCCGUCUACGUCCACGCCUCCAAGCUCAUCCGGCUUGAGGAUUUCACUAUCCAAGCCUCCCAAUGCUUUAAAUGUUUACAAUUGACUUCCAAAGUGUCAAUGGACCUUUACAACAAGAGAUUAUAUCCCCAAUCUCUUCACCCCAAGUGUUUCCCACACUUGUACACUCACAAUUUAAUGAGAAAUGAAAAUCACAACAAUGAAACUCCCUUUAAGAGUAGAUAACAAAUUAUAGCUCAAUGAUGAUUCAAUAAAUGAUGAUUUGCGAAAUGGAAGCUCAAUAUAUGUUAUAUGAUCUUGUUUUUCCUUGUAUUAGUGCUUAGAAUGAAGUUUGAGUUGAGUUUUUAUAGUGAAAGCCCGAAAACUAGCUAUUAUAGGCAAAUUCCCACGCCCAAGCGGUUAACCGCUUGAUUAUCCGACUAGCCGCUCAGGAACAGUGAUAUUACCGUUAUUUUUGAAUUUUGCUACAGUAACAUUGUUCACUGAAAUUACACUUUGACCUAAAACUUUUUAUAAUUAUACUAUGGCCUAAAAUGUCAUAAAACUUUAUAAAUAGAUCCAAUUUCAAAACUUCCUAAGAAUAAUUGUCUUUCCUAAACUUUCUGAUAUUAUGAUAUGGCCCCAAAGAUUUUAUUAUUUCGCAUAAAGGUCCUUUUCAACAUAAUACCCAUAUAUUUCAAAGUUCUCAAAGCCUUUCACUUUAGUCCAAAAUAUUCAUAAAUUAUAGUAGGGACCAAAACAUUUCAAAUGUUUGUAAAAACGUCCAACUCCGAAAUUUAAUACUUAUUAAAAACAAAGAUUUCAAAUCUUAGCAUUUAAGUCCAAAUUACUCAAAUCCACAAAAUACUUUAUUUUAUAAAAAUAAAACCUUUUAGUUUAUGAAAAGUAUUUAAUUAAAUUAAUCUCUUGAGCUUCUCAAAUGCUAAAUCAUGCAUUAAUUAAAUCAUACCGGCUUUACAAGAAUUUAUCGCACUAAUUUAUUCGUUGAGCUCUAAACUUUAUUCUUGAUUUCUCUGUUUGUCCGUUGAGUGUCUUGAGCUUGAUUUCACUUGAUUCACUUGCAUAAAUAUUAUCCUUAAAAAACUAGUGAAAAUGUGAAAUACAAUAUUUAUUAAAUCACUUAAUACAUAUGUUUGUUAUCAUCAAAAUUACAUUAUGUAUAGCCCUAUAGGCUAACAAUGUUGGUAACAGGCCCCAACAAAGAUCGAGUCCAAGAAUUAAAGGUACAGUUAGCUAAGGAGUUUGAAAUGAAGGACUUAGGACCAUCAAACAAGAUUUUAGGGAUGCAGAUUUACUAAGACAAAAAUAAUAGGGAGAUUUGGCUUUCUCAGAAGAAUUACUUGAAGAAAAUCUUGCGGCGCUUCAACAUGCAAGAUUGUAGGCCAAUUUCAACCCCACUUCAUGUUAAUUUCAAAUUAUCAUCAAGUAUAUGUCCUAGUAAUGAAGAAGAGAGGAAUGGGAUGUCUCGAAUACCGUAUGCAUCAGCAAUGGGAAGUUUAAUGUUCACUAUGAUUUGUACAAGACCAGACAUUGCACAAGCAGUGUGAGCAAUCAGUCGAUAUAUGGUGAAUCCUGAUAAAGAGCAUUGAAAAACUAUAAAGAGGAUUCUAAGAUAUAUAAGAGGAACCUCAGAUGUUGCAUUUUGUUAUGGAGGAUUAGAGUUUACUGUCAGGGGCUAUGUUGAUUCAGAUUUUACGGGAGACCUUGAUUAAAAAAAAAUCCACUACUGGCUAUGUGUUUACACUUACAGAAUGAGCUGUAAGCUGGGUUUCAAACUGUAGAUCGUUGUGCCUAUAUCUACAACAGAAGUAGAAUACAUGGCAGCUACACUAGCUUGCAAUGAAGCUAUUUGGAUACAAAGGUUAUUAGAGGAGUUCGGGCACAAACAAUAAAAAAUUCCUAUGUUUUGUGAUAGUAAGAGUGCCUUGCACAUUGCAAGGAAUCCAGCCUUUUAUUCUAGAACAAAGCACAUAAGGGUUCAGUAUCACUUCGUUCAAGAAGUAGUGGAAGAUGUAAGUGUGAAUUUGUAGAAAAUACAUACCAAGGAGAACCUAGCAGAUGUUUUGACCAAGUCGAUCAAUGCUGACAAGUUUGUAUGCAGUAGAUCCUCUUGUGGCCUAGUAGAAACGUAAGCAACAUGGCUAUGGUGAGGAAGAAAAGAUGGUGUGGAGAUUAAUUAGUUCCCAAUCUAAUCUCUAAGUGGGAGAAUAUCAAAAAGUAAGCAGUGUGCACUUUUAAUGCCCCACCGAAAAGGAAAAAGAAGAAAUAAGAAGAAAAAGAAAGAAAGAAAGUGUCGGGCCGCUCAAAAAAGAAAAAAAAAACAAAAAAAUAAAAAUAUUAUUAUUAUUUUUUAAUUGAAACAGGGAGACGAAGUGAAGCUAUAAAUAGAGAGCUUCAUUUCCCUCCUCUGUAUCAAGUUCUUCUUUUCUUCUUCAAUUUUAUUUUGAGAGGAGAAAAUAAUAGUGAGAGUUGAGUGAUUAGUGAGUGAGUGAUUGGGUGUAUUGGGGUUCUGGGUAGUGAGCCAAAAUAUUACAAUACUUGUAAUCCUCAUUUCACUAGUAAAAUAUUUUCCUUCUGUCUUCGCCCGUUGACGUAAACUAAAAGCCGAACCACGUAAUUUCUAGUGUCCCUGUGUGAUUUUGUUGCUUAUUAUUUCUCAAUUUUACUUUAGUUGUGCGUCUGCUUCACCAAUCAAUUCCCAACAAUUUGUCCAUGAGAUGUACCUCUUUUUCCAUAGUCAUUGGAAGUAAUUGAUCCUCCAAAGAUGACCAAAUUUGUUGAGCAUUUUCUACUCCAACGAUUCCACUCAUCACUUUUUCUGUCAUCAGGCUUAACAACCAAGAUGUUAAUAGCCCAUCAUUGUUGAUCCACAUGGUGAAAUCUUCGUUGCCAGCCUUUUCCCCAUCAGACAACAAUAUUUCUUUUGCGAGGUCUCUCAGCAUCUGUAAUAUGGUGCAGAAUGCCAAGGCUUCUGACCGAAAGGAGAACUUGUGAGCGCCAUAAUAAGAAGUUCAUGUUGUCUAGUUUAAUUGACACAAGACUUGAGCAUUGAUGAAAAGACUGAAUAUUUAGACUUGGCUCUUUGAUAAAGGAUGAAGAGGUUUUAUUGCUAGUACUCAUGGCUGGCUUUGAUACCAUGAAAAAAAAAAUUAUGAAGAAUAUAAUUCUUGUUAUAUUUUUCUAAUGAAAUCUACAGGGUUAUUUAUAUAAAAUAAAGACAAAGUAGUUGUUGAAAGGCUUAAAAAUAUUAAAAGAGAAUAAGUGAAUACUUCCUAAACUAUUGCACAAUAUCUUUAUAAAAUAGGAAUGAAAUAUUCCUACGUGAUAAUGGCAUUCAAGUGCAACAUUGUGCUAGAGAUAUUCCUUGACAAAUAGCUUUGACUAAGCAAGUAGUGUGGAGUGAUAAACCCAUGGUUGACUUGACCGUUGAUGACUUUCCUUUGGGUAAUAUUGGUCAACUUGCUUAACAAAUCUCUCUUGUAGAGUUGUUUGGAUUACAACAUCAUCUAAUCUCACUUCAUGCGUUAUUAAAAAUCUCAUUGAGUUAUUUGGAUUAGAACAAGAUCCAAUUCGAUUAGAGUGUAAGCUAAUCGCAUUGGCUUGGUUCAGUAGUAGAGUGAUAUUUAACGUUUCUUACCCUAACAAUUUCGCUUCUACUACGCUCGCUCCAUUAGUCUGGUAACAAAUUCGGUUCAAGUGAUGCCAACAUUAGCCGCACUAUCCCAUCGUACGGUGACGGAAAGUUUACAUUCAUUUCUGGCUCUAGUUGCAAUUUUAUGUAAUUUUUGUGCGGAUGUGCGUUGCAUUUAAAGAAUGGUUCAUUCCCUUCAAUUGAAUGUGUUUGGAAAGUCCCAUGAUGCUGCAAUGACCCUUGGAUCACGGGCGAGUUAAUCCUCACCCUUGAUCAGUUCUUACGAUUUUUAUAAGAUUAAUAACAACAUUUUGGUCAUGACUUAUCAAGUAACGAUACAGUAAUCAUAUUCCAUUAAUCCUCAAACCACUAUUUGGUUAAUUGGCUUAGGUGAAUAAUUAUUGAUUCUUAAUGAAUCAAAUGUUUAAUCAAAAGUUUCUUAGAUCGUUCAUAAUGACAUCACAUAGCAGUCAUAGUCCAUUACUCCACAAGCCAUAUCCAUUUCCUUUUCUUUUUCCUGAUUAAGAUAAAUGGAGAAUCGUGUGUGAGAUUUGUUUUUCCUCUAGUUCAGUAGUUCAUAAGAUAAGAUAGUGGAAGUCCACUAGUACUUCGGCUAAUAUCAUAUAGAACUAACUCAAGAUUUAAUUGAGAAUUCUUAAUUUUCUAUUCUUGUCCAUGAAUUAUUCUCAACUGAGCUAUGGAAUAUUAUUAAUAAAUAAAAAGGUAUUUAUGUAUGCUAAAAGAAACAAUUGUGAGAUCAAGAAAUGAAAGCAAAAAAGCAUGGAUAUACUUUUUUCCCCUUAAUUAAUAAAAUGCAAGAAGUGACGAUUUCAAUGAAAAUCACAGUUAAUUUACAAACAUCAAACUUAUUCAUGAGGAUGAAAACUCUAUACAUAUUUUAAUAAAACAACCACAUUAUUAUUUCAAGUUAGGCUGUAUACAAUACACAAACAAAGCCUAUUAAACAUUAUUGACACCAAACAUUACGAGGCUGAAUACAAUCAGACAUUACAUAAACUCAUCUUUAGCUGUUGGAACGAAGACAAGAUGAUCUGUUGGGAAGUAAUGGCAGACGGGGAUAGUUCCCGGCUUAAGACCAAGUAUCUGAAAUGAUAGAUGGUAAGGAUUGUUGGGAUUAUAUGCUCUUUUAAAGCAUAUUAAUUUAUUUUCUGAUUAAUAAAAUAUUGGAGAUACCCAGUAUCUUGGUGGGAGCAAUUAUGAGUAUUGGAGUUAUAGAUUGACAAUAUAGAAUUUGUACAACACAUCUUUUUAUGGGUUUUUGGCACUUGAUCAUAGAAUUCUCUGCCCAGAGUGUGUCUACAUAUUUAGUAUGUUGAAAAUGAUCAUUAGAGAAAACCAGUAAGGAUUAAGGAACAAGAUGUAAUUAAAUUGAUUGGACAGUUGAGAUAUCGAUUUAAUUAAUGAUGUGGUACCAAAGAUUGUGCAAUAAAAAAAUCAAUGUGGCUUGGGACGAAUUAUUAUUCGAGCAUACAAUUAUGGAGGUCAUUUCCAAUCUUUUAGUGGAGUAGAUUUAGAAUUAAAUAAUUGGGCUAGUUUAAUUACAUGCCUAAUUAUUAUAGCCACUAUUGUACGUUCCCAAAUGAUCCCCGGGUUAGCUCAUUUAAUUGACUGCGCCACUACUGGAUUAAUAAGCAAGAUAACUAGCUAUUUGGGUUAAAAGCCUAAAUAUAUUAUUUAGUGGGAGGCUCCAUGUAAUGUACUUGUGUCUAAGGGGCCUUGUGUUAUUUUACAAAGUGGGCUCCUAUGACAAGAAAGAAGUAACGUUACUUUUGGUUUAUUAUUUUAAAUUUAAAUCAAACUUGAUUUAAUAGAAUUAAAUAAUAUUAAAAAAUGGAGCAUAGGGUUUCCACUAGAUAGAAAUAUAAAAGGGCUUAUUUUCUCCCAAAAGAGAGAGAGCAGCCACUUUAUACAUAUCAGAGAAAAAGAUUUUUAUCUCUAUUGUUGAGAGAAAAAUUUUCUCGUGCUAGUUGCUUUAGUAAUGAUAAAGGCGCCCACACGUCAAGUGCAGAUCAAACUUGAGUCAUCGCUUGGAAAAUUAUUUGGUGGCGGAUCGUGAUCUAACAGGAGUGGUGGUGACGGAUCGUGAUAUGGGAGACUAAAUCACUUCAGCGGAAAAAGCUAAAUCAGAUUUUUAAGGUACGAUUUUUAGAUUACAAAUUUUUAUAUAUUGUAUGAGAGCGAUCCUAAAAGGUUUUAUAAAAAAAAAUUAAAAAACUGAUUUUUCUCCAAGGAUUCCACUGAGAGGUAUCCAGAUGACAAGCUGAAAUAGCAUCCACUGAGUAUGGGACAUGUAAUGACAUGCUACCAUCUUAGGAGCAGAGAUCUCUUGCACCUCUAGGAUUGUAAAAUUUUGGAAAGUAUUACUGGUAGACUUUGUGGUCACAGUUUUAAAACCUGUCUUCGAGCCCAAGAUGCUGCCAGCAAAAUCAAGCAUGGAUUCUAAAGAGGUAGCACAAGUUUUGAUUUCAUCUUUGAUGGGAUCGGUUUUACACAUCCUGAGAGUGUCUUCCAUGGCUUUGGCUUGCGGUGAGUCGCGUAGGAUGAAGGUUAAUUCAAGAAUAUAAGGAAGUUGUUUAAAUGAAAAUGGGAAGGAAUCAGCUUCUUCUCUAGGCAAAAAGUGAGCAUAAUUUGAAUGAUCUUCAAUUGGAAGAUAGAGGGCCAUUUUAUUCUCUACCUUUAGAUCACUCAAGGUGAAGAAUAUCUUGACCUCGCUUGAGUUUACGUCCGCAUGGGAUGAAUGAUGAGCUAUAUGCAUAUGAUGAAGUUGAACAUCCAUUUCAGGCAGGGACUCUUCUCUCAAUUCUCUGGCACCGCUUCUGUAUGCGCACUGAAAAAAGUUCAACAGUAAAUCAACAGCAUGAACUUUGAAGGAUCGUAUCAACUCAAGAAUUAAUGAAAAAAUUAAAAUGAAAAACUUAUUUUGCAAAAAGAAAGAUUAAUUACAGUUGCAGAUUACGAGGCAGAGGAGUUGUAGAAUGAUGUUCCAAGUAUUAAGGAAUCAUUAUAGUCAACCUUUGCUUGAUUGUAUAUCAUCUAUUUUUGGUUGUAAAUAUUUUAUUCUUGGAUAGUUACAAUAUUCUAGAAAGCUAGCAAUAGGUGAAUUAUUUAUUUCCCUUUCUAUUAUUUAUUUCCUUUUCUAUACAAACAUGUAAACUGUAUAAAUUGUAAUUAUAUUGUUUAAUGAAUUAUGGUCAAGCCAUUUUUCCCAAAUCUAUAUUAUUCUCUAAAACCUUUCAUGGUAUCAGAGCCUCUAUAGAACUUUCACAAGUUCAAUUCUUUAUCUUUCACAAUGGCCGAUCCUUUAAAAACUCCAUACACUUUUAGUUCGCCAACUUCCUCUUCCAACCAAACCUCUCCAAUCAUCGUCAAUCCUCUUGACAAUAAUUCCUCUCUUAUUUCAAUCAACACAACCACUCAAAUAUCCAUCAAACUUACCUCCUCUAAUUAUACAUCUUGGCGAUUUCAAUUUCAUGCUAUACUUAUAGGAUAUGAUCUUAUGGGAUUCAUUGAUGGGUCCAAACCUUGUCCCUCUCCAACCAUCACUACCGAAACUGACAACAAGCCUAAUCCAGAUUAUUCGCUUUGGAUCCGGCAAGAUCAAUUAAUUCUUAGUGCCAUUGCCGGGUCUAUUUCUCUCAAUCUUGUUCCAUUUAUUGCCUCUGCAAAAACAUCACAAGAAACAUGGACCAUUCUAGCCAAUACCUAUGCCAAACCCUCACGAGGACGUCUCACACAAUUAAAAGAGGAUCUUCGUCUCAUUCACAAAGGCACACAGACAAUUACUGACUACCUCCAACAUGCCAAAACCAUUGCUGACGAACUUGCUAUGCUUAAUGCUUCCUUUGAUAAUAAGGAUCUUAUAUUAAAAAUCUUAGGUGGCCUUAAUGAAGAUUACAAAGACCUCUGCUCAGCCAUCCAUGUCCGUGACAGCCUUAUUACGUUUGAUGAACUGCAUGAGAAACUCAUCAAUUUUGAAGCACAUCUCAAGUAUGAAGCACGAAAGAAAGCUAAUCUCUCCAAUAUGCCCGCUUCCACCAAUCCAGCUCAAAAACCCUUUCACAAUCCACCUAAAAACCAACCCCAAAAUCGUCCCUUUAAUCCACCUUAUCGUCCACCUCUCUUUUCACAUAAUCGUCCACCCUUCUUUUCACACACACACUCACUUUCACCUUCUCCACUUCCUCCUACUCAACCUCGUCCCUAUCUUGGUAAGUGUCAACUUUGUCGCUAACAAGGUCACUCUGCAAAACGUUGUCCAACCUUUAGACACAUUCCUUGGUCAUCAAAUACUCAGCCUCAAGCCCAUAUUGCUGCCCCACAAACCUACAUGACUACUCCUCCUGCACCUUCUGCCACCGAAUGGCUUUUAGACUCUGGUGCAUCUCAUCAUGUUACAACAGAUCUUCAUAACCUGUCACUACAUUCUGAACACCCGGUCUCUGAAAGUGUGCACAUUGGAGAUGGCACCGGUCUACCUAUUACUCAUAGUGGUUCCACCACCCUACCAUAUUCUUCUCAGUCUUUUGCUUUAAAUAAUGUUUUAUGUGUUCCAUCUAUGAAAAGGAAUUUAAUUUCUAUUUCUCAAUUCUGUUCUUAUAAUAACGUGUCUGUUGAAUUCUUACCAACUUUCUUUUAUGUGAAGGAUCUUCGCACGAGGGCACUACUUCUGCAAGGAACAGCUAGAAAUGGUGUUUAUGAGUGGCCAUGUUCGUCCUCUACAACCAAGCCUUUACUUGCCUUUUCAUCCAUCAAGGUUCCCAUUGAUCAAUGGCAUUAUCGCCUUGGUCACCCAUCCUCUAAUAUUAUGCAUCAUUUAGUUUCAAGUCAAACUUUACCGUUAUCAUCAUCGUCAACUGUCUUUGAUUUUCCUUGUAAUUCUUGUCAUUGUAAUAAAACUCAUAAGUUACCAUUUUCUUCUUCCUCACUUACAAGCUCUCAUCCUCUUGAAUUAUUAUAUUCUGAUGUGUGGACAUCUCCGGUUAUUUCUUAUGAUGGUUAUAAAUAUUAUAUUAUAUUUGUCGACCAUUUCACUCGAUAUAUGUGGCUAUAUACUCUUAAACAAAAAUCUGAUGUCCAUGACAUUUUUAUUCGCUUUAAAGCAUUAAUAGAAAAGUACUUUAACCGUUCUAUUAUUACACUUUACACGGAUAAUGGAGGAGAAUACACCUCUUUAAAAUCCUUUCUUGCUACUAAUGGCAUCUCUCACCCCACCACACCACCAUACACCCCAGAACAUAAUGGCCUUUCCGAACGUCAUGACCACCACAUAGUCGAAACUGGACUCACUUUGCUUCAUCAUGCCCAUAUGCCUCUCACAUUUUGGCCACAUGCAUUUACUACUGCUACAUACCUCAUUAACCGCAUGCCAAAAGUUGCAUUCUCUAUGAAAACUUCCUUUGAAAAAUUAUUUGGCCAUCAACCAAAUUACUCCAAAUUAAAAGUAUUUGGUUGCCUUUGUUAUCCGUGGCUACGACCAUAUGGGUCUCACAAACUUUCUUCUCGAUCUCACCCUUGUGUCUUUCUCAGUUAUUCCUCCACCCAAAGUGCAUAUCAGUGUUAUGAUCCAACCUCACAAAAAAUAUAUGUUUCCCGUCACAUCACAUUUGUUGAGUCCAUUUUUCCAUUUUCUCAACAAUCUCUUCCCCUUUCACGCCCAAUAGAUAUUACUUUCCACCAAUGAAUUCAAUCUUCUCCACCUUUGCCAAUUUCUGAAUCUAUUGCUCAUGCAAAUCAACCUUCGGCAUCACAUCCACCAAUUUCCAUAAAUUCUCACCUCCUAAAUUUUCACUACCUGCCAAAUCUCCCUUUGCCAAUAUAUAAAUCAAAUAAUCAAACUCCAGUAGUCUCUCAACCCCACUCAUUAAACUCUUCUUCACAAUUGUCAUUUUCUACUUCUCCUCAAGCUGAAUCUUUACCGACUGACAAUGACGUGUCCACUUAUGAGCAUCAUCUCAUGCACAACUUGCAAGGUACAUCCUCUGUCGAACCUCUAUUAACCCCUUCUGCCUCUACUCCUCCAAUCUUACAUAAACCAUCUCCUUCGUCUCAUCUACCAUCAACAACCAUCCACAACAAUCAUCCCAUCCAAACUAGAGCAAAGAACAAUAUCCAUAAACCACUUACCAAACUAAGCCUUGCUACUGUCCACACAUUCGCUUCCCCAACUGAACCAACCUCAGUCUUUGAAGCUCUUCAACACCCUGCCUGGCGAGCAGCUAUGUCUGAUGAGUUUAAUGCACUUCUCUGUAAUGAGACUUGGACACUUGUUCCUUUUCACCCAUCUCAAAAUUUCGUGGGUUGUAAGUGGGUGUUUCGUAUCAAACGCAACUAUGAUGGCUCCAUAGAACGUUACAAGGCUCGCCUCAUUGCAAAAAGCUUUCACCAACGACCUGGCAUAGAUUAUCAUGAGACAUUUAGUCCUGUUAUCAAGCCAACAACUGUUCGACUUGUUCUUAGUCUUGCACUCUCUAAUGGCUGGUCUCUUAGACAACUAGAUGUAAAGAAUGUAUUUCUUCAUGGACACUUACUUGAAGAUGUCUAUAUGGCUCAACCCCCGGGCUUUGUUGAUAAGAGCAAUCCUACCCAUGUGUGCCAUCUUAAGAAGGCUCUCUAUGGUCUUAAACAAGCCCCCCGUGCUUGGUAUCAUGAACUACAACAAUUCUUAUUAUCCUGUGGGUUUGUCAAUUCUCUAUCAGAUCCCUCUUUAUUUAUUUAUAAACACCUGCAUCUCACCAUGCAUCUUUUAGUGUAUGUGGAUGACUUAAUUCUCACAGGUAGUGACGAUCGUCUUCUUAGCCAAUUCACACAACAACUUGUUGCCAAAUUUUUCAUUAAAGACCUUGGUGCCCUUUCAUACUUUCUUGGCGUCGAAAUAAUUCCAUCCAAAUCGGGUGUUCUCCUCUCGCAGCAUAAAUAUAUACAUGAUCUACUGGAAAAGGCUGACAUGUUGCAUGCCAACAUUGUCCAUACACCUAUGUCUCCUAAUCAUAUGCCAAGUCUCCAUGAUGGUGUCUCCUUAUCAGAUGCAAAUGCAUACCGCUCCAUUGUUGGUGGCCUUCAAUAUUUAUCUCUUACUCGCCUAGAUGUUGCCUUUGCUGUCAAUAAGUUAUCUCAAUUUAUGUAUUGCCCAACCACUCAACACUGGGUUGCUGUCGAACGACUACUUCGAUAUCUUCGGGGUACUAUUCAUCACAGAUUAUUUCUACAUCGUACCUCCCCUUUGCUACUUCAUGGCUUUUCCGAUGCAAAUUGGGUAGGCAACACUGAUGAUCAAACCUCCAAAAGUGGUCACAUAGUCUUUCUUGGUCAUAAUGCCAUCUCUUGGAGUUCGAAGAAACAACGUUCUGUUGCUAGAUCCUCUACCGAAGCUGAAUACCGUUCAGUUGCUUCUAUCACUGCUGAAAUUUUACAUGGCUUCAAUCUCUGUUGAGUGAACUUGGGGUUCACUUGCCCACCAUACCCACUUUUUAUUGUGACAAUAUUGGGGCUACGUAUCUUUGUGCAAACCCGGUCUUUCACUCUCGCAUGAAACAUAUUGCCAUAGAUUUUCACUUCGUGAGGGAAAAAGUAAAGAAUGGUGACAUCUGAGUCUCUCAUGUGUCCUCUGCAGAUCAGUUAGCCGAUGCACUUACUAAGCCACUUCCUCGUCAACAACUAGAUGCACUUCGAGUCAAGAUUGGCGUCCUUCCACGGGACACCAUCUUGAGGGGGCAUAUUAAGGAAUCAUUGUAGUCAACCUUUGCUUGAUUGUAUAUCAUCUAUUUUUGGUUGUAAAUAUUUUAUUCUUGGAUAGUUACAAUAUUCUAGAAAGGUAGCAAUAGGUGAAUUAUUUAUUUCCCUUUCUAUUAUUUAUUUCCUUUUCUAUACAAACAUGUAAACGGUAUAAAUUGUAAUUAUAUUGUUCAAUGAAUUCUGGUCAAGCCAUUUUUCCCAAAUCUAUAUUAUUCUCUAAAACCUUUCACCAAGAAGCUAAUCCCAAACCCAUCUUUCUCUGGAUAACUCGUUUGUUUUUUGGCUACUGAAUGAGGUAUAUUGUAAACGCGAUCGAGUGUCGACAAUUUGUAAAAGAAAAAUUUUACAGAGGCCGCCUCAGUCCUCAGGUGAAGUAGAUUAAAAUUCGAAAUUGUGACUAUGAAAGUAAUUGUUUCUUUUUUAGUGGGGUUAUUUUACAAUUUAAAAAAUACUUGAACACUUUUUUUUAAAUGGACGGGACCCACCAAACUACUCUACAACCCGUUUUUUAAUAAUAAUUUUAAUUUCUAAAAUAUCCUUCUAGUAAUUUACUAAUAAAUACGAUAACAAUAACUAUAUAGAAAUAAUUUUAAACAAUUAUCACCGUUAAUUUUAAACAAUUAUCACCGUUCACCCUAUAAUAGAUUUACAUCACUAACAUUCAACAAUUUCUCUCUUAAGAAAUGAUUAAAUAAAUUUCAAAAAAAAAUUACUUCGAUCUAUUUCUUUAUGAUGUCAAGUCGAAGAUCAAGAUCAAGUUUUAUGCAUGAAACCUAUUCUGGAAACAUAAUUCAGAAAAGAGAAAAUAAAAACAAAAAAUGAAAAAUUUUGAAGAAAAAUAUUUCAGUAUCCCAUUGUUCUACUUACUCCCAUCUAUUUAUCCAUUAUGUUUAGAGUUUCAAUUUCUUUUAUACAGUCCCCCCAACACACCCCCACCCCCAACCAAAAAAAAAAAAAGCUCUUUUAUAACUAUUACAGUUCGACUUUUGUAGAUUAAAAAAUAAAUGGAAAUUUGUUACUGAUCCUUGCACUAGCAGUGGAAAAGAAUAUUGUCAAAAUUAUUGUUUUUGCAAAUAAAUGGUUCCAACGGCCAGGUUGAGGUAAAGAAAGAGAAAAAUGGGAACGAAAUCUUUGAUCGACAGUGGGUUAGCGAGAGAAAUUUCUUUUUAAGGGUACUUUUAGCAUUUGAGUGAGUAUGAGGAGUAAAAUUUUAAUUUCCAAAAUUUAUUAAUGAGUAUAUUUAAUAAAUGAGAAUAAAGAAUACUAUUUAGUAGGUUGAAUUAAUCACACUAUUAGAAAAUAUUUUUAUUACAAAAAUACUAUUUCAUGAAAUCACUAAAAAGGACAAAAUCCUGAACUUAGAAACAAAAACACUAUACACACCCGUUUAUUUUAUUAAAUCCUAAAUCUUUGUUUUAUUCAUCAAUUCAUCACAAGAGGAUUAUGAAAGAUUGAAAAACGGCAUUGUAAAUUCUUAAAUGGCACGGAUCAACACUCCAACGCUUUCAUUGCGCACACCGUGAUGUGAAUUGUGAAGCAAAAAUCGAAUAAACUUUCGAAAGGCAAUCCAGGUUUAUCUUCUUGUGGCGCAAUAUUUCGAUGUGAGAAUGGCAUUUUCAAUAGUUCUGCAGUACAGCUGAGUUCCCAUACCUCUUUUUUUGCUGAAAUUUCAAUUAUAUAUCAUACAAUCAGUAGAGAUUGCUUUUCGAAAUGGGUGGCUUUGGUUAUGAGUGAAAAGUGAUUCAAUAUCAAUAAUUUCUUUGUGCGUUGUUCUUCUUUUCAGCCUUUGUGGCGGCUUCCUACAUGGUGGUUGAAUUGUUUGUCCCGAAUAGGACUGCAGUGAACUCUCAUUGUACCCAUAUCUUUCAAUAAGGAGAUUGAAUUACAGACACUCGCGCAAUUCGAGGCUUGAUUGUUCUUCAUUUACCUGGUUGGAUUCUCCACUUAGUGAUAUUGUUAAGUCUAUGCGAUUUGGGAUUACUUUGGCAGCCUUCUUAUUGGUUCAGCCAGUGACAUCUAGUUCAUCGUUGUAAGUAUUCUCUUUUGUAAAUUACAUUUUUUUCGAUUUUAAUAAUAAAGCUUUUGCAUUUAUACCCAAAAAAAAACCGAAAAACACUCCAAUGUUUUCAGUAAAUCGGUUUUAAUAUUAUGGCUCACAAAUCACAUUAAUUGAAAAAAAUAACAAUAGAUUUUGUAACUUAUGGGUCAAAGCUGUAGGCAAUAGUGAAAAUUCAAGUAGCAAGAAGGAUGAUUUAGCAAUGAAUAGAUUAAAAAAGAAAAAACAUUCCGUAAAGGAUUAAACAUACUCUUGAACUUCUGUGAAAGUACAAUAAGAACAAUAGUUCUUUCGGAUCAGAUCAUCCAUAUAAUAUACAAAAAGAAACUCCAGAUAUUUAAGUUUUUUCUUUGAAUAAGAUCUCAAUUUCAGUGACAGUUUCAUUAGAUAUCUUACAUCUAGAAUCCCCUUUUUUUCUGAGUCAGUUCCUCCACCACCACAAACUCCAGUUAAAUUUAAGCAUGAUACAUCCAUAAACAAUACACUUAUAAGCCAAAAAUUUUAUCAUUGAAAUAUUUGAAUGUUUUAAAGGUUGUAAGCCGGUUAAGUCCAAAACGUUAUUUUUCUUCGAAUCUUAUAUAUCUUGUAGGUUUGGUUUAAUUUCCGAAAACAAAAACAAGAGAUUCUUAACAAAGAAAAGCAAGAACAAGAAGAGUUAAUGUUGUGGGGAUUCGCACAAAUAAUCAAGGUUAUUAUUGAGAUUUUAACUAUAAUUAUUUCUGUUGCCAUUAAUCAUAAUAAAUGAAUAUAGGGUUAAUUUUAGAUUAUCCUCUCGUGAAUUUACUAUCUUCAAAUAGCUCUGAUACUUUCAAAAACUAUUGUUUACCCAUAUUUUUGUUAAGACCCAAAAAAAAAAAAAAUUAUCAACCUAUCUCUAUUUCUUCCUUAUCUGUUUAACAAAAAUAGAAAUAACUUAAGAUUUUCUUUUAAUCAAAAUAAAAGUAAUUUGAGAUUUUUGAAAGAAUAAAAACAAAGAAAAGGAAGAAGAAGAAGAAUGUUGUGGGAAUUCAAACAAAUAAUCAAAGCUUAUUUUUUCGAUUUAAAAAGGUGUACAUAGUAAAAGUUUAAAUUUUAAUUUUCACCUGUGAGUUUAAUGUUUAGAGUACAAAUAACACUAUCUUUUUUCUUUUCAAAGCUCAACAAAUCAUAAAAGAGUAUAGAAAAAGAUCUUGGGUGCUCCUAGAGUCUGCUUCUUAAUGAUUCAUGCUUACCAUGUGUAUUCUUUAACUAAUCAUAAACAUUUAUAUACAUAUGUGAUAAGCACUGAAUAGUUAAAGAAUGAUAUUUCAAAUGCACCAAAGACCUUCUCCGAGUGCAGAUAUGUACUUAUAACUGCCAUGUUAUUCAAUUAAUUGAAUUGAAUUUACUUUCUUUACCGUAAGCCAUUUUCUUUAAUUUAGUCGAAUAUGUACCCGUUAAUGCUAGUAAAUAUGCUACAGCCGCGUGUUCAAUUAACUUUUCUUAUACCGUAAUGAAUUUUUUGAAGUUUUAUUCAGGCCAAUAUCUAUUAAUGUCCCAGAACUCAUAAGCAUGGUGGUUGUGGUGUAAAAGGUUUUAUAGAGGGUGGAGUUAUUUACACUUGGGAUAAAUUUUCUAUUAAACACCCAUUUAUUUAAGGCACCAAUUUCAUAAAUUUUAAAAUUUUGACUUUUUUACUCGACUCACUUUGAGUGAGCAUACAAAAAUUAUCCUCAAAUUAAAUCCCUGCCAGUAUACAUUUCUUUUUUUCAUUCUACAUUCAUAAAAAUAAAAUUAGUUCAAGUGAUUGCUAAGCUUGUUGUUAUAAGAAUAAACGCAGAUUUUUUCUUUUUAGAAAAUAGCUAAACAUAUUUACAUGAAUGAAUUCGUAUUCUUUUUUCAGCUUAUUCCAUGUAAAUGCAGAGAGUUAUUUAAUUGAAGAUUUUUUUAUUUUUUUCUCAAUAAUAUACCCUCAUUAACGUAUUGGCUCAGAUAUAAAGGUUUACAAUCAUAGAGCAAAAGAAAACAUUAAUAAAAAUAAAAAUUCGUUGAGGGUAUAAGUUUGAGUCCCAAUAGAAUAUUCUUAUUCCUGUAAUAUUAAGUAAGGGUAAAAGUAGAGAUUUAGACUUUACAGUAAAUUGUUUAUUAUAAAUAUCGAUAGAUUAUAUUUCUCAUGGACCAUUAUUUUAAGACUAUAUUUUAAGAGCGGUAUGAUUUCCCACGUAACCAUUGUAAUUUGGUACGGCGGAGCUUGUAGCCUUGUUAGUCAUGCGUAUUUUGGACAUAAGAUAAAAGAUUAAAGAAAAAAAAUCUAAGCAAAUUUUCGAGAAACCGUGUACCACAAGACCAAAACACAAAAAUUGAGCCGCUGAUCGUAUAAGGCAUCAAAUCCAGUGGCCUAUCUUUUUUUAAAAAUAUUUUAUUACAUACGACCUAUCAACAGAUUUAAUGCACGGUAGUCUUAGCCAUAAUAAUUAAUUAUAAUAUUCUAGAGCAUAUAACAGUUUGACCAUUUGAUGUCUGACGUGGAAUGGAUAUUGUACUAUACAAUUGUCUCUAUUUUUGGUUCAUUAAUUACAACUUAGUGGUUGUAAGUUAACUGUGAUGGAUAAAAAUUUCUGUUUUUCUGUUUUUUUUUUUUCUUUUUUUUCCAUGUUUUAACACGGGUCUUCGCUACCAAAGAAAGUUAUUGAUUUUAGGCCUAUUAGUCUAUGCAAUGUGGUGUAUAGAAUCAUAGUUAAGGCAAUAGCGAACAGGCUGAAACUAAUUCUUCCCCAAAUCAUAUCCCCAACUCAGAGCGCAUUCAUUCCCAAUAGACUCAUUACAGAUAAUGUGAUUAUUGGUUAUGAAUGCCUUCACAAGAUUAGACAUAGCAAAGGGAGAAGAAACGGGUUAGUGGCUCUAAAAUUGGAUAUUAGUAAGGCGUAUGACAGAGUCGAGUGGAGCUUCCUAGAUCAAAUCAUGGAAAAAAUUGGUUUCUCGAAUAAAUGGAGGAGUCUUAUUAUGAGGUGCAUAACCACUGCUCAAUUUUCAGUCAUUAUUAACGGGACCCCCAAAGGCUUAAUUCUUCCGGAAAGGGGGCUAAGGCAAGGUUGCCCCCUCUCUCCGUAUCUUUUCAUCAUGUGUGCAGAGGCCUUUUCGAACUUACUGAUCCAGGCUGAGAGGAAGCAGCAGAUUAGAGGGCUGAGAUUUGCAAAGGACGUUACGAUAUCUCACCUCCUUUUCGCUGAUGACAGCUUAGUCUUUACCAGAGCCUCAGAAGCAGAGUGUAAGAACUUAAAGGGGAUUUUCGAUUGCUAUGCGAAGGCAUCAGGGCAGAUUUUUAAUUAUGAAAAGUCUUCAAUGUUUCUCAGUGGCAAGAUUACAAGUGGUCAGACUGCAGCAAUUAAAAACAUUUUCCAGCUCAAAGUGGUGUCGAAAUAUGAAAAAUAUCUAGGCCUUCCAUCUAUGAUAGGCAGACGGAAAUCGGGGUUCUUUAAUGAGGUGAAGCUGAAGGUGAUAAGCAAGAUUUCAAGCUGGCGUCAUAAGAUGUUCUCCAGCGGAGGGAAAUAAAUACUCAUCAAAGCAGUAGCACAGGCAGUACCGGCGUAUGCUAUGAGUGUUUUCAGACUUCCUAAGGGACUAUGUGAUGAUAUUCAAAAAUCUAUUGCGAAGUUUUGGUGGGGAUCAAGGGAAGAUAGAUACGGAAUCCACUGGUCAAGAUGGGACAAAAUGAGCCAAGCAAAAAGUAGAGGAGGACUGGGAUUCAGAGAUCUCACUAGCUUCAAUCAAGCUUUGGUGGCUAAGCAGGCAUGGAGAUUGCUUCAGCUUCCCAAUUCGUUGCUGGCCAGAGUACUGCAAGCAAAAUACUAUAAGUAUUCUUCAUUAUUGAAUGCCACAGCGGGAUCCAAUCCAUCUUUUAUUUGGAAAAGCAUUCUAUGGGGAAGGCAAGUGAUUGACAAAGGUGCAAGAUGGAGGGUAGGAAAUGGAAGGAAAAUCAGAACUUACAAAGAUAAUUGGUUACCUAGGCCAGACACUUUCAAACCAAUAUCACCACAAAAAUUGCCAUCUAAAACUAUGGUGGCUGAACUGAUUGAUGAAGAAAAUCAAUGGAUCGUAAGCAAGCUGGAGCAAAACUUUCUACCCCAAGAUAUCGAAGCAAUCCUACAGAUUCCACUCCCUAGAACCAAAAAAGAAGAUGAAGUGUUGUGGCAUUAUGACAAAAGAGGAGAGUAUUCAGUAAAGAGUGGAUAUCAGAUAGCUUUCAGGCUCAAGUUUCAAGAUAUGCCAAGUAGUUCAGGAAGCUGCUCCAGGCAAUGGAAUGUUUUGUGGUCUUUGGAGCUGCCUGAGAAGAUUAAGAUUUUCAUGUGGAGGGCAAUAAAAAACAUUUUACCAACGACUGAAAACCUUUGGAAAAGGAAAUGUUUGCUAGAGCCUACCUGUCCAAGAUGCCAUAAGAGUGUGGAAACUAUAAGUCAUGCCCUAUUUGAAUGUAAAGCAGCAAGGAAGACCUGGAACUUAGCUCCAUCCACUUUCGAGCUUCAAAAUGUUCCAGGUCAAGACAUUUUCAGCUAUGUCCAGAAUCUUUGCAGCAACUCCAGGAGAAAUGAAGCUGAGCUUAUGAUUAUGUGUUGCUGGGCUAUCUGGUUUGCUAGGAAUAAGUUGAUCUUUGAAAGGAAGAAGAUAGAGCCAAUGGUUUCAGCAGCAAAGGCAGAAUCAGUGUUAGAAGCUUACCAAAGAGUGAGAAAAACAGGAACACUCCAUAUUAGCAAUACUAGAGAGGAAAGCCAGCAAAGAUGGUCUCCACCCCCAACAAAUGUGCUCAAGCUUAAUGUAGAUGCAGCAACAAACAGCAAGGAUCAGAAGGUUGGCUUGGGAGCAGUCUUGCGUGACUCGAAUGGCAGAGUAGUAGCAGCAGGCAUCAAACAAGCCUCUUUCAGGAAGGAUGUCAGUUUUGCAGAAGCUGAAGCUAUCCAAUGGGGUCUCCAGAUUGCAAAAGAAGCAGCUGCAGCAAGCUUGAUUGUAGAGACUGAUUGCAAAGAUAUGGCUGAGCUACUCAACAACACAAAGGGCAACAGGUCUGAGAUUUUUUGGAUAAUUUCAGAAAUCCAAACCCAGAAACGAGAGUUCCAAAGGAUCCAUUUUAAUUUUGUACCAAAGUUUUGUAAUGCUCAUGCCCAUUCCUUAGCUAAACAUGCUCUAAGGAAAGAUACAACUGCUGUCUGGUUAGAUAUAUUAUCAGUAGAAGUGCAGAAUGUAUUUGACUGUGUUGUUUAAUCAGUAAUGAAAGGUUUACUUUCUCUUCAAAAAAAAAAAAACACGGGUCUUCGCUGUAAGCCAAUAACGUGACGAUUUUAGACUAUAAAGUCUACAAUGACCCGGACUUUUGCCCUACCCUGCGUUUUUUUGGGAAACGGAAAAGUUCUUUCGUUUUCUUUCAUAAUUGAUAAUAAUGCACGUUAACGUCAUACAACAAUACAAUUGAUUGAAAAAUAGUAAAAAGAAUAUGUUAACACUGUGUAAUAUUAUAAUUAAUUGAAAAAUAUGUUAAACUAUUUCUAUAAAAAUAGGGUUAAUUUUGGAUCCUUUCUAGUAAAUUAAUUAUCAUUAAAUAAUUUCUUAUUCUUAAAAAUCUUAAUUUACUCUUAUUUUUAUUGAGAAGAUAAAAAAAAUAAGUCAUCAACUGACCUCUAUUUUUUCUUAUUUUUGAAAAAAUAAUAAUAAUUUAAGAUUAAGAUAAAAAAACAUAAUCUAAAUAUAAUUAAUUUGUAAGUGGAGACAAUUAUUAUUCUCUAUACUUUUAUAAGCAACCAAACAACUCUCCACAUGUCUUAAAAUAAUUCCACCCAGUUUACAAUAAAUUACACGGUGGGUUAUAAGUUGUGAUGUUUUUGUUCAUCUUUAUGACUUUGAGGACUUACUAAGUGGGUGGAAUUAUUUCAAGAGAUGUUAAUAGGUUGCUUGGACAUUCUCAUUUCAUGUGCAACUUUGCAUUAUUCUAGAAUAAUUACUGUCCUUGUGGCUCAUAAAAAAUUUUGGGAUCUUUAAUAAACUUGUGACUCGUUGCUUAUUAGUUGGUUCCUUGAACUUGUGACACAUAAUGAAUUGCUUGUGUACUAAUGAAAAAGUUUAGUUCAUAGUAAACUUGUGACAUUAUCUUUAUUACUUGAAAAACUUGUGACAUUACCUUUAUUAUUUGAAACAGUAGCAAAUAAUCUUGAAAAAAAUAGUAUUUUUUUAUAACUUGUGACCCAAAAAACUAAUAACUAGAAAAAAAAGGCAUGCGUACUACGAAAGUUGUGAUUCCAACAAAAGCUAACGUACAUGAAAAACAAAAUUCGAAUUUUGUACAAACUUGUGACUUAAAAUCAUCAACUUGGAACAUAGGGUAGUAGAAGAGUUGAGACUUCAACCGAGUAAUCAUUUAGUUAUCAAAAAUUGGUGACCACCUAUCAAUUGACUUAUGACUGCAUGGCAAAUCUAAGUAAAGCAUAUAUGCGCUGGUUCCAUCGAAGGCAGAGCCGUUUACUUCAAUCUUACAAUAAGUACAGAUUUUUUUACGUGAAAAACCCAAACGGAAAAAAUCACAGGACCAUAGUAUGAUAAAAUCUUCCACUAUUUUAAUAAGAUUACAGUACAAAUUCUUCUCUAGAUGACACUAGAGGCUAGCAACAUCAAGAAUCUCAAUAUUAUUGGCUUACAGUAAUAGUCUAAUAGUUGUCUCUCUAACAAGUGAGUAUCUCAAAUAACAUAUAUCUAACAAGAGGAUAAAAUAAAAAUCAAGAGCAGUAGGAUUGUAGAGGGCGAUGCCAGAAACUUACCUUCAAAAUUUAAGAAAAAAAAGGAUUUAAUUUUAUUUUCUAAUUGUCCAAUCAAAGAUUGAAAAUCUUACCCCCAAAUUGUAAUAAUCAGCUAUUGUCUUCUUAUUGUCUUCUUCUUUCUUUUCCCACUUGUAUUUUUGCGAUCUUGAAACUAGGCUGCGGCUUGCUUUUAAAACUAAAUAAAUUCAAAUCCAAAGUUUAAUAUUAAUCGCAUUCAAGUUAGCCUUUUUGAACUUUAGGCUUUUGAGCCCCAAAUGAGAUGGACCCAACAGAUUUGACAUGCAGCUAUAAAUCAAUUGAUACGUGGUCAUUACUUUUUGAUAACUAAACAAUUAUUCGGUUAAGUCUCAACUCUUCCGGUACGUUAUGUAAGCACCUUCACUAACAUUUGAGAUUUAUCUGCUUCACUCAUAUUUCAUAAAAAAAAAAAUUAUUUAUAUUUAAUCAUACAAGAUAAUUGAGGAAAGAAUUGCCCCCACAAAAAUUCAAAAGCAGCUCUAACCAUUUGGUCAAAAGCCAAGUGACUUAACUUUUGUUGGAAUCACAACUUUCUUAAUGUGUCUUUUUUUUUUCAAGUUAUUAGUUUUAGAUCACCAGCUAUAAAAGAAAAUACUAUUUUUUUGAAAGUAUGUUUGUUAUUGUUUCAAGUAACAAAGGUAAGGUAACAAGUUUAUUAUGAGUUAAGCUUUUUCGUUAGUACAGAAGCAAUUCAUUCUAUGUCACAAGUUUAAAUAAACUAACAAAUGAACAAAAAGUCACAAUUUGACAAUUUUAUUAAGGAACCCACCCAAUAUUUGCAGAAGAUUUUUUUUUUUUAUUUACAAUAACUCAAGGUUAUUAUAACAUCAAAUCGUGAUCAGUGUAUGAAAUAUAUUGUUAAUUAGAAACAAUGAUGUUUAUAUUGGACAGUCAAUUAGGGAUUAAAAUUAACUAUUUAACGACUAAAUUAUUUAACAACUACUUCUGAAAAUCUGUUCCUCUAUUUUCCAAGUAAUAUUUAUCAAGUCACAACUUACACUAAUAAUCCUAAUUCCUCCUCUAUUUUCCAAGUAAUAUUUAUCAAGUCACAACUUACACAAAUUGUAAUUAUAAUUGCUAUUCUAAUGAUUGUUACAAUUACAAUUUUACUAUUGCUAUUGUUACCGUAAUCGUAAUUAAAUAUUACUAUUAUAACAAUUGUAACUGUUGAUGGAAUUAAGAUUAAAAUUGUUAUUACUAUAAUUCUUACCGUAAUUACGAUUAUAGUUGUAAUUAAAAUUGUAAUUGUAGCUAUAAUCAUAUUGUAAUUGGAAUUACAAUUGAAAUAAAAGUUGUAAUCGUUGUUCUAAUUGAAUUUGGAAUUAAUAUAAAAAAUUGAUAUUGAAAUUAUUAUUGUAGGAUACAUAAUUGUAAUUGCAGCUGCAAUUGAAAUUUAUAUUGUAACUCAAAUUAUAAACUCUAAACAUAAUUAGAAUUGUUCAACAAACAAUUGCUCGAAAAAGGUGUCCGCGCCAUUUUUCAUCUAUGAAAAAGAAAGAGAAACAACAGUAACCAAUUUCUUAUUUCUUCGGUAUGAUGUUGCGGCCGGUUUCCCGCAAACUCUCAAUUAUAUUUCAAGACAACUUCAACUGCUGAUUGUAUUAGGCAUCAGAUCCAGCGGUAUAUAUUUUUUUAAAAUAUUUUAUUGCAUGCGACCGCACGGUAAAAAAUUAUGUUUUUCUGUUUUUUUCUUUUUCAACACCAUCUGAGUCUUUGCAGAUGGUUUUAAACUGCAAUGUCUACAAUGACAUAGACUUUUGCCUUAUCCCUUCGUUAACGGGGAAGGCUCUUUCUUUUCCCUUCAUAAUUGAUAACAAUGCACGUUAACAUCAUAUAAUAUUACAAUUAAUUGAAAAAAUAGAAAAAGAAUAUGUAAACACUAUAUAAUAUUAUAAUUAAUCGAAAAAUAUAUUAAUAUUAUAUAAUUUUAUGAUUAUUUCUAUUACUCUUAAUCAUUAUGAAUAAAUAUAGGGUUAAAUUUGAAUUCUCUUCUCAUGUGAAUUGUCUAUCAUUAAAUAAUUUCUUAUUUUUAAAAAUCUUAAUUUACACUUAUUUUUAUUAAGACAAAAAAAAAUUCAUUAACCUACCUUUAUUUUUUCUUUAUCUUUUGAAUAAAAAUAAAAAAAUUUGAAAAUUUUAAAAGUAAAAGAGCCAAUUUAAAUGUAGUCAAUUCAAAAAAAUUAAUCUAAAAUUUACCCAUAAAUAUACAUUUCGUUUUAUAAUUGCAUGGGCUCCAAAGUAUGACCGGAAAGAAAGUCACAGGCAUUGAUCUUCCUCCGGUUCCACGGAUCCUUGAAAAUAUUAUUUUGCCUAAUAUAUCCCCGCGCUAUUAUUAGUUGAACGUUUAUAUUCAAAAAGAGUUUUUUACCCACUAUCUAGGGAUGAGUUAUUAUUAUUAAUGAUUAUAAUGGUGAUUUUUUUUCUUUGGUAUAUUAAAUUAUAUUCAAAAAGAGUUUUUUACUCACUAUCUAGGGAUGAGUUAUUAUUAUUAAUGAUUAUAAUGGGAAUUUUUUUUCUUUGAUAUAUUAAAUCAUUUGAUACUCAAAUACCUCAUUGGGUCUUGACUAAUUCAUAUUCGAAUCGGGUAGGAUCACUAGAGUGGUAAAACCGUCCCAACAAAUAUUUAAUGUAACUACAUUAAUUCUCAAGCCUUAAACCAAGGAGUUUGGUUAAGUUAAAAUAUCCUCAUGUCAGCUAAUAUACACGUUUGUUGGUAAGGGGACUUUAGUCAAAUAAAUGGGUGGGAAUUAAUUUAAUGUUAGAUAUUACUAUUAUUACAACAACAACAACUACUAUUAUUAUUAUUAAUACUAGGGAUGAGCCAAUCAUUUUCACUAUUACAAUCAACUUUAGUUAAUGUACAAAAUACUGUUACCGUCGAUGUGUCAAUCCUCUAAUUUAACUAAUAUUAAAUAUAUCAUUUAAUUAAAUGCAAGGAAAGAUAAUAAUUCCUUUUUCACUAAUGCAAACAUCUUUAAUUAAUAAGAUUAUUUUUCUAAUGAUUCUUUUGUUAGGGGAAAAAAAAAAGGUUUGGACGAGGAUGAAAAUGUUUAUUCGUUAAACACUAACUCGUCCUUUAUUUUUACUUUAAACCUUAUAAAUACAGGUGCAGAGCGCAAUCACGACUAUCUGAGCAAAGCCUAUGGCACUAUUAUGAUUGAUAAAGCAAGGGAUGAGCAAUUCAUCUUUCAAUAUUGAAUCAUCAACUAUUAAUAACACACUUACGUGGUCUAAUAUGUGUCACACAUAAUUAAAUAUAAUUGAUAGUAGUAAUAAAAAAUAGUUAUAAAUUAUGAUACUACUUCACAUCGACUCAAAAAUGAAUAUUAGGUUAAAUACCGUGCUCUUUAUGUAUGAGUCUCAAUUCGAUACUAUAUAAAAAUCCAUAAGUUUACUCAUACUUAAAAACUAACUCAAGUUAAAGGGUUGCUUCAAAUUUAUUAUUAGCCCAAUAAUUAUUCUCAACAGAUGGAUAUUAUCAUCAAUAUUAACAUACAACUCUAUUGAUUACCAUAUUAAUUAGAUACAAAAUUUUAGAUCGAUUCUUCGGAAAAAUGCUUGGUACGUAUGUGCCGAUGUUAUUGAUUCUUUGACUUUAUACGGAGAAAUAACACCAUCUACUUUAUAAUUAAACUUUGUAUGUCACAUGUAACGGUCAAAAUUUUUUGUUACCCGUCACAUUAUUUUUCACAGUACUUAAAUAAUUUUUUGUUAUAUUUAUAAAUUCAUACAUCAAAAUUAGAGUGUAUACUACUAUACUAAAUCUGACAAAAAAGUUAAUAAGACUAACAAAAAAAAUUUGUAACUAGCGCACCGUGGUAGGGGCGGCUCAAGGGGUACUGGUGCCUUAUGCAAAAAUUUUUUUAGGUCUUUUUUAAAAAUUAAAAUAAGAUAAAAUUUAUAAAGUUAUGAAAAAAAGACUAUUUAUACUAUUUAUACUCUAAAAAAUAUUCUGGAUAAUUUUUUACUUUAAACACUCAUGUGUUAAAUUUUUAAAAUAAAUUUUUACUAACACACUUUGAAAAAUGAUAAAAUAGCCCUAAAUCUCUUUCAUUAGUCGGACAAUUUUAUCCUCUCUACACCCCCAUCAAGGUAGGCAUUCACAAUCAAAUUGGGGGUAUACCUUCUUGUUCAACAAAAAAUUCAUCAAUAAUCUAUUAUCAUGAACCAGACGCUGAAAAGAUUGGAAAUUUUGUUUCCGUAAAUAUCAACGAAAGUUGAACAAAAUUUAAAGACUGCUAAGAAUUUUUGUUUUUAAAUAUUCAGUAUACAUGUUUAAGUUAAAAAAUAAUAAUAAUAAUAAAUCCUAUUAGGUAAAGAUCAAGCCGCUGGAUUUCUUAAAAUCGAUUUUAAGCAGAUUACAAAUUAAGUGAAGCAACAAACCCGCUCUUCUUGAGCAGUAGAUAAAAAAAAAAAAAAAAUUGUUAAUUUGUAUAUCCCACGUAGUCUUAGCGUUAUUGCUUGUACGAUUAAUGAAUUGAAGUAUAAAAAUGAUGGAGAUGGAGAUAUAUAAAAUUCAAGUGUAAAAUAAUGAUCAAGAUGUAGAUAGAUAAAAUUUUAAUGGGUGUUAAAGCCAUAAAAUUUGUUUGGUUUUACAAAACUGUCCUUUAUAAUAAAUUAAAUGGUGGCUAUUUCAGGAAUUCAAUAUUUGAUUAAAAAUUUAAAAUUUAAAUGUUCAGAAUAUUUUUUAGAGGACAAACAGUCACGCUCUUUUUUUAAAUCAAAAAAUAUAUAUAUCUUUCUACAGUUUGUUUGUAGACUUUUCAUACCUAGAUUUUCUUUGUAGACAUAAUAGUAAACGACGAACAUAUAAUACCAUAAUAUUUCAGGAAAUGAAAAUAAAAUAUAAAAAACAUAAUAAUUUGUAAUUGACUGUAACUCCAUAAGGUAUUAUCAUGUUUUUAUCAUUAUAUUUUUCAAUUUACUGUAACUCCAUAUAGUAUUAACUUGUAUUUUAUUGUUACUGUGAAAAAUUUUCUGAAUUUUGAUAUUUUUGAGGACCCAAGCAUCAUGAUAAAUAAACUUGCACUGUUAAUCCAGUACACUUUAUCUUUGUGAAUAUAAAAGAGUAGCAGACAUAAGCCUUGUCAUACAACUCAAUAUCUCACAAAGGUUAUCUCUGAGGAAUCUUGGUUUUAUUGACAACAUGAGACCACUCUUUGUUCUCUGCACACUUUCGGUGCUUCUCUUGGUAUGAUUUUUAAGUUGAACGUUAUUAUUCAUUUAGAAGUUAACUUCUACAGAAAUAUUAGAACUGGCAAUUUCUAAUCUUUUUAUUAGUUUUUGCAUUAAUAUAUUGCUUGGUCUAAUUGCUGUCUUUGUUUUUCUUUCCGUAUUUCAGCUUGCCAGCACAAUUGAUGCAAGGAAAGACCUGGAGGAAUAUUGGAGAAUUGUCAUGAAAGGACAGCCCUUGCCUGAAUCAGUCCAAGACCUACUUACCGUGCAUCGUGCCGCUUCUACCACCGAUGAGAAUGCUGAUCAAAAUUCAAAUCUUUUAAUUUUAUCCGAUACUGUUCGGCCGUCCGAGGUGGAAUCCUUGGCCAAGAAUUUUAACCUGAGGCCGAAUAUUCUUGGCUACUUCCCCAAAAGCCAUAUUGACCAACUGUCCGAAAUGAAUUUUAACUCGAGGCCGAAUUUCCUUCAGCACGAUUCCGACAACAGCCAUAAUAACCAACCGUCUGAGGUGAAACCAUUUUCUAAGAAUUUUAACCUGAGGCCGAAUAUUCUUGGCUACUUCCCCAAGAGCCAUAUUGACCAACCGUCCGAAAUGAAUUUUAACUCGAGGCCGAAUUUCCUUCAGCACGAUUCUGACAAGUCAUAAUGACCAGCCAUCCGAGGUGAAAUCCUUUGAUAAAGACGUGUUGAAACCUGAUAAUAAAGUUGACGCUAAUGCUUAAAUGAAACUCAUGUUUUCAUCAACAGAGAGAAUUAGCCCCUAAUGAUGUUAAGCAACUGAUCUACUCUCGUCUGUCGUGAUAAUAAGCGUUUGUAUUAUGUUUUUUAUUUAAAUAAGUGGCCGGCGGCUUAGUGCUCUUGCUAUGUUAUUGUGUGUGUGGUCGUUACUUUCGCUGUACAUGGUAAUGUGAAAGAGCCAAAGAGGUAUGUAAAUAAGUUGAUGCAGUUGAAGGAUGUGAUCAGUGCAAAAUGUUAUUGGAUAAAAGAGUAUGUUUAAGUUCUUCUUUUCUUUAUUUAUUUUUGUAAAUGGGGCUAAUUGAAUUUUCUUACUGAUGAAUGAUAUAAAUAACCAUUAUCAGCGCAAUGGGAAAACUAGCAAACGCAAUGAAAUCAAACUAGCAAAAGAUUUAAAAGUUUUCAUGAAAUUUUAGUUUAUUAUAGAGAUGAUAAAUUGAUUGAUGAGCACCGACCCUCCAUUUAUAUAGAGAAUCAUAACAUACAAAAGGAAAUAAUGAUACAACUAUAAUUUUGAGAAUUUAAUUUAUUGAUAAUGGUUGAGUCAAUUAUGGGCUUAACUAUGUGCCUUCGCUAUUAGCAAUAGCCCAUCCCAAAGCAGUCGUCCUGUAAUCUCUAAAAUUAAAUCCCAAAACUCAUUAUAUAUAAACUACUCAUGGUGCGUUUAAUUCAUAGAAUGGGAAUGUGGUGGAAUGAGAAUGAACUAAAAUAAGAACGAGAUUUCAAUAUUUACUUAGCAAAAAUAAAUGAGAAUGAAAAUGUGCUGGAAUGUCAUUGAUGUGUUUACUUGGCAAAAUAAAUGAGAAUGAGAAUCAAUUCACCAAAAUACCCAUAGUAUUAAAUAAUGUAAUUUUUAUUAACUAGAUACAUGUAUAAAUAUUUUUAUAAAGAUGAUAUUAAUUAAAAUAAUAAUAAUAAUAAUAAUAAUAAUAAUAAUAAUAAAUGUUAAUAAUGAUAAUAUUAAUAAUAAUAAUAACAAUAAUUAAUAACAACUAAAAUAAUAAAGUUAAUAAAAUUUAAUAAUAAUAAUAAUGGCAUUUAAAAUAAUAAAAUUAAUUGUGAUUUGAAUGAGGGUAAUUCAAAAAAUAUGAAAAAAUUAAAUAGAUACAAAAGUUAGUUUAAGGAAUGGGAAUCCCCAUUCCCAACCCCCCAUGAGAAUGGGAUUCCCAAUUUCCUAUUCCUUAUUCCCAAAUUGUAUGGGACCCACACAUUUUAUUCAUAUUUUCAAAUUACAUUUUACUAAAUAAACAUGAGUUUCAUUCUCAUUCCUUCAUUCAUAUUCCCUAAACCCUCAAGUAAAUACAUCAUCAAGUCUUAGCUUCCUUUCAGAUAUGAGAUCAAUUAUUUUUCCUUAAUUUUCCAACUAUAGGAGAGUACUUUGAGUGCCAAUUUAUUCUUUACUCGAAAGCGUCAAUAUUCGUUUAUUUUUUAUAUUUUAAUUUAAAUGUUCACUUAGUUCUUAUAUUUUGAAAAAUGUCUCAAAACACCAGUGCUGUUAAAUAUAUUACACUCCUACCCUUACUUUUUCUUUUUGUUUUAAAAUAAUACAACUGUAACAAUAUUUUUUUCCUUCUUGAGGAUAUUAAUGAAAAGAAAAAAAUGUUAAUUUAGCAAAUUAGCCUUGUAAUUAACGUAAAAAUUUCCACAAAAUGUUAUUGUUUUACUUUUAGGAUUAAUUUGGUAAAUUAUUUUUUUAUAAAAUAAAUAUUAGUAAAAUUGUAACAAGGAUACUGAACAUUUCUUUAAGUUGGCUAAUAUCAAUUUAUUUAUAAAUCAAUUAUUAACAAAAUUAUUUCACAGGUACAAAAAAUACUAGUUUUUUAUAUUUAUAUUAUUGGUUAAUUUUCUAAUAAAUAGUUAUUGGUCAAUUUACUAAUUAAAUUUUUAUAGACAAAUUAAUUAAUGUUAAGAAUAUUAUUGUAAGGGUAUUAUUGUAAAAGUAAAGAACACUUAAAAGCAAGAAUAUAACAUAUUUAACUACAACAUUAAUUUUAAGGCAUUUUUUUAAAAUAUAGAGAGUAAAUGGACACUUAACUCAAAAUAUAUGAAUUAAACAAACACUUACUCCCAAAACAUCAUUUUGAGCAUGCAAAUAUAUCAUUUCAAAAAGUUCUUGUAGAGAUAACGCAUAAUCUUUUACUUAUAAUGAGGACCACCCUUAUAGUUUGAAAUAAUUUCAUUUGAAUAGCAUGUUUUAUUUGCAAAUGACUUUUCAACCUCCUUUAAAUUUGCUAUAUUGUUUUUUUUCUUAACAUAAAUCUUUAAGAAUCUAUUACUAGUAGGUGUAAGAUAUGAUAUCUAAUAACCUAUCUAACACAAAUUAAAUAAAUAAGUUGUAAUUUAUUAAAAAAUUAUUGCUUUUAUGCUCAUAAUUAAUGGUGACAAUAAAAAAAUAUUCAACUCAAUAAUAAGAAAAUUCUAUGAUGGAGUGACUAAAAUUACAGUAUCCAUGACGAGAUAAACAUAAAUUUUAUAAAUUACAUAUAAGACUAGUAAAUAGAAGAUAUAAUAAGUAAAUUAAUAUAAGAGUGGAAAUUUUGUGUUUUAAAAUCACAAACAAAACAAACACUUAGUAAAAAUAAUACAAAACUUGUAAAUCAACAUUAAACUUUAAUUAAGUAAAAACAGUUUAUCCAUUUAAUUUAAUUAAACAAAAAAUUAACUCAUCAAUUGGAAACAAAGAAAAAUGUAUUGAAAACAAUUGGAAUAAGUUUUAUUGAAUUGGUUUAACUAUAAAUUCUAUAUUAAUUCUAAGACAUUCAUAAAUUUUCUUUUCAUUUUCUAUAAUAGUAUUUAUUUAGUACACAAGUUAAUUACGUGAAAUUAUUUUUCUUAAUGUGGAUCAAGCCAAAACAAAAUAAAAAGAUAUUCUUAUAUUACUAGACACAGGUGAUAUAUCAAUACAAUUGGAUCUAAUUUUCAGUUUAACACAUAUUUUAUGUAGUUUUAAACUCUACUUCUUAAUUGUACUUAAAGAUCAUUCAGGUUUUCUAUCAAUAAGGUUUAGAAUAAUGCAAAAUCACAUUAUCUUACAAAUAGCUAGCUUUCAAAAACAUGAAAAGAGUAGUUUUUUAAAAUUGAUUUUGAGAAUUAGUUUUAUCCUUAAUAGAAUUUUACAUAUAUUAAUACAUAUAUUAUAUAAACCCAAGACUAUCAUUUUUUUGUUUAAAACAAAAAAUCAGUAAAUAUAUAAGGUAAUUAUUAUUAUAAAGUUACACAUUUUGACAUUUGUAGUAAGAACAUGAGAGGAUACCUGGAGUGUAUUGGGAUUUGGGCGGAAGAGAAAGGAGCCCUUGGAAUUGGGAAACAAAUGAAAUUAUCUGCAUGGUCCUUGUACUCAUGGAGGGACUGUUAACUUCUGAACCAACAAUGCUGAAAUGCAGGGUCAAAAAUCAACAUCAACUUGAUGAAUAAUUGUUUGAAAAAGAAAAAAGUAAGAAAACUUGAUUAAUAUAAAAGAGAACAAAGGAGCACAACCAUACAGAAGUUGUACAAAGGAAUAUUAAUCAAGCUUGAUUAAUAUUCUUCUUCUAUCCAAUACCUAGGGGUGGGCGUCGGUUUGGUUCGGUUCAGUUUGAUUUUGGAAUAAAUUUUUGGUUUCGGAUCGAUUCGGGUUCAAAAAUUAAAAAAAAACUCUUUGAUUUUUUAAAAAAUAAAAUCUGAUCCAAAACUGAUAGGUUGGUUUCGGUUCGGUUUCGGUUUUCGGUUUCGAAUCAGUUUUUGUUUUCUUAAUGGUUUUAUUUAUGCAAUCAGUUUUUUGGUUCAUCUUAACGAUUUGGUUUUCGGUUCGAUUUUUUGGAUUAUUUUCUAUUUCAAACCAUGUACAAUAAUUUCCUCAUUUUCAAUAACUAUAUAAUAUAUUCAAAGCAUGUACAAUCUACAAUUUCAUCAAUUACUACUACAUCAUUAAAAUAAAAUAAAUUACAAAAUCAUCCUUCAUAAUCUCCUCUACAACAUUGUUAUUUUCUUCCAUCCUGCACACAAGGCCUACUAUAAUCAAUGUAUAAAUCAAACAAAAAUAAAAUAAUUUAAAAUUUUGUAUUUUUUUUUUUAAAAAAAGGCAAGAAUUUUAGACUAAAACGAAGAAUUUUCAGAAUUAUAGUUACUGUUUUUAAUAUCAAAAGUUUUGGCCUAAAAUGUAAAUGAAAUAAAAUAAGUAUUUGUGUUGUAAUAGCAAUUAGCAAAACAUUAGGGACUAAAUCAUAUUUUAUCUUGUUGACCUUUGGUCAAGGACUAUUAUGAAAAGUUAGCAAACAAAUCAAAUCAUAAUAAAAUUCCUAUAUGCAAACAUAUCCUAAAUAUUGAGCCAUAAUAAAAUUUUAUGAAAAAAAGGAUCUAAAUGAUAUUAUCCCUCCAUCAUCUUCAACAUUUCGUGAUUUUCUCAACACUGCCAGGAGCACAAUAUCCAAACAAAAAAUUUGAAAAAAUACAAUAACAUACUCAUAUUCAAGCAAAACUAAUAAAACUAAUAAAACUAAAUAAUAUUAAUAACUAAAACAAACAUGAAAUAAGAGCAGAUCAAAGAGUCAUUUCAAAAAAAAAAAACCAGACCCAUUUCCAAAAAAAAAAAAAACUGAGCAAGUUAGUCACGAAUGAAAACAAACAUAUUACCUGACUGGCUAGCUAUCGACGGAGUAAGGAAUGAAAUGAAGCGGAAGGUCGGCAGUAAGGAGAACGGGCAUUGGCAAAUGCAAGUUAGGGUUUGGGUCGUGGGUAAGCAAUUAUGCUGCAGCCGAAAGUGAGAGAGAGAGUGGUGCAAACCGCAAAUGUUUAACUUGUGUAUAUAUGUAUAUGUUCUAGCAAAAUUACGAAAAUGCCUUAAAUUCGGUUCAGUUCGGAUUUUAUAAUUUUUUAUCCGAAAACUGAACCGAACCGAACCACUCAGUUCGGUAUUUAUAAAUCUAGAUUUUUUGUUUUAAAAAACUAAACCGAAACCCAAAAAAAAACCCAUCCAAACCAAAUUUUUUUCAGUUCCCAUUCAGUUUUGCCCACCCCUACCAAUACCAAAAGAUGAAACCCAAUAUUCCUGUUGUAGUAUAUGGUGAGAACUGUGAAGUGCAGGAAGUAGUUUCCUAAGAGAGAUGAUUGAAUGCUCUUAAUUUUUUUUUUUAGAAAAUCAUUUUAUUUUUAAUAAAAGUUUAAUUUUUCUUAAUAAAAAAUUUCAUUUGUUUUUAUUAAGUCAUGUCUCAUAUUUACUAAUAAAAGGACGUUAUUUGGGUAUAUAAGUAGGAUACCUCAUCUAAUAUGCUAGUAGGAUAAAUCUCUCAUCUAAUAUGCUAGUAUUUUGGGUUAAAUACCUAUAAAUUCUAAGCCGAGUCCACAACAAUCCCCAAAUAACUAAAUUUUAGUCCUAGUUACACCAUUAGAUUGAAUAAAAGUGCAAAUAAGUUUAACUCUUUUUCAUUCAUUUUAGUUUUAUUUAUUUUCACAUACAUUGAAAAAUGAUAACUCUGUCGUGAUUGUCAUGGCAGAGCCUAUUUCAAACAGUGGUGUAUGCUAAAGGAAAUUAUCAUGAGAUGAGUGAUAAACCAUACAAUCAGUAGCUACAGCCCACCGUUACUCAGCCACAUGGCCACAAAUAUUAUUGGCGGCAAAUAUCUCAACAAAAUCACAAUAAAGAUGAGCAUCCUCGAAGAUUUGUCAUCAACAAUCCCUUAUUCUAGACACCAUCUUUAUUUUGAGCAAGUAUCCUUGAUAUUCCUUAUGUACAAAUGAUUCCAUUUCUUAAUGUAAAUAGGACAGCCUGUCUAGCCAUUACUUUAAAGUUGCGUUUACUUGCCGGAUUCAGAAAUGGAAAUCCAAAAUUAGAAUGAUUCCUACGUUUACUUACUAAAAUAAAGAGGGAAAUGGGAAUCAUUUUUGUGGACCCAUAAUAAUUCGGGAAUUAAGAAUGGGAACUUGAUUCCCAAGGCCCCCCUUGGGAUUCAGACUCCCAUUCCCGAAAUUUCCUAUUCUACCCUCAUAAAUUUUUUAUUAUUUCAAAAAUACCCUCACUUUAAAUAAAUAUACAAAUAGCAAAAAAUUUAAAAAAUAAUCCAAAAAAACCUAAACACUCUCUCUCUCUCUCGUACAAACCAGAAGCUUCCAUCACAUCUCCCUCCCCUGCUUUCAUUGCGUCAUCGGCACUCCCUCUCUCUCGCGCAUCAGUCAACGCCUCACUAGACGGAUUUGUCACUCUCUGGCCGGAUUCAUCAGCUCACUGGCCUAAUUCAUCACUCGUUUUCUUCUUUCCGGUUAGCUCACUGGCCGAAAUCAUCAGCUUGUCACCGACCAACCACUUCUGCUUGGUUUCUCUCAGAUUCGUCAGCCCGGUUCUCUCGCGUCACUCACCAGUCUGAUUUGUCAUCGGUUGCUGCUCGGUUUCUCUCUAAUUCUGUUGAUGUUGUUGAUGAUGAUGUUGAUGAUGUUGUUGAUGAUGAUAGUGAUCAUCUAAUUGUGAUGAUGAUGUUGUUGAUGAAAGAAUUCUUAAGAUUGAAGAGAGAUGAGAGAAGCUGAAUUUAACUGUUUUAUUAAGCUUAAUGUAAAAAUACAACGAGAUUUAUAGCUGCUUUGCUCAGCAUCCAGCUUAUUCAUUGAUUUACAAACACACGAAAUGCAUGUUAAAGAUAUGAUCACAACCGUACAUUUCUAACUAAAUCAUUCCAUCACACAAUAUCAGAGGAAUCUCUGUAUAGCUAUUUUGCCAACUGGAAUCUUCUGGCUUGUUACAUGUGAUCCUCAAUCCAUUACUCGUGUGAGCAACAUCCUUGGUUAGCAAGUAUGCUUCUGCUAAUACUCCCACAUGACUUGAUUCAAGUUCAGCUUUAUUCAAUAUUUCAACAUCCCUUCUUAAACUUAAAUCUCUGGAAGAGACUUUAAGUUUGUUUCUGAAGAAGCUGAACUUAGGAUAAGUAAGUGGUUUGGUUAACACAUCAGCAAUUUGAUCAUUGCUUGAGACAAAUGCAAUUUCUACUUCUUUCUUUUCAACCAUGUCUCUUACAAAAUGAAUGUCAAUUUCUAUGUGUUUCGUUUUGGAAUGAAGAACUGGAUUUGUGGCACUUGCUGCUGCACUAGUACUGUCACUCAAUAAUAAUGGAGUGCAACUGAGCUUUACAUUUAUCUCUUUGAGAACUGAGCAAAUCCAAGCUAUCUCUGCACAUGCUAAUGCCAUGGCUCUAUAUUCAGAUUCUGCUAAUGAUUUUGACACUACACUUUGUUUCUUUGAACUCCAGCUAACCAAAUUAUCACCUAAGUAAAUGCAAUAACCACUAGUAGAUCUUCUGUCAUCAGGAUCACUACCCCAAUCAGCAUCUGAAUAAGCUAUCAAAUUAAAAGAGUCUGACUUCUUGAAGCUUAAACCAUAGUCAACAGUUUCUUUCAAAUAUCUUAGGACUCGUUUGCAAGCUAACCAAUGAGGCUGCAAAGGACUUGCCAUAAACUGACUUAGCUUAUUCACUGCAUAUGCAAUCUCUGGCCUAGUAAGUACAACAUAUUGAAGUCCUCCAAUAGCUCUUUCUAUACUGAGUAUGAUCAGAGUAUUUUGUUCCUAUAAAUUUACUCAACUUAUCAGUUGUUGUAAGUGGAGUAUCAGCUCCAUUACAAUUAUGUAAAUCAAACUUUUCAAGUAACUCCUUUAGAUAUUUAGUUUGAGACAACACUAGAGUGUUUCCAUUUCUUGUUACCUCAAUACCAAGAAAGAAAUUUAAUUGUCCCAAAUCCUUGAGAGCAAAAGUGCUACCUAAGUCCUAAACUAGCUGUUCAAUCUCAAUGUUAUUACUUCCAGUGACUAUAAUAUCAUCGACAUAGAUCAAUAGAAUAACCACAUCAUUUCCAUUAUGUUUGAAGAACAAAGAUGUAUCUGAUUUUGCUCUACAGAAAUUCUAUGAUUCCAGAACUGAUUUAAGUUUGUUAAACCAAGCUCUAGGAGCUUGUUUCAACUUGCAGAUAUGCUUUGGAUAAUCUAGAUUUACAAACCCUUAUGGUUGAGGCAUAUACAUUGUUUCAGUUAACUCCCCAUUCAGAAAGGCAUUAUUGAUGUCAGCUUGUCUUAGUUUCCAGUCAUUUACAACCGCAAGGUUUAGAACAAUCCUUAUGGUUGCAACUUUAACUACUGGACUAAAAGUUUCCUGAUAAUCCACUCCUUCAGUUUCUAAGAAGCCCUUUGCCACUAACCUGGCUUUGUAUCUGCUUAUUGAUCCAUCAAAAUUUUGCUUAACUUUAAAAUCCACUUGUUCCCCACCAGCUUCGUAUUUUGUUCUGGGGGGACUAAGCACUAAGUUUGAUUAUUUAUUAAAGCAUUGAAUUCAUCUUGCAUAGCUAGUUUCCAUUUUUGAUCAUUCAAAGCUUCAGUAACACUUGAAGGUGUGUCUAGAGAUAAGGCUUUUUCUGUAUUGAAAACUUUAGGUUUAAAAAUUCCAGCUUUAGCUCUAGUUAUCAUAGGAUGUGAGGGUUUUAGUUGAGGUGUGACUUGAGAUAUUUCAGGAGUUUGAUUUUGGAGAUUAUUGUUUCCAAAUGUGAUAGAACAGUUUGAAGGAUUUUGAGUGGCAGAUUGUACAUUUGAAGCAUUGUUGAGCACUGAACAAAUGAUCUCAUUAUUGUUAUCAAGACUCAGAUCAUUAGGAGGAGUAAUUUCCAGAUUUUGACUAUCAGAUGAAUUUACAUCAGCUGCUGUUGCUUCAUGAUUAUGACUCUUAGAAGGAAAAAACAUAGUGAGGAAUUUACUAAAAGUGUUUGUGAGUUCAAUUGACUGUUUUGGUUUGGUACAUAUGAACUCUGAAUCUGUUUGGAAAUGAAAAGAGUUUUCAUUGAAAUUUACAUGUGCUGCAAUGUAUAUUCUUCCACUUGAGCUAAGGCACAUGUAACCUUUAUAUGAGUGACUAAACCCCAAGUUUACACACUUUGAAGUGUGAAAGCUGAACUUAUGACUAUUGUAAGGUCUCAAGAAAGGAUAACCCCCACAGCCAAAAAUCUUUAUAAUGGAAUAAUUUAGUUUCUUUGAAUAAAGAGAUUAAAAUGGUGUUUUGUCACUGAGGACAAGAGUACUGGUUCUGUUUAUGAGGUAGGCUGCAUUUGAGAAGGCUUCCCACUAGAACUUUAGAGGUAAGUUGGCUUGAGAAAGAAGAGUUAAACCAGAUUCUACAAGAUGUCUAUGCUUUCUUUCAGCCUUCCCAUUUUGGGGGUGAGUAUAUGGACAAGAAUAUCUUAAGGAUAUUCCUUCAUGUUUGAGAUAGGUUUCAAAAGCUUUGUAUUCACCCCCCAUAUCACAUUGUAAGGCUUUAAUCUUUAGCUCUAGGCUUUUCUCAAUCUGGUUUUUAAAGGUGAUGAAUGAUGUAAGUGCUUGAGACUUGUGUGUUAAACCAUAAAUCCAAGUGUAGCUUGUUUUAUCAUCAAUGAAAGCUAUGUAAUAUCUAAACCCUUGAUUUGAAAUUGUGGGAGCAGGACCCCAGAGGUCACUGUGAAUGAUUUCCAGAGCAUUUUUUGUUUUUAUUUUACUACUUUUGAAUGACAGUCUAUGCUGUUUUCCAUAUUGACAUGCUUUGUAGAAAGGUAAAUCAAACUUUUUAUUUCUAAGAGAAAUGUUACAAGCUGACAAAGUUUUCCUAAGUGCAACGACAUUAGGAUGACCUAAUCUCAAGUGCCACAGGUUUAGCACUUUGCUACUUGUACAUUUUUCACUACAAUUUACUGAAAGCAUAGACUCUGGUUUGUGAGCUUUAUUUACUAAGAAUAGGCUUGAAUUGACAGUAGAUGAUGAUAGAACAAACUUGGCUUGAUUGGAAUUAAUAGGCAAACACAGCAGCUUGUACAAUCCAUCUUUAGCCAUUUCUCUCAUAAGAACACUCCCCCUUCUCUUGUCCUUAACAGCACAAAAUGAUUCAUUGAAUUCAAUAUAAACAUCAUUAUCAUGCAAAAAUUUUGAGACACUAAUCAAAUUCUUGAUUAUUUCAGGAACAUGAAGAAUGUGAUUGAGUUUAAUAUGAGGUAAGGUGUGUGGUUCAAGUGUACUGAGCAAUGAAUGACUAAUAGAAACUAUUUUAAGUUUAACUCCAUUACCUACUGCAAGCUGAUCACUUCCUUUAUAUUCUGAGUUGAUUUUGAGAUUGUUGAAGUCAUUUGAAAUGUGAUUUGUUGCUCCACUGUCGAGAUACCAUGCACCAUCUCUGUUUCCUCCAUUUUUAACUACAUAAGCACUUUUUCGAUUUGGCAUUUGAUUUGGUACAUAACUCUUUUUGAACCUGUACCAGCAGUGAGCAGCAGUGUAAUUCUUCCUGAAGCAGAUCUGACAAGGUCCCUUAGGUUCAUCUUUAUCAAUCUGACUUUUACCUUUGGCCUUAUCAGAUGCAUUUGAGCUUUCAUUAAAGUUGCCUCCACCAAAUUGCCUUACAAUUGAGUUUCCAGACCGUCUUCCACCAUAGCUGUUGUUAUUUCCAUUGAAGUUGAAAUUUCCUUGCCAGUUUCUUCUCUGAUUUCCUCUCUAAUAAGUUAGGUUAGCUUGAUAAUCCAUGUGACUAACAGAAUGUUAAUGCUCAAUCCUAUUUUCAUGACUCAGUAGCAUUCCAUACACAUCAGAAGGCAUAGUGCUUUCAGACCUAGCAUUGAUUGUAGUAACAAUCGAGUCAUACUCAUGUCCUAAGCCAGCAAGCAAGCAGAGUAUAAAAUCUUCAUGGUUCAUGUUGUUACCAGCUGCUUUUAAUGCAUCUAGAGUAGUUUUCAUUCUUGUAUAGUACUCAUGCACUGUCAUUGAUCCCUUCCUUGUGGUUUGAAUCUGAGUUCUCAAGUGCAGAACUCUGGAUCUGGGUCAUGCUCCAAACUGAGUAGCAAGGAUCUGCCAUACAUUUAGUGAGGAUCUUGCUCCAACAACAGCACUCAAAACUUCUUCACUCAAGGUUGAGAGUAGCCAGCUCAUAAGUUGUUGAUCAUUCCUCCUCCAGAUCUAGAACUGUGGAUUUGGUGUAGUAAUCACAGUCUGAUCACUGUCAAUGUUGAUCAUCAUGCGAUUUAGUGGAGUCUUUGAGCUGUCAAUCAGAUCUUCUAGAUCAUUUGCGUUGAUAGUAGCUACAACUUGAGAAUGCCAUAGCAGGUAGUUGUUAUUAGUGAGCUUAAUAGGAUUAUUGAACACAAGUGAGCUGAGAACAGAGGUACUGAUGUUUGAGACUUGAUUUGAGUUUGUGGUUGAGCUUAAAGCUCCAUUACUGUUUUGAUUCUCAUUGUUCACCAUUAUUGCUUCUCGUCUAGCUUUGAUACCACGAAAGAAUUCUUAAGAUUGAAGAGAGAUGAGAGAAGCUGAAUUUAACUGUUUUAUUAAGCUUAAUGUAAAAAUACAACGAGCUGGUAUUUAUAGCUGCUUUGCUCAGCAUCCAGCUUAUUCAUUGAUUUACAAACACAAAAAAUGCAUGUUAAAGAUAUUAUCACAACCGUACAUUUCUAACUAAAUCAUUCCAUCACACAAUGUCAGAGGAAUCUCUGUAUAGCUAUUUUGCCAACUGGAAUCUUCUGGCUUGUUACGUGUGAUCCUCAAUCCAUUACUCGUGUGAGCAACAUCCUUGGUCAGCAAGUAUGCUCCUGCUAAUACUCCCACAUGACUUGAUUCAAGUUCAUCUUCAUUCAAUAUUUCAACAGUUGAUGAAGAAGAUGAAAUUGACGAUGGAGAGAAGUAACGAAUAAAUUGCAAAAGAGAGAGAAAGAAAAAAGAGAAGAAGAAGAAGAAGAUAAAAGAAGAAAAAAACAAAAGAUAGAUAAAAUAAUAUAAAAACAAAAGAGAAAAAUAAUAAUAAUUAUUAUUAUUAUUGUGAUGGCAAUUUGCUGGAGAAGUUGUCAUUUGUUGAUUUUGGACCAUACAAAUUUUAUAUUUAUAAUAAUAAAAUUAACCAAUAAUAAUAAAUAUUCUAAUUAUUGUUAAUAUUAUUAUUUUUUAACAAAAAAAUAAUAUAUUAUUAUAUUAUUAUUAUUUUUAAUAAUUUUUUAAUUUAUUAUGUAUAAUAAUAAUAACAAUAAUAAUAAUAUUUUAUUAAUUUUAUUAUUAUUAUCAUACUUAAUUUAUUUUAUCAUUAUAAGCAAUAGGUAUAUUUUAGUAAUUUGAAAUAGUUUAUUCCGAUUCCAGGAUAAAGUAAACAUAUCAAUGGAAAUGAAAUUCAUUUUGAUUCCGAUUCCAACUCAUUUUAAUUCCAGCUCAUUACCAAUCCAAGAAGUAAACGCACCAUAAGAGAUUUGGUUGGCUUUGACACUUGUAUAUAAGCUUGUAACCCUCUCGUUCUUUGCAAGAAAUAAGAUAAUAUUUUCAGCAUGAUAUUUCUUUUCAAUGAGAUCAAAGAAAUGAAAAGAGAUAUAGUCUAUUAGGUUGGUAAAUCUACUGAAACAAUAUUGUUUCCAAUCAACUCCGAGAUACAAACAAUUGAACAACGUUCAGAAAUCGAAAAUCAUUUAUUACCAGCAAGAUUUAUUAUUAUACGCUAGACAUAUGGCUUUAACAGUCACAUUACCAAUGCAUUUUUAAUCAUGGUAGGUAGGUGCUGGAAUGUAUACAAUAUUAUCAGCCUGGAAGAAAUGGCAGACGUGGGAGCUCCCUGGCUCGAUCCCAAGCACACGAAACGAUGCAUGAUCUCGACUCCAAUGAGACGUAUCCAUGUGGCAAACUGCUACAGCAUCCACUCUAUCUCCAUUAUCACCACCUAAUGAAACACCGAAUAACUUGUUCUCAGUCAUUUGGCUGUGGCAGUAGAAGAUUGCAUAAGGGUAAGGCAUGAUAUGACAUGCCACCAUCUUGGGAGCAAACAUUGGUUUAGGCACUUGUAAAAUAGUGUAAUUUUGGAAAAUGGUAGUUGAUUUUGUGAGAAAUUUUGUGCUUAGAACUUGGAAUUUGGUCUCCAAUCCGAAAGUUCCGUGUACAAAAUCAAGCAUGGAUUCCAAAGAGGUAGCACAAAUUUUGGUUUCUCCUUCGAUGGGAGGAACUUCGCAAUGAUUCAGGGUCCCUUCCAUGGCUUUGGCUAGGGGUGAGUCAUCUGAGAACGAGAAGAAUUGAAGAAGGUAAGGCAGUUGUUUCAAUGAAAAUGGAAUGGAAUCUGCUUCUUCUCUAGGCAAAGCCUGAGGAUAAGCUGAAGGAUCUCUCUUGCGAAAAUAAAUCGGCAUCGUUUCGCCAAUCUUUAGAUCCUUCAAGGUGAAGAACACCAUCGUUGAAGGGUCCAUGUGAUUCAUGUGGGAUGGUAUUGAAUGAGAAUCAUGAAGAUUCUCCGAAAGCACUGGAGCACACUGUAAAACAGUUCAGAAAUUCAAUAUCACAACUUAGAUGAAAAAUCAACAACACAAGUUCUAUAAAGUGUAAAAAUGAAGAAACAAAAUAUAUCUUUUUGAGUUGUUGCUUUAAGACGUACAACACUUAUGUACAUGUAUUGCACAGUAAGCCACUUAAUUAGCACACAUUGAGGAUUAUUACCAGAAAGAGUAGAGAAAGGAGGUUCCAAGCUGAAAAUCUUAACCCCAUCUCUUUUCUAUUAUCGAAGUUUCUUAUGUAUUUUAGUAAUGUUUUUUUUUUUCAGGGAGAGGAAACACAGAUAACAAGUAAAGCAGAAAGAGAAGAGAUUGUGUAACUAUAUAUGUCAACAACGAUAUGAUGUAUGUUAAUUUUCAAGUGGAAAUUUAUAGCCUGCAUAAGCUGAACUUGUUCUUCUGUGCUGAUUAAUUGAACCACAACACAGUUUGAAUAAUGACCUUAAUAGUCCAAUCCAGCAGAGAAUUCUGCACUCCAAUCAUAUGGGGACACACGUAUUGCACCUUCAUCAUGUCUGGGGAUUUUAAUAGUUUUGACUGAGUGAAUGAUUACUUCAAUAAAUAACAUUGCAUAUUAGAUUACUAGACCUAAAAUUGAUUUCUUAUUAAAAAAUUUACUUGCAAUUUGGAAACUCUCUUUGACACAUUAAUUACAGACUCGAAAUCUGUAUCAAUAUUCCCCAUACAUAGACAGAACUGAGAAGAAAAAGUGGGAAGGCAGAUCGUAAACAAAUUCAACAUGGCAAUUUCCAAGGAUGAAUAGCAUUUUUUUCAUUUGAAAAUGGGAUAAUAUAUCAUUGAGUCACGUAAUGUAUACUAAUGGUGCUUUUACUUCAUGGAAUGAGAAUAUGGUAGAAUCGGAAUGGGCUGAGAAUGAGCUGGAAUGGAAAUGAGGAAUGGGAAUGAGAUUUCAAUAUUUACUGGACAAAAAUAAAUAAAAAUGAAAAUAAGAAUCAAUUCACUAAAAUAUACAUAAUAUUAAAUAAUGUAAUUUUCAUUAACUAGAUACAUAUAUAAAUAUUAUUAUAAAAAUGAUAUUAAUUAAAAAAUAAAAUUAAUAAUAAUAAUAAUAAAUGUUCAAAAUGAUAAUAUUAAUAAAAAUAAUAAUAACAAUAAUUAAUAAUAAUUAAAAUAAUAAAGUUAAUAAUUUUUUUAAUAAUAAUAAUAAUGACAUUUAAAAUAAUAAAAUUAAUUUUGAUUUGAACGACGGUAAUUCAGAAAAUAUGAAAAAAUUAUAGAGAUACAAAAGUAAACAAAGAUUUCAUUCACAUUCCUUCAUUCUCAUUCCCAACUCCCCACGGGAAUGAGAUUUUCAUUCCUUAUUCUCAAAUUGUAUGGGACCCACAUAUUUUACUCACAUUCCCAAAUUAUAUUUGACCAAGUAAACAUAAAUUUCAUUCUCAUUCCCUAAACUCUCAAGUAAACAUACCAUAAAGCUCUUCUCAACCUAGUGUGCGUCGAAUAUGUGAACUUAGGGCUCCAGUCUCCCGUACAAUCUUUAAAAUUUUUUUCGGUCAAACUAACAGGCUGCACUCACUGUAUUUCCAUGGAUCACACUACUUCAACUAAAAGAUAAGAUAAUAUCUUUAGGAUUUUACUGAAUGAUUUUUAAGUAGUUUUUAUUAAUUAAUUAUUCAAAUUCAAAUUUAAAAAAAGACUAAAAAAUUAAUCUGAAUUUUUCUCACUCCCAAUCUUUAAAAAUAUAACAAAUAAUAAGUCAUAUAAAAAAUGUUUUAAACGCAAUUUUCACUUCUCACAUCUUUCAUUUGAAGUUUAAUUGUAUUCUCCCGUGGGACCUGGAUAAGUUGAAACAAAAUUUUAUUAAAAAGAAAUGUACAUUUAAUUGUCUUACACUGGAUCAAGAACAAAAUGUUAAAGGAUAAUAUACGCGGACAUGAUAAUGCAGUAACCGAAAAUCAAAAUAGCACAGGUUUCAAAUGCCAGACAAAGGAAAGAGACAUGUGAGCUGGUCGAUUUUCUUCUCAUCACUAGCCACAUGCACAUUGGUAGUGGUUGAACUUCUAUUAUUUAAUUAUGUUGUCAUUUUCCAUCACCACAACAACAGAUGAUUCAUGUAGGAUCGGUCAAUAAUUGUCGCCCAAUGUGUGUCUUCUUUAAUAAUUUAGUUAUUUUUGUUCAUAAGUCUGAUGAAGAAGUUCUAAUUUUGCAAGUGGAAUUCAAGUUGAUAAGACCUUGUCGACUUGUCUUCUGCUGAAGAAUCUUAAAUAAUCAUGCAAAAUUCAAAAAGUGGCAAAAGCAAAAGGCUAACUUCUUAAUGAAUUCAAUAUUACUAUGAAUUUGGUGCUAGCUUAAUCUUGAAAAUGAUCCAAAAAUUAAAAAGUAAACAUAUAUAAUCACAUCUACAUAUGUACAUUAGUAAGUCAUUGAUGAUAUAUCACGAAUAUCAUUAGUUGAUUAAUUAAACAUACCAUGAAUAUAUUAAAUCACUUUGAUCAUCACCUCACCUGUCACCAACUUUUUCAUAAACUUCAGCCGGAAAUUAAAAAAAAAAAUGAACCAAUAAUUGUAUGAAUUGGCUGGCUUCUUCUCCUCUUCACAAAAGAUUAAGUUCUCUUUGAAAAGGUUUGUUACUGAAGUACAUAUCCUAUUAGACCAAUAAUCUCUAUUACCAUAUGAAUUUAGAUCUUCUCCUAACUUAAUCUUUCAUAUACUAUUGUACCAAUAAUUUUUCUCCCCACAGAGAUUAGGAUCUUCUCCUAACUUAAUAUUUUGUAAGUGUUGUAUGUGAUUAUUUAACACGUCAUUUAAAUUUUUUCACAGCUAUGAUUUAGCAUACUUUAAACUUACCUUAUUAAACAUUAAAACCCAUAAUUUUCUAGGCUAAAACUCUGAAUUCAAGUGUGCCGCCUUCAAACCAAACUGUUGCUUCUUUCUGUACCUUUUUCUUUUUUUAAUUCACAAACUUUAAACUUUGGAAUAAACUUGAGCAAAGAAGAAUUACUGGCAAUUAAUUCUUUUAAGAAUUGUUUAUGUCAUGAAAUCAGACUGGAACAGAAAUAUCCGUAGUCUACAAUAAUAACAAUUGAGGACACCGGAAGACAAUAUCAAUUAAAGACAAUUGUCAUUGCAAUAUGGCAAUUCAACGCAUUAUUGUUAUCGCUCGUCUGCAACUAAUUUAACAUAAAUUAAGUUGAUAUACCUCAUUUCAGUUGAACGUUGAUGCAGCCACUGAUAUUUCCCGGAACACAGCAUUUUUAGGAGCCAUUAUUCGUACUGUGAGAGGGAAGAUUAAUUAUGGCAGUAGCUAUCUAAAGUUUUUUUAAAAAAAAAAUUGAGAUGUUGAAUUCGCUGAAGCAGAAGCAAUUAGAUUUCGGAUCGAAAUAUGCAAAUGAUACAGGUCUAUUUCCAUUAAUUAUUGAGUCAGAUAGCCGCAGAACUUGAAAGUACGAGAAAGAGAUCCUUUGAGUGGUCUCUGAUAUUUAAUUGUUGGAUAGACAACUGGCAGUUUCAAAUUUGUGUUCAUUCCUAUAAUAUGUAAUGUGAGAGUUCAUAGAUUAGCUAAACUUAGCAGUUAGCAAUCAGAAAACCGUAUUGUUUGGAUUGAGAAUAUUCCUAUAGAUGUAAAAUCUUAUCAUUUUUGAAGAACUUUUUACUUUGAAAAUAAAAUAAUAAAGGGCCAUCUGUAUCGUUGCGAAUUAUAAUUCUCAUAGACUUUGUGGUCCACAUUAUGAAUUUAAAAUUCUUGCAUGAUUAAUCACCCACAUGAGCAUGCUGCACCAACCUGCCACAUCAUGUUAACACUUCUUCCAAUCUGUGUCUAUACACACACACACACACCAGUAUGGCCUCCGUUCAAAUUACAAACGCAGUAUCUAGUAUUGUUUGUCACUGGCCAGAAACAUGAAUAUUAAAGCCUUCUUUGUUCUCUCUACAGUGCUCUCAUUGCUUCUCUUGGUAUGUAUCAUUUGAUCAGUAAUAAUGUUAGGUUAAUCACAAAUUCAUUAUAUAAAAUAUUUUGUACAAAAUUGAUAACACAUAAUGUACAGUAUCACGAUGUGAUGAACACCACACAACCCGAUCAUUAUUUUGUAUUUUCAUUCAACCAAUAUUAUUUUUUCACAUCAGUUUUAAGAGUAGCUUAAUUAUAGCUAGCUCUAGCAUUACUCAUUUUGAUUCAAAUGAUUUUCGAAUUUUAAUCGUUUGCAUGGUCAAUUUAUAGUUCCUCUCUUUUUUUUUUUAAUUAAUUGUUUUCCUUGUGUGCAGUUUGCCAACAUUGUAGAUGCAAGAAAAGACCUGAGAGACGAUCGGAGUAUUGUCGUAAAAAAUCAAGACAUGCCUGGGGAAUCAACUCAAGGUCUCAUUCCCGAAGAUCAAGGCUCGACCAUCUCUAAAACCAAAGCCUAUUGCCAUACACAUGAUGAUUCUGAGUACACCAUGGAGAAGCCUUUUGUCAAUAAGAACUUGGAGCUGAUGCCUGAUGUUUCAAUGUAUGACAACGGCAUUAAGCCGACAAAACAAAAGGCUUUUGUCAAGGACCUCGAGCUAAUGCCUGAUGUUUCAAUCUAUGACAACGGUAUUAAGCCAAAGGAUCAGCAGAGAUCAUUUCCCAAUAACUUCGAGCUGAUGCCUGAUCUUUCAAUUUACGACAACGGUAUUAAGCCAACCAAACAAAAGGCUUUUGCCAAGCACUUCGAGUUCUUGCCUCAUGUUUCAAUUUACGACAACGGCAUUAAGCCAACCAAACAAAAGUUCUUCGCCAAGAACUUCGAGCUCAUGCCUGAUGUUUCUAUUUAUGACAAUGGUGUAAAGCUAGCCAAACAAAGGUUCUCUGCCAAGGACUUCGAAUUCAUGCCUGAUGUUUCAAUUUAUAACAAUGGUGUAAAGCUAGCCAAACAGAAGGCAUUCACCAAAGACUUCGAGCUCAUGCCUGAUGUUUCAAUUUAUGACAAUGAUAUUAAACCAACGAAGAGGAGUUCAUAUGCCAAGGACUUUGAGCUGAAGGCUGAUAUUUCAAUUCAUGAACCGACCGAACAAAAAUCGGUUGUUAGCAGUACGGAUCCGCAGCCAGAUGCUACAAUUUAUCAUAAGAGGAUAAAAAAUAUAUUAGCCGUUUUGAUUUUUACGAUUUUACAAUUGAGACUUAUCUUAUUCUUAUUAUUAUUUAUGUGGGUUGGGUUGGGUUACAUGAGUUCAUAAUAAUUAACCAAAUCCAACCUAAUUGUUGAUUGGGUUUGAAAAAAUUGACCCAAUUAACCCAUAAUAAUCCACUCAACCCGUCAAAAUUUAAUUGGGUUAGAUUGAGUUGGGUUGGAUUGGAUUUGCCCACCCCUAAUUGAUAGUGUGUGGUAAAUAUGAUUUAUAAAUAAUAGUUUUGACAAAAUUGCAAAGAGGCCUUUAUUUCCCAAAUAUUAUUUAAAUUAUUAAACCAACCAAACAAAAAUUGUUUUUUCUAUUAUACAAAUACGAGAUCAAAUCAGGUUAGUUUCUGAGUUGCAAUAGGUAGUACUUACUAAACACUUUAAUGUCAAUACCAAAUAGGCCUCUUUUUUCCUCUCCCUCUCCAAUUUGUAAGACUACCCAACCAUAUUUUAUAUAAUAUUCAAUUAUUAUAUUAGCUAGUUUUAUUUUCUUAUGAUCACGUGAUAUGUUUUUUUUUUUUUUUAAAGAAUUUGAGUAGGUAAUGGUGUUAAAGCUCAUAAGUAGAUCUAAUUCUAAAUAUUUGGAAAAUGGAAAAAAGAAAAUGAUUAACAUUUACAGAAGAAGGUAUAUACUUGAACGCCAUGAUGGUAUAUAGUUAAAUUUAACUAUUUAACUAUUUUUAUUUAUUAAUUACUAAUUAUCCACAGUGAAUUUUAUUUGAAUAAGUUCAGACCAUAGUAGGACCUUAAUUCACAUACAUAUGAAAAAAAAAAUCUAUGACCGCACUAAUAAGAUAUUCCAUUUAAUCAUGUGAUAUUAGAAUGAAAAUUAUGAUAGACAAACUUAAAUUUUCCAUUUUUCCCCCUUUAUCAUCUCAAACCGGCCACUUCAAUUCGUUGAAAUCCUGAUGAUUCGGCCUUCAGAUGUAAAAUAACAAAUGAGUCACAUAUAUUAUUGGUAGAUGCAUGAGCGGAUCACAUCUAACUCAACCAACAAAUUGCAUGCCAUCUGGAAAAUGAUUUAAAUAAAUGAAUAAACACUCAUUUAGCCUUCUAUUUUAAUUUAAGUAUUCGUUUAUUUCUUAUAUUUUGAAAAUUUUCUAAAAUACAUUGUAGUUAAAUAUAUUAAAUUAUUAAUCUUGCUGUUUUUUUGCUUUUAUAAUAAUGCCCUUAUAAUAAUAUUCUUGACAUUAAUUAAUUUAUCUAUAAAAUUUUAAUUAGAAAAUUAACCAAUAAUUAUUUAGGAAUAAAUUAACCAAUAAAUAUUAGUAGAAAAGAAGUAGUAUUUUCUGUACCAGUGAGACAAUCAUGCUAAUAAUUUGUUUAUAAAUAAAAAUUAAUAUAAGCCAAGUUAAAGCAAUAUUUAUCAUCCUUACAAUAAUUUUAUUAAUAUUUAUUUUAUAAAAAAUUAAUCUUAAAAGUAAAAUAAUAGUAUAAAAAAAUUUUACUGUAAAAAUGUUUAUACUACUUUUAAAGCUAAUUUGAUAAAAAAAAAUGGAACUACUAGCACUCCUUCAAAAUCCUUUUAAGACCCCUUCUUAAAUACACCCAAUCAAAAAUAGGAAAAAUUAUAUCACUUCUAAAAACACCCAUCUUUAUUCCACGAUUACCCUUCAAUCUUAUCUCUCAUAAAAUGAUAAAAUUACCCAAAAAAAAAUCUUUUUGUUGAUACUAUUGAAAUAAUUAUUAGCAAUCUUCUCAAAUUUGAUUAACAAGUAUGGAAUGGUGUGUAACUUUAGGGCAUGUUCGGUAUUGUUUCUGAAUUUGUAUUUUUUUAGAAUAAAAAUGAGAAUGAAAAUAGUAUUUUGCAGAACUGUAUUUCGAAUUUAAAUAUAAGUUUGGUAUCAUUUUCUGCAUCCUGUAUUUUAAAACUGAAAAUAAUAAUAUAUGUUCGGUAGACACAAUUGAAAAUGAAAAAAAUAAUGAAUAUGUGUUCGAUAGUAUCAUUUUCAAAAACAGUUUUUACUAAACAUUUAAUUCAUACUUAUAGUUAAGAAAAUAAUUGUUUAACUAAUACAUAGACAAACAAACCAUAAAUAAUUUAAACAAAAUAAUUAUAAAAAAUACAUUAUCAUAAAAUUUUAGUAUUAGUAUUAAUAAAAAAUUGUAUUAAUUUUUAGUUAUACUAUGUUUGGUCUUUCACUGCAUAACACUGUAUUAAAUAUUUUUGGUGAUUAAUUUAAAUUAUAUAUUAGAAAAUAAUUUAUUAGUAUUUAAAAAAAAGAUAUGGAAGAAUUUAAGAAUUUUUACAUUAAUUUAUUUACUAAAAAUGUGAAAUAAAAUUAUCAUUAUUCUUCAUUGAAUACACGUAAAUUAAGCAAAUUUUAAAAUUUUUGUAGCAAUUUUCCCCUGUAAAAUAAAAAUCCAAGCAAAUAAUUUAUCCAAAUAACCUCCUAAAAAAUAUCACGACAUAAAUAAAUAGUUCAAACGUACAAACUUCAUUGAAAGUCAUCUUCGGAUAAUAGCAUAAAAGUGUACACAUUUCUAUUUGCUACAACAUAGUUACAAAAUAAUAAAGUGAUCUAAUAGUUGCAAUAUAAUCACAUAAAAUAUGGAUUGUGUUAAAUAAUCCAAGUAUAUACAUCCACAUGCCCAAAUACUAUUGCAAAAUAUCAUUGUUAAGUUAUAAAUGCAUGCUCCCCAAUCAAAAGGCUAGCUAAAUAACAGAGAGUAAAUUCUUAACACCAUUUACAUCCUUCAAUGCAGCAAAUUUUUCAAGUUGAUUUGUUGGAGAUGAAAGAACUAACAUGUCAAUUCCUUGAUCAAUGCCACCAGCUUUUACUUUCCAUGAAACCAAUGUCAUAGGCUUUGGACCAUCAGCUUUUACAAAUGUCACGUCUGGUUCCUUAUAGCAAGUUUCAUCUAACUUGGUUUCCCAAUCCAAAGGACUUUGGAUUUGUAAUUAACUAUUUAGAGACUGAACUAUUCAAAUCAACUAUUUCAAGCAAAUUGUUAGCUUGUUAAUUACAAAUGUCAGAAGCAUCAGCUUUUACAAAUCUUUGAUUUGAAUAGUUCAGUCUCUUCAAUUUGCUUCAAUACUUGUUUCUGAAAAACCAAACACGAAGCCUAAAUAUUAGAAAAUAGAGAUUUAAUUAUAUAAAUCUUGAUAAUUAACCAGCUUUAAUUACUUUCUCUAUUUUAUUUAAGAAAACACUGGCAUAUUCUUGUCUCCAAAAAUAACAACACACUUGACCAAGUCUUUUAAAUCAAAGGACACUGAUUUAAGUAGAACAGAGUACAAAAUUUCAGUACCCUUUACAUCCUUCAAUUUUACAGCAGGACAUUAUAAAUGCAAAGAAAACAUGAAGUUUAGACAAUCUGUGUGCAGUCAAAAGGCUAGUUAACAGUUAAAAAUAAACCAAGAAUGCCACCAAAAUUCAAUAACGCAUUUGCAUAGCUUUCUCUUCUGAUAGAAUAAUUGAAAAUUUCCAACAUAUAUGAUGAUGAUAUAGGUCCAACGAGAUGAAAGCUAUCAUGUAAAUUAGGUAAACCCAACCCAAAUGAGAUAUAAAAUAAUCCAAAACCCAAAUCACCAUGACUAAAAUAAUUCAAAAUCUAAUUAAAAUUUUUAAUAAUUUACCUUGAUACUCUGCUACAAUUGUGUGAUGAAGCUCCAGUGAAGGAUUCAUCAAUGGAGUCCGGAGGCUACAGCCUAGAUUUAUACGGCAAAGUUGAACAAGUUCAGGGUGCAGGCAGCAAAGAUGAAGUGCGGCGACGGCUUUAUGUGGGCAUUUACUCAAAUAAAAAAAACAGCAACUCACAAUAAUAGAGACAGCCAACAGAGCAGUAGCAGUCGAGACGGAGCAGCAGUGGAGACAGCAGCGACGGUGGCGGAGAUGGAGCAACAGCAGUGGCCCAAUGAAGCGGCGGCGGCAGCGGCGGAGACAGAGUACAGCAGCCGAUUUGGGCACAUUGAGAGAGAGUAAGCGCUGUGAGUAGAUCGCGAGACAGAGUCGAAGAGAUAAAGCACACCAAGAGAGUAAACGUUGUGAGUAGAUCAGGAGAGAGAGUUGAAGAGAUCAGCCCGAAGAGAUAAGGAUGAAGAGAGUGAAGAGAGAGUCACUAGAGUUUGUUUUUUGAUCUAUUUUUUAGUUUAGUUUUGGAAUAUGUCGAGAACAUGUUAAACACGUUAUCACUUUGAUAGAUAUAAAAGUGAAUCCCAAAUUAUUUGUUUUAUAAUUUGUUUUUUGAAAUCAAGCCACCGAACACGUACUAACUUAAAUUUAAAAAAGGAUAUAAAAACAGGGCCACUAAAAUGAUACUGAACGGGCCCUUAGAUUUCUAACUUUUAACUUAUUUUUCUGUUUUGCAAUAAAUAUACCUUCUAUUUGAAUAUAUGAUGCCUAUUAAUUUUAUUUUUUUUCAAAUAUCAAAACUCACUUGUUCAAACAAACAAUGAGACCAAGAAAAGUGAUAUAGAGGAAGUUUAAAGUUCGAAAUAUUCUAUUGAUUCUAGAAAAUAUUGGAAUAUAAGAAUAAUUAAAUUCAUGUUGAUUUAAAAAAAUACUACAAAUUUAGCAGUUAAGACUCGUUGAUUCCGUAGAAUAUCGAGAAUUAACUAUUCAAAUACUCACAAAAAGACUUGAAAAUUGAAAAUAUUAUUGAAAUCGAAUCUCUGUUUAUAAAAACUACAAAAGACACUUAUUUAUACUAAUAAUGACUUAUCCUAAUUUGAUUAGAAAACUUAUUUUAAUAAGAUUUAUACCUAAAUUAGGAAUAUUAUUCAAAUAAGUAAUGCCUAAACAAUAAGACUCUAAAUAGGAAAUCAAUUUAAACUAGAAUACAAAUUAAUAAAAAUAUUCCUAAAUAUUAUAAAUUUAAAUCUAAUUAGGAUUUCUUCAAUUUCAUGCUCUGCAUCAUUCCUGCCGGGGUGGAAAAAAAUUCGUCUUCGAAAUUUGUAUUUUGUAGUCUUUAAGAACAUCUUUAUAUGUAUAAGGAUUAAUUUUCAAAAUAUGGCUUUGACAUACUCAACGAACUUUAAGUUUUCCAACUUUUGUAAUAAUGUCCAUCCAAUCACUCCAACAGCGUAAAAUAAAUUCUUCUAUCAACAAUUUCUCUAAUAAUGCCUCGUAUUGUUCACAUCAAACUUCAAUAUAGUUAAGGAAAAACAAUUUCUUCUCAUAAUCCACUAACUGUUGAAAAAUAUCAUAACUGUUUUUGUCUUCUUUUGGCAAAUCAAGAGAACAAUAAGAGAUUGUAUCAACAACUACAUCUCUUUACUCCACAAGACCAAAAGAUGUAUGAAAAAUUACCUCUUCUCGUCCCACAAUGUCAAGACACUCAUUAAAUUUCAGUAGUUAUCCAAAUCAAUGUCUGUGUGUAGAGAAUUUACUGCAUAUAUGAAUUUUCAAUUAAUAUUCUCCUCGGAAGGAAUGAUAUUGUUGAGUGAAACAAAGUUAUUGUUUUCCUCAUUCUCCUCAUAACAUAUAUCAUCAUAAACAAUUUCGUCAAAUCCAUAUGUCUGCUUUAUAUGUAAAGAUUUUGUAUUUCGAAGUUUCUCUAAAUCUUUAUAAUUCGUUCUAGGAUUAUCUAUCAAAAUCUUGAAAAAAAAUUCUAUGAAGAAUAUAAUUCUUGUUAUAUUUUUGUAAUGAAAUUUACAGAGUUAUUUACACAAAAUAAAGACAAACUAGCCGUUGAAAGGCUUAAAAACAUUAAAGGAGAUUAAGUGAAUACUUCCUAAACUAUUGCACAAUAUCUUUAUAAAAUAGGAAUGAAAUAUUCCUAGGUGAUAUUGGCAUUCAAGUGCAAAAUCAUGCUGGAGAUAUUCCUUGACAAAUAGCUUUGACUUGAGCAAGUUUUGUGGAGUGAUAAACCCGUUAUUGACUUGACCGUUGAUGACUUUCCUUUCGGUAAUCUUGGUAAGCUUGCUUAACAUGCCCUUUCAAGUUGGCAAGUGACAUUUAAUGAAUGCCAAGCUUGUAUAUGAAAUCGCCUUAAUGAAAACAUCUGCAGUUUGUAAUGAAGAAGGGACAAACUUCGUAACCAAGGCACCAUCAACAACCGUUUCUCUAAUGAAGUGAUAAUCUAAUUCAAUAUGCUUCGAUCGAGCAUGGAAAACUAGGUUAAUAGUCAUAUGUAGGGCACUUAAAUUAUCACUUAAAAGUUAUGGAGGUUAAGCAUAAGGAAUGCCAAUUUCUCAAUACAUAUAUGUGAUCCAUGUGAGUUCUGCUACUGUGGAUGCAAGGGCUCCAUACUCAGCCUCAGUAGUGGAUCUAGAGACAGUUGGUUAUCGUUUUGAAGACCACGAGAUGUAAUUUGCACCCAUGUAGACACAAUAUCUCGUGGUGCUUCUCUAAGUGUCUGGACAACCUCCCCAAUUAGCAUCAUAAAAGGCAAUAAUAUUAAGAGAGCUUUGUUGAAGAAAUCUGAUCCCAUAAUCCAAGCUCAUUUUUAAGUACUUGAGAAUACAUUUAAUAGCAUGUAAAUUAGCCUUAGUGGAUGUUUGAAAAUGUUGGCAUACCUUAUUGACUGCGUGAACGAUGUCCAGCCUUAUUAAAGUGAGAUAUUGGAGCCCUCCAACUAAUCUUCUAUAUUCGAUUGCAUUGACAGGCUUGUGAGCAAUGGGGUUGGCUUGUUUUUUUAUGGCCAUAAAAGUUGACAAACUAGUGCUUUCUAGCAUCUUUUCUUUGGUCAGCAAGUCUUUGGUGUAUUUGGUUUGAGAAACAUAAAUACCUUCAGAGAAAUAUUGAAUCUCAAGUCAUAAGAAGAAAUGGAGUUGUCCCAAAUCCUUUAAACCAAACUCAGUGCUUAGUCAAUGAACAAGUUAGUCAAUUAGAAAAUUAUUGUUACCUGUCACCACUAUAUCAUGAACAUAAAUUAGCAUUAGGAUUAAUGAGUAAUCGUUAUGAAAUAUAAAUAAGGAAAAGUCAACUUUAGUGCAUAUGAAACCCAAUUGAAGUAAGUAAUGAGAAAGCCUAUCAAACCAAGCACAGGGUGCUUGUUUAAGACCAUACAAUGACUUGUUAAGCUUACACACAUAAUCAAGAUAUAAAGGAUUAGAGAAACCAUGAGGUUGUUCCAUAAAAAUAGUUUCUUUUAAAAAACCAAGUAAAAGCAUUUUUAACAUCAGGUUGUCGUAUUGUCCAAUUUGAUGUUUUAAUAAAAGAAAAAAAUUACUCGAAUUAUAGUAGUUUUAAUCACCGAACCAAAGGUUUCUUCGAUAUCCAAACCUGGAAUUUGUGUGUAUCCUUGUGCUACAAGAUGCCCUUGUAUUUGUCUAUGGACCCAUCUUCCUUAAACUUAGUUCGAUACACCCAUUUUGAUCCCACUAUGUUUGUAUUACUGACCUUGGUACCAAACUCCAUGUAUUAUUCUGUUGGAGAGUAUCAAGCUCUUCUAACAUAGUCGUGUGCCAAUGAGGUUGUCGAAUGGUGGUUUUGAAGUGUUUUGGCUCUAUUGUUGUAGUAAGAGCCAUCUUAUCAACUAACUCUGGGUGAUGAUUCAACUUGUGUCUAGUUAUCAUUUGAUGAGUGUUGCUCGUUUCCGACUCUUUUGGAAUGCAAAGGUCUACAAAUAUAUCAAUGCAUUUAGUUGACGAUGGAGCAUUAUUUUCUAACUCUAAAUGAGUGCUUUCAGUUCCUAUAUUGUUCUCUAAUUCUUGCUCAAUUAUUGUGUUUAAAGUGAUAUCAACUUCUCCAGGUUGUGCUGAGCUAGAGCUUAAACUGGUUUCGCUAUUUGUAGAGUUUGAAUCGGUGUGGAUGACUAUAUCAUGAAUUUGAUGUGGAACUUGUUGGCUUGUGUCCGAAUCUUACAUGUUUAAGUUCAUUGUGUUUUGAAGACCUAUAAAGUUUGGAUUCGCAUGGGCAACUUGUUGCUGAUUUACAUGAAAUUCAUGUUGGUCUUGUUGAAUUGGGGAUCUAUUUUCAAUUGAAUCAAGUACAUCAUGGCAACAAUGUGUAGGAUUCUAUAUGUUUGUUGCUUUCUCUUUUUUAGUCCAGAUCUCAACAUCAGGAAAUGUGAUGAUUUCUUAGCUAAUCUGUAUAGGUAAACUUGGCAGACUAUUACUUUUAAAGGAAAACAAAUUCUUAUAGAAAAUUACAUGAUGUGAUAUAUACACCUUGUUUGUUAGUGGAUACAAACAUCCAUACCCCGUAUGUGAAGGGUUGUAUCCAAUAAACACACGAGCAUUUUUUGUGAGAAUUUGUUCUUUUUAUAAAUAGAUAGACAUGGAAAGCAUCGGCACCCAAAGCUUUUAAGCCCUCUGUAAUCAAAAUUUGUACCGAAAAGUUUGUAAAAAGGAGUUUUCAUAUUUAAAGUGGAUGAAGGCAGCUUAUUAAUAGCAUAAACAGCAGUAGAAAAAGCAUCAACCUAAUAUUGUAAUGGUAUAUUUGCAUGAAAGAGUAUUGUCAAAACUGUUUCUACAAUAUGCAGGUGUUUUCUUUCGGCAACAACAUUUUGUUCAAGAGUUGCAGGACAUGACAAUUGAUGUUGUAUUCCACAUUGGUUGAGAUGACUUUGAAAUUCAUUUGAUAUGAAUUCACCUCCUUCAUCACUUUGAAAUAUUUUUAUCCUCGUAUCGAAUCGAUUUUCAACCUGUUUUUGAAACUUGAUAAAAACAUCAAAUAAAUCUAAUUUAUUUUUCAAAGAGUAUAGCCAUGUAUAGCAUGUGCAGUCAUCAACAAAGAUAACAUAAUAGCUAAAAUUUUGAAAGAAAGAAAUAUGAGCAAGACCCUACAACUCACAGUGAAUUUUAUGUAAAGGAACGCUGGAAAUUUUAUUGGAAAAAUUACAAGGAAGUUUGCAGUUCUUUCCCAUUUGACAACUGGAACAUACAUAAUCUUUUGUUAUCCAAUUUGAAACAUCAAUAAGAUUGUUUUUAUUAAAAAAUUUAAUGGACUUGAUUUGGGAGUGUCCCAUUCUUUGGUGCCAUAUGUUGUAAGGUGCUUUGCUACCUUUAGAUAAGUAUAGGGCUGCAUGAUAUCCUUCAUCUAAGGCAUAAAACCAUUUUGUCUUAGUUCCCUUUGCCAAGAUGUUUCCUUGAUAAUCCUUAAAAAUAAAUUUGCUAGAUGAAAACUCAAUAAUACGUGAAUUAUCAUGUGUAAGCUACCCUAUCGAAAGCAAAUUCUUUUUCAAGCCUAGAAUGACAAGCACAUUUUUUAAAUAUAAUUUACUAAUGCCAGUAUCUAUGGAGGUAUUUCCUAUAUGUGAAAUAUUAAGACAAUCACCAUGUCCAACAACAAUGGCAUCAUUCCUUUCAUAAGGUUUAAGUUCAGAAAUUUUACUUGGAAUAUUAACCAUAUGGGCAGUUGCUCCUGAGUCAGCAUAUAAUUUGGCAUCAUUUGCAUCCAGGUUCAUUGUAGCUAAGGCUUGUGGAAUUUCCUCAGUAAGAUGUGAGUAGUCAUACCUACGUUGACAUUCAAUGGUUGUAUGUUUCAGUAAAUGACAAAUUUGGCAUAUGACAGUUUCUUCUUUGGCUUCUUUAGCUUGUUUGGAUUGAUUCUGAAUUUUGUGCCAAUGUUGUCCAGGAUUAUUUUGCUAAGAGUUGCUGCCACUAUUGUCCCAAAUUUCCUUGCCAUGACUGUUGCCUUUGUUGACUUGGAUUAUUGUUUAACUUUUGCCAUGGCUAACUUGCAUUAUUAUUCCAACUUUUUCCACCAUUAUAGUUGGAUUUUUGGCCACUCGAAUCAGCCAAAUUUUGUCCUCCUGCUGGUGUAAAACCACAACCUUUUUCUUGCCUCAUUGGCUAAAAAAGGCUUGAGCUAGAUUGAUUGUAUUUUUCUUUUCUUCUUCAAAAUUAAUAAGAGUUUGUUCAUGAUUUUCAAGGACCAUGACAAACUGCUUAAAUGAAGGAUAAGGUAGUUUUGAAAAUUGAGCAAGUUUAAAGUCUUGAUACCUAUAGCUGAGACCUCUUGCAAGACCAAAGACUUUAUCUAAGUCAUUCACUAGUUUAUUUAUCGUAGCCAAACAAUCACAAAUAUGCUUGUAUUUGUGCACAUACUCUUCAACUGAUUGAGAACCCUUUUUUAGGAUUGCCAAUUUGUCCAUGAGAUGUACCUAUUUUUCUAUAGUCACUGGAAGUAAUUGAUCCUCCAAAGAUGACCAAAUUUGUUGAGCAUUUUCCACUCCAACGAUUCCACUCAUUACCUCUUAUGUCGUCAGGCUUAACAACCAAGAUGUUAACAGCCCAUCAUUGUUGAUCCACAUUGUGACAUCUUCGUUGCCAGCCUUUUCCUCAUCGGACAACAAUAUUUCUUUUGCGGGUCUCUCAACAUCUAUAAUAUGGUGCAGAAUGCCAAGGCUUCUGACCAAAAGGAGAACUUGUGAGCGCCACAACAAGAAGUUCAUGUUGUCUAGUUUAAUUGACACAAGACUUGAGCAUUGAUGGAAAGACUGAAUAUUUAGACUUGGCUCUUUGAUAAAUGAUGAAGAGGUUUUAUUGCUAGUACUCAUGGUUGGCUCUGAUACCAUGAAAAAAAAAAUCUAUAAAGAAUAUAAUUCUUAUAUUUUUCUAAUGAAAUUUAUGGAAUUAUUUACACAAAAUAAAGACAAAGUAGCUGUUGAAAGGCUUAAAAACAUUAAAGGAGAAUAAGUGAAUACUUUCUAAGGUAUUGCACAACAUCUUUAUAAAAUAGGACUGAAAUAUUUCUACAUGAUAUUGGCAUUCAAGUGCAAGUGGAGAUAUUCCUUGAAAAAUUGCUUUGACUUAAGCAAGUUGUGUGGAGUGAUAAACCCAUGGUUGACUUGAUCGUUGAUGACUUUCCUUUUGGUAAUCUUGGUCAACUUGCUUAACAAAUCUCUCUUGUAGAGUUGUUUAGAUUACAGUGUCAUCUAAUCUCGCUUCAUGUGUUAUUAAAAAUCUCAUUGAGUCAUUUGGAUUAGAACACGAUCCAAUCAUUCUUUGAUUAAAGUGUAAGCUAAUCGCAGUGGCUUGGUUCGGUACUAGAACGAUAUCUAGUGUUUCCUACCCUAACAAUUUCGCUUCUACUACUCACUCCAUCAAUCUGGUAACAAAUUCCGUUCAAGUGAUGCCAACAUUAGCCGCACUGUCGCGUCGUACGGUGACGGAAAUUUUACAUUCAUUUCUGGCUCUAGUUGCAAUUUUAUGUAAUUUUUGUGCGGAUGUGUGUUACAUUUAAAGAAUGGUUCAGUCCCUUCAAUUGAAUGUGUUUGGAAAGUCCCAUGAUGCUUCAAUGACCCUUGGAUCAUGGGCGAGUUAAUCCUCACCCUUGAUCAGUUCUUAUGGUUUUUAUAAGAUUAAUAACAACACUUUGGUCAUGACUUAUCAAGUAACGAUAUAGGCUUUUCAAAGAUAAUGAUAUCACAUAGUAAUCAUAUUCCAUUAAUCCUCAAACCACUAUUUGGUCAAUUGGCUGAGGUGAAUAAUUAUUGAUUCUUAAUGAAUCAAAUGUUUAAUUAAAAGUUUCUUAGAUAGUUCAUAAUGACAUCCCAUAGUAAUCAUAGUCCAUUACUCCACAAGCCAUAUCCUUUUCCUUUUCUUUUUCCUGAUUAAGAUAAAUGGCGAAUCGUGUGUGAGAUUUGAUUUUCCGCUAGUUCAGUAGUUCAUAAGAUAAGAUAGUGGAAGUCCACUAGUACAUAAAUUUGGCUAAUAUCAUAUAGAACUAACUCAAGAUGUAAUUGAGAAUUCUUAAUUUUCUAUUCUUAGUCCAUGAACUAUUCUCAACUGAGCUAUGGAAUAUUAUCAAUAAAUAAAAAGAUAUUUAUGUAUGCUAACAGAAACAACUGUGAGAUCAAGAAAUGAAAGCAAAGAAGCAUGGAUAUACUUUUUUUAUCUUAAUUAAUGAAAUGCAAGAAGUGACGAUUUCAAUGAAAAUCACAGUUAAUUUACAAACAUCAAACUUAUUUAUGAGGAUGAAAAACUAUUUUUAGUGACGAAACAAAUUUCUAAAACUAUUCAUCGCCAACACUUUUUUUACCGAUUGAUUUUUUGGCGACUAAUCUAAUUUUUUGUCGCAAUAUGUCCUCUUUACAGAUAAAUCUUUUGUCGUUAAAAGUGAUAAUUAAAUAUUAUUUUUUCUUGACAAAAGUUUUUUUCGUCACUAAAAGUUUCAUUGCUAAACACCAUAUUCUUGUAGUGUGAAGAUAUAGGAAAAAACUAAAAGCAAAAUUGAUUUAAUUAAUUUCUUGGUACCCAACAAAUUGAGAAUCUCAAAGAUAGAGAUAUCAGAUUUAUAUGAGUAUUGAAUCUACAGAUCGACAAAUGAGACCAAACUAAACAGAAAGCCAUAAGUUUUAAAAGUGAAACAAGUUAGUUUAUCUAGCAUUAGCAGCUCCAUUAUUGCAAUACCAACUCCAAGUUCCAGCUAUGACUCGAUAGCCACGUUUGUGUUAUUAGAAGCAUAUGUGUCAACUGUUGAAUGGUACCAACGUUCUUUACCACUUAGUUCCCUAAUUUAUUUAUUAAUUAACUCAUAAUAUAAAUUUUUACCACUUACUCAAUAGAAACCGAGAAAGCCACUUCGAUUCUUAAUAUUUAUCAUUUUUACCAACUAGGUUCAGAAUUUAUUUUUAAUUAUUUAUUACAUCUCUAAUAUACAACAAUAUAAUUUUAUUGUUCAAUUUUUUUGUUGAAAGUUAAAUGUGACUUUUUAAAACGAGAUAACCAGAUCUUUUCCCUUUUGACAAACAUUACAUUGGAUUGACAACAAAAGUAUUAAAAAAAAUAAAAAUGGAUUUGUUUGUUUUGUUACUAUUUUAACGUCAAAGGAUGUGAAAAAAGGUUAACUAUUUGGGACCUAAGUGUUCAAAAUAAAUAAAUAGUAGGGACCAAAAUUUAACACAAUCCUUGUCUGUUCUCUGACUUGGAACCACAAACCUAGCUCACUAAUUGUUGAUUUUCUAGGCAACUAGGGCUUCGUUUGUUUUGCCAAAAAAUGGAAAAGGAUGAGCUAAAGCUGAAAAAGAAAGUUAACAGCUGCUAUUUUUCAAGUAUUUUCUAAUGUGGAAUUUGAUUUGUGUGACUCUGUUGUAUUAAGUACAGUGUAACAGCUACAACAAUCUUUCAUCAAUUAGAUAAUAGCACGAAAGCAAAGUUGAAAGUGUACCAAAGCUUUUUAUGUAUUUCAAAACCAAUAAUUAUUUGUUGGAUGCAUUUUUGUAUUUGUCAGAUAGUACAUGAAUGAUCAGUUUUUAGUGAAUUUGAAAAUGCAUUUGGUUAUUUAUUUUUAAAACAAUGUUUGAAAAUGAAAAGAUGGUAAUGUGCAUGUAUUGGUUAUUUGUCUGCAAAAAUAAGGAAAACGAAAGAGAUGAAGAAAAAAAUAUAAUAAUAAAAGAGUUUAAUUUGUGUCUAUUAAAUUUUAAAAUAUUUUGAUACAUUCAAAAAAAUUACAAGUUAAAUAAAAUCCAGUGAUAUUGUUUAUCUUAAUUUAUGAAUAAUUUGCUAGUUUUGAAAUGUAUGCAAUUUUUUAAAAAUAAACAUAUUUUUUAUAAAACCAGAUAAUAAUAACUAAAUAUUAGUUUGACUGGCUUAAAAAGGUUUAUAAAUUUUUCAAAAACAGUUGAAUUAAAUAGAAAGAGGUGUCCCUAAGGACAUGGCCAAGUGGUUUUUAAAUAGGUUUAUUUAGUUAACCACUUGGGUAUGCUGAAUCUUGGAGGAGAUAAGGGAUUGAAAAAAAAAAAAAAUUGUCUUUGCCAACACCUUUUGAAAUAUAGAAAAGACGUUAAAUCGUACUAAUUAUGUUUGGUACUUUAUAUUAUUGCAAAAUGAAGAAUGAUGAGUGUAAAACAAUAGCAAACGCCCCUUUAGCUUCUAUCACGUUAAAUUAUAAUUUCAAAGGAAUGAAUCAAUGAGAUUCCACAUUUACUUCCUUUUAUUCAUGUUAAACAACUGUUAACACCUCUUUUGGUUUGUUAAGGCUGAUAACAACGAGAACCGAGAGUACUGACUUUAAUUUCAUCUUUCUUAGAAUUUGUUUUUACAAUCACUCACGUCCCUAACAAAUGUUUAAUACUUUAUAGUGUUAGAAUAGACAAAAAAAUCACAGUUGAAGCGUAAACACUUUUAUUCCUAGAGGUAUGACUUCUGCUAGUAAUUAAACGGAAACAUAAUAAUUGACAUGAAUUUAUUAUUACCACUUAUGUCCCUAAUACAUAUUUAGUACUUUAUAUAUUCUUUAUCAUUUUAUCUUUCGUUAUUAAUUUCAUUUUAUUUUAGAUGAAUAUUCGUGAUAAAUAAUGCAUUGUUACUCGUCACACAUAUAAAGAACGGUUAUCCAGUCCUUAUCUUAUUUUUCGUAUGUCCAUAUAUAUAGGGCAAGCAAUGGAAGGCUUUCGCACCAACUAAAUAUCAUAGCUAGAGGUGAUUUAUUUUGAGGAUUAUUGAAAGCAUGAAGCCUCUCUUUUUUCCCUGCACGCUCUCUUUACUUAUCUCGGUAUGCUUUCUGAGUUAGAAUGUUAUUACAACUAACUCUACAUUUCUGAAAAGUUUUGAAUCAUUAAUUUGCGUGCUCUAAUUGCUGUGUUUCUGUUAAUUAUUCUCUUGUUGCCCUGUUAUUUCAGAGUGCUAGCACAAUUGAUGCAAGGAAGGACCUGAAGGAAUAUACGAGAAUUGUCAUGAAAGGGCAGUCCAUGCCUGAAUCAAUCCAACGCCUACUUCCCGUGGAUCCUGCCACUUCUAGCACCAAUGACAUAGCUGAUCAAAAGCCAAAUCCAUCAACUUUAUCCAGUAAUGUUCAACUGUCCAAGAUGAAAUCUUUUUCCAAGAAUUUUACCCCAAGGCCAAAUGUUUUUACCUACCCGUCCUACCAAAGGCAGAUUUUUCUUCACCAUACAUCUUACAACAGCCAUAACAAUAACCCGUCUAUGGUGAAAUCCUUUUCCAAGAAUUUGAACCCACGAAAGAUUAUAUUUUUUUUUACGAUGUUAAUCAACCAUCUAAAGUGAAAUCUUUUGCCAAUAUUUUUGACUCAAGGUUGAAUACAUCUUUGUACGGCGGCAGUAAUCAACCAUCUGAAGUAAAAUUAUUUGCCUAAGAAUUUUGAUCCAGGGGUUAGAAGCGGAAGUUUAUGACAUCGAUAAUUAACCAUUUUCCAAGUGAAAUCCUUUGGUAUAAUGACAAGUUGAAACCUAAUAAUAAGAUAAAUUGAGGCUGAUGGUCAAAGGAAACUCAUGUUUUCAUUAACGGAGGGCAUUAAGCCCAUAUCAUUGUCCCAUAAUUACAAGACUCAUCUUUUGAUCUGCUUCUUUGAUCUUUCCUAAUAAUAAGCUAUAAAUUGUGUUUAAAAAAAAAAAUUAAAUGAGUGGCGGGGGCUUAGCGUUCUACCUUUGGAGAAAUUCUAGAAUAUACAGAGGUACCAUAUCAACCAUAUAGUAAGCAAGUGAUGCUAUGACAUGUGUGUAUUUGUUUUGAAAAAUUAUUAUGCAAGUGGUGGUUAUAUUAAAUUCAACUACACAUGUCAUUCAAACAUCAAUUAGAUGUAAUACAUUAGAGGUAUUCUAAAAUUUCUUCUACCUUUCAUGUGUAAAAGAUGAUUGACUUAAAUAAAUGGCUACGUGUAACAUUUUCUUUUAUCUUUUCUCAACCUAUUAAUUUUUGUCUAAAUAUUAUAUUUCUAAAGAAUUCAAUUUGUUAAAGUUUUUAGUGUAUAGACGAUGAUGGGCCUGUGUUAAUGAGUUUGAAGUUCAUUUCUUGAAAAUAAAUUUAUAAAAGAAAAGGGUUUGAAACCGGAUGAGAGGAGGAAUUCUAGCUCUGAAGUAGUUAUAUUAAAUUUAAUUAUAUAUAUCAAACAUACAUUAAUUAAUUAUAAUAUUUCUAAUGUAUCUUAGAAUUUCUCAUUAUAGAGAAGAUCCAAAAUCGGUUGCCUAACUCACCCGAGAGGAGCCGGCUGCACAAAAAAUUUUACUAUUAUUUAAAGAUAAUUCUAACAAUGCUAAAAGCAUUUCCGUCCCCAUAAAAUUAUUCUAUAUAUCCACUUAUUUCAAUUUCUACUUGUUUUGAUCUGGGAGUUGUUUGUUUAAAGAAAAUUACUCCAACGCAAGAGGUGAGUCCGAGUCCACUAGUCAGUAAGUGCCUACAUAUAAUUAGCCUUUCUUGAAACUUACUUUUGUGAUUAGUUUCACAUAUUUUCCUCUGACAAGAUUAUAAUUCAAUUCUCUUUGAUUGCAUAUUUGUUACUCUACUCAGAAUUUAUUGAGCUUCUUUCAAAGGAUUGCAAAGAAGGGGCUGCUUUGCUUCUUUGUAUGAUACAAACUUUAUGUGUCAAAAACAAGGACACGGUUGUUAAUUCUCACAAUCAUGCGAAUGAAAGUGCGUAAAAGACUAUUUUUUCUCCAAGUGAAUCUUUGGAUGAUCAGAAUUUUUCCCAGGUGAAUCUGUAUAUGAAUAUAAUGCUGGAUUAUUGUCACUUGAUCAGUACAUAUUGUCCAUAGAAAUUAGCUUAGAGACUAAUGUUUAAAAGACACAUUAUUUAAGUCUUCCGUAGUUAAGUUCUUAUUUUUAUUUAAUUUCUUUAUCAAAUUAUUUGCUAAAGGAGUUACCAUACCAAGGACAUUUUAAUCCAUAUUUUAGUCCAUUAGUUUACAUAGUUUUUGAUUAUUUACAUCCCAUGGGGGACAAUAAUUAUAAUAAUGUAACUCUUAGGCCCUUCAAUCUUUCAGAAGCAGAGGAUUUCUUGUCGUGGGCAAGAGAUUAUAGAGUGAUUCAGGCUUUCAUUAAUGUAAAUUUAAGAUCAGAAGAUGGCAUCAAAUUCUUCAAAAGCAAAUUUGUAAGGCACACAGGGUUCAAAGCAAUAUGCCUCAACAAGCAGCCAAUAGGUGUUGUGCGCAGAACGUGGAAUCAAGCAUACCAAAUAAUUACAAAAAAAUAAAGGACACAAGAAUUACAUGGUUUGGCAAUAUGCCUACGUCCACGGGAGCAAGAGAAAAAUAAUUGUAUUAUUAACAAUUAUUUGAGUACAAAUUUGAGUAAAGAAAUCUCACUUUCCUAGAACCCAAAUACACCCAGUACUCUCACACACACUCUCCAAUUGCUCACACUCUCAGAACUCUCAAAAGUUUAAAAACUAAUAAGCUUAACAAAUUUUUUGGGAUGAUUUAGAAUUAAGAAAUGGCUUCAAUUUAUAGGAUUCAAGCUUGUACUAUUCCACCUAACCCAAACACUAUUCCAUCUAGCCCAUACAAAUAUGUCAAGGAGUUUGGUAUUUCUUUGGCCAAUCUUGAAAAAUUCUCCAAAUUUGAAUCCAACAUUUUGGCUAACCUUGACAUUUGUUAGCAAAAUGCAAGUGGUUUUCUUAUUUUUCAACAAUUCUCCACCUCGGCAAAGAUUUGUCCAAAUCUGAGCCGACUACCAACGGCUCAUCAUCCCCAAAGUGGCUGCAUCUUUGUGACUGCCUACGUACCCAAAAUUUGAGAUCAAGCCAAUCGUAGUUCAAAAUUCCCGAAGGACAUAUCUUAACACAAUCGAAGGAUUUGAAUUAGUUUCAAGCAAUGUUGAAACUUAACUCCAGAAACUACAUUCGUCAACAUAUCUGAUGGAUUAUCUUUGGUAUCAAUCUUUCUCAACAACACAACACCGCUCUCGAUAAUCUCUCUCACAUAAUGAUAUUUCACAUCUAUGUGCUUCGUCCGAGCAUGAUAUGUUUGAUUCUUCGCAAGAAAUAUUGCACUUUGAUUAUCACAGAAGACCGCAAUGUUCUCCUGAAUUACUCCUAAAUCACCUAACAAGCCCUUCAACCAGAUAGUUUCUUUUACAACUUCAGUUGUUGCCAUAUACUCUGCUUCCGUAAUGGACAGAGUAAUUGUCGAUUGCAAAAUCAACCUCCAGCUAACCGGACCUCCACCCAAUGUGAAUACGUAACCCGUUGUUGAUCUUCGCUUGUCAAGGUCUCCAGCGAAAUCAGAAUCACAAUACCCAACACAUUGUUGACCACAAUCCUUCUUGAAUAAUAACCCAACAUCAACUGUCCCAUACAGAUAUCGGAGAAUCCACUUUACUACAAGCCAUUGAUUUUUACCCGGAUUGUGCAUGUAUCUACUAACCAUGCUCACUGUUUGAGAUAUAUCGGGCCUUGUGCAAACCAUAGCAUAGAUAAGACUACCCACAGCACUAGCAUAUGGAACACGAGUCAUGUAAUCGCGCUCCUCUUGAGAUCUGGGACAUGAAGAAGAGCUUAAUUUGAAAUGAAGAGCUAAAGAUGUACAUACCGGUUUAGUUUUGUCAUCUAUGCCGAAUCUUUCUAGCACUUUCUUCAAAUAAGACUCUUGAGUCAACCAUACGCUCCCAUUCUUCUUGUCUCUACGAAUCUCCAUCCCAAGUAUUCUCUGUGCAUCACCCAAAUCUUUCAUCUCGAACUCAGAAGCCAGCUACUUCUUUAAUCUUUCGAUCUCAUCUCUAAUCUUCGAAGUUAUAAGCAUAUCGUCGACAUAAAGUAACAAAUAGAUUAAAGCUCCAUCUAGUAGUCUUCUAAAGUAUACACAAUGAUCGUGUUCACUUCUGGUGAAUUUCUGCCCUUGUAUAAAUUGAUCAAAUCUUUUGUACCACUGCCUUGGCGAUUGCUUCAGUCCGUACAAAGAUUUAAUCAACCUACACAUAUGAUUCUCCUUUCCAGUAACUAUGAAACUAUAAGGCUGAAUCAUAUAGAUUUCUUCCUCCAAAUUUCCAUGUAAGAACGCCGUCUUAACAUCCAAUUGAGCCAACUCUAACUCAUAUUCUGCAACUAAGGCAAGUAGGAUACGAAUGGAAGUAUGUUUUACAACUGGAGAGAAAACUUCAUUGUAGUCAAUACCUUCAUUUUGAGCAAAACCUUUUGCCACAAGCCUUGCCUUGUAUCGAGGAGUUGUUUGAUUCGCAGAUCCUUUCUUUUUGGUGUAGACCCAUUUAUUGCCAAUAGCCCUUUUUCCCUUUGGUAACUUUACAAGUUCCCAAGUCUGGUUUUGAUGGAGAGAUUUCAUCUCUUCCUCCAUGGCUAACUUCCACUGAUCACUUUCACUGCUGUGUAAUGCUUCACCGAAAGUAUUAGAGAUGUCAUCAUCAAUAACUGGAAGUGCAUAAGCUACCACCAUAUCUUUAUUAAGCCAUUCGGGUUUCUUUAUCUCUCUUCUUGGCCUCCUUGUUGCUAUAAAAUCAUCAUUAUCUACAUCAUCAAUUGUUUCUUCAUUUUGUGGGACAUCAGAAGAAACAACCUCUUCUUCAACUUUAGGUGUCACCUCCAUAGUUGAACCCUUCUUUGAUGUAGAACUAACUGGUAUAUAUGGAGUUGCAUCAAACUCCACCCGCUGCAAUACCUCUUUGGUCUUGUUCUCCACCUGCUGCGAACUUGAAGCUUUCAUCAUUGAAGCUUCAUCAAAUGUGACAUCUCUGCUACACACAAACUUUUUAUUUUCGAGAUCUCAAAGCUUGAAACCCUUUACUCCACUUUUGAAUCCCACAAAGAUAGCUUUUUUAGCACGAGGAUCCAGUUUACCAUCUUUGACAUGAUAAUAAGCUGGACACCCGAAUAUACGAAGGAAAUCAUAGUCUUGUGCAUGCUUUCCAGACCAAAUUUCCAUAGGAGUUUUACCUCCAAUUGCAGCAGAAGGGAACCGGUUUACCAAGUGACUUGCGUAGCUCACAGCUUCAGCCCAAAACUUUUUAUCUAAACCAGCAUUAGAUAACAUACAUCGUACCUUCUCCAGUAAAGUACGAUUCAUACGCUCAGCCACACCGUUCUGUUGCGGAGUAUGUCUCACCGUGAAAUAUUUUUUAAUACCCUCGUUCUGUCAUACUUGCAAGAAUUGAUCAGAAGUAUAUUCACCCCCAUUAUCAUAUCGUAAUACUUUGAUCUUUCUGCCAGUUUGAGUCACCACCAAUUUCUUCCAUUUCACGAAAAUCUCGAGAACCUCAUCUUUUGCUCGCAUGGUGUACAGCCACACACGUCUAGAGAAAUCAUCAAUAAAUGUAACAAAAUAAUGGCUUCCACCAAUUGAUGCAGUCUUGAUUAACUGUGAACAUAUUCAAGGAUCUUAUAAGUAUCGUGAUUAGCUGUACCAAACUUGACCCUUGUUUUCUUGCCUACUACACAAUGCUCACAGAAAUUUAAUUUACAGGUUUUGGUACCUUUUAAGAGUCCAUGCCUCAUCAGAGUUUGUAAAAACUUCUCGCCAGCAUGUCCUAAUCGUACAUGCCAUAACUUGGUGGUGUCACUGUGCACCUUAACAACAUUUGUUUCAUCAGUUGUGCCUCUCUUCAAAUAGUAUAGAUUGUGACACCGAACCCUUUGCAGAAUCACCAUAGCCCCAUGUGUAAACUUCAUUGUGCCAUCUCUAAUGGUAACCUUGUAGCUUUUAGCUUCCAAAGCACCCACAGAAAUUAGAUUUUUCUUUAAAGCUGGAACAAAUCUGACUUCUUUGAGUUCUCUGAUUAUUCCAUUAAACAUUUUGAGUUGAAUUGUUCCUAUCCCCAUUAAACGACAAGGUUGAUCAUUCCCCAUCAUAAUUGCACCAGAUUCCAAUUCGCUGGAAUUCGUAAACCAUUCCUUAAUGGGACACAAAUGAUAGGUUGCUCCAGUAUCAAGUAUCCACUUGCUCGAACUAGCUACGUAUGCUGCAUGAGUAAUACUUAGUGAAUAAUCAGAGUCUUCAUCUUUUCGUGCCAUGUUUGCUGCUGUUGGUUUCUUCUCAUCUCUCUUUUGAGCUUUUUGACAAUCUUUCCUCCAAUGACCCUUUUCAUGACAAAAGGCACACUCGUCUCGAGCUAUAUUUUUGCUUCUCGAUUUGGAUCGAGAAUUCUUUCCACCACGCUUUCUCUUUUUCUCCAUCGCCCAAUCUCUGCUUACCAAAGUUUCAGACGAUGCUCGUUCAGAAUUUUUAUUAUUAUUUCAAAUCUCUAAGUUAGUCAAUGCUGUGCAAACAUCUUUGAAGAUGAUCACACUUUUUCCAUAUAUUAAGGUAGUCACAAAAUGACUAUAUUCCUCUGGUAGUGAGUGUAACAGAAUCAUAACCUUGACUUCAUCCUUAAUAUCUUCAUCAAGAUUCUUCAAAUCAGCAAGUAACUUUUCAAAUCUUGAGACAUGAUCUUGCAUUGACACCCUAGGCUUCAUUCGAAAACCAUAUACUUGGCUCAUUGCAUGAAGGCGAUUUUCAGGACUUUUUAGCAAGUACUUCUCCUCUAAUGUAUGCCACAAAGUCAUCGCACACUCCUCAUCCUUCACCAAUAUUUCACCUCCUUGGUCAAACACGAUUUGAUCUGACCACAAGCUUUUUCAUUCAUACGAUCCCAAAUUUCUUCAUCAUACAAGUGUCUUUUAUUUUUCAGAACAACAUCGAGAUCGAUUUGAAUAAGGGCAUCCAUAACUUCGCGCCUCCACAUGCCGAAGUUGAUUUUCCCAUCAAACUUUUGAACAUCGAUCUUCUGGCCUCCUAUAACAGGUGCUGAAUAGCGAUUUGACAAAUCUCACCUCCCACCUGAAGUGUCUCCUAAAAUAGUCUCGGUAGAUCUCUCCCCAAUUCUGGAAGUUUCACCUUUUACCAUUUUUUUAACGAACUAUUUCCACUUGAAAAACAAUCUCUAUGAUGUUAAUUUCAUGUGAAUAAAUGCACCAGGAAAGUUCCCAGGAGACUGGAUGGGAACUCGGUCCUAAUUAAAAACCAGAAUCUUUAGACUCUUAUCGCCUUUGUUGACAGAACUUUCCUAAACAUACAAAAAUACACACCACUUACAAUAGACUGUCUCCCAAGUACAAAUGGUUAUCUCCACUGUAUUCGUGAACAGUACUGUAUACGGGAAUAGUACCGUAUACGUGAACAGUAUCGUAUCCCCCUAAGUACAAACUGUCGGCUCUGAUACCACUUGUUGUGCACGGAAUGUGGAAUUAAGCGCACCAAAUAAUUACAGAAAAAUAAAGGACACAAGAAUUACGUGGUUCGGCAAUAUGCCUACGUCCAUAGGAGCAAGAGAAAAAUAAUUGUAUUAUUAACAAUUAUUUGAGUACAAAUUUGAGUAAAGAAAUCUCACUUUCCCAGAACCCAAAUACACCCAGUACUCUCACACACACUCUCCAAUUGCUCACACUCUCAGAACUCUCAAAAACUUAAAAACUAAUAAGCUUAACAAAUUUUUUGGGAUGAUUUAGAAUGAAGAAAUGGCUUCAAUUUAUAGGAUUCAAGCUUGUACUAUUCCACCUAACCCAAACACUAUUUCAUCUAACCCAUGCAAAUAUGUCAAGGAAUUUGGUAUUUCUUUGUCCAAUCUUAAAAAAUUCUCCAAAUUUGAAUCCAACAUUUUGGCUAACCUUGACAUUUGUUAGCAAAAUGCAAGUGGUUUUCUUAUUUUUCAGCAAUAGGUGCCAUUGCAGUAACACCUUAUCCUGGAGAAUCAAAUAGGUGCAGGGCUGCAAUCAGCUGUGCUAUACACCCAAACUACUGGAGCAAAAGGAUUGGAGAAAGAGCUGCGAGAAUGGCGGCUUGUGCUAUAUUUGAAGAGUGGCCACAUUUGGAGAGACUCGAGGGUUUGACGGAAGUUGAUAACUUUGCCAUACAGAAAGCGGCUCACAAGGUUGGAUUCAAGAGAGAAGGUGUCCUGCGGACGUACUGUAUUUUCCAGGGAAAAGCUACCGACAUUGUCAUGCUCAGUCUUCUCUCUACUGAUGUCAUUCCGAGGCGGAUCCGGGCUAAAUUAUAAUUUUGUAGCAACAUCUCGCGUCUUUGUUGUAUCAGGCAAUUCUCUUUGUAAUGUAAAUUAAAUGUCUUUCAUUGCAACAGUACUCAAGUUUAGUUGAAAAGCAGACCUUAUUUCCUCUUCCAAAACGAAAAACAUACAAUUGUUUGGCCACGGCUAUAACGCAUCUGAUGCAUUGAUAGAUCGGUCUAACUAAAUGUGGAAUAGUUAGUCCCAGUUCCUACGUGUAGCACCAGCUAUGAUAGAUGAUGGUUCAGCUUGCUGUAAAAGCCAUUAAAGGUGGUUUUUUGAUAGGUCCCAAUCAAAGUUAAAAAUUUUUUUUAAUGAAUUUAGUAUUUUACUUAGGCUGAGAAUAGACCAUAAUAAUUUUAAUUAAAAUAAACUUGCUUCAUUAAUGACUAUAAAGGAAUUUAAAUACAAAAAAGAAAUUAACAACUAUUUCUAAUUAUCAGAUCACAUCUCUAAGAAAUAGGCACUAACGGCUAAUGACACAAGGCAGCAGAAAAUUAUUAAAUGCAACAACUACUGGACCUAUUCUUAAGCAAACAAGCUUGUGGACAUGAGCAACAACUUAGACCAAGUCUUUAGAAAUCAAGAAUCUCUUUGAAUGGCUCCAUCCCAACAUCCCAUUUCUUUCCGUGGCUUAUGCAAUUUACGUCCCAUGCAUCACGGCUCUUAGUCAAAAUACUUUGGGUUCUUUAUUGGCACUCUUGGGAUCUUCUUGGCAUAUCAAUACCCCCUCCUUUGGCCGAAAUUCCUCAACUUUCAUAUCGAGGAACUUGUCAUUCACCUCUUGAGUGUUCUCCCAUGUAGCAUCAUCUAGUGGAAGUCUUUUCCAUUUGAUCAAACUUUCUUCGACAAAUUUGGACCCUUUUUUAUCCAACGGGUGUCCAAUAUUUGCUUCUGCUUCCAUAAUUAAAUCACUAUCUUCAGCCAUUGGAGGUAACUCAGUACUAGUAGCAAUUGUUUCUCCUAACUUUUUCUUCAAAAGAGACACAUGAAAGACCGGGUGAAUGCGAAAGCCUUGUGGAAGCUUGAGCUUGUAGGCCACCAUUCCAAUUUUUUCUUCAAUCUGAUAUGGCCCAUAAAACUUGCUUGCAAGCUUUUGAUAGGCUCUUUUAAACACAUAUUGCUAGCGAUAGGGAUGAAGCUUCAAAAACACAAAUUCGCCCACUUGAUACUCAAUGUCCCGACGUUUUGAAUCUACUUGCUGCUUCAUUCGGUUGUUUGCUGCAUGUAAAUUAUCUUUAAGCUGUUGUAGCAAGGCAUCUCGAGAAGCUAAGCUUUGGUCAACUUCAUUCACUGGAUAGGAACCUUCGUGGUAAGGUGGAAUUAUUGGUGGGGCCUUCCAUGUAGAGCUUGGAAGGGAGUCAUCCUUGUACAUGCAUGAUAGGUAGUAUUGUACCAAAACUUAGCCCAUGGAAGGAAAGAAUGCCACUUACGAGGCCGUCGGUAAGCAACGCAUUGAAGAUACUGUUCAGUACAACAUUUUACAACUUUCAUUUGACCAUCUAUUUGUGGAUGGUAGGCGGAACUCAUCUUCAACUGUGUGCCCGACAUUUUGAAGAACUCUCGUAAAAAAUGACUAGUGAACACCAGGUCGCAAUCACUUAUGAUGGACUGAGGCAUGCCAUGAAGCUUCACUACUCCUUCAAUAGAUUUUUCAGCCACCACUUUUUUUGUAUACAGAUGGGAAAAAGCUAAGAAAUGGGCUGAUUUACUGAACCUGUCAACCACAACAAAAAUUGAAUUUUUAUUGUUUGAGGGUGGAAGGCCCUCGAUGAAGUCCAUAGUAACAUCUCCCAAAUGUGACAAGGAAUUGGAAGUGGGUGUAAAAGUCCAGCUGGUGAUAAAGUCUCAGUUUUAGUUCGUUGGCACACUUCACAAGAGGCAAUAUAAUUCUUCACUGCUUGGUGCAUGGAUGGCCAAUAAAAUUGUUGUUCUAGUCUUUUGUAUGUUCUCAAUAUACCCGAAUGCCCACUCAAUAUACCCGAAUGCCCACCUAUUGGAGAAUCAUGAAAUUCUUACAAGAGUUGCUAGAUGAUGUUACAAUGAAGAGGCACCACCACUCGAUUUUUGUAACAAACCAGCCAGUUUCGCCUACUGUAAGGAAAGCCUGGGUUUUUAGUUGCUUGUUUGCUACAUGUAAGGAUUGUCACUAGCUUCAGCUUUGAUUGUAUCCCAUAAUUGAGUUUGAGACACAAACAAGGCACUAAGACUAGGACUACCUGCCACCCGUGAUAAUGCAUCAGCUGCAUUGUUCUCUAGGCCUGGUUUAUAUUUGAUUUCAUAAUCAUAUCCAAGCAAUUUAGUCACCCAUUUUUGUUGCUCAGGUGUUGCUAUGCGUUGCUCCAACAAGUACUUAAGGCUGUGUUGAUCAGUUUGGAUAUAAAACCUCCGGGCCAGCAAAUAUGGUCUCCAUGUUUGAAUUGCAUGAAUAAUUACCAACAUUUAUUUGGCAUAAACAGACCAUGAACGCUUGGUGGUGCCUGAGGCCCGACUCAUAAAUGUAAUAGGCUUCCCUUGUUGAGUCAGAUCCGCCUCGAUGCCGUCCCCUGAAGCAUCUGAUUCAAUGAUAAAUGGUUCACUGAAGUUUGGCAUUGUAUGUGUUGGUGUAGUAGUGAUGGUCUUCUUGAGUUCUUGAAAGCAUUUUCAGCUUCAUCUGACCAUCCAAAAUGUCCCCUUUUUUACGAGGUUGGUGAGGAGGGAUGUUAUGAUGCCAUAGUUGCGGACGAAUUUUGGAUAAUAACCUGAAAUUCCUAAAAAUCCACACAGCUCAGAGACAUUAGUAGGCCUAGGCCAAUUCAACAUAGUUUUAAUUUUUUCUUGAUCCGCCUUGACUCCUUGUGGUGUUACAAUAUGCCCUAAUUAGUAUUCGAAUUCUUGUAGAUCGAAGGCACAUUUAUUCAAUUUGACAAAAAAUUGGUGUUGCCUUAAUAUUUCAAAAGCUUUUCCAACAUGCUCAAGACGCAUGGUCCAAUUGGGGCUAUAAAUUAAAAUGUCAUCAAAUAAAACUGGUGCAAAUUUUUGGAGGUAAAAGCAAAAUAUUGAAUUCAUAAUUGCUUGAAAAGCAGAUGAAGCAUUAUAAAGACCAAAUGACAUAAAUUAGUAUUCACCAUGACCAUUAUGAGUACAAAAGGCAGUUUUAUAAAUGUCCCUAAUUUUAACAUGUCCUUAACUUGUUUUUCAAUUUUAGCUUCAAAAUAGGCAUACCUGUAUGGUUUCACAUUAAUGGGCUCGGUUCCCCUUUUCAAAUUAAUGUGAUGAUCCACUUCUCUUGAAAGAGGGUGUUGCGUCGGCUCUUGGAACGAGUCUUCAAAUUCCUCCAAUAAUUUUUUCACCUCAGGAUUGACAUCUUGUGACGGAAGAGUGGCUAUGGAUUGAAGACAAAUACCAAGCAUGGAGUUCCCUUAUCGUAUAUCUUUGGAAAUGGCUUUCAUUGAUGAGGGUUGAAUUGAUUGCAUAUCAAUCCCUUGUAAUUUUUGAGUUUGGUUGUUCCACUAGAAUUCCAUUGUUAAUUGCUUUUAAUUAUAUGCUACCGUUCCCAAUUGCUCUAACCAAUAAACACCUAAGGCCAAGUCCAACCCAAUUAAAGGUAAAGCAUACGAUCUUGGUUAGUAAACUUACAUAUCCCAAUACAACGGCCACGGCAGUAUUGAUUAAUAACUCUCAAUACCGAUGCUGGAGCAAAGCUUGCAGGGUAAUCGUUACUGAUAUGAAGCUCUUUAUUGUUUUCUAGGUCUUGAUAUACUUAUUUAUUUAUUUUUUCACAUAAAACUAUGGGGGACUGUCACUAAAAUAAUUAUGCUGAUGAGGAAAGAAGAACAAUAUCAGCGAAUAAAUGAAGGAUGACAGAUCAAAUGAAAUACUCACUUUUAUCGACGGCAUCUAAGAAAUUCUAUAUAUUGUUAUACAUGUUGCCCAUCAUUUUAAACCAACAUAAUAGGAUAGAUUAGAUAUAAAAUUAAAUUAUAAUUUUAAAGUCGGGUGGAUUAUUUGAACCUAUUUUUUUACUGCAUUUUCCUUUAUGGUGGACCAUCAUUAAAAUUGAAAAUAUCUUAUUCUACUUAACAAACCCUUAUAUUUUCCAAAAGUAACCCCUUCUUCUCUCAUUCACGCUUUUGUUUGUAUGUGAAAUAUAACACUCAAAUUUCAUCAGGUAAGAAUUUUGCCCAACUUUGAAAGGAAAAAAUAAGAAAAAGGGCUUAUCCUUCAAUCAAACCCACCAAAGAGUAAUAAAUAUAGAAAGUUAUUUUCUCAAAAUGCUACAAUGCUACGGGGCUGACUAUGUUGUAACAGUGGUAUGAUACCAUAUUUUUUGUCUUUUUGUAAUCUAACCAUUGGAUCCAAGGUAAGAAUGGCAAAAACAAAUGCAACGGCAAGGAUGUAUUUAUUAGGUUGUUUUCAUUACAAUCCCUCUUGUUUUUUGAAAUGUCAAGAAAAAAUAUAAUAAUUAUUAUUUUAUUUAUUGGCUUAGUUGUUAAAUGAUAUGAAUAAGGAAGAAGUAGGAAAUUUUAAGAGGACUUUUAUUAUUGAUAUUAGGCAAUUACAAUGCAUGAUUCAAUACUCGUUUAUAAGAGCCACAGCCCAUUAAAUAUAAAAUAAAGCCAAUGUUUACUUCCCAACUUCAAAAAGAUAAAUCUUUUUAUUUAUUCCACAAAUUCAUAAAUAUUUCAUAAUUAUCUAAUUAUUACUAUCAUUUCUAGAUCUACUCUCAUUAUUUAAAUUUAUUAUUAAUUAUAUUUAAUUAUUAUUUAUAUAUUAAUUAUUAAUAUAUAAAUAUAAUAUGAUAUAAUAAAAUAAUAUUAUAAUAUAAUUUAUUUUUAAUAUUAUAAUUAUUAUAGUAAAAAUAAAAAUAUAAUUUAGAUAUAUUUAAUGUUUCAAUUAAGGAAAAAGUUAGUACAUUGUAGUGAAUUAUAUAAUUGACCACAAUCUAGCUUUCAAAACUUCCAAACAUAGGUAAGCAAUAAAUUAAUGUGAACAAUAUUAUAACAAUAUACAAUACUCUGUUCCAAACACAUUCUAAUGGUGCAUUUAUUAAAUAAGAAUUGAAAUGAACUGGAAUUGUAAUAAGAGAUUUGAAUCAGAAUAAGUUGUUUAUUUGAGCUGUAGGAAUUGGAAUUGAAAUGAACAACAUUCCCAUUGAUGUGUUUACUUUAUUUUAGAAUUGGAAUAGACUAUUAUAAGUUACUAAAAUGCCAUUUGUUAAUUGUGUCCCUAAUAUUAUUUGUAUAUAUUAUAAUUAAAACAAUAAAGAUAAUAAUAAUAAUAAUAAUAAUAAUAAUAAUAAUAAAAACUAAAAAUAAUAAUGAUGAAAAUAAUGUUAAUUAAAAAAUAAUAAAAUUUAACAACAAUAAUAAUAAUAAUAAUAACAAAAACAACAAAAUUAACUGAAAUAAUAAUAUUAAUAAUUAAAAUAAUUAAAAUUAUUAAUAAGUUUUAAUAAUUAUAAUAUUAAUAAAAAUAAUAACAACAAUAAUUAAUAAUAAUUAAACUAAUAGAGUUAAUAUAUUUUAAUAAAAACAAUAAUUUUAAUCAUAACAAGAUAAAUAUUAAUAAUAAUGAAUUACUUACGGUAUGAUAACAAUUAAAAUAAUAAAAGUAAUAAUUUUAAUAAUAAUAAUAAUAAUGACAGUAAUAAUCAUAAAUAAUAAUAAUUAUUAAAAUAAAUAAAAAUAAUAAAAUUUAAUGGUAAUAAUCUUAUAUAAUAAUAAUGAUAAUAAUAAUAAUAAUAAUAAUAACAACAACAAUAAUUAAAAUUCUUUUCAAAUGCCAUUUUAUCCCAAAAAAUGACUUAUAUGUAAAAGCUUUUAACUUCUUGUGCCUAUUGAAUUUUACAAAAAAUAUAAGGUGGUGUAGUGUAAUCAAACACAAAAGGACAAAAGUAGUGGUAUGUUGCAACUGUUGCAACAUAGGCCUACCCCCAAUGCUACGAGAAUUCUUAUGAAGGCAAUGAAUUGAUUUUAUUUUAUUUUUUCGGAUGCAAAAGCUAAUGAAUUGAUUAAUAAUAAUUAAUAUAUAUUUGAAAAAUAACAUAAAGUGGCUAUUUUGAAGCCAAUUUUGAGCAAGAUGAAUAUUGGAAAUAUAUACUUACAUAGAUGGUUCAUAGUCUCCUUUAUUAGCUCUUUGGAACAAACCAUAUCGAACUGGUGCGUGACUAAAUAAGAAAUUGGAUCCUAAAGAGCACUCAUUGGUGUGAAAAAAAUGAAGAAAAAAUCUCACAUGGAAUUUUAACUAACUGAUGCCCUCUCUUGAAACAUAUAUAUAUUGGUUUCCAUGUUCAUUUGCAAAAGACACCAAUAUCCAAGCGAUUUUUGCUAUUCUCUUUUAAGUAAAUACCUUUAGUUUUAGGCUUUAAUGUGAUAGAAUUUAAACGUCUGUUUGAAAUUCUCUCGAAUAGAGAGGUUGUGCUGCCAUCACUAUUUAAGCACCAUGGUAAAAGUGGCGUAUAUGUUUUAAGGACAUUUUAUAUUUACAAGUCUCGAGUGAGUGGUUUUUGUAUUAUUAUAUAUUGUUAAUUUAUCUAUUAUAUUUUUGCUAUUUCAAUUUAUUUUUAUUAUUAUUAUGAACUUGUGAUAAGUGUGUAAGAGAUUUAUUAGUAAGUUGAAGUACACUAAAAAGAUUUUGUCACUAAGUAGAGCUUUUAGUAGUAGAACUUUUAUAAAUAGAGUUUUUACCCCAAAAAAUUUAUUUGUUUGGUUGUCAAUAAGAGUUUUUAUUAAAAAUCCAUGAAAUUACUUUAAGAGGCAAGUUUUUUUAAGUUACGUUAUGAAAAGAAUAAAAUAAGAUUGUUAAAUAAGUAGAGGAUAUUUUAGAUAUUUUAACAUUUAAAAAAAGCUUUUCAACCUCUACUCCCAAAAGCCCAAAAUUUGAGUUUUUACUAGUAGAGGCAAAGUAGUUUAUUUAAGCUCUAAAAGUUCUACUAAAAAAACAACCAAACAACAAUAAAAAUUAUGAUAAGAGCUUAUGAGAUUAAAUAAUCACUUAUGGCCAUUAGAUUAAUCAUUCUAAACAGGCACUAAGACUAUAAAUAUAUUGUUUAAGAAGUCUGAGUUUCAAACAAGACCAUUAUAAACCUUUCGAUCUUUCUUGGAAAUCUAACUAGUGUGUUUUUACAUAAAAAGUGUGUAGUCUUAUAUCACUUGCUAAUUAAUGAUAAUAUACCCAAGAAUAUAAAAUAUGAACUUGGGCUUUUGAAAAAAAAAAAAAUUAGUUCACGUGCAAAUAUUUGGAGCUUAUUACCGAAAAGAUCUACAGCAGUUUAUGAUUGUCUUUUAGAAAACAAAUUAUCUUUUAAUCAAUGAUAAAUAAGAGACCAUUCAACUUGUGUAAACAUAGUUGAAUUAGCUAUUGAUAGAUUGUAUAAUUUCACUGAAUAAUUUCCUUCUAUCUUAAAAAAUUAAGUUAAGAAAAUAAAUAAAUGAAAAAUAGAUAUUUGAUUUGUGGAUUAGUAAUUUCGGAAUAUAGAUAUAAAAGAGGGAGAGAACAUGAGAGGUCAAAGGAUAAAAGAGAAUGAUUUUGUAAUUUUAUAUAAAAAUAGUUUUAUGAUAUAAAUUUUUAAUAAAAAUAAGUGCAAAGAGUAUUAAGUCGGGUUAAAUAGCCCGACCCUUUAAGGAAAGACCCAUCUCAUCAGUAGACUCAUCAUAUACCCAAAACACAACUCUGUAGCAACAAAUUAGGAAAAUAGCAUUCAACAAAUUAGGAAAAUGGCAAAAUGCUAUGUUACAUUAAUGUAACAUAGCAAGAUCCUAAUGUAAUAUACACACUCUACAACUAUCACAUAAAUUGUGUGUGCCUAUCAUUUGACUAAGAAAAUUACUUUAUACAACAGUCAACAGAGAUAAACGUGUCAACAUACGACUUGUUAAAUUGUUUAUUGUCUGUAAGUUGCAAAGUUGCAAAAUGGAAACGGCUUUUUCGGCUUCCAUGGGAACCGAAGUGGAAGUAUCGGAGCCGUUGAUUGAGAAAAUCACGGCGGAGGAGGAUCAGCUGAUUCCGGAAUGGAAGGAUCAGAUAACAAUCAGAGGACUGGCGGUGAGCGCGAUAAUGGGGACGCUCUUCUGCAUCAUCACGCACAGGCUCAAUCUGACGGUCGGAAUCAUUCCGUCUCUCAACAUUGCGGCGGGACUCUUAGGGUUCUUAUCCGUGAAGUCGUGGACAAGCUUCUUGUCGAAGCUCGGGUUCUCGACUAAGCCUUUUACAAGACAAGAAAACACCGUCAUUCAAACCUGUGUUGUGGCUUGUUAUGGCCUCGCUGCUAGCGGUGAUGAUUAAUUAUUGAGUCUUUUUCUAUGUUCAUUUCUUUUAGGUAAUAAAUUUUCUUGUAAGUGUUUGGUUAAAUUUGAAGCUAGGGAAAAAAAAGAAACAAAAAACUUGAAGAGUGUUUGUUUGUAGUUGUGUUUUUGUUGUUCGUAAAUUUGUUUACUUCUUCAGUUUGAUGUUAUUAUUAAUAUGCAACUCUCGACAGGGGGAUUUGGUUCGUCCUUCCUUGCAAUGGACGAGAGGACAUAUAAACUAAUUGGUACCGAGUACCUUGGUAAUCGGGCAGAAGAUGUCAAGAACCCUGGAUUGGGGUGGAUGAUUGUUUUCAUGUUUGUUGUCAGUUUCGUUGGUCUCUUCAGUCUUGUUGCGCUUCGGAAGGUAGCUUUUACUGUCUUUGUUUAUAAAAAUGCAUUUUUAUACAUGCUAAGAUAAAUUUCAAUUUAAGUUGAGUCCAUUAUUGGAUAAUUUUUCAAUCAUUUAAUUGUUGUGUUUGACUUAAUACAGUUUAUUUUCUUGUUUUUUGUUGUGUGUGCUGAUAGUAGUCGCAUUUCUAAUCCUUUCCCUCUGUGUUGUAUCAGGUUAUGAUCUUGGAUGGUAAACUUACAUAUCCCAGUGGAACAGCCACGGCAGUGUUGAUUAAUGGCUUUCAUACCAAUGCUGGCGCAGAGCUUGCAGGGUAAUUGUUACUAAUAUGAAUCUCUUUAUUUUUUUGUACGUCCUGAUGUACUUUUUUUUUUUUACAUAAAACCAUGGAGGAAGGUAGCUAACAUAAUUAUGUCGAUGAGGAAAGAUGAACAAAUUCAGAGAGUGAACGAAGAAUGUGGGCUCUGUCUAUCUGCAUGUAUUGUUGACUGAGCUUGUAGGUUUUAGUUAAGAAGAAUAUUUUUAAUGUGUCAUAAUCCUUGCUUACAUGAAGUCUGUGAUAUUUAUCAAUUUUCACAGUUGUGCCCUUGUACUUAUUGGAUGGUUUUCACUUUCCCCUGAAUUGUAUUUAUUAUAUUCUUUAAUAAUGUUAAUUAGAAAAUUCGUUAAUGAUUGUUUAAGAAAGCAGAGCUCGAGCAUUCCAGGGCCACCUACCACCCUUCCACCUGAAAAGAAAGCAAAAAAAAAAAAAAAAAAAAAAAAGAGAGAUAGAUUUCUUGCUAAUUACUAAUCUGUUGUUAUUGCAGGAUGCAAGUGAGGUGCAUUGGAAAAUAUUUGAGUAUAAGUUUUUUAUGUAGCAGCUUUAAGUGGUUCUUCAGUGGCGUUGGGGAUUCAUGUGGAUUUGAUAAUUUUCCCAGCUUUGGUUUGAUUCUAUUUAAAAACACGUAAGGCUCUUUUCGAUUUACUAUUCGUAUGUCUCUUUGUCUCUCUGUUUUAUUUGUGCCAUUAUCAUAUUUUCAUAUUAUCUGUGUUUCUUCCUUCUUUGGCCUUUUCCCUGAAGUUUUACUCCAUUAUGUUUUAUUAGAGCAAAGUAACCCGGCCUAAAUGUCCAUUUGUUGUCAUAUGGAAUAUCUGUUUUCCUAUAUGGGGUAGCAUAAUAAUUAGAAAGCGUUCUUUUGUAGAAUAAAAUAAGAGAGAGUGAGUGUAUGUGCACUCUAUCCUAAAGUGUUGUUUGUAUUUUCUUUCAAAUUUCACCACAUUGGUUUGUUUGCCAGAAUUGGUGUAUUCAUUAUUUACUUACAUUGGUGGUGUCCCUGGAAUUCUAAUUGUCUUUCUUUUUUUGGUAAUACUUUCUACAGAUUUUAUUUUGAUUUCAGUCCAACUUAUGUGGGAUGCGGUCUUAUUUGUCCUCGCAUUGUCAACUGUUCUGUUCUUCUUGGCGCUAUUGUAUCAUGGGGUUUUCUCUGGCCCUAUAUCUCCCAACAUGCUGGUGACUGGUAUCCAGCUGACCUUGGUAAUAGUGAUUUUAAAGGUCUUUAUGGAUAUAAGGUAUGGUGAAUCACACUCAUACGAUGCCUCUAAGACAAUUCCAUUACAGUUUACGUGUUUCGGACUUUUUCCUAUCUUACGUGUUGAGGCAUGCAAAUGAGCUAGACAUUUACUCUGUUUCUGAUCUCUCUUUUUCUUGCACUUCUGAAUUGGUGAAGCUGUCUCCUCUUGUUUCUCUGCUGUGAAUCGACUGUUCCCCCAAUUGCUUUUUGCAGGUCUUCAUAGCUAUUUCCCUUAUCCUUGGGGAUGGUCUUUACAAUCUGAUAAAGAUAAUCUCUGUAACUUUCAAGGAAUUGUGCAACAAAAGAACCAAAGUUAGCAAACUUCCAAUUGAUAAUGAGAUUCAAGGUGCAAAUGAAUGUUCCUCUGUUGCCUAUGAAAACUUGACCAAAUUAUUUUGUCUGGAAUAUUGAUUGAAAGUUCUGCUCAUCAUGUGCCCUCAGUAUAGUUGCUUGUGAUAGCCAGUUUGUUAUUUUUUUGGCACAAAAUUUCUACUUGAUUCGACCUAUUUGAUUGUUUUAAUUGGGAAACACUUCUGUUGCUGGUAUGUCUUCAGAAGCUAAUACAGUCAAUAAUCAUGCUCACAUGUACUUUUGCAGAUACUGAGAGUUCCAGAUUGCUAAUAGAGCAGAAAAAACGAGAGAAUGUAUUUCUAAAAGAUGGGAUACCCACCUGGUUUGCUGCUUCUGGAUAUGUGGGCCUGGCAGCUAUAUCAACAGCAACAAUUCCCACCAUCUUUCCACCUCUCAAGUGGUACUUAGUUCUCUUGUUAUACCUUAUUGCCCCAGCCCUAGCCUUCUGCAACUCUUAUGGGGCGGGACUUACAGACUGCAGCUUAUCUUUAACCUAUGCAAAAAUUGGGCUUUUCAUCAUUGCUUCUUUGGUUGGACCCAAUGGUGGGGUUAUUGCUGGGUUAGCAGCUUGUGGGGUUAUGAUGUCCAUUGUCUCUACUGCAGCUGAUCUCAUGCAGGAUUUUAAGACAGGUUACCUCACUCUAUCAUCAGCCAAGUCUAUGUUUGUAAGCCAGUUACUUGGAACAGCCAUGGGUUGUGUCUUUGCCCCACUCACUUUCUGGAUGUAUUGGACCGCUUUUGACAUUGGGUCACCUGAUGGUCCGUACAAAGCACCAUAUGCAGUGAUAUUAAGAGAGAUGGCCAUUUUAGGGAUCGAAGGCUUUUCGGAGCUUCCCAAGCACUGCCUGGCCUUAUGUUGUGGGUUUUUUGUGGCUGCUCUGGUUAUAAACCUUCUAAGGGAUGUGAUUCCAGAGAAAAUCUCAAAGUUCAUUCCUGUUCCCAUGGCUAUGGCAAUUCCAUUUUUUGUUGGAGCAUACUUAGCAAUUGACAUGUUUGUUGGGACCGUGAUAUUAUUCAUAUGGGAGCGAAUCAAUCGAAAGGAUUCGGAGGAUUAUGCAGGGGCAGUUGCAUCCGGUCUAAUUUGUGGGGAUGGAAUUUGGACUAUGCCAUCUGCAGUCCUCUCUAUUUUUAGUAUCAAUCCACCCAUUUGCAUGUAUUUUGGGCCUACUGUGAGUAGCUGAGCAGGAAAACUGGGAAACUCUCUGGCUGUGUUGUACUUGUCCCAUAGGUUGUAUGAACUGGAUUAUUUUUGUAAAUUUGUUUGUUAUAUAUGUUGAGGAUGGAUUUUUAGAAUAUCUUUUAUUUCUUCAUCAUACUUGCGCACAUAUUUGCACGAUGGCAAGAUUGAAUAAUAGGCGUAGAGCAACAUCAGUUAUAGAUGAACUUGGCUUAGAUGGAUGGGAUCAAUAUCUGCAGAUUUCCAUCAAAUUAUUGGCUAACUUCAUAAUUGAUAGGUGAUUAUUGCUGCAGAUUGUGAAGACCUUUGAAGAUUUGAAAGGAUCCACAUACAAGGUAACGUACAUCCCAAUUUCACUGAUGAAACCACAGCAGUGAAACUAAAGGCGAGCUCUAGCUGGAAUUUUCCUAUUUGUGCAGAUAGUGAGUUUGUAAAAACCUAUAACACGAGCUUUUAUCUUUAUAUAUGAUCAACAAUCAGCCCAUGCUUAUUCACCUGACAUCUCGUAACUUAGCUUUAUAUUGAUAAUUUUUUUUUGGCUUGUACAAUAAUCAAUGGUUUAUAUCGACAAUAAUUUUCAAACCAUUGAUAAAAUUUCAUAACCAAAAUGCUUGCAUAUUUCUUUCAUAGCAUGUAACAAAUUUAUGUUUUCAUAAUGGAUAAAGUCAUUCACUUUACGCAUAACAACCUUAACUUUAUUGCAAAAUUAUCAUGUAUAUAUGAAACUAAAACUUCAUAUCUCUCAUUAACCUUAAGAUUUAUACUUUGAUCAACAAUGUUCUUUAUAAACCAAAUGAGAUUAACAUUGUAACUAUUAUAAAUCAUAAAUGAGAGACUUACAUUUAGUUCAUCUUUAUAAUUUGCAAGUGAACAUAAGAUGAUGGCCAAUACCUUAUGAGAAGUUACAAUUUUUUUUUCAUAACCUUCAUAAAACUUUUACCCCCUGAGUAACAGAAGUACUAUCAAUUUUUCGCCACAUGAGAUUUAAGCUCAAUAGAUUUAAUUGUCCCAGUGCUCAAAUCCAUCUUGUUCACGUAGAGUACUUGAUUUUGCAAGAACAAGUUAUUCAUCGACACGAAACGCUAUAUAUACAAUCAAUUAGGGAAAAAUAUAUGCAUCUCAUGCUAUGUAAUCAAAAACUUAAUUUUAAUUUAACCAAUGUUAAUUUAACAGUAAAUUCAAACCUCUUGCCGGUAGAGUUUACAAAAUGCAUUGAAAUACUAUAUCUUUACUCACAUAUGAGAUAUAUAUGAGUCUUUAAUAAUAAGACUAGCAAAUAUGGUCAUAACAUUAGAAAAUUCCGUUCUAGGAAAAUUCUCAUAAAUUGAUGCCCAAUUCGCUAUCUUAUUCCAAUUAAAUCAUUAAAAUAAUUAUAUCCCUCUGGUGCCAAAUAACUAUUUACCGAACAACUACAAACAUUUGAUGCCAUAUAUCAUUUUAUUCAUCUUUAUAUGAUAUUAUAAUAAUUAUAUACUUCAUCAAAUAUAUAUUAUCGUAUCUUGAAAUGCUAUGCGUACUUUCAAGAUACAACAAUAUUUUAAAACUUUAUUGGCAUCACAAAAAUAAUUGGUCACAAAUAAUCGGCUAGAAGUUGAUGCCAAUAUUCUCUUUAACACAACCAAACCUUUAGUGUAGAUAAAAAUAUGGAUUCCAUUUAUGUAGCGUUAAUAACAAAAUUAUAAUUCAUAAUAAUAAUAAUGUCGUUUUUUAUCUUAUGCAUGAUAUCUCAUAUCAAAAUACCUUAAGAUGCUAUGACUAUUCUCAAGAUAUAUGAUAUUUGUUUUGUCACCAAUAAAUCAAAUAAUGCACUAAUGACAUUAAAUAUUUACCAUGGUUCACUUACAGCAAACAAAACCUUAUGUUAUCAAAUGAGACAUAUACCAACAUUCAAAUCUUAUAUAUACCUCAUGCAUAAUCAUAUAUUCCAAAAGAAUCAUUCAGAUCCACAUAUUACAAACUCGAAAGCCAAAAAUGAUAUUAAUUAAUCUAGUCAGGUUUCAAUUCAAAUUAUUACUGUAAAAAUUAUAGAAUAUAAUUCAUGAUAAUGGUAAAUAAUCAAAAUAAAACUACAUGAUCAUUCUCAUCGAUUAUUGUAAGCCAUAUAAUGUAUGAACUUUAGAAACAAUUGCAAAAAAAAAAAAAAAAAAAAAAAAAACGCAACAACUACAUGGAUGAUUCGAUCAUAAUAAAAUAGAUAUAUAAAAAUUUCUCUAACUGAGUUUCUUAUUAUUAUCAUGUAUUAUAUAUCAAAUUAAAAUGCAUGUACUUAAUAAAUCCAUGAAAAUUUAUUCGUGGGUAACCUCUGUAAUCAUAAUAUCAUAUGAUGUAAUAUGUAAUUCUAUGCAUUUUUUUAUAUAUCUAUUAUAAAUGCAAUCUGUAUCAAAAACUUAACUACAAUCAAAUACACUUCAACAUGAUUUCAACAUAUAAAUAAAAUGAUAUAUAUACCGAACAACAAGAAUUGAAGGUGGCUUUGAUACCACGUGUAAAAAAAUUAGAUUAGAAGAGGAUUGUAUCUCCAAUCACAGUUGUUCAAAUUUGAAGCAUUCUCUACAUUCAUUAAAUUUUACAAAGGUGUCUUCUACCCUAUUCCAUUUUAUAGCCUUCUCUUGUGAUGGAAAACAAAUUCUUGGUAAGCAUUGAUUUAGCUUGGCUAAGGACCCUUUUAUAGUAAUAAUUCUUAACUUAAAAAGACUUUGCACUUCCUUCCAUCAGAGAAGUGAUUUAUAAUCUUUAUCACUUCCAUUAUAAAAGUGACUAAUAAACUUUAAUAACCUUUAUCACUAUCCUUUAAAACAAGUAAAUGAGUCAUUAAUAUGAGUUUAUGUAUUUACUUACUUAAACAAUGGACUUUUCAUGUGUACUAUGUAAUGAAAAUUCUUUUAAAAUAAUCAAUAAAAAGACAUGGGAUUAGCUUAUAACUUUACUAUGAAAGCCCGCGGAAUUAACUCAUAUUAAAAAAGAAAACUUAUUAAAUGUUAAGAGUUUAUUGUUAUCUUGAGUUUAUAUACUUAGUUUGGGAAUUGCAUAUAUUCUCGUCCUCGAGAAGGUAGCAGUUUUAUUUUAGCUAAUCACCGAGUUGAAAUCUCAAAAAAAAAAAAAAAAGGGAACAAAAUUAAAAUUGAUUAAGGCUUUGCCUGCACUUCUACCUUUUAAAUAGGGAAAGAAAACUAAAAUAUUGAAAAAAAAGCUAUAUAUAUAUUCUCAUAUGUUAGAUUAUUUUAUAACAUUGUUCUCUUCUUUAUUCAACUAGCAUAGCCUUUCUGUCAUAUUAUGGCAAAGAUGAAGAAUAAAGAUUUAAUCAGAUCUAAUAUUAGUGUAGAUCUAACCCCACAAUCACAUGAUUUUUGUACGGAAAAACUAAUGUAGACUAUAGCAUCGAGAAAUGUUAUUUAAGUAUGGCUAACUGAGAGUUUGACAACUAAUUAGUUACACUUGACUGUUUUGGUAUAACUCUUGAGCUGAUAUGUAAGUUACAGGUGUUUUGUAAUGGAAUUGGAGAAAUGUAUCUUAAAAAUUACACCAAUAAAGUAUUUAUUAAUUAAAUAAUUUGUUCCUGUAACUUAGAGGUUAAGUUGAUUUAAUCUCUAAUUUGUAUAAUAAAAAAUCGAUACCAUUUUUACUAUUGAAUUAUUAUUUAAAAAUCAUAUUACCACACAUAAUUUAUUUUUAUUUUUUAAUUAUAAUUUUUUUCUACGCACGACAUUUCAAUACCAAAUAGACAUUCUUUUUUUUAAAAAAAAAGAUAAUUUUCCUUAAAAAGAAGACGUAUGGUUGGUAAUUUCAUAUCUAACAAUAAUGAUCUUUAACAAUGAUAUAAUUUUUUUUAAUGGAAAAAGAAAAAUGACGGAUUGGGCAAAGGUCUAAUCAAAUUACAAUGAUUCAUCUAACAGUAAUGAUCUCUAUCAAUUCUUCUCCUGAACGAAUCUUUAUUUAGGGUCUCAAAUCCUUUAUCCUUCAGCGAUUUAUUUAUGCCUGCUCUCCAUAAUUUGUAGAAAUCCUUAAUCAAUAGUUCGGUAUUUAUGGCCCAAUUGUUUAUAUCUCUCAAUGAAUCAAUCGCAGAUCUCCAGAAUAGAUAUGCUACGAAGCAGAGCUGAUAAAUACGGGUAUAUUAGUUAUUUUCGGAGUUCAACAAACACAGAUGUUUGUAAUAAUUUGAUAAGAUUAUUGUUUGUGUCAUUUGUUUCUUCUUAUUUUAUUAACUGAAGCUAUUGUUUUCAAGUGGUAAACAACGAAGAUUCAACAAUUAAUAUUUGUUCUUAAUCCCACAAGGCUACAGUCAUAUGGUUUAUGCAAGGGAUAUAUAAUUAAUGCAGCCUAUAUUUAGUCUAAAAAUAAUAUCUAAUUAUUACGUUUAGCAAAAUUCAUUGCUAAAGAGGGGCUAUUGUGACCACAAAUUUGUUUUGUCGCAAAAAAUUUGAGUGCUAAAAAAAUUGUUGGCGCCGAAAUCUUUAUCAACCAAAAAUACACCAUAUAGCAACGGUUCCAAUCAUCACAAAUUCCAUCAAUAGCGAAGAAAGAAUUUUUGUUGCAAAAGGUGGUUUUAGCGACAAACAUCCUCGUUGUAGAAGCCCUAUGGCGAUGAAAAUAUCUUCAUUGCUAAAACUACCUUUUGCGACCAAACCGUUUCAUUCCAAAAAGGUAAUUUAAAAUAGAAUGUUGGUAUAUGUCUUAAAACCACCAAUGGUCAUCUCCCUUUUGAAAUGUGAGUGGAGUAGACGUCUCUCUAAUAUUAAAAAGGGUAAAAAUUUAGACGGUGCUUCAUAAGAAUUAAUGUAAACUAGUCUCAAUAAUAAUAUGAUUUGUAAAUAUCAGUUGUAAUAUCAUGUAAUGAGUUGUACUCUUGAGCAAUAGUCAUAUGUAAUUAAAAAAAAGAUCAAAUAACAUAAAUAUUAAUAAAUUUAAAUUCUUGGUAUCUUCUAAUAGGAUCUUUUCUAAGAUGGAUAUAUGAGAUAUGUAGUGCUAAGUUAAUGCUUUGUUUGUUCGCAAGAAGAAAACGUAAAAGGAUGAGCCAAAGCUGAAAAAAGCAAAGUUAACAGCUCUGGCUGUUCUAGAGCAAUAAAUUAUGAUGUGAAAUUUGAUUUAGGGACGUUAUUGUGGUUGCAAAUGCAGGGUAACAAUCGUGGCACUCUUUUGAUAAUAGAACCAAAGAAAAAAAUUAAUUGAUUAAUUAUUUAAAUUUUUUCUAUUUAAAUAUUUUAAAUAUAAUAUAUAAAUAUAGUAUGACUUUUAAAUAAUUUUAGAAAAAUCCUCUUUUGCAAAAGGAUAUGGCUAACAUUGUUUACGUAUAAAAAAUCAUUCACCGUCAUUCAUGGCAAAAUUAGAGAUGGCCAACGGCCUAGGCAGCAUGUGGCAUGACACGGCACAACACGAGCAUAUUUUGGUAGGGCACGUAGUACAACACGGCACACAUGCGAAUUAGAUUGGGUUGAGAAUUUUAAAUAAAUUAGGAAAUGGAACAGCACUUCGUGCGGUUUUAAAAAAAAAUUAGUAUUAUAUUUUUUUAUUAUUUUGCACUUGAUGAAACUAAUAAAAAAUAUAAAUUAUUUUUUUUAAAGAUGACGUAGCCUUAUAAAACUAAUGUUAUUUAUGAAAGUUAAUUAUUUUUUUGUUAACAUUAAAAAUAUAUAUUAAUGUGUAUAGUUAAGUGUACACAACCUUUUCAUCAAUAAAAAUUAUGUUCGCACUAAUCAACUCUUUAUUUUUCUUGGUAUUAACAAACUCCCAUAUCUUAUAAAGUCUAACCCUUAUCAUCCAACUAUCUUUAUCAUUGUUUAACUCAUGAAGAAAAGAGUACUCCAUGAAGCACACAAUAUUAAAAAUUUAAAUAAGUUAAAAAAUAAAAACACAAGAACAUUUCUAAAGAGGAUGUUGGUUAAAUAAUAAAAAAAAACCCAAACAUAACAAAUCUUAAAUGCUUAAUAUUUAUAGAGUUUGAAGAAGUCAAAAGACACUAAAUAAAAGGUUGCAUAAUUAAAUAUGGGAUUAUGACAUUAAAAUUAGGUCCUAGUGGUAUUGGUGAGGAAAGAUGAAGGAACCUUCCUUCCUAUAUUAAUUAGUUGAUGUAUUUUAAACCACUAAAGUUUAGUUGUUGGCUUAAUAAAAUAAAUGAAUGUUUCAAAACUUAUAAUUAAUUUAUUAUUAAUGGUUACAUAUUGUUGAAUUUAAAUAGAAAGAGGAAGAGACAUGUAAUUUUUUGUAAUCUAUUAAUUAUUUUCUAUUUUUAAUAUUUUGUAAUGUAAUUAUUUUUUAAUCUCAACCAAUAGAUUAGAUAAUAGAAAAUAUAAAAAGAUGAGAAAUAAUAAUGCCACAAAUCUUAACUACUUAAUAUUUAUAGAGUUUGAAGAAGCCAAAAGGCACUAAACAAAAGGUUGCAUAAUUAAAUAUGAGAUUAUAGCAUUAAAAUUAGACCCUAAUGACAUUGUUGAGGAAAGAUGAAGGAACAUUCAUUCCUAUAUUAAUUAAUUGAUAUAUUUAAGCCACUAAGUUUAAUUAUUGGCAUAAUAAAAUAAAUAAAUAUUUCAAGAUUUAUAAUUAAUUAUUAUUAAUGGUUACAUAUUAUUGAAUUUAAAUAGAAAGAGGAAGAGACAUGUAAUCUUUUAUAAUCUAAUAAUUAUUUUUUAUUUUUAAUAUUUUGUAAUGUAAUUAUUUUUUUAAUAUCAACCAAUUUAUUAGAUAAUAGAGAAUACAAGAAGAUGAGAAAUAGUGAUGCCAUAUCACCUUCUCUAGUCCCAACUUUAUAUAUAUAUAUAUAUAUAUAUAUAUAUAUUUUGUAAUUGUUUUUUAAUCUCAACCAAUAUAUUAGAUAAUAGAGAAUAAAAAAAGAUGAGAAAUAAUGAUGACACAAAUCUUAAAUAUUUAAUGUUUAUGGAGUUUGAAGAAGCCAAAAUGCACUAAACAAAAGAUUGAAUAAUUCAAUAUGGGAUUAUGACAUUAAAAUUAGGCUCUAAUGGUAUUGUUGAGAGAAGAUGAAGGAACCUUCCUUCCUAUAUUAAUUAAUUGAUGUAUUUUAAGCCACUAAAAUUUAAUUGUUGGCAUAAUAAAAUAAAUGAAUGUUUCAAGACUUAUAAUUAAUUAUUAUUAAUGGUUACAUAUUGUUGAAUUUAAAUAAAAAGAGGAAAAGACAUGUAAUCAUUUAUAAUCUAAUAAUUAUUUUCUAUUUUAAUAUUUUAUAAUGUAAUUAUUUUUUAAUUUCAACCAAUUUAUUAGAUAAUAGAGAAUAUGAAAUGAUGAGAAAUGGUGAUGCCACAUCACCUCUCGUAGUCCCAACUUUAUAUAUAUAUAUAUAUAGAUAUAUAGAUUAGUUGAUGUAUUUUAAGGCACUAAAGUUUAAUUGUUAGCAUAAUAAAAUUUGAAGAAGCCAAAAGGCACUCAACAAAAGGUUGCAUAAUUAAAUAUGAGAUUAUGAUAUUAAAAUUAGGCCCUAGUGGCAUUGUUGAGGGAAGAUGAAAGAACCUCUCUUCCUAUGUUAAUUAAUUCAUGUAUUUUAAGCCACUAAAGUUUAAUAGCUAACAUAAUAAAAUAAAUGAAUAUUUCAAAAGACUUAUAAUUAAUUAUUAUUAAUGAUUAUAUAUUGUUGGAUUUAAAUAGAAAGAGGAAGAAAUAUGUACAAAGAAUAUCCACUAAUAUUUUAGAUAUUUUAGAUAAUAGAGAAUAUAAAAAGAUGAGGUUGAGGGAAGAUGAAAGAACCUCUCUUCCUAUGUUAAUUAGGUGAUGUAUUUUAAGGCACUAAAGUUUAAUUGAUAGCAUAAUAAAUUUUGAAGAAACCAAAAGACACUCAACAAAAGGUUGCAUAAUUAAAUAUGUGAUUAUGACAUUAAAAUUAGGCCUUAGUGGCAUUGCUGAGGGAAAAUGAAAGAACCUAUCUUCCUAUGUUAAUUAAUUCAUGUAUUGUAAGCCACUAAAGUUUAAUUGCUAGCAUAAUAAAAUAAAUAAAUGUUUCAAAAGACUUAUAAUUAAUUAUUAUUAAUGAUUACAUAUUGUUGAAUUUAAAUAGAAAGAGAAAAAAAGUACAAAGAAUAUCCACCAAUAUUUUAGAUAAUAUAAAAUAUAAAAAGAUGAGGAAUGAUAUAUAUUAAUAAAGUGAUUAUUUAUUAAAUGAGUUAAAUACAAUCAAAUUAAUUAUGAGAAGAUGAAAAGCCAAAUCUAAAAAAAAAUCUCUAUUUAUUAGAUAAUAGAGAAUAUAUAAAGAAGCAAAAUGGUGAUGCCACAUCACCUCCUCAAGUCAUAGCUUUAUAAAUGAAAGAACAUAUCUUCCUAUGUUAAUUAAUUCAUGUAUUUUAAGCUACUAAAGUUUAAUUGCUAGCAUAAUAAAAUAAAUAAAUAUUUCAAAAGACUUAUAAUUAAUUAUUAUUAAUAAUUACAUAUUGUUGAAUUUAAAUAGAAAGAGAAAAAAAGUACAAAGAAUAUCCACCAAUAUUUUAGAUAUUUUAGAUAAUAGAAAAUAUAAAAAGAUGAUGAAUGAUAUUUAUUAAUAAAGUUACUAUUUAUUAAAUGAGUUAAAUACAAUCAAAUUAAUUAUGAGAAGAUAAAAAAUCAAAUCUUAAAAAAAAAUCUCUAUUUAUUAGAUAAUAGAGAAUAUACAAAGAAGCAAAAUGGUGAUGCCACAUCACCUCCUCAAGUCCUAGCUUUAUAUAUAUAUAUAGAUAGGCCUUAAAAGCAUGACGAUAUUAGAGAUGGGUUAAAGCACGGAAUGUGAAAAGGCCCGCAAUAUGCACUUUCACUUUUCAAUAAAAGAAAACUUAAAAUUUUAUGAUUUAUAAAUAACUUGAAAUUGAAUUUUAAUAUAUUUUAUUAACGUAAGUUUUUUGAAUUCAUUUAAUUCUUAGUUUAAAAAAAAUGACUCUAGUUGUUUUCUGUUUAUAAGUUAUUAAAUAAAUAAAUAAAUGAUAUGAUGAUUUUAAUAAAUAAAAUUAUAAAUAUCACAAUUUUACAUCACUUUAUGUCGCUGAAGAAUCAUGUGUUUAUUGUGGUGAAGGGCACUUAUUUUGAUAAUUGUCUUGGAAAUCCAGUCUCAAUCAACUAUGUGGGUAACUUCAACAUGCAGAACUAGAACCAUUCAUAUUUAAACAUUUACAACUCUAGAUGGAUACAGUACCCAAACUUUUAAUGGAGUCAUCAAAAUCAACAUACUGCAGCAUCCAGUGGACAAAACAGACCUGCUCAACCACCUGGAUUUCACCAGAAAAAUCAAGGGUAAAGAAACACCAGCAAUGAUCAACUUAGUUCUCUUGAAGCUUUGUUUAAAGAAUAUAUUGUGAAGAAUGAAGCAAUUGUUCAGAGCCAAGCUGUGUCUAUAAGAAACUUGGAGAAUCAGAUUGGACAGCUGGCUACAACAUUGAGUAAUAGACCUCAUAGCAGGUUUACCCAGCAAUACAGAGGAUCUAAGAAGAGAAGGAAAAAUAUAUGGCAAAGUGAUUAACUUAAGGUCUGGAAAGGAUGUCCAAAUUCCUAUUGGUGUACCAAAAAGAAGAAUAGAACUUGUUUCAACCCAAGAGAAAACUCAAAUUAAAGAAGAGUCACAACAACCCACUUACCAGCCCACUGAUGUAAAUAGCCAAGCUAUAGCAUCAACAGAAAAUAAUAAUCCAGCAAUUAUGGAAGAAGAUUUUACAGUACCAAACACAUUAGCCUGAAACAUGGCAAAGGAAAAGCAACUUGUACAACUUGCUACAACACAGUAGUUUAGACAUCCACCACCUUUCCCUUAACGAUUUCAGAAGCAAAAGCAAGACAAGCAAUUCAACAAGUUCCUGGAAGUGUUAAAGCAGCUACAUAUCAACAUUCCUUUAAUAGAAGCUCUCGAACAAAUGCCAAUUAUAUGAAGUUCUUGAAAGAUAUUUUGGUGAGGAAAAAAAGACUUUAAGAGUUUGAAAUAGUUGCUCUAACACAAAAAUACAGCCAUAUGCUUCAGAACAAAAUCCCUCAUAAGUUGAAGGAUCUAUGGAGCUUUACAAUUCUAUACUUUAGUGGAACUAAAUACAGGGGUAAGACACUUUGUGAUUUAGGAGCUAGCAUCAAUCUUAUGUCGUUAUCAGUGUUCAAGCAAUUGGGAGUUGGAGAAGUUAAGUCGACAACAGUGACUUUACAACUUGCUAAUAGAUCUCAUGUUUAUCUAUAAAUGAAGAUUGAAGACGUGUUAAUGAAGGUGAAUAAAUUUAUUUUUCCAAUAGAUUUUAUUAUGCUAGACUUUGAGGCAGACAUAGAAGUGCCAAUCAUUCUAGGAAGACAUUUCUUAGCCAUGGGAAAGACCCUAAUUGAUGUGCAAAAAGGAGAGUUAACUAUGCGGGUGAAUGACCAGCAAGUUACAUUUAAUGUGCUGGAUGCUAUGAAAAAUCUUGAUGAGGUCGAAGAUUGUAAUUUUAUCAGUGUUGUGGACUUUACUGUGGCAGAGAGGUUAAAUAAUUGCUACAGUAAGAAUGAAAUCAAUGCGGUAACAUUUAAAGAAUUUAAAGAUGAAGAUCCUGAAAUAACAAAUGUAGCAUGAUUAAAAUAGAGGGAAUCCAUGAGGGGUGACAGACACUUUGAAUCUCUAGAUCUCUCAAACAAGGAAGUAAAACCUUUUGUUUUAUCUAUUGAGUCACCUCCUGUUCUAGAAUUAAAACUUUUACCUUCACAUUUAAAAUAUGUUUAUCUUGGUGACAAUAAUACACUCCUUGUAAUCAUUUCAUUUUCUUUGAAUGCAGAUCAAGAGAACAGUUUGUGGAUGUAUUGGGGAGAUAUAAGAAGGCUAUUGCAUGGACCAUGACAGAUAUCAAAAGAAUCAAUUCUUGUGGAGACGAUCUGAAUACUCAUCAGUAUAUUACUUGUUGUGUACACUUGCACACUGACACCCAUAACAUUAUAAAUCGUACACCAAGCCCAUAAUAACGUAAACAUUAAUAUAUCACUUUUAAUUGGGCUUAACCGUAUAUGACAGUCAAUAACACAUAAUUAUUCACAUAUAAGCCGAAUGUUGGAUUAAGGAUCUAACAAUAUUGGAUUAAAAAAUCCAACACAAUGUUCUUUAGUGGUAAUACAAAAGCUGAUUAAGUGGUUACAAUUAAAGGAAUCUUUCACUUGAAUGUUGUUUCUGGACACAAAAAAUACCUAGGGCUACCAUCAGUGGUUAGAAUAAACAAAAGAAUCUUUUUUGAUGAUAUAAAGCUCAAAGUGAUAAGAAAGAUUUUAAAUUGGCAACACACGCACUUUUCUAGCGGUAGCAAGAAGGUCAUCAUCAAAGCUAUAACCCAAGUCAUUCUAGCUUAUGUUAUGAGCGUGUUCAAAAUUCAUGUAGGGUUGUAUGAUGACAUCCAGAAAGUUAUAGCUAGAUUCUGAUGGGAAUUUAAGGAUAAAAAGAAAGGCAUUCAUUGGGCUAAGUGGGAGAGAAUAAGUAAAGAAAAAUGCAGAGGUAAGAUGAGAUUCAAGGAAUUCUCAUGCUUCAGUAACUAAGCAAAAGUAGAGGAUUUUAUUGUUUCCAAAUUCAUUAGUAGCCCAAGUUUUGCAAGCAAGAUACUUCAAACAAUCUGAUUUCUUGCAGGCAAGACUAUGGUCCAAUCCUUCUUAUAUUUUGGAAAAGUAUCUUGUAGAGAAAACUUGUAAUCCAAAAAGGCAAUAAAUGGAUGAUAGGUUCAGAAAACAAAGUGCAGAUUUACAACAGCAACUGGAUACCAAGACCAAAAACAUUCAAACAGCUUUCCUGGCUAAGUACAUCCAUCCCCAACAAAUCUAUCACUAGAAAAAGAAAACAAAAAAUAAAAAAAAUUGCAACAUUACAAAACCCUAGCCUCCACCUACCACUACCACCACCUUUCUACUAGUUGUUCAUUGUUGUUUGACCCACCACCAGAAUCAUCGUCAGUUGCUAACCAAAACCCAAUCGUCCUCUACAUUUGAAACCGUUGUGUAGCCACCACGAAUUACCCUAAAACGCUACAAGCUCUCCACCAGCCGCUGUCAUGAACCAACCAUUUUUUACCAACAACCGAUGCCAUUACCACACUCCCCUCUAGCCAUACAUUCAAAACCAAUCAACAAUUGCCACAAAUAUUGGCCAUAAACCGCUAUUAACCACUAUAAGUUGCCGCCAAUUAAAGUUGGUUUUCCAACCAAACUACUGCGAAUCUAACUAAUCCUCGGCCAUUAUCAUGCUCAUCAUCACUAUAUCUUCUAGAUCUGACCAUCACCACACUAAUUCAUGGCCACCAGCCGCCAGCUACACCAACUCGAAAGUUCACCCUUAUUUACAAUUUUGCAAUCAAGUUUAUAUUUGUACUUGAAAUAUUCAAAAGGACAUUAUGCUUUGGAAGCUUGAUGGAAAUUGCAGUAUUGAAUAUUUUCUUUCAUGGUUGGACAAGGUUGAUUAGGAAUAUAUGAUUAGAUUGCUGAGGUAUGAUUGAGUACAAUUUGUAGCUGAUUUUCUAUUAAUAAGGAGUGCUUUAGAAUGAUGGGCUAGAGUGCAAAGGCAUAUAUAGCUUUUCAAAGGUCUUUUUAAAAUUACUUCAUGGACUUGUAUAAAGCGAAUGUUGAGAUCAAGAUUUAUUCCUCUAGGUUAUUGUUUGUUAUGACAAGGUAUGAAAUCAAUUUCGGAUUAUGCUUCUAAGUUCGAAUAAUUUUAUAGAUGCAAAUAUCAAAGAAACUUUAAUGAUGUGAUUAAAAGACUUAACAAAGUCCAAGAUUUAAUCAAGUAAUGGCAUGUCUCUAUGAAAGUGUCUAAAGAUGUACCAAUAAGUUCACCUAUUGUUGAGAAAAAAAGACUCGCUUAAGAUGCCAAAAGAUGAGGUACAAUUUCUUAUUGAUUUAAAGUUCUAGUCUAACAAUUUGUGCAAGAAUGUGUAUGAUGUUUCCUUGGAAGACAAGACUAGCAUUGAAGAUGAUGAGGUUUUUGAUCUAUCUAAUAUUUUUAAAAAAUAAAAAUAAACUAUUCAUGAUUUGCACAUUGAACCUAAUAGUACGUUCGAGGUUGUGUAGAAAAAUCAAGUUGAAGAAGCUGAAAUGAUUGAAAUGGUUUUGCCUAUUCGGUUGAAGAAAAUUGUGCUCGAAGAAGAUUUGAUAAAAAAGGUGAAAUUUAUUAGAGAGGGCAUUGAGCAUCAAUUGGGAAAGGGCAAGGGUUAUUUGAUCAUUGUUCGUUCUUGGAAGUCUGAAAUACAAGUUAUACAACCCAAGAGGGGGGCGAAUUAGGUUUCUUAAAAAUACGUGAUUAGUAUUAAAAAUUGUUUAAUUAUCAAGCGAUAAUAAUGUUAUUUUGUGCUUAUGUUAUAAUUUAUAUUUGUGUUUAUGCAAUAUAUUAUGAAUUAUGAAUUAUGUAUUAAAUAUAUCUAAUUUUUUGUGUUUAUUCGGUAAAAUAUUAAUUUCACGUAAUUCGAGACUCCAAACAGAUAAACGAAUGUCAAAUUUAGAUUCUGAAGGUCCAAAAACUUUAAAAUAAGUCAAGAUCGGCUUAAACUUGGGCUUGUGUAAAAAUAGUUGACUUUUCUUGUUGACCGAGCACUGAUUGGAUGAUUAAAUGAGCUUACAAUAGAUAUGAGUGCAUGUGAUAGCUGGCAAUUUUGACUAAAUCCUAACCGUUCGUGAUUUAAUGGCCAUGAUUGUGCCAGGUGGCAAUAGUUGGUGAGACAAAUUGCAGGAUCCGAAUAUUUGUAUUUGGGUCAACCCGAUUCACCCAUUAACCCGCCAAAUUUCAACCGUUCUUUCGCUAAAUCAGGCGAGUCAAAUGAUGCCACGCGUGAUGCUGACUUUUGAAGUUUGACUAGCCAUUGGAUCUUGAUCUAAUGGUUGUGAGGAGCACAUGCAUGAAGUUUAUGAUGGACCGCAAAACACUGUAUUAUAAAUCUAUUUUUCUAGAAAUAGAGCUUCAUUUUUAUGCUUUUAAUCAUCUCUCUAUAUCUCUCUUUUUCUCAAUUUCUCUCCAUCUCCCUAUAAUCUUGAUUUUCUGGUGUGUUUUGUAUAAUUAUUUUUAUAAAUAAAUUUAGUUUUAUUUUCAAUUUUAGUUGUUUUUAUUACUUUUAAUUAUAAGUAAUUUAAUUUUAAUAAUUCUUUUUAUUUCAAUUAUACUUAACUAAAUAAUAAUAGUUAGGGUAAGGUGAAACUCUUAGGAAAUAAAUAUGAUUUAAUCAAAUUCUAUUUUUAAUUUUAUAAAUUAAAUUAUUUUCUAUUUAAUUUUAUACAUAUUUUAUAUUUUGAAAUUUUGAUUUAUUGUAGACAAACAAAGGAGUUUGGCACAAUAAAUUCUUAAUAUCUUAAUAUAAGGUAUGGUAAAAUAGUAUUUUGACUUAUUGUAGACAAAUUAAAUUUUAGCACAAUAAAUACUUAAUCCAUCAUAAAAUUAAAGGGAAAAUAAUAAUAAUUUAUAUAAUUAAUCUUUUGGGCAAUAAAUCUAACAAAAAUGGCAAAAAACAUUUAUUAAGUUUUAUUUACUACUAAGAGUGGAACUACAACCCUAACUAGUUCAAUUUCAUAGUUUCAUUUAAAUUAAGUUUUUUAUAUUCAAGUUUUAUUUUUAUUUUAAAUAAAAUAAAAUAAACAAAUUAAAUAUUUUCUCUGAGGAUCGACCUCGGACUCGCCGAGUUAUAAUAUAACAAGACACUAUACUUGAGAGUUAAAAAUUACUUUUAAGUUGUGUCAAGUUUUUGGCGCCAUUGACGGGGAAAAGUUUUUAUUUUGCUUUAUUUUUCCCUUUUUUUCCUCUUUGUGUAAAGUUUCAGUUAUACCCCUUUUCCUUUUCCAAUAUUUCGUUCUGACCUCAAAAUCUUUUAGAAUCUUUACAUGCGUCCCACAUGGCUCAAUUCUAAACUCUUAAACAUUGCGAUGUGGCCAAAAAAUUAUAAAUAAUGUUCAAUAAAAUCACUGGACGAAAUUUCUCACAAUAAUCAUCUUGGACUUAUUUGGACUCAAUUUGGACUUAAUUUGGACCAAGCAAACUAACUACUAACUCUUAUUUUUUAUUUAUUUUUUUAAUUUCAGUUAUUUAAUUUUUAGUACUUAGUUUAUUUCGCAUUUAUUUAUUUAUUUUUUGCUUUAUUUUAUUUUGUUAUUUUAUAUUGGUGGGUUCAACCACCAAAAUUGUUAUUUAAUUUUUUAGUUUUUUUAUUUUGCAUUUAUUUUACAUUUUAUUUUAUAUUGUUAAUUUAUUUGGUGGGCUCAACCACCAGAAUUGUAAUUUAAUUUUAAUUUUUGUACACUUAUAUUAUUUGCAUAUUUAAUUUUUUUUUUCAUUUAGUUCUUGUGUUACUAAUUUGUUUGAAUAUUACCUUUUUGACAUAACCAUUGCAUGAGACGUUGGUCUCAAACUUCAUGUGGCAGGUUAAUUUGAAGAUCUCAAUCUCCACCACCAAUCAUGGACGAGAUCCAAGACGAAAACCUUUUGGGUGAACCUAAUCCUCAAAUUGAUCAGGGAGAACCAUUCUCAACAUGGACGUGAUCAGAAUCAACCAAGAACUCUGAGAGGUUAUAUGAAUCCAACCAGAACUGAAGCACCGUCGUGUAUAGUAUUUCCUCCAGAGACAUCUCGAUUCAACUUCAAACCAAGUAUUAUCCAACUUUUACCAACAUUUCAUGAUUUAGAAUCUAAGAAUUCAUACUUGCAUCUAAGAGAUUUUAAGGAAGUUUGUAAUACAUACACAGACCAAAAUUGUAGCAUGAACAUAAUUAGAUUAAAGCUUUUUCCUUUUUCAUUAAAAGAUGAAGUUAAAACUUGGCUACAGAACCUUAGAUCUAGAUUAAUAAGAACUUGGAAUAACAUACAAGAACAAUUUUUGAAAAAAACUCUUUCCACCUUAUAGAACAAAUUUUUUUAAAAGAUAAAUCACUUCUUUCACUCAAACAAAAUGGAGAAACAUUAUACCAAUGUUGGGAUAGGUUUAAAGAAUUGAUUAACAUAUGCCCACACCAUGGUUUUGAAACUUCGCGAUUGGUCACUUAUUUCUACAAGGGCUUAAUACCCUAAAGUAGAUAAGUUGUUGAAAUGAUGUGUAAUGGUGAAUUUAUGGAUAAAAAUCCUGAGGAUGCACUAGAUUACCUUAACCAAUUAAUUGAAAAUGCACAAUAUUGGGAUACUGUUGAAAUUUUUUAAUUGACAAAUAAAUCACAAUAAUCUCCAUCUAAUGGAGGAAUCCAUGACCUUAGGGAAGAUCGUGAUUACAAGCAAAAUUUGCAUCCCUAGUUAGGAAAGUUGAAGCUUUGGAGCAUAAAAAAAGUGAUCAAGUAAAAUCUAUUCAAGAAAUUGCAUGUAAUAUUUGUAGUUCGAAUGAUCAUUUCACUCAAGAUUGUCCCACUCUGCCUACACUUAAAGAAUGUCUAAAUGAUCAAGUAAUGCCAUUAACACUUUCAAUAAACCAAAUCCAUAUUCACAGACUUAUAAUUCUGUUUGGAGAAAUCAUCCAAAUUUCAGUUAGAGAAAUAAUAAUAAUGCACAAUCUUCACAAGCACCACCUCCACAAAUUUUUCAAAAUACUCAGCCUUAUGCACCAUAUGUUCCACCACCUUGGAAAAAUCUGGAAGACACAAUGCAUUCAUUCAUCAGAAAGUAAGAUGUUAUUAACAAUCAAAAUGCACAAACUUUUUCCGAUUUGAAAGAUACUCUUGCUAAAAUUGCUUAUGCACUCACAAUUCAAGAAAAAUGAAAAUUUCCAGCCCAACCACAACCAAAUCCUAAGAUUCAACAAAAUCCACCCACGGACCAAGUCAAGUCAAUUAUAACUCUUCGUAAUAGUAAGGUUGUUGAUAGACCUAUGCCUAAAACUUGUGAAAAUGAUAAAAAUUCAAAGGGUAAGGAAUGACUAAAUGAACUUACACCUAGUGAAGAAAUAACUAGUGUUCCACCUGAACCACCAUUUCUGCAUGCAUUGAAUAAACCAAGGAAACCAAACCACUCUUCUGAAAUUUAUGAAAUAUUUAAGCAAGUGAAAGUUAACAUUCCUCUAUUAGAUGCAAUCAAGCAGGUACCUUCAUAUGCCAAAUUUUUAAAGGACUUGUGCACUGUUAAGAGGAAAUUGAAGGUAAAAAAGAGUGCUUUCAUGGCUGAACAAGUAAGUACAAUUAUGUCUACUAAUAAUAAGUUGAAAUAUAAAGAUCCUGGUUGUCCUACCAUUUCUUGUAUUAUUGGUGAUCACAGAAUUUAGCAUGCUUUACUAGAUCUUGGUGCUAGUGUUAAUUUGCUUCCAUAUUCAGUUUAUCUUCAACUUAAUAUUGGUGAGUUAAAAUCAACUUCAACUACACUUUUGCUUGCCGAUAGAUCAGUUAAAGUACCAAAAGAAAUAGUGGAAGAUGUUUUAGUACAAGUUGAUAAAUUCAUAUAUCCUGUGGAUUUUAUUAUCUUGGAAACUGAACCUAUUGUGAAUAAUUAUAAACCAAUUCCUGUAAUUUUAGGUCGAUUAAUUUUACCAAUUGCUAAUGCUUUAAUUAAUUGUAAGAAUGGUUUAAUGAAUUUAUCCUUUGGAAACAUGACUUUGGAAUUGAAUGUUUUCAACAUGUGUAGGCAACCUAAUAAAGAAAAUGAGAAUGAAGAUGAUACUGAUGAACAAGAGGAAUUGCUUGAAUCUUAUAUUGAGGAAAAUAUUCAAAAAGGGGAUUUCUUUGAACUCUCUUAUAUUUGUUUAAUUAAUUCAAUUGAGUCAAAUAAGCAACUUGAAUUUGAUAUUUCUAAUAUAAAUUCGUUGCUUGAUUCUGUGCAAACUUCACGAAAUUAUGAUAACGAGAUAAAAUUUGAGGAGUUUGGAAUUAUUUAAAAGACAAAACAACAAGAAGCACCUAAACUGAAAUUGAAACUUUUGCCUGAAGGAUUGAAGUAUGCUUUUCUUGGAGAAGAACAAACUUAUCAUGUUGUGAUUUCUUCUACUUUAACAACCGACCAAGAAGGUAAGUUACUAACUGUUCUUAAAAGGCAUAAAAAUGCAACUGGAUGGACUUUAAAUAAUAUUAAAGGCAUUAAUCCCUUAAUUUGCACACAUAGGAUUAAUUUGGAAGAAAGUGCUAAAAUAUGUCAAUAACCUUAAAGAAGAUUGCAACCACACAUGAAAGAGGUAGUCAAAACAGAAGUCCUUAAAUUACUUGAUGUGGAAAUUAUCUACACUAUUGCUGAUAGUAAGUGAGUAAGUCCUACACAAAUAGUGCCUAAAAAAUCAGGAAUCACUGUUGUUAAAAAUAAAAAAGUGAAUUAAUUCUAACAUAAAUUACAUUUAUUUGGCGCAUGUGCAUUGAUUAUAAAAAGUUAAAUGAAGCCACCAGAAAAGAUCAUUUUCCAUUACCAUUCCUUGACCAAAUCUUAGAAAGAAUAGCUAGACAUCCAUACUACUGCUUUUUAGAUGAAUAUUCAGGUUAUUAUCAAAUUCUUAUAGCACUUGAGGACCAAGAAAAGACCACAUUUACAUGUCCCUUUAGAAUAUUUGCAUUUAAAAGAAUGCUAUUUAGGCUUUGUAAUGCUCUUGCAAUACUUCAACGAUAUAUGCAAAGCAUUUUUUGUGAUAUGGUUGAACAUUGUUUAGAGGUUUUUAUGGAUGAUUUGAUUGUAUUUGGGAAUUCUUUUGAUGAUUGCCUUGAUAAUUUGGAGAAAGUUUUAAAAAGAUGUGUUGAAAAAGAACUCGUGUUGAAUUAGGAAAAAUGUCACUAUAUGGUUACUUCUGCAAUUGUUUUAGGUUAUGUUGUAUCUAUUAAAAGAAUUAAAGUUGACAAAGAAAAAGUAGAAGUCAUAUCCAAAUUGCCAUAACAAAAAACAGUUAGAGAUGUGCGAUCUUUUUUAAGACAUGCAUGAUUUUAUAGGAGGUUUAUAAAAAAUUUUAAUGUCAUAUCUAAACCACUUUGUAACCUAUUAUUAAGAGAUGCACCAUUUGAAUGGAAUGAUGAUUGCCAAAAAUAUUUUGAGAAAAUAAUUUGUCUUUUAACAUCUGCACAUAUUAUGCAAUCUCCUGAUUGGUCUUUGCCCUUUGAAUUAAUGUGUGAUGCAAGUGAUUUUGCUGUUGGUGUGGUUUUAGGACAAAGAAUGGAUGGUAAGCCCUUUGUGAUUUAUUACGCGAGUAAGACUUUAGAUAGUGCUCAAAUGAAUUAUUCUACAACUGAAAAAGAAUUACUUGCUAUGAUAUUUGCAUUAAACAAAUUUCGUUCAUAUUUGCUUGACUCUAAAUUUGUUGUGUUUACUGACCAUGCUGCUGUGAGAUAUUUGAUGAUUAAACAGGAUGCCAAACUGAGAAUAAUUCAUUGGAUUUUGUAACUUCAAGAAUUUGACCUUACCAUCAAAGAUAAAAAGGGUGUUGAAAAUGUCAUUGCUGAUCAUCUAUCAAGACUCACAUCCGAAUUUUGCACUGAUAUAACACCCAUUAAUGAUUCUUUCCGUGAUGAAUUUUUAUUUUAUGUUACUUCAAUGCCAUGAUAUGCUAACAUUGUUAAUUUUCUUGUUACAGAUAAAAUGUCUUUGCAAUGGAAUGCUCAAGAGAAGAAGAAUUUUUUUGUUGAAGUAAAGUAAUUUUAUUGGAAUGAUCCUUACUUGUUCAAAUAUUGCCCAGAUCAAAUUUUUUGGCGAUGUAUUCUGAAUAAUGAGGUAAGUAGUUGUUAACAUAAAUAUUUCUUUAUUGAUUUUGAUGAUAACAAACUUGAUUAAGAUUGAUUAAUCUUUUAAAAGCUCAAAAUAAUUUUCAUCUAUUUUGACAAGUUUUAUAAAGUGUUUUUAUAAAGAUUUGGAGACAAACAAUUAUCUUGCAAAAUAGUUCACUGCAGCAGUUUCUGUGAAAAAUGGUGAUCCGACAAUUUUGAUAAACGGCUCGCCGAUAUCAAACAGAAUUGAAGAUUGGUCUCUGGACCUAAACGGUGAUCCGACAAAUUUGAUAAAUGGCUCGCCGAUAAUGAACAGAACUGAAGAUUAGCCUCUGAACCUAAACGGUGAUCCAACACCUAGAUAACAGCGAUAUGAGAAAUUUGAAAAUAAGCCUAAUGGUCAUAUUGACCAGUCAAACGACGAUCCGACAUCUAGUUCACGGCGAUCCGAUAGUGUGUAGAAAGUCAAUAACGGCUAGUUUUUAGCUCCAACUAUAAAUAAGCUCAUUCAAAUUCAAACAAGAUUGAUCACAACAUGACCAUUGAGCUUAUAUUCGAGAAUACAAUCUUCAUAGAGCUUUAAAAACACAUUCUUGCUUCAUCUAUUCAAACAUUGGGCAUUGAUUUGUAAUCUUAAAUAUUGUGUGAGAGAAAAAUAAUUUUUAAUGUUUUACUUUGAGUGAUUGUAAGUGUUGAGAUACACUUGGGUUAAGAGAUUGGGGAUAAUCUCUUGUUUUAAAGGUUCAUUGACACCUUAGAAGUCAAGUGUAAGCAUUUGAAGCCUUGGAGGCGUGCUUAGUGAAAUCCUCAAGCCCGGAAAGCUUGGACGCGUGGACGUAGGUGAGGUUGGCCGAACCACGUAAAAAUCUUCGUGUUUGAAUCUCUCUUCCCUUAUCUUUUUUAUAUUGUAAUUGAUUUAAGUGUUAUUCCAUUAAAUUCAUUUUAGAUAUGGUUGAUAAUUUGUUUAGAAUCAAAUAAUUUUUUAGAAUCCCAAUUCACCCCCCCUUUUGGGUUGCACACUUGUAUUUCAGUAGUGUCAUUAAUUUUUGUCAUUCUAAAGCAUGUGGAUUUUAUUGGCCUACCAUAUUCAAAGACACAUACGAAUUUUGCAAAACUUGUGAAAAAUGUCAAAAAUUGGGAUCAAUUACUAAAAGAAACAUGAUACCUUUAAAUCUCAUACUUGAGAUUGACAUAUUUGACUGUUGGGGAAUUGAUUUCAUAGGUCCGUUUCCAUCUUCUUCUGGAUUUGUGUAUAUAUUAAUUGCAGUUGAUUAUGUCUCAAAAUGGAUUGAAGCAAUUUCUUAUCGAAAUAAUGAUAGCAAAACUAUGGUUAAAUUUUUAAGAGAAAACAUUUUAAGUCGAUUUGGAAUCCCUCGAGUUAUUAUCAGUGAUGGAGGUAAGCAUUUUUGUAAUAAGUCAUCUCAGUCUUUAAUGAAGAAAUACAUAAUUACACAUAAAGUUUUUAUCCCUUAUCAUCCUAAAAAAAAUGGUCAAGUUGAAUUAGCAAAUAGGGAAAUAAAACAAAUUUUGGAAAAAACGGUUAACCCAAACAGAGAAGAUUGGUCUCUUAGACUUAAUGAUGCACUUUGGGCCUACUGUAUUGCAUUUAAAAUGUCAUUAGGAAUGUCACCCUAUCGGUUAGUUUAUGGUAAACCUUGUCAUUUACCUGUUGAACUUGAACAUAAAUCACUAGAACAUAAAUUGCAAUUGAAUGAACUUGAAGAAUUAAGGAAUGAUGCAUAUGAAAAUUCAAGAAUUAUUAAGGCAAGAACAAAAACUUUUCAUGACAAAAGAAUUUUUUGGAAAAUAUUUGAGAUUAGUAAAAAAAUAUUGCUUUAUAAUUCUUACUUUAUAAUUAUCGUCUUCAUUUAUUUUCAGGGACGUUAAAGUCAAAAUGGAGUGGCUCAUUUGUUGUAAAAAAAAUAUAUUCAAAUGGGGCCAUAAAAAUUGAGGAUCUAAAUAACAGUGUUACAUUUAAAGUUAAUAGUCAAAUAUUAAAACCAUAUCUAGAACAUCACGUAAAAAAGACACCGAAAUUAAUUUGGGUGACCCACCAAUUCUUGAUUAAGUCAUUAAUGACUGAUUCAUUUUUUUUUUGUUUUACUGUUAUUUUUCCAUUUCAUUGUUUGAUUUUUUUUCUUUCUCUCUUGAUUAAUGCACUGUACAUAAUAUUUUUUAACAUUAUAUUUCUUGUUUAAGCAUGUUUGUUUGACAAUUAUAUUUUCUCUCAUCAAUUUUCAUUAUACGUCAAGAGUACCUCAAUAAGAAAGUUCUUAUUCACACACCUUAAAAGAUUUCUGCGUAUGAAAUUUCACUUAAGAAGCCUAAUACAAAGCUAUAAAUCACAUCCACUUUAGGAUCUGCAACCACCAACAUUAGUGUUCUAUGUUGAGGAUCUAGAAAGAUAAUUCAGAGCAGUAGAGAGAGGUAUAUAUGAAUAUCAAUUCGAGCUUGAAGUUAACUCAAUAAAAGGACGAAUGUAAAUUCAUUUUUCAUUUUUCAUUUUUCUUUUCUUUAUGUGAUUUGUUUUUGUUGUUUUGUUUACUUUCAUUUUUUAUUUGAUUUUGCAGUUUUAAUUCUCUUUAUUUUGGUGUAUUUUGGUUUAUUUUUCCAUAGAAACGGCAGAGAACAGUACUCCAUGACUUCUUAAGUCGGUAUCUUCAGUUUCCCACAAUAACUGAAACCCCAAAAUCAAACAUGGAAGAAAUAUAACAUAAACUGAAUAAGCAUUUUCUCUCUCUUCCUCAGAAUGCCCUUAAGAAAAUUUCCAAAGCUCGUUGUGAACGAUUGCGUUUGUUAAUGAUCAAUGGCAUUCCUUCUAAUAUUCGUUGGUUAAUUGAAGCAAAGGUCUAAUUAGCAGGUGUGUUUUCUGAUCCAUUUGUUUAUUUCAUGUCCGAUUUUGGUAAAAGUACAUUUGCUAAAAAAAAAAAGAGUUAAACGACUUGGCUCAAAAUAUCAUAGCUGUGUACGACUUAAUUGCAAACGACCAGAUUAUAAUUCUUUAGGAAUUGUGUCUGAUACUCGUGAAGUUAAAAUUAAAUUCAUUAAAGAUGACAUGAGUAAAGAAUUGUUAGAUAAUAUCUUACGAUCUCUUGAGACGCAUCGAAGCGGAUUUGUGCAACGUGAGAUUCAUAAUUUAUGGAUACUAUUCCAAAAAAAAAGUACACAGUUUAGUCUUGGGAAUCUGACUUAAAAAGACCUUGUUUGCCAGUUUAUAAGAAAAAUGGAUGGGAAGCCUAACCUCAACCCAUAGAGGGCGUUCAAGCCGUUACUGGACGUAAAACCAAAGGAAUAUGUGAGCCACAAUCACAACUACCCACAAAUAUCUUUUUAUUUUGUUGUUCUUUUAUCAUUUGCAUUAUUGAAUUUAGUGGUGUGAUUUUGUAUUUAAUAAUAUUUAUAUUCUUUUACUGUUUGCUUUUUCUAAUCACUAUUUUCUUUUUACUAUUUGCUUUUGAAUUAUUGAGCCACGAGUUUUACUCGUCGUUUGACAAAUAUGUCAAUCCAUUUACAAUUGUUUUUCAUUAUUUCUGUCACCAAGAUCUUUAAUAUGAGCUCGUUUUUCAAACACUCACAACUUGUUUUUGAAGAUUAUUCCAAUGGUAGCAUCUUCGAGUAAACAAUUCAAAAGCAUUUGUGUGCUUGUUGGAUUUCACUAUGGAAAGUACAAAGAAUUCAUUUAGGCAGUUGCAAAUUUUGGUUGUGUCAUAGUAGAGAGGAAACUACAUCUUGUAUAUGGAGGAGGUGAACGAGGGUUAUCAAGACUUGUCUCAGAAGCGGUUUUUACUAGAGGAAGCCAAGCACUAGGCCCACCAAUUAGAGAAGAAUUAGUGGUAUCAAUUAAGCAAGAGAGAAUAUCUAAAAUGCUAAAUUACGUUGAUGCUUUUAUUUUCUUGCUAGGAGAUCUUGCAACUUUUGAGGCACUGACUACAUUUGCAUCUUGAGCCCACUUGAACAUUCAUAAAAUACCCAUCGGUUUGUUAAAUGUUAAUAUUUUUUAUGAUGGCUUGAUAAAUUUUAUUAACCAUGCAAUAAAGAAUCAUUUUGUUCCAUACUCUGAAAAAAAAGACUCUUUAUCUUUGCUUUUACUGCUAAUGAAUUACUUAAUCUUUUACAAGCUUAUACACCAGAGCCAGAUCCCAAAAUAUUUGUGCUAGAUUGGUCGACUGAUUAUGGUAGCAGUAGUAGCAAUAAGAAGUACAAAUUAGAUUUAGCUCUCCGUCUAUAAAUAUUUUCUAUUGCAAUGUUCAUAUGAUGUCUUCUAAACUCUUCCUCUUUCCUUUUAAAACAUUGAGGACAAUGUCUCUUUCAAGUUGGGGGUAAGGAAUAAUUGAUAAUUGUGGAAUGUCUUAGUCCUGGUGAUGUUUUUACAAAAACAUUUCUGUAAAAACUAACUUUGGACUAAAUUUGAGUCGAAAAUGGCUGGAUAUGGAGAGUGCAGUACCUCUAGAAACGCAUAUUCUUAAUCCUAGAGUUUUAUUAAAAAAUUUGACUUUUUCUUGUUCUUUGUUAUAUGCUUUUAGGCUUCUACAUCGAGUUCAGGUGAGAUUUCCUCCUCUUCUUCUUUUAUUAUUUUUUCUCUUUUAUUAUUUUUUAUGCAUAUCUAUAAAAUUAUAAAAUGUUAAGAUAAUGUUUAGAUUAGGUUGGGGGGUAGGGAUAGUUGAUGGAUGUUUUUAAAUAUGUGUGUUCGUUUUUCUCUUUUCUUUUCUUUUUUUUAAAAAAACCCAAUUUGUUUUGUCUAGAAUGGCUGUGUAAAGAGUCACGACUUUUGAGACGCAUCUUAAUAGUCUUGUUGUAUUAUAUUUUGAUUUUGAAAUUCAUAGUAAAUUGUUUUUGUUCCCUUUUCUUUGAAUUACUCAAAUUUUUGAACUCUCCACUUGGUUAAUAAGUCAUUUAAUUGUUUACUCAUUUAACAGGUAUUAUUGAAUCAUUCUUCACACACACACACACACACACACACACACUAUGACACAUACUAGUGGGUUGUAAGUUAAAUUUUUUACAGCAUUUAGUUCUUUUGAUUUAUUAGGAAUAAUAUCUAAGGUAGUAGAAAGUGUAUAUUGCAAAAAACAAAAAAAAAACAAAAAAAAGAAAAAAAAAGAGAAAAAAAAUGAAUGUUUUUAAUUUUGCUAUAUCUAGAACCUGAGUAAUUAAGUCCGUAGGGGUGUUUCAACACCUAAUACCCUAAGGUCAACUGGUCUGGGAGUCAUUGACCUAAAGCUCACUACAUGGGUAAUAGAUAUAUUGUUUGCUUAUUAGAAACCCGAGUAAUUAAGUCUGUAGGGGUGUUUCAACACCCAGUACCCUAAGGUCAACUGGUCUGGGAGUCACCGGCCUAAAGCUCACUAUAUGGGUUAAAAAUUUAAUAUUUUUAAUUUAUAUGUGUGAAUAAUCUACUGCCUCAAGAUAGAAUUUCUAAUGAAUUUUAAAACAAAAAUGUUAAUUUUCUUUUAAUAAAGCCCCAUAAGUAUUGUGUUAAUUAUUUGAGUACAAAAGAAGGUUUGAUAAUAUUCUAGAUAAUGAGUGAAUACUAAAGAAGUAAAGAAAUUUGGGAAAGUUUAUUUAUUUGGUAGUUUAGAGGAUAGACGAACAACUAUUAACUUGCAUGUGAAUUUUGUAAAUCUUAAUUUAAUAUAACAUUAUAAUUGCUAGGGGCUAGCAAUAAGCUGAUUGGGGGGUGUGAUUAGUAUUAAAAAUUGUUUAAUUAUCAAGCGAUACUAAUAUUAUGUUGUGUUUAAGUUAUAAUUUAUAUUUGUGUUUAUACAAUAUAUUAGGAAUUAUUAAUUAUUAAUUAUGUAUUAAAUAUAUCUAAUUUUGUAUAUUUUUGUGUGUUUAUUAGGUAAAAUAUUAAUUUCACGUAAUUAGAGGCUCCAAACAGAUAAAUGAAUGUUAAAUUUGGAUUCCGGAAGUCCGAAAAUCUUAAGAUAAGCCAAGAUCGGCUUAAAAUUGGGCUUGUGUAAAAAUUGUAGACUUUUCAUAUUGACCGAACACUGAUUGGAUAAUGAAAUGAGCUUACAAUAUAUAUGAGUGCAUGAGAUAGCUGGCAAUUUUGACUACAUCUCAACCGUUCAUGAUUCAAUGGCCGUGAUUGUGCCACAUGGCAAUGGUUAGUGAAGCAAGCUGUAGGAUCCAAAUCUUUGUAUUCGGGUCGACCUGAUUCACCCAUUAACCCGCCAAAUCUCAACCGUUCUUUGGCCAAAUCAGACGAGUCAAAUGAUGCCACGUGUGAUGCUGACUUUUGAAGUUUGACCAGCCAUUGGAUCUUGAUCUAAUGGGUUUGAGGAGCGCAUGCAUGAAGCUUAUGAUGGAGUGCAUGCAUGAAGCUUAUGAUGGACCGCAAAACACUGGAUUAUGAAUUUAUUUUUCUAUAAAUAGAGAUUCAUUUUUAUGUUUUUAAUCAUCUCUCCACAUUUCUCUUCUUCUCAAUUUCUCUGCAUCUCCCUGUAAUCUUGAUUUUCAGGUGUGUUUUAAAUAUUUUGUAUAAUUAUUUUUAUAAAUAAAUUUAGUUUUAUUUUCAAUUUUAGUUAUUUUUAUUACUUUUAAUUAUAAGUAAUUUAAUUUUAAUAAUUUUUUUUAUUUCAAUUAUGCUUAACUAAACAAUAAUAGUUAGGGUAAUGUGAAACUCUUAGUAAAUAAAUACGAUUUAAUCAAAUUCUUUUUUUAAUCUUAUAAAUUAAAUUAUUUUCUAUUUAAUUUUAUACAUAUUUUAUAUUUUGAAAUUUUGAUUUAUUGUAGAUAAACAAGGUAGUUUGGCACAAUAAAUUCUUAAUACCUUAAUAUAAGGUAUGGUAAAAAGGUAUUUUGACUUAUUGUAGACAAAUUAAAUUUUGGCACAAUAAAUACUUAAUCCAUCAUAAAAUUAAAGGGAAAAUAAUAAUAAUUUAUAUAAUUAAUCUUUUGGGCAAUAAAUCUAAAAAAAUGGCAAAAAGAAUUCUUUUAAGUCAACCGUAACUAGUUCAAUUUCAUAGUUUCAUUUAAAUUAAGUUUUUUAUAUUCAAUUUUUAUUUUUAUUUUUAGAUAAAAUAAAAUAAACAAAUUAAAUAUUUUCUCUGAUAAUUGACAUCGGACUCAUCAAGCUAUAAUAUAACAAGACACUCUUAUAAUUUAGAGUUAAAAAUUACUUUUAAGUUGUGUCAAUACGCUAAACAAUUCGUACAACAAUUUAAUCUAUUGCCUUAAUCAAAUAAAAAACAAUAAAUUCAAUAAAGUACAAUAAUAAAAGAGUAAGGGAAGAGAGAGCAAAGACAAUAAUUUUUACGUGGUUCGGCAAUCCCCGCCUACGUCCAUACCUCCAAGCCAACCAAGCUCAGGAAUUUCACUAUCCAAGCCUCCCAAGACUUCAAGUUCUUUACAAUUGACUUUCAAGGUAUCAAUAAAUCUUUACAACCAAGAGAUUAUCUCUCAAUCUUUUCACUCAAGUAUUUCUUACACUUAUACACUCACAAACUUGAUGAAAAAAUAAAGAUUACAAUAAUGAAACUCUCUUUAAGAUUGGAUGUACAAUUGACAGCUCAAUGAAAAUUUAAUCUAUGAUGAUUUUCGAAUUUGGAUGCUCAAAAUAUGUUGUUUAAACCUGUUUGUGCUUGCAAGAGUCUUAAAAUUAAAGUUUGAGUUAAGUUCUUAUAGCAAAAGUCCAAAAACUAGCCAUUAUAGGCAAAUUUCAGUAAUAAAGCAGCUAGCGCUUAAUUUAUUCGGCUCCCAGCUUUAGAACAGUAAAGUUACUGUUAAAUUUGAACUUUGCUACAGUAAUACUGCUUACAAAAUUACAUUUUUGCCCAAACUUACUGUAAUUAUACUAUGGCCUAAAACGUCAUAGAACUUUGCAAAUAUGUCUAAUUUCAGAAUUUCUAAAUAAUACUCGUUAUUCCCAAAGCUUUCUGAAAUUGUGAUAUGGCCCAAUACAUGAUAAUAUUUUUCAAAAUAAUCCUUUUCAAAAUUUAACGUAAUACUUAUAAAUUUCAAAGUUUUCAAAACUUUUUCAAUUUAAUCCAAAAUUUGAAAAUGUGAAGUUUUCCUUAGACGGCUAGCCGCUAACUCUCCGUCUACUUAUGAUAUUUACACUUAGGCCCUCAAACUGUCAUAAAUUAUAGUAUGGCUCAAAAAAUUUUAAAUGUUUGCAAAUAAGUCCAACUCUGGAAUUUAAAACAAUACUUAUUAAAAUCAAAGAUUACAAAACUUUUUCAUUUCAGUCAGCAUCUUGAAAAAUAACUAAUUUCACAAAAUACUUAGCUUAUACUUGUAAAAUUUUUGAUUUAUGAAAAAAUAAUGAUUUAUUAAACAAAAUCUUGAACUUCUCAAAUGCUAAACCAUUCAUAUAUUAAAUUAUACCAGCUUUACAAGAAUUGUCGCAGUAAUGAGUCUGUUGAGCUCUAAACUUUAUUCUUGAUUGCGCCAUUGUCCGUUGAGUGUCUUGAACUUGAUUGCUCGUGAUUCACUUCAUCGUAAAUAUUAUCCUUUAAGAACUAGUGAAAUGUGAAAUAUAAUAUUUUUCAAAUCACUUAAAACACAUGUUUGUUAUCAUAAAAUUACAUAAUAUGUAGCCCUUUAGGCUAACAAAGUCUUCAUCACCUCAAAGAAUGUAUAAACGAAGAAAUAAUUAAGUGUGGAUUCUUCAAAGUUUCGAGAAAGAUUAAUGAGAAAGACGACAAGUUCGAAUUAUAAGAUGAUUUGGUCUACAAGUUUCACCCUCCAGACUAUAUUCAAACUCAAGGAUGAGUUUCUUUUAAGUUGGAGAGAUUGAUGUAGAAUGUUAUUUUAGGGUUUAGAAUUUUUAUUAUUUUAGGAUUUUCUACUUUAAUUAGAGUCAAUUGUGGUAUAUGUUUUAGUGUUUUAUUUCCAUUAUAAUUGUGAUUUAGUUUUACUUUUUAAAUUAACCUAGGGAAAUAUAUUUAUUCUAUUAUAAGGAGAGAUGUCUCAUUCCCGUGUGUUGUUAACCUUUAGCUUUUGCUAGGGUCGCCUUUCUUUAUAAAAAUAAAAUAAAAUAAAAUAAAGAGGUCUUGUUAUUAUUUUCAUAACUUGAGAUUCAAUUAUUUAAUAAAACUGCCUUUUAUAAUUCCUCUAGAAUUAUCUAUCAAAAUCUUUCUUGUAGAGUUGUUUGGAUUACAGCAUAAUCUAAUCUCACUUCAUGCAUUAUUAAAAAUUUCAUCGAGUCAUUUGGAUUAAAAUAAGAUCUAAUCACAUUUCGAUUAGAGUGUAUGCUAAUCGCAUUAACUUGGUCCGCUACUAGAACGAUAUCUAGUGUUUUUUACCCUAAUAAUCCCACUUCUACUGCGCUCGCUUCCUCAGUCUGGUAAAAAAUUCCGUUCAAGUGAUGCCAACAUUAGCCGUACUGUUGCGUCGUAUGGUGACGGAAAUUUUACAUUCAUUUCUGGCUCUAGUUGCAAUUUUAUGUAAUUUUUGUGCGGAUGUUCGUUGCGAUUUAAAGAAUGGUUCAGUCCCUUCAAUUGAAUGUGUUUGGAAAGUCCCAUGAUGCUUCAAUGACCAUUGGAUCAUAGGCGAGUUAAUCCUCACCCUUGAUAAGUUCUUAUGGUUUUUAUAAGAUCAACAUUUUGGUCAUGACUUAUCAAGUAACGAUGUAAGUUUUUCAAUGAUAAUGAUAUCACAUAGUAAUCAUAUUCCAUUAAUCCUCCAACCACUAUUUAGUCAGUUGGCUUAGGUGAAUAAUUAUUGAUUCUUAAUGAAUCAAAUGUUUAAUUAAAAGCUUCUUAGAUCGUUAUUAAGGCUUUGGUGAUUAGCAAUGGAAAGCUUUGAGAAAACCCCUCCCCCACCCAUGGUUGAUGAUCGCUCCACCAAGAAGGCCAAGUUUAUGGCUCAAAGUGAUGUUGGUGAAACUUCUGAGCGUCUCUCCUUUCGAGACCAAUUAAUGAAGUCACAAAAGGAUACAGAGGAAGAGUUGUUUGGCAGCGACGACGAUUUAGAUUUAAAUCCGAAGGAUGUAAUUUUUAUGAAUACUGAUUCUAUGCCAUCCAUAACUUUUUCACUGAAAGUUCAUGAGCAGUUGAUCAAGCCUUGGCAGAAUACAGUUGUGGUUAAACUGUUGGGUCGCCACAUUGGAUACAGGGCUUUGUGUAACAGAUUGGAAUCGUUGUGGAAUUUGACACCGGGAUUUAACACCAUUGAUCUAGAGAAUGAUUUUUACUUGGUCCGUUUCAAGAAUGUAGGAGAUGCGGAUUAUGUUUUAACAUCUAGACCUUGGACUAUUAUGGGACAUUAUCUGACGGUACAACCAUGGUCACCUCACUUUGAUAGUUCUAAAAGAGAGAUAGAUAAAGUAGUGGCCUGGAUUCGUCUCCCGGGCAUGGCUCUGCAUUAUUACCAUAAGAAAAUACUCUGACGGCUUGGGCAAAUCAUUGGUUCGGUUAUCCGUAUCGACUAUACUACAGAAUCUGCACAGAGGGGUAAAUUCGCUCAAAUAGCAGUAGAAAUAGAUCUUAAGAGCCCUCUAAUUUCACAGUUUCAUCUGGAUGGUAAAAUACAAAGAGUGGAAUAUGAGAAUCUUCCGGUUAUUUGUUUCCACUGUGGGAAGUACGACCAUUACAAAGAAAACUAUUCAGAUAGGGAGAAUAAUGGUCCCACUGAGGACGAUGUGCCUAUCCCAGGUGGUCCGGUGGAGCAUCAGUGGAUGAGUAAGGCUAGAAACGACAGCCGAAAUGAGCCAAAAUUCGGGCCAUGGAUGGUAGUGGCUCGCAAAGGAAAGUCGAGAGUGGAGAAGGAAAGCAAUUCUAAUCAGGCAACUGACCAAGUUUUUUGGGGGCAGUAUGGGAAGGAAUCGCGAUUCAAUAUCUUAGCUAAUCUCGGGGAAGAAGAAUCAAACCAUGAGGAAAAACAGGAUGCCAUAUGGAACAGACACAUAGAGAUAGCAAUACAAUUAAUUCUAGCCCUACUUUGUCGCCAAAAAGUAAACCCACUAGAAGGACAGAUGCUCAUAAAUCAGCUAAGCCAACAGAACCGGGGCACAUGGGAACAUCUACUGGACUGCAUGCGAUAACCCAUACUAAAGAAAACACAGCUCCUCAAAGCCCUUUUCACACACAUGUCUCACGAGGUGUUACCAACCUCCAUGCAAACCAUGCAAGCCCCAAUCCUUUACUUAUGCCUGUGUACGUUCCUACUAGUUUAAACCCCCUCCAUCAUUCGGCCAUCUCUUUCUCUACUGAUUACGCCACUGCACACCUCCCUUGUGCUGAUGUCCAUCCUAAAACCUCCAAUGGCCAAAACAGUGCUGAUGGGCAUAUCACUCUGUCCGAAUUAGACGGUGACCCUCCCAAUCUCACAGGUUUAGCUGCUAACAUGGACAUGGAAGACGACACGAAUGAUAGUGAUUAUGUGGCUACAAGUGAGGAUAGGGCUGACUCUUCAGAAGGUGAUGUGUCCCUUGUUGAAGAAACGGCCAUGGACCUAACGGAAGAGGCAUCUCAGCCGCUACAGUAAGGUUCUAUUUUUCUCCAAUCUUUAUAUCAUGAAGUUACAAAUUCUUUUUUGGAAUGUACAGGGGGCGGCCUCGAAGGGUUUUCGUCGCUCUUUUAAUACCCUUAUAAAAAAUUAUGGCCCUUUCAUGGUUAUUAUAAUGGAGCCUAGAAUCAGUGGGAAGCAAGCCGAUGAUUUUAUUAAAUGUAGCGGAUUUGAGUAUUCUCAUCGUAUUGAAGCUACGGGUUUUUUUGGAGGUAUCUGGAUUCUUUGGCGGGGUUAUUUUGAUGUGGAAGUCUUAUUCAAUCAUAAGCAAUUCGUCCAUUUCAAAAUUUCAAAGAAUGAUAUUCUUGAAACUUGGAUCACAGCUGUGUAUGCGAGCCCUAAUCCUAUUUUGUGACAGCAGUUGUGGGAUCACCUUGAUUUCUUGGCUAGAACGGUUCAUGGCCCGUGGCUGGUGGGAGGCGAUUUCAAUUCCAUUCUUUGUGCUGAUGAGAAGAAAUGUGGCUCUACACAUAUUUCUGGGGUGUGUGGUCUAUUUAAGAGUUGGUUUAAUAAGAAUGGAAUGUUUGAUUUAAACUUCCAUGGUCCCCGUUUCACUUGGUCUCAUGGUUUUCUUAUGAAGAGGCUGGACAGAGCUAUGUCGAAUACAGAGUGGCUAAACAAGUAUCCAGACAAUGCAGUUUUACACUUGCCAAAAAUUGCUUCAGAUCAUAGACCUAUCUUAGUUCGGUUUAAUAAUGAUGCCAGUAGCGUUAGGGGACAAAAACCUUUCCAUUUCUUAGCUGCAUGGCUUACAGACAAUUCUUUUGAGGAGUUUGUCUCUAAUGCUUGGAUUAAUAGUUUGCCGUAUCUAAAUGCUGCUGAUAUUUUUGUAAAAAAGGCCUUGGAAUGGAAUAGAGACCAUUUUGGGAAUAUUUUUCAAAAGAAGCGACGGAUCUUAGCACGCCUGGGGGGGGAUUCAAAAGGUGUUAGAAACUAAGUCCCGACGAAGUUUGGCCAGGUUAGAGCUCAAGCUGAAGAAGGAGUUAGAGGAAAUUCUUACACAAGAGGAAAUUUUGUGGCUUCAAAAAUCUCGUAAAGAAUGGCUUCUCCAAGGGGAUAGAAAUACGGCUUAUUUUCACCAAAAAACGUUGGCCAGACGUAGAAGAAAUCGUAUCACAACUAUCCAGAAUGCUAAUGGGGAAUGGAUUGUGGAUAAUGAAAUUAUUAAGCAGCAUGCUACGGCUUUCUUCUCGACCCUUUAUAGUAGUGAGACUUUGGCUUUCCGACCAUAUCCAGUCAGGGGCUGCUUCCCUAUCCUUGAUGCAGCUCUCACUCACGGGCUCAUGGCUCCCAUCGAGGAUAAUGAAAUCCAACAGACUAUUUUUAGCAUGAAGCCACUAAAGGCACCUGGCGUGGAUGGUCUUCAUGCAAUUUUCUACCAAUCCCAAUGGCAUAUCGUUGGCCACUCCUUCUGUAAAUUUAUAAAGAAUAGUUUCAGCAGCGCCAGUAUUUUGAAGGAUAUUAACACUACGCUUCUAGUUCUCAUUCCAAAGGUUGACCAUUCGGUUAAUCUAAAAAUGUAUCGAUCGAUUAGUUUAUGCUCAGUGGCAUACAAAACCAUUUCUAAAAUUGUGGCUAACAGACUGCAAGCCCUAAUGCCGAUUCUUAUUGGUCCUCAGCAAACUAGUUUUGUGCCUGGCCGUCAUAUCACUGAUAAUAUUGUGAUUGCCCAAGAAGUUAUUCACUCCAUGCGCAAGAAAACGGGGAAGAAAGGAUUCAUGGCGAUUAAAAUGGAUCUCGAAAAGGCGUAUGAUAGACUUAACUGGGAUUUUAUUUAUGAGACGCUGCAGGAAACGGGACUGCCUAGAGAUAUGAUCCAGAUCAUUAUGGCAUGUAUUACUUCGGCUACAAUGAGAGUAUUAUGGAAUGGUGAAGCUUCUGAUGAGUUCGUUCCCUCCCGUGGUAUACGACAAGGAAACCCUCUUUCCCCGCAUAUUCUUAUUCUUGGCUGAAGCAGACAUUGAACAAGCUGGGGUGAUAAAUAUGGUCUUAAAUAAUUUUUGCCAGAGCUCGGAAGCUAAAGUUAAUAAGGCUAAAUCUCAAGUUUUCUUUUCUAAAAAUAUUUCGGCUCGGGACAUGAAAAGAAUUGGGGCUGAACUUGGUUUCUCCGUAACCAAGGACUUGGGCACGUACCUUGGGAUGCCGCUGCUGCAUACUCGUGUAUCGCAGCAUACAUAUCAGAACAUUAUUGACAAAGUGGAAAGGCGUCUGUCGAGCUGGCAUGCUUCUCUGUUGUCUUUGGCUGGCAGAAUAACCCUUACUCAGACAGUUUUACAAGCUAUCCCAGUUUACACAAUGCAAACAACUAGCCUCCCUACUGGAAUUAAUAUGAAGAUUGAUAAAGCGUGUAGGAAAUUCAUAUGGAGUGGUACCUCAAAUCAGCAGCGGAUGAGUAUGGUUAGCUGGGAUACAUUGUGCAAACCAAAAGCUUAUGGAGGCUUAGGACUUAAAGAGCUAAACGUGAUGAAUAAAGCGCUUUUAAUGAAGCUUAGUUGGGGAAUCAUCUCAGCUAAGGAUAGCUUAUGGGUUCAGGUCCUAUGUACAAAAUAUGGGGUUAAUAAUUCCAACCCCCCGCUGUCCUUGCUGACUCGCUAUGGAUCUCAUAUGUGGAAAGCUAUUGGAAGGAUUUGGAGUGAUAUGAUGUUAAGUAGGAGCUGGUCUGUUGGUGAUGGUAAAAGAAUCCGUUUUUGGUGGGAUUGUUAGGUGUAUAAGGAUAAGCCCCUUGCGAACCAGGUCACUUCUCAUAUUCCCGAUCAAAUCACUAACUUAAAUGGUUGCUGAUUGUAUGGCAGCGAAUGGGCAAUGGAACUGGGCAUUAUUUGAUCAUUUUCUCCCUCACUCGGCCAUCAUGAAGAUUGCGUCCAUACAUCCUCCCUCAGAUUUGUUAGGUCCGGAUCAAUUCUAUUGGUCGCAUUCUAAUAAAGGGAAUUUCUCAGCCUCCUCGGCUUAUAAUGUUAUCAGCUCUCUGGAUAAUUCUUUACAGGAUACUAGUUGGAAUAUGGUUUGGAAGUGGCAAGGCCCUCAGGGUGUUAAAGUUUUCAUUUGGUUAGCUCUUCAUGGCCGGUUGAAAACCAAAGCUGAAAUUGCAAGGCGCCACAUGGUGAUAAAUACUGAGUGUGAUAGAUGUGGGGCCCCGGUUGAGGAUAUCUUGCACGUUUUAAGAGAUUGCAUGGGUACGAAAGGUUUUUGGUAUCGAGUGAUUCCAGUAGCAAUGAGGCAGCAUUUUUUCCAAGCUCCUUUUAAAGAAUGGAUGAUGAAUAAUCUCCAGAAUGCAUGGCCUAUUUCUGGAGUUUGAAAUUGGGUUUGCUUUUUUGGUAUAGCGAUAUGGAGACUAUGGUUUUGAAGGAACCAAUUCUGGGUGAAUGGAUUAGCUAUGGACAGUUUAUCCAUGGUUAAUGAUGUCAAGGCUCGCACGGAGGAGGUGAUUUUAAUUCAAAGGUCUUCUUUGAGCUUGACAAAUAAAAAAGUCACCAAAUGGAUUGGUUGGUCGCCUCCGAAUUGGCCAUGGUGCAAGUUGAAUUCAGAUGGUGCAUGCAAAGUGAAUGGUGUAGCUACUGCAGGGGGCCUGAUUUGAGACCACAGUGGUCAUUGGGUUGCUGGAUUUGGGAUGAAUAUAGGGAAUUGUUCAGUGACUACGGCGGAAUUAUGGGGUCUUUACCAAGGGUUGACUCUUGCGUGGAAUAAAGGGAUCCGUUGGCUUUGUGUUGAGGUUGAUAGUCGCUGCGUUACUCAACUUGUGAAGAAUAACAUGGUGAAUCCCAAUGAGUUUUCUACCCUCAUUCGUGCUAUUCAAGAACUCAUCAGACGCAACUGGCAGGUGGAGAUUACUCAUGUUUACAGGGAGGCUAAUUUUGCUGCGGAUUAUUUGGCUACUUUAGCUUGUUCCCUCCCGCUAGGACUUCAUGUUUUGAACUCUCCUCCUAAAGGAGUGUUCCAGUUUAUGUCCCAAGAUAAUUAUGGGGUAGUCUAUCCCCGCCUUGUUAUUUCUUAGCUCUGUUAAGAGCCUCUCUUAAUCCAAAAAAAAAAAAAAGCUUCUUAGAUCAUUCAUAAUGACAUCGCAUAGUAAUCAUAGUCCAUAACUCCACAAACCAUAUCCUUUUCCUUUUCUUUUUUCUUAUUAAGAUAAAUGGAGAAUCGUGUGUGAGAUUUGAUUUUCCUCUAGUAGUUCAUAAGAUAAGAUAGCGGAAGUCCACCAGUUCAUAAAUUUGGCUAAUAUCAUAUAGAACUAACUCAAGAUGUAAUUGAGAAUUCUUAAUUUUCUAUUCUUAGUCCAUGAACUAUUCUCAACUGAGCUAUGGAAUAUUAUCAAUAAAUAAAAAGGUAUUUAUGUAUGCUAAAAGAAACAACUGUGAGAUCAAGAAAUGAAAGCAAAGAAGCAUGGAUAUACUUUUUUUCCCUUAAUUAAUGAUAUGCAAGGAGUUACGAUUUCAAUGAAAAUCACAGUUAAUUUACAAACAUCAAACUUAUUUAUGAGGAUGAAAAACUCGGUACAUAUUUUAAUAAACAGCCACAUUAUUCUUUCAAGCAAGGCUCAAUACAAUACACAAACAAAGCCUCUUAAACAUUACUGACACCAAACAUUACUAGGCUGAAUACAAUCAGACAUUACAUAAACUCAUCUUUAGCUGCUGGAACGAAAACAAGAUGAUCUGUUGGGAAGUAGUGGCAGACGGGGAUAGUUCCCGGCUUAAUACCAAGUAUCUGAAAUGAUAGAUGGUCAGGAUUCCACUGAGAGGUAUCCAGAUGACAAGCUGAAAUAGCGUCAGCUAUAUCUCCAUUGUCACCGACCAGAGAAACCCUGAAUACUUUGUUGAUGUUCUCUGUCAUAUGGCUAUGGCAGCCGUAAAUUGCAUAAGGAUAGGACAUGUAAUGACAAGCUACCAUCUUGGAAGCAGGGAUCUCUUGCACCUCUAGGAUUGUAUAAUUUUGGAAAGUAUUACUGGUAGACUUUGUGGUCACAGUUUUAAAACCUGUCUCCGAGCCAAAGAUGCUGCCAGCAAAAUCAAGCAUGGAUUCUAAAGAGGUAGCACAAGUUUUGAUUUCAUCUUUGAUGGGAUCGGUUUCACACAUCCUGAGAGUGUCUUCCAUGGCUUUGGCUUGCGGUGAGACGCGUGGGAUGGAGGUUAAUUCAAGAAUAUAAGGAAGUUGUUUCAAUGAAAAUGGAAAGGAAUCAGCUUCUUCUCUAGGCAAAAAGUGAGCAGAAUUUGAAUGAUCUUCAAUUGGAAGAUAGAGGGCCAUUUUAUUACCUACCUUUAGAUCCCUCAAGGUGAAGAAUAUCUUGACCUCGCUUGAGUUUACGUCCACAUGGGAUGAAUGAUGAGCUAUAUGCAUAUGAUGAAGUUGAACAUCCAUUUGAGGCAGAGACUCCUCUCUCAAUUCCCUGGCACCGCUUCUGUAUGCGCACUGAAAAAAGUUCAACAGUAAAUAAACAGCAUAAACUUUGAAGGGUCGUAUCAACUCAAGAAUUAAUGAACAAAUUAAAAUGAAAAACUUAUUUUGCAAAAGGAAAGUUUAACCACAGUUGAAGACUACCAGGAGGAGGAGCUGUAGAAGGAUGUUCCAAGAAGCUAAUCCCAAACCCAUCUUGCUCUGGAUAACUCGUUUGUUUUUUGGCUACUGAAUGAGGUAUAUUGUAUAACUCGAUCGAGUGUCGACAAGUUGUAAAAGAAAAAUUUUACAGAGGCUGCCUCAGUACUCAGGUGAAAUAGAUUAAAAUUCGGAACUGUGACUAUGGAAGUAAUUGUUUCUUUUUUUAUUGGGGCUAUUUUACAAUUUAAAAACACUUCGAACACUCUUUUUCCCUUUUUAAAUUGAUGGGACCCACCAAACUACUCUACAACCCGUUUUUUAAUAAUAAUUUUAAUUUCUAAAAUAUCCUUCUCGUAGUUUACUAAUAAAUACGAAAACAAUAUAACUAUAUAGAAAUAAUUUUAAACAAUUAUCACCGUUCGCCCUAUAAUGGAUUUACAUCACUAACAUUCAACAAUUUCUCUCUUAAAAAUGAUUAAAUAAAUUUAAAGUAAAAAUUACUUCGAUCUAUUUCUUUAUGAUGUCGAGUCGAAGAUCAAGAUCAAGUUUUAUGCAUGAAACCUAUUCUGGAAACAUAAUUCAUAAAAGAGAAUAUAAAAACAAAAAAUGAAUAAUUUUGAAUAAAAAAAUUCCAGUAUCCCAUUAUUUUACGCACUUCCAUCUAUUUAUCCAUUAUGUUUAGAGUUUCAAUUUCUUUUAUAGAGUUCCCUCUCCCCCAAUAAAAAAGCUCUUUUAUAACUAUUACAGUUUGACUUUUGUAGAUAAAAAUAAAAAAUAAAAAUUUGUUACUGCUCCUUGCACUAGCAGUGGAAAAGAAUGUUGUCAAAAUUAUUGUUUUUGCUAACAAAUGGUUCCAUUGGCCAGGUUGAGGAAAAGAAAAGAGAAAAAUGGGAACGAAAUCUUUGAGCGACAGUUGGUUAGCGAGAGAAAUUUCUUUCCAAGGGUACUUUUAGGCCAUGUUUGGUUUGAAAAAAGGGGAGAACAAGAAAAAAAGUGGAAUGGAGGAGAAGGAAGAAGAAAAGAGUGGAGGAGAAUAUUGAAAUUAAAUUUUAUUUUUUGCUUUGAUAUAAAAUUUGAUAAGAAAAGUAAUUAUAACUUUUUCUUUGGACAAAUUUAUCCUUCAUCUUAAAUAUUAAAUUAUCUAUAUUAGUAAUUAAAUAUAAUUUAAUAUCAAUACCAAUUUUUUUUAAUUUCAAAAAGUCCUAAAACAAUUCAUGAUUUAUUUGAACUAUAUAUAUAUAAUGGCGGUCUGGCGGAGUUCCGACAACCUUCCGAUAACGAUAGAUGGCUAUCUAGCGGAGUUCCAACGAUUGUCCGGUGGAGUUCUGGCUAUAGUCGACAGCCAUCCGGUGGUUUUCUGGCAAAGUUUCGACAACUGUCCGGCAGAGUUUCGGUGAAGCUGUGGGGAUUUACACAAAUAAUCAAAGUUAUUAUUGAGAUCUUAACUAUAAUUAUUUCUGUCGCCAUUAAUCAUAAUCAAUAAAUAUAUGGUUAAUUUUAGAUUAUUCUCUCGUUAAUUAAUUAUUUUUAAAUAAUUUUUAUACUUUCAAAAACCGCAGUUUACCCAUAUUUUUGUUAAGGCCCAAAAUAUUGAGUCCAUCUCAUUUGGGUGGCCGAAGCCCAAAGUUUAAUAAGUUUGGGCUAUUAAGUAAUUAAUAAAAACUCGAAGGGGUAAAUGAAAAUUGCCAUGCAAUUUGCCAAGGGAUAGCAAUGGAUUGGAUCUUAUCCAAGAUCCACGUGAUCCAAAUCCAAUCGGAUCGGAUUUGGAUCGGUUUAAAAUGAAUUUGGAUCGGAUUUGGAUAUCGAUGUGUGGAUCUAAGACGGAUUUGGAGCAGAUCUGGAUCUAUCUUAAUAUCUAAAUCCAUAUCCAUAUCCACUCAUCUUUUAAUUUUAUUUUAUUUUAAAAGUUUCUUAACAAUUAUGAAAUUAUAAUGAUAAUAAAUUUUAUUCAUAGCAUAUUAGUGGUAUUUACCAUGCAUUUAAACUCUUAAAACUUAAAGGUUAGUUUUGUAAAUUUAAAAGUCAGACAGCCCCAAGUAUGUACAUGCAAUAUUCAAAUUGCAAGCCAAGUAAUAUAACCUGGCAAUUUAUUUUAUUAUAUUGGCCAAAUAGUUUUUAAGGAAUAUAGUUAUUCAUAUGUAUUAGUCAAAUAUGAUCAUAAUAAAAAUAAUAAAUGACCGAUUAUAAAUUAUAUUUAAUUUAUAUGUCAUUAUCUAAUAUUGUAGGAAUGAGGGUAGGUGUGUCGUGGAUAUUAUAAUGAUGAAGGAGACAAUAGAAUAUUAAAUUGAUCUUACUUCUGCAAUUACUUUUGAAUGAUACUUUAUUAUCUUUCUUAUUUGUUGUUUUGGUGUAAAAGUAUAAGCUACAAUAUUUAUUAUAUUUUUUAGAAAAAUUAUAUAAUUUAUUUGUUAUCAAUACAUUUUAGCCUUCAAUUUUCAUUUUAAAAAAUUAUUUUUUUUUAUUACUGAAUUUUAGAAUUCAUGACGGAUCUAGAGCAGAUUUGGAUUUUAAUUUUUUUUCGAAUUUAGAGCAGAUAUACAUAUUUAUUUCUUUUUUGGAUCUGGAUAUGGAGCGAAAACUAUGGAUUCAUAACGGAUCUGGAGCAUAUACGGAUCUUCAUUUUUAUUAUGGAUUUGGAUCAGGAGCAGAGUAGAUCCAACCUAUAUCUGUCCCAUUGCCAUCCCUAAAUUUGCCUUUAAAAGCAAGCGGCCAAAAAAAAAAAAGAACGAGUGGAGAAGAAAAGGCGGCAAGAGAGAGAAAAGCUAGUGGAAGUUCCAAUUUGAGAAUAAUAAUUGUAAUCUUUGAUUGGACGAUCAGAAGUCGAUUUUAACUUUGUUUUCUCCCAAAGUUUGAGUGCAUGUUCCCAAGACAUCGCCCUCUACUGGUCUUAAUUUUUAUUUUAUCCUCUCUUUGGCUAUUAUUUGAGAUAUCCACUUGUUAGAGAGACAUUUUUUAAACUGUUACUGUAAACCAAGAAUAAUGAGAUUCUUGAUGUUAGUGGCAUUUAAUAUUAUUUAGAGAAGAAUUAGUGUUGUAAUCCCAUUAAUAUAGUGGAAGAUUUUAUCAGACUACGAUCUCAUGGUUUUUCUCGCUUUAGGUUUUUCACAUAAAUUUUUUUUGGAUGUAUUGGUUUAUUUUUCUGCCUAUUUAUUUGUGUUAUACAUCAUAUUUUUAUCGCACAAAGAGGAAAAGAGUUUUGUUUCCGCUUAAUUUACAACUGCUUGGUAGUCCCUUUCCAAACAGAGUGGUAUCAGAGCUUCAGGUUUUGUAUUUUUAUUACUCUGUGGUUGAGAUGGAGGAGUCCUCGGCAUGCACGAUUAAAUUAAAAUCAUAGAAUUAUGGUAUUUGGAAGUCUAGGAUGGAGGAUUUGUUAUAAAUGAAAGAUUUACAUGAACCCAUUGAAGGCAAAGAAUGUAACCGUUUCAUCUGGUCAAUGUUACCGUUGGGCUAAUUUUCAAAUAAACGGUUUGCCGUUUAGGGUUAACAUUUCGCCGUUAAAUUCCAGAGACCUGCAAAAUGAACAUCAGUUAUCCGUUUACAUUAAACGGUUAAGAAUUUGCAUAAAAUGACCUCUCUAGAAAUUAUCGAUUAAUCGUUUGUAAUAAACGGUUCGCCAUUUGUUUCCAGUAACCUGCAAAACAAAUUAGCCUUAUCCGGUUUUGUUAAACGGUGCCAGAUGAGUACAAUCUUCAAUUCUGGAUUUUAUCGGCUAACCGUUUAGAUAAAUGGUUCACCGUUAAAUUCCAGUAGCCUUCCCAGCUUUUUGUGUUUUUCGUUUUUCUUAAUCGGUUAGAGCUUAGGCAAAUGUUGCUCUCUGGUUUUAAUCGAUUAACCGUUUAAAAGAAAAUGGUUCACCGUUUAUUUCCAAAAUCACAUUUUAACUAGAUUUUGCAGAAAAUCAUUUUCUAAUUUGAAAGUCCAUCUUUUAUUAAUAUAAUUGGAAUUAUUAUAAGGAUUUCGUUUAUUUAAGAAAUAGCUCCAACAUUUUAUAAAAAAUCAUUUAAAGUUUGUUAUUAUCAAAAUCAAUAUUAUUAACAUAUUCAUGUUAACAAUCUCCCGCUUUUUUAUGAUGACAAAUUUUAAUCAAUAUUUUGCUCCCCUUUAAUAAAAGCUCCCCCUAAAUGUAUGGCCAAAUUAAGAAAUGUCUAAUAAAAAGAUUUUUUCUCAAGAAAACAUUUUAAAAUUCAUUUUAAAUCUCCCCAUAAUUCCAUAAUUAUCUCCCCCUUCAUCAUAAAAAAGAAAAGAGAGAAAAGAAAAUCAUAAAUCCGUUAAAGAAAGAAGUUACCCAGUUUUGGUAAGCGAAAAUUUUGGCAGAGUUUUCCCUUAAAAAGGAACAAAACCACUAAUACAAGAGGAGAUUUAAAAAACACUUCCAAAAUAUAGUAACAAUAACUCCAUCAACCAAUAUCAAAUCAGCCAAUAUCAAGUCAUCCAACAUCAAGAACAACACAAAAAUAUGUCAUCAAAAUCCAUCAAGAUCAUAUAGAGGUAGCAGUGUAUAUAAAAAUAUAAAUAGCAACACACAAACAAACAAAAUAUGAAAAUGUAUGUGCGAAAAUAGAACUCAGAAACUAUGGAGGUGGAGAAGAUGUGCUCCCAAGAUCAUAACCGAAAUAGUGGAGAAGAGUACGUUGUCCAGCGAUAAGCUCAAGCUGCUGACCAAUACUCUGCUGCUGGAAGGUCUAAAAGUCAGAACGUAACUGCUGGUGGUCACGGGAGAAAGUGUCCAAACGAUCGAUAAUCAGCUGCUGCCGCUCCGAAAUCCUAUGAACAUCAGCAACCAACUGCUGCAUAAUGUCCGAAGCAGGGGGCUGAACUGGAGCUUGAAGUGGCUUAGAAGCAGAGGGCUGCUCAGGAACAGCAGAUGGCUCAAGAGCAGGAGGCUACUUGGGAGCCAAAGGCGGCUCGGAAGAGGAGGGAAUGUCAGCAUCCAUCGCACGCUCCUCAGAGUCAGAGUCAGCUGGAGGCCGGGGGACAAAAUGGCGACGCAGAGGAUAAAGAUGAGCUCCUAAUCUAAAAUCUGGAAGCUUAUCGGGAAGAUAGACAUUAUUGAGCAUCCGAUCAUCCUCUGGAGCAAUUAAGGUAUCCCGGUUUUUGGAAUUUUUAGUCUUUAUCCACUCUCCAUUCUUCUUAGAAAAACCGAUACUAGUGUUGGCCUCUGGACCAAUCCGUCUAAUCUCCAUAUAACCGGUAUCGAGAAGAGGCACCUCAAAGUAUCGCAGUAACUUAAUAAUGAUACUGCCAUAUGGAAGCAAGCGGUGGUUAACCACGGGAGUACUCAACAUGUGCCGCACAAUAACAUAGCUGAGGUUAAUGGGACGACCUGAAAUAAGGCUAUUUAAUAGGCCAACGUCCAACCUCGUAACCUCAUCUAAGUGACCCUUCCUAGGUGUCACUAUGUGCUGUAAAAUAGUGUGAAGAAUGCGAACUUGGAGAGGUAAAAGUUGAGACCGAAAAGGUAGAUUACAAAUCUCAUUAGACAAGUCUCGACGGCGACAAAUAUUACGAACUCCAUCAACAUGACUAAAACCGUCAAAAGAAAAGGCUUUCCUAGAGGUAUAAAUUUCAUGACCCUCACUAGCGAUACCUAGAAAGCCAUUUAGAUCCUCAUCAUCAAAUUCUAUAGGCACACCGCCGACUUAAGUAACUAUCAUAUCUAGGCGAGUUGCGGAGAUUUCCAUGCUUGAAUAAAAGACUCGCACUAAAUUGGGAUAAACUCGGUCAUCAAAAUCAAUGGCAGACUCCCAAGGCUGAAGCAUAUCCCUAAUGCUUCUACCACACACAACUAAGGUACUGAAAUCAUCUGAUUCAAUAUAGAAAGAGUCAAGUACCUUUCUACCAUUGAAGCGAUCUUCGAACUGCUUGGCCAAGGAAGGCAUGGGGAAAUGAAUUCUUUCGAAUUCAGAAACUUCCCGUGGUGGUAUAGGAUUCCUUGGAGGCACAAAUUUUCUCCUGACAUUUCUUCGAAGGGGCUCAGCUAUGGUGAAGAGUAAGGAAGUUUGAAAUUUUUUAGAGAGAUAUGAAGAGAAGAAGAUGAACUGAUUAUUUGUUUACGAAUGAGUAAAGAAUAUGAUUUUGACGCUCAAUUUGGUUGAAGAAGGGCAAGAAUCAGGUUCAAAAUGAAGAAACCCGAAUGGCUGCACUAAGGGUUUGGAUUUCGGAUUUUUCAAUUUUGGGCUUAAUUUGAAGAUUUGAAUCGGUGAAAGUGUUCUAAAGGUGAUAAAAAAUGAUGCUAUAUGUUUGAUUUGGCAAGAAAAAUAAGAAAAAUUAAGGUUUGAGGGCAGAGGAAGCUUCGGCUGCGCAACAAUGCCUGAAACAGUGAAAGGGCAACUGGAGAAGGAGAAGAAAAACCUUUGAAUAGUUUUAUAUUCACGAAAACGAUAAACCGUUUAUUUAAACAGUUAAGGGGUAACUUCCAGAGGCUAAGGAAUGGGAAACGGUGAAAGGUUAAUUUCUUAAUACUAAAGAGUAACUUCAAGAGAGCUAUUUGUUUUUAAACGGUUUACCGAUUGCAUCAAACGGUAAAAUGAUUAAAAGGCAGACAUCAUAAUCUAGUUUCUAGAAUAAAACGGUACACCGUUUAUUGGAAACGGUUAGCCAUUUAUUUUAUCUAUAAUUUCGCACAUUUGAUUUAAUUUUUGGCCAGCAAAUAAUACAUUCCAAGAUCAUUUAAUUGAUCUAAAAAUGUUUUAUGAGUCAUUUUAAUAUAUAAUUCAUGAACAUAUAUUCAAGCAAUUAAUUCAUAUAAUCAAUCAAGAAUUAACAAAGCAAGCACAUCAUUUGAAUAUCAAGCUUAAGCAUUUAAAUCAUCAAAUCACCAAUAAGUCAAUCAAUUCAAUACACUCAAUAGCAUGAAUAGAGACGUUAAUGCGAAAAUUUCAUCAUACCAAAUUCAUACCGAAUCUUUGAAAAUUGUUCUUCGCCAAGAGGUUUGGUAAAAAUAUCGGCGAGUUGUUUUUCUGUAGAAAUAAACUCUAAUGCAAUAUCCCCCUUUUGAACAUGAUCUCUCAAGAAAUGAUGUCUUAUUUCUAUAUGUUUGGUUUGAGAGUGUUGAAUGAGAUUCUUUGAAAGAUUUAUAGCACUAGUAUUAUCACACUUAAUAGGAAUUUGUUCUAGGUUAAUACCAUAGUCUCUAAGUAUUUGUUUCAUCCAAAAAGCUUGUGCACAACAACUUCCUGCAGCUAUAUACUCAGCUUCGGUAGUUGAGAAUGCAACAGAAUUUUGUUUCUUGCUAAACCAUGAAACAAGUGAGUGACCUAGGAUAUGGCAAGUUCCACUAGUGCUUUUUCUAUCAACUUUAUAGCCGGCAAAAUCCGCAUCCGAAUAGCAUGUUAAAUCUAUAUGAGUUCCCCUAGGAUACCAUAGGCCAAUAUCUAUGGUUCCACUCAAAUAACGGAAAAUUCUUUUAACAGCAAGCAAAUGAGAUUCCUUGGGACAUGAUUGAAAUCUUGCGCACAAACAUACACUAAACAUGAUAUCGGGUCUACUUGCAGUUAAAUAAAGUAAAGAUCCUAUCAUAUCUCGAUACAUUUUGAUAUCUACUUCUUUGCCUUUUUCAUCUUUGUCAAGUUUAGUUGUUGUGCUCAUUGGAGUGUUUUUGGUCUUUGAGUCAUCAAUGCCGAAUCUUUUGAGUAGAUCUUUUACAUACUUGGCUUGAUUUAUGAAGAUUCCUUCCUCAUUUUGUUUUAUUUGCAACCUAAGGAAGUACUUCAACUCUCCCAUCAUACUCAUUUCAAAUUCAUUACUCAUGCAAGAUGAAAAUUCUUUAUACAACAAUUCAUUAAUAGAACCAAAAAUAAUAUCAUCAAUAUAAAUUUGAACAACAAGUAUGUAAAACCAGGGGGUUGUUUUACAUACAUUUCUUCCAUUAUAAAACCAUUCAAAAAAGCACUUUUCACAUUCAUUUGAAAUAAAAUGAAAUCUUUAUGACAUGCAAAUGCCAACAACAUUCUAAUUGAUUCUAGUCUAGCUACGGGUGCAAAUGUUUCAUCAAAAUCAAUUCCUUCUUCUUGGUAGUAACCUUGAGCCACUAAUUUAACUUUAUUUCUUACAACCACACCAGAUUCAUCCAUCUUAUUUCUAAAUAUCCAUUUAGUACUUAUGACGGAUUGAUGUUCCGGUUUAGGAACUAAUUCCCACACAUUGUUUCUUUCAAAUUGAUUUAACUCCUCUUGCAUUGUCAUAAUCCAAGAUUCAUCAUUUUCCGCAUCCACAAAGGUUUUGGGUUCAAUUUGAAAAAUAAAUGCAUUAUGCUCACAAGUAUUUCUAAGUGAUGAUCUAAUUGUAACACCUUCUGAGAGAUCUCCUAAAAUUAUAUCCUUAGGGUGAGAAGAAACAUACUUCCACUUCUUGGGGAGUGCUUGAGAAGUACUUUCAUGUUGCUCCAUAUUUGUUUGCUUUUCUUGUUCAUCCUCUUGAUUUCUUUGUAGUGCAUUCUCUUGUUUAUCCUUUGAUGAUUCUUCUUGUAACUCUCCAUCUGCAUCAUCAUAAUUUAUUCAUUUCUCCACAGAGGAGGGGUUAGACUCAUCAAAUGUAACAUGCAUAGAUUCUUCUACAACUAGUGUAUUUUUGUUAUAAACUCUAUAAGCUUUGCUUGAGUUUGAAUAUCCAAGAAAAAUACCAACAUUAGAUUUUGGAUCAAAUUUGCCAAGAUUGUCUUUUGUGUUCAAAAUAAAACAUUUGCAUCCAAAAAUUUUGAAAUAACCAAUAUUGGGUUUUCUAUGUUUCCAAAGCUCAUAUGGAGUUUUGUUAAGGUUAGGUCUAAUCAACACACGAUUUAAAACAUAACAAGCGGUGUUGACGGCCUCGGCCCAAAAAUACUUAGGCAAUGAAUUUUCAUUCAACAUAGUCCUAGCCAUUUCUUGAAUGGAUCUAUUCUUUCUCUCAACAACUCCAUUUUGUUGAGGAGUUCUAGGUGAUGAAAAUUGAUGCUCAAUGCCAAAAGCAUUACAAAAAAUCUCAAAUGCAUGAUUUUCAAACUCUCCUCAAUGAUCACUCAUAAUGCAUGCAAUACCAUACCCUUUUUCAUUUUGUAUUUUCUUACAAAGCACUUUAAAGACAUCAAGAGCAUCAUCCUUAUUGGCUAAGAAUAAUACCCAUGUAUAUCUAGAAUAAUCAUCCACUAUCACAAAUGCAUAAUAUUUGCCAUUUAGACUAACAUAUCUAGAAGACCCAAAUAAAUCUAUGUGAAGAAAUUGAAGUGGUUUUGAAGUAAAAAUAUGAUUUUUAUUUUUGAAAGAUGUUUUGAUUUGUUUUCCAAAUUGACAAGCUUCACAAAUCUUAUCUUUUUGAAAACCAAUUUUUGGAAGACCUUUAACUAAAUUAUUUUUCGAAAUUUUCGAAAUCAAAUCCAUACUUGCAUGUCCUAACCUUCUAUGCCAUAACCAACUAUCAUCAUGCAAUGCGGAAAAGCAUUUAUCAAGAGUAGAUGCACAUUCUAUGUCAAUGAUAUAAACAUUACCACAUCUAUUCCCAACAAAUAAGAUCUUGCCAUCACAUGAAUUCUCAAUAACACAACUAAAUUUAUCAAAGAUAACUUUAUAACCUUUGUCACAUAAUUGACUAAUACUAAUUAAGUUGUGUUUCAAGUUCUCAACCAAACAUACAUUCUCAAUUAGAGUUGAGGAAACUUUACCAACAUUUCAAAUUCCAAGAAUUUUUCCUUUUGAGUUGUCUCCAAAAGACACGUCUCCCCCAUUUUCAAUUUUGGUGAAACUUGAGAACCAUGCAUAGUUUCCGGUCAUGUGCCUCGAACAACCACUGUCCAAGUACCAUUUAUUUUUCUUCUUCUUCAAGCCCUACAAAGAAAAUCUCAAGUUUUAGGUACCCAAAACUUUUUGGGUCCUUGAGAGUUAGUAGUGAUUCCUUUUGGAACCCAAAUGCAUUUUAUACCAUAAUAUGCAUUUCUUUUUACUGGACAUCUAUUUUUCAUAUGACCAUCUUGAUUACAAAAAUGACAUACAAUUUGAUUGUUACUAGAUGUACUCUUCACAAAGUAGUUUUUAUAAUAUUUUUGUUUCAAGUUUGGCUUAUAACCAAUACCUCAUUUGUCAAAUACACAUUUUUGUGAAUUAAGCAUGUUAUCCAACAUCUUUUGCCCAUUUGUAAAUUUCAAAACAAUCUCAUUCAACUCAUUGCUCUUUUUUUUAAACGUUUCGUUUUCAUUUUUCAAAUCAUCUAUGUGUGAUUCUAAAUGCUCAUGUGAGAUGUUAGGUUUCUCAUUUGAUAAUGUAAUUUCAUCAUGCAAUGUUUUAUUCUCUACUUCUAGGCAUGUAAUUUUUGCAUUUGGAGAUUCAUUUUCAUUUUUAAGCUUUGUCAUUUCCUUUUUAAGACAUACAUUCUUUUUACCAAUCUUCAUCAACUCAUUAUACAAUUCUUUAAAGGCAUCAUACAAUUCAUCAUAGGUGGGAUCACUUACCUCAUUGAGAUCAUCAUCCUCUUCUAUUGACAUAAGCGCUAGGUUUAAUACUUCUUGCGAUCCUUCUUCAUCACUUGAAUCUUCCUCGCUAUCAUGCCAAGUUGUAACCAUGGCUUUCUUCUUAAGUUUGUUGAUAAGUGGGCACUUCGAUCUUAUAUGGCCAGGCUUCUUGCAUUCAUAGCAUGUGAUUACCUUUUUCUUCUCCCUUUGGUUCUUGAAGUUUCUGAAAUUUCUUUGCUCUCCGGUUUUCUUAAAGAAUUUUCUGAACCUCCUUGCUAGCAUGGCCAACUCUUCAUCAUCCGGUUCACUCUCCCCACCACUCUCAUAUUUUGAAACUUUGAGAGCAAUGCUUUUCUUCUUCUCCUCAUGCCCUUUUUCUGCUGCCAAAUCUUCUUUAUAUGAAAUGAGAGAACCAAUUAAAUCAUCAAGAGGUAAAGUAUUUAAAUCUUUGGCCUCUUCAAUAGCGGUUAUUUUGGGUCUCCAUUCUUUUGAAAGUGACCUAAUGAUUUUCUUAACUUUCUCGCUAUUUGAGAAAGUCUUUCCUAGGGCUCCUAGGGUGUUUACUAUGUCCGUAAAUCUCGUAUACAUAGAGUAUACACUCUCAUUUUAUUCCAUUUGGAACAACUCAUAUUGUCUAGUGUACCUACUAAUUUUCGACUCUUUCACUUGAUUUGUGCCUUCAUAAACUACUUCAAGUUUGUGCCAAAUUUCAUUGACACUUUCACAACUAGAUACUCGAUAAAAUUAUUUCUUAUCAAGUGCACAAAAUAAAGCAUUCAUAGCUUUGGAAUUUAGAGAAGCUUUUCUCUUUUCCAAUUCAUCCCAUUCCCUUGAAGGUUUUGGAAUAUCUUCCCCGACUUCAUUUUUAGUUAGGGGCAAAAACGGACCAUCACAUACAACUUCCCAAAUUUCAUAAUCCAGUACUUGUAAAUAAAUUCUCAUCUUAGUUUUCCAAUAUGGGUAGUCAUUUUCGUCAAAGAACGGUGGUCUAGUUGUGGACUGUCAUUCCCUAAAAGUUGAGUCAUUUUGGGUUGCCAUGGAUCUUUUACUCUAGACGGUUAAUUCCUAAUAAGAGAACCAAGCUCUGAUACCAAAUGAAAUACAAGUGUGCAACCCAAGAGGGGGGGUGAAUUGAGAUUCUAAAAAUUAUUUGAUUCUAAAACAAAUUAUCAAGCAAAUCUAAGAUGAAUUUAAUGGAAUAACAAUUAAAUCAAUUACAAUAUAAAAAGAUAAAGGAAGAGAGAUUCAAACACGAAGAUUUUUACGUAGUUCGGCCAACCUCGCCUACGUCCAGACCUCCAAGCUUUCCGGGCUUAAAAAUUUCACUAAGUAAGCCUCCAAGGCUUCAAAUGCAUACACUUGACUUCCAAGGUGUCAAUGAGCCUUUACAACAAGAGAUUAUCCCCAAUCUCUUAACCCAAGUGUAUUUCAACACUUACAAUCACUCAAAGUAAAAGAUUAAAAAUUAUUUUUCUCUCACACAAUAUUUAAAAUUACAAAUCAAUGCCCAAUGUGUGAAUAGAUGAAGCAAGAAUGUGUUUUAAAGCUCUAUGAAGAUUGUAUUCUCAAUUAUAAGCUCAAUGGUCGUGUUAUGAUCAAUCUUGUUUGAUUUUGAAUGAGUUUAUUUAUAAUUGGAGAUAAAAAAAACUAGUCAUUAUAGAUUGUCUGCUCGAAAACGGUUCGCCGUUAGACAUUAACGGUUAACCGUUUCAUUUGGUCAAUGUUACCAUUGGACUAAUUUUCAAAUAAACGGUUUGCCGUUUAGGGUUAACCUUUCGCCGUUAAAUUCCAGAGACCUGCAAGAUGAACAUCAGUUAUCUGUUUACAUUAAACGGUUAAGGAUUUGCAUGAAAUGACCUCUCUGGAAAUUAUCGAUUAACCGUUUAUAAUAAACGGUUCGCUGUAUGUUUCCAGUAACCUGCAAAACAAAUUAGCUUUAUCUGGUUUUAUUAAACGGUGCCAGAUGAGUACAAUCUUCAAUUUUGGAUUUUAUCGAUUAACCGUUUAGAUAAACGGUUCACAGUUAAAUUCCAGUAGCCUUCCCAGCUUUUUGUGUUUUCCGUUUUUCUUAAUAGGUUAGAACUUAGGCAAAUGUUGCUCUCUGGUUUUUAUCGGUUCACCGUUUAUUUCCAGAAUCACAUUUUAAACCAGAUUUUGCAGAGAAUCAUUUUCUAAUUUGAAAGUCCAUCUUUUAUGAAUAUAAUUGGAAUGAUUAUAAGGCUUUUGUUUAUUUAAGAAAUAGCUCCAACAUUUUAUAAAAAACCAUUUAAAAUUUAUUAUCAUCAAAAUCAAUAUUAUUAACAUAUUCAUGUUAACACUUGAGAGUGUUUGAUUGCAGAGCAUAUAUUCACAUCCCUAAAGAUGAGAGAUCGAAGCUUUAUGAUAAAGUCAAGGAAUGCAUUUUCUUAGGCUAUAUGCAUGAAGAAUUUGAGUACAGAUUAUGGGAUCCAGUGACAAGAAAAUUUAUCAGAAAUAGAGAUGUGUUUUUAGAAGAUCAUUUAGUUGGUGAUGCAGAGAAGAUUAAUGAGUCUCAAUCAUCUUCAGAGAUUCCUAUUAUUCUAACUUCAGUUUCGCCACCUGUAAUUCAUGAUGAUCAUAGGGGAGCUGAAAAGAAUAAUAAUAAUGGUCCAGCAGAACCAAUUGAGCAAGCACCUUUAGAACUACCAACACCACCAGUUGAGCUAGAAUUAAGGAGAUCCACCAGAGAACGACGACCUUCCACUAGAUAUCCUCCACAUGAAUAUGUGAUGCUUACAGAUGAAGGGGAGCCAAAAUGUUUUGAAGAAGCGAUGUCUCACUAGCAUAAAAGUGAGUGGGUUAAAGUCAUGCAAGAGGAGAUGAAAUCUUUGAAUGAGAACUACACUUAUGACUUAGUAAAGCUUCCUAAGGGAAAAAUGGCACUGAAUAACAAAUGGGUUUAUAGGUUGAAGACUAAAAAUAACUCACAACAAUGGUACAAGGCUAAAUUGGUUGUGAAAGGUUUUGGUCAGAAGAAAUGUGUGAUUUUGAAGAAAUAUUUUCUCUUGUGGUGAAGAUGUCUUUUAUCCGAGUUGUUCUAGGAUUAGCAGCUAGCUUGAAUUUGGAGAUUGAACAGCUUGAUGUAAAGACAACUUUCUUGCAUGGUAAUUUCGGGGAGGAAAUAUACACGGAGGAACCUGAAGGAUUCAAUGUUAAAGGCAAAGAAGAACUUGUAUGCAAGUUGAAGAAAAGUUUGUAUGGACUGAAACAUGUACCAAGACAGUGGUACAAAAAGUUUGAUUCUUUCAUGGAGAAUCAUGAUUUCAGCAAGAUUAUAUGCGACUAUUGUGUUUUUGUGAAAAAGUUUGGUGAUAAUGAUUUCAUCAUUCUUUUGCUUUAUGUUGAUGAUAUGUUGAUUGUUGGGUAGGAUGUUAGUAGGAUUGAUAAUUUGAAGAGAGAGCUUAGCAAGUCUUUUGCAAAUAAAAGACUUGGGACAUGCGAAACAGAUUCUUGGCAUGAAAAUUUCUCGUGAAAGAAAAGCUGGGAAGUUAUUGUUAUCUCAAGAAGCAUAUGUUGAAAGGGUUUUUGAAAUAUUUAACAUGAGCAAGGCAAAAUCUAUUUGUUCUCCACUUGUAGGCCAUUUCAAGCUUAGUUCUGAGCGUUGUCCUACAAGUGAGAAAGAGAAGCAAGAGAUGAAAUGAGUUUCUGGUUUGUACAAGACCAGAUAUUGCUCAUGUAGUUGGUAUAGUUAGUCGGUUUCUCUCCAAUCCGGGUAAAGAACACUAUACAACAGUGAAGUAGAUUCUCAGAUAUCUCAGAGGCACUUCCAAGGCAUGUUUAUGUUUUGAUGGUAACAAACAUGUGUUACAAGUGUACACAAAUGCAGAUAUGACGAGAGAUGUUAAUUCUAGAAAAUUCCUAUCAGGAGAUUUGAUCACCUUUGCAAGGGGAGAAGUCUCAUGGCAGUCUAGACUUCAACAGUGUGUUGCAUUGUCUACCACUAAAGCAGAGUAUAUUGCAAUCACUGAAGGUUGCAAAGAAACUUUGUGGAUGAAGAAUUUCCUACAAGAGUUGGGUGUAAAGUAAGACAAUUUUAUUGUGUACUGCGACAGUUAAAGGGCCAUUCACUUGGUAAAAAAUUCGAUAUACCAUUCGAAAUCCAAGCAUAUUGAUGUGAGGUAUCAUUGGAUAUGAGACAUGCUUAAGAAGAAACAGUUGCAGGUUAAGAAGAUACACAAAAUGGAAAAUGGGUCAAAUAUAAUGACAAAGCCAUUACCUAAAAGAACCUGAAAAGUUGUAUGUAGAAAGCAGGCUUGGUGAUGCCCCCUACAUGAUCUGGAGGGGGAGAUUUAUUGGGUCCAUCUCAUUUGGGUGGCCCAAACAUAAAGUUUAAUAAAUUUAGGUAAUUAAAUAAUUAAUAAAAACUCAAAGGGAGUCAAUGAAAAUUGCCAUGAAAUUUGCCUUUAAAACCGAGCGGCAGCACAUGUUUUCUUAUUUAAAAAAAAAAAGAACGAGUGGAGAAGAAAAAGCGGCAAGAGAGAGAGAGAAAAGCCCGUGGAAGUUUUAAUUUGAGAAUAAUAAUUAUAAUAUUUUAUUGGACGAUUAGAAGGUAAUUUUAACUUCGUUAUCUCUUAAAUUUUGAGGAUUUGUUCCUGACAUCGCCCUCUAUAAUUUUGGUAGCCUUGCUUUUUAUUUUUUUUUCUUUUUGGUUAUUAUUUGAGAUAUACACUUGUUAAAAAAAUAAUUAUUAAAUUAUUACUAUAAGCCAAGAAUAGUAAAAAUUUUUAUGUUGUUAGCCUCUAAUAUUAUAUAGAGAAGAAUUUGUACUAUAAUCUCAUUAAUAUAGUUGAAGAGGGUGGGGUUAUUUACACUCGGAAUAAAUUUUCUAUUAAACACCUAUUUAUUCAAGGCACCAAUUUCAUAAAUUUUAAAAUUUUGACUUUUUAACUCGACUUUGAACAUACAAAAAUUAUCCUCAAAUUAAAUCCCUGCCAGUAUACAUUUCUUUUUUUCAUUCUAUAUUCAUAAAAAUAAAAUUAGUUCAAGUGAUUGCUAAGCUUGUUGUUAUAAGAAUAAACGCAGAUUUUUUCUUUUUAGAAAAUAGCUAAACAUAUUUAAAUGAAUGAAUUCGUAUUUUUUUUCAGCUUAUUCCAUGUAAAUACAUAGAGCUAUUUAGUCGAAGAUUAUUUUUUUUUUUCAAUAAUGUACCCUCAUUAAUGCAUUGGCUCAAAUAUAAAGGUUGACAAUCAUAGAGCAAAAGAAAACAUUAAUAAAAUAAAACUUCAUUGAGGGUAUAAAUUUGAGUCCCAGCAAGAUAUUUCUAUUCCUAUAAAUAUUAAGGGGAAGAGUAGAGAUUUUAGACUUUACAGUAAAUUGUUUAUUAUAAAUAUCGAUAGAUUAUAUUUCUCAUCGACCAUUAUUUUAAGACUAUAUUUUAAGAGCCGUAUAAUUUCCCACGUUACCAUUGUAAUCUGGGUCGGCGGAGCUUUUAGCCUUGUUAGUCGUGCGUAUUUUGGACUUAAGAUUAAAGAUUAAAGAAAGAAAAAUCUAAGCAAAUUUUCAAGAAACCGUGUACCACAAGACCAAAACACAAAAAAUUGAGCCGCUGAUUGCACAAGGCAUCAAAUCCAGUGGUCUAUAUUUUUUUAGAAUAUUUUAUUACAUGCGACCUAUCAACAGAUCUAAUGCACGGUAGUCUUAGCCAUAAUAAUUAAUUCUAAUAUUCUAAGGCAGAUAAGAGUUUGACCAUUUGAUGUCUGAGGUGGAACGGAUAAUGCACUAUUCAACUGUCUGUAUUUUUGGAUAAUGUAACUCAAUAAUGUCCCACGGGAUUGAUAAAACUUUCUGUUUUUCCUUUUUUUUUUCUUUUUUUUUUCCAUGUUUUAACACCGUGUGAAUCUCUGCUGUAAGCCAAUAACGUGACGAUUUUAGACGAUAAAGUUUACAAUGACCUAGACUUUUGCCCUACCCUUCGUUUUUUUGGGAAACGGAAAAGUUCUUUCGUUUUCUUCCAUAAUUGAUAAUAAUGCACCUUAACGUCAUAAAAUAUUGCAAUUGAUUGAAAAAUAGUAAAAAGAAUAUGUUAACACUAUAUAAUAUUAUAAUUAAUUGAAAAAUAUGUUAAUACUACAUAAUUUUAUAUUUUUUCUGUUGCUGUUAAUCAUAAUGAAUAAAUAUAGGGUUAAUUUUGGAUCCUUUCUAGUAAGUUAAUUAUCAUUAAAUAAUUUCUUAUUCUCAAAAAUUUUAAUUUACUCUUAUUUUUAUUGAGAAGAUAAAAAAAUAAUUCAACAACUGAUCUCUAUUUUUUCUUAUUUUUGAAAAAAAAUAAAAUAAUUUAAGAUUAAGAUAAAAACAUAAUUUAAAUAUAAUUAAUUCACAAGUGGAGAUAAUUAUUAUUCUCUAUAUUUUUAUAAGCAACAAAGAGAUAUAAAAUGAGAAAGUCCAGACAACUCUUCAUAUCUCUUAAAAUAAUUCCACCCAGUUUACAAUAAUUUACAUGGUCGGUUAUAUAAGUGGUGAUGUUUUUGUCAAUCUUUAUGACUUUGAGGACCAAAUAAGUGGGUGGAAUUAUUUCAAGAGAUGUUGAGAGUUGUUUGGACUUUCUCUUUUCAUGUCGAGAGUUACUUUAUUCUAGCUAUAAUUAUUGUCCUUGUUGCCUAUAAAAGUUUUUGGGAUCCUUAAUAAGCUUGUAACUUUUCGUUUAUUAGUUAGUUCCUUAAACUUGUGGUAUAGAAUGAAUUGCUUGUGCACUAAUGAAAAAGCUUAGUUCAUAGUAAACCUGUGACAGUACCUUUAUUACUUGAAACAAUAGCAAAUAUACUUGAAAAAAAAUAGUAUUUUUUAUAACUUGUGACCUAAAAACUAAUAACUAAAAAAAAAAGUCAUACAUACUAAGAAAGUUGUGAUUCCAACAAAAGCUUACAUGCCUGCAAAAAAUGAAAUUUUUAACAAACUUGUGAUGUAAAAUCAUCCACUUGGAACAUUGCGUAGUGGAAGAGUUGAGACUGCAACCGAGUAAUUAUUUAAUUAUCAAAAAGUAAUGGCCACUUGUCAAUUGAUUUAUGAUUGCAUGGCAAAUCUAAGCAAAGCAUAUAUGCACCGGUUCCAUCAAAGGAAGAGCAAUUUACUUCAAUCUUAUAAUAAUUUAUAUGGUGGGUCAUAUAAGUUGUAAUGUUUUCUUUCUUGUUGUCCAUCUUAUGAUUUUGAGGAUUUAAUAAAGGGGUGGAAUAAUUUUAAGAGAUAUUGACAGUUGUUUGGAGUUUCUCUUUUUAUGUCGAGAGUUUCUUUUUUCUAAGAAUUAUUAUUGUCCCUGUUGCUUAUAAAAGUUUUUAGGAUCCUUAACAAACUUGCAACCUUUAUUACUUGAAACAGUAGCAAGUAUACUUGAAAACAAAUAGUGUUUUUUAUAACUUGUGACACAAAAAACUAAUAACUAGAAGAAAAAAAAUAGCAUACAUACUAAGAAAGUUGUGAUUGAAACAAAAGCUUACAUACUUUAAAAAAAAGGGAAUUUUGUACAAACUUCUUACUUAAAAUCAUCAACUUGAAACAUAGCGUAGUGGAAGAGUUGAGACUACAACUGAGUAAUCAUUUAGUUAUCGAAAAGUAAUGACAACUUGUCAAUUGAUUUAUGGCUACAUGACAAAUCUAAGUAAAGCAUAUAUGCAUCGGUUCCAUCAAAGGUAGAGCCAUUUACUUCAAUCUUACAAUAAUUUACAUGGUAGAUGAUAUAAGUUGUAAUGUUUUUUUUCUGUUGUCCAUCUUAUGAUUUUGAGGACCUAAUAAGUGGUUGGAAUUAUUUAAAGAGAUUUUGAGAGUUUUUUUUUUAAAGUAAGGGGGUGGGCAAAGUCUAAAUAGGUUUUUAUUUUUUUCUCCCUUACUAUCCCCAAGACUUAAACUCAGGCAUCAACUACUACAAGUUUGAUGCUGUUACCAACCCGAUCACUCCCUUGGGGGCUAAGAAAUUUUUUAGAGUUGUUUGGACUGUCUUUUUUCAUGUUGAGAGUUGCUUUAUGAUAAGAAUAAUUAUUGUCCUUGUUUCUUAUAAAAGUUUUUGGGAUCCUUAAUAAACUUAUGACAUUUUGUUUAUUAGUUAGUUCCUUGUAACAUAGAAUGAAUUGCUUCUGCACUAAUGAAAAAGCUUAGCUCAUAAUAAACUUGUGACAUUACCUUUAUUACUUGAAACAGUAGCAAAUAUACUUGAAAAAAAUAAUAUUUUUUAUGACUUGUGACCUAAAAAACUAAUAAUUAAAAAAAAAAGGCACACAUACUAAGAAAGUUGUGAUUCCAACAAAAGCUAGCGCAUCUGAAAAAAAAAAUGAAAUUUUGUACAAACUUGUGACUUUUUUUUUUUUAUUACAUGAGACUAUUGCUCAAACUAAAACUCAUAUUACAUGGUACAAUAUCUGAUAUUUACAAAUCAGACUAUUAUUGGGACCAACUUACAUCAAUGCUUAUGGAGCUCUACCUAGAUUUUAACCCUCACAAAUAUUCGAGGGAUGUCUACUCCAUUCACACUUAGGUAAGAGAGACGAUUAUCUUCACUCAAUUAUACAAUAUAAUUAAGAAAGGAAAUACCUCCAUAUUGCGCUUGUGGGGGUUUGAACUACUACCCUCCAAAUUGGAGGGCAGCAGCCCUAACCACUCGGGUAGGGAUGGCAAUGGGCACCGCCCGCAGUGGGUUUGUCAUUACCAAAUUCAAACCCACACAAAUUUUAAAUUACUAAACUCACCCGUAACCCGCAUCAGAUUUUAAUUUUUUUUAAGAAAACCCACCUGUUGCGGGUCUUGAUAAUUAUCAAACCCGCAAUGGUAUCCAGCGAAUUUUUUGCGGGUUUGUACAUUUAAAAUCACAAAUGUUCAAUAUAUAAAUUUACAAUAAUAACCUCAAAUUCCACAUAACAUACUCAAUUUAAAAUUUAACCAAUGUAAAUAAAAAAAAUUAAAAUUUCAACAUCAAUCCAAUAUAAAUUCUCAAAUUUAAGUAUAAAAUAUACAAAUUCAUUAAAAAAAACCACAAACUAGUAUAUAAACAUAACAAUUACAUUUCAUAUUAUCGUUCAACACAAGCUCCAAGAGAAGAUUUCAUUUCAUUCACCAUCAUUAGCACCCAUCCAACAUGAUGCCUACAAUAAUGAUUAAGAUUAAUAUUUUUCAAAGAAUAAUAUUAGAAAAUCUGAAAAAAAUUAUAAUAAUGAAAUAAUUCAUGCAUUAAGUUAAAGAAAAAUAGUCCGUACAAAAACACUUUGAUUAUUUGGCACUUUUCAAGUAAAUAUUUCAAAAAACAUUGCGGGUUUAGCGGAUAUCCAUGCAAGUAUCUAUCGGAUAUUUAGUUAAUACCAAACUCAUCCGCAUCCAAGUGCGGAUUCCAAUUUAUAAUACCAAACCCACCCAUAACCCGCAAAAUUAUCCACAACGGGUGGGUUUUGGCGGAUUUGUGGGUUUGUUGGUACAAUUGUCAUCCCUACACUCAGCCAAAGGCCGAGUGGCAUGUACAAACUUGUGACUUAAAAUCAUCAACUUGGAACAUAGCGUAGUGGAAGAGUUGAGACUUCAACGAGGUAAUUGUUUAGUUAUCCAAAGGUAAUAACCACUUCUCAAUUGAUUCAUGGCUGCAUGGAAAAUCUAAGUAAAGCAUAUAUGCACCGAUUCCAUCAAAGGCAAAGCUGUUUACUUCAAUCUUACAAUAAUUUACAUGGUGGGUCAUAUAAGUUGUAACGUGUAACGUUUUGUUUCUACUGUCCAUCUUUAUGAUCUUGAGGACUUAAUAAGUGGGUGGAAUUAUUUUAAGAGAUGUUGAGAGUUGUUUGGACUUUCUCUUUUCAUGUCGAGAGUUCCUUUACUCUAGGUAUAAUUAUUGUCCUUGUUGCUUAUAGAAGUUUUUGCGAUCCUUAAUAAACUUGUGACUUUUAGUUUAUUAAUUAGUUCUUUAAACUUGUGACAUAGAAUGAAUUUCUUGCGCAUUAAUAAAAAAGCUUAGCUCAUAGUAAACUUGUGACAUUACCUUUAUUACUUGAAACAUUAGCAAAUAUACUUGAAAAAAAAUAGUAUUUUUUAUAACUUGUGACCUAAUAAACUAAUAACUAUAAAAAAAAAAAAAUUAGCAUACAUACUAAGAAAGUGUGAUUCUAACAAAAGUUUACGUACUUGAAAAGAAUGGAAUUUUGUACAAACUUGUGGCUUAAAAUCACCACCUUGGAGCAUAGCGUAAUGGAAGAGUUGAGACUUCAGCUAAGUAAUCGUUUAGUUAUCAAAAAAUAAUGACCACUUGUCAAUUGAUUUAUGACUACAUGGCAAAUCUAAAUAAAACAUAUAUGCACCAGUUCCAUCGAAGGCAGAGCCGUUUACUCAAUCUUACAAUAUUUUACAUGGUGAGUCAUAUAAGUUGUGAUGUGUAACGUUUUGUUUCUGUUGUCCAUCUUUAUGAUCUUAAAGACUUGGUAAGUGGGUGGAAUUAUUUCUAAGAGAUGUUGAGAGUUGUUUGGACUUUCUCUUUUCAUGUCGAGAGUUACUUUAUUCUAGCUAUAAUUAUUGUCCUUGUUGCCUAUAAAAGUUUUUGGGAUCCUUAAUAAACUGGUAACUUUUCCUUUAUUAGUUAGUUCCUUAAACUCAGUGACAUAGAAUGAAUUGCUUGUGCACUAAUGAAAAAGCUUAGUUCAUAGUAAACUUGUGACAUUACCUUUAUUACUUGAAAUAAUAGCAAAUAUACUUGAAAAAGAUAGUAAUUUUUAUAACUUGUGACCUAAAAAACCAAUAACUAGAAAAAAAAAAAUGGCAUACAAUCCAAGAAAGUUGUGAUUCCAACAAAAGCUAACGUACUUGAAAAAAAAUAGAAUUUUGUAUAAACUUGUGACUUGAAAUCAUCAACUUAGAACAUAGUGUAGUGGAAGCGUUGAACUUUAAAAAAAUAGAAUUUUGUAUGAACUUGUGACUUGAAAUCAUCAACUUAGAACAUAGUAUAGUAGAAGAGUUGAGACUUCAACCAAGUAAUAGUUUAGUUAUCGAAAAGUAAUGACCACUUGUCAUUGAUUUAUAGCUGCAUAGCAAAACUAAGUAAAUCAUAUAUGCACCAAUCCCAUCAAAAGCAGAGUUGUUUACUUUAAUCUUACAAUAAUUUACGUGGUGGGUCAUAUAAGUUGUAUGUUUUGUUUCUGCUGUCCAUUUUUAUGCCUUUGAGGACUUAAUAAGUGGGUGAAAUUAGUUCUAGAGAUGUUGAGAGUUAUUGGACUUUCUCUUUUCAUGUCGAGAGUUGCUUUACUCUAGGAAUAAUUAUUGUCUCUAUUCCUUAUAAAAGAAAAGGGAAUAAUUAUUGUCUCCACUUCUGAAUUGAUUAUAUUUAAAUGAUUUUUUUAAUUUUAAUCUUAAAUUACUUUAUUUUUAUUCAAAAAAUAAGAAAAAAUAAAGGUAGGUUGAUGAAUUAAUUUUUUAUGUUCUCAAUAAAAAUAAGAGUAAAUUAAGAUUUUUAAAAAUAAGAAACUAUUUAAAAAUAAUCAAUUCAUGAUAAGUGACAGCAAAAGAAAUAAUCAUAAAAUUAUAUAGUAUUUAACAUAUUUUUUCAAUUAAUUAUAAUAUUAUAUAGUGCUAACCUAUUCUUUUAUUAUUUUUUCAAUUAAUUGUAAUAUUAUAUGAUGUUAGUAUGCAUUAUUAUCAAGGCAAUGGUUUUGUUAGAGAUACUCUCCUGUGGCGUACUUCUUCAUAAGUACACAAUUAAAUAAUAUAGAAUAAAAACCACGAUAUAAUUUUAACCGGACCGUAUUAUCAAUUAUGAAAGAAAACAAAAGAACCUUUCCUAUUUUCCAAAAUCGAAGGGAUAAGGCAAAAAUCUAGUCCUUGUAGACUUUGCGGUCUAAAAUCAUCACGUUAUUUGCUUACAGCAAAGACUCAGAUGGUCUCAAAGAAGUAAAAACACAAAACAGAAUUUUCUACCAUGCAUUAUGUUAGGUCGCGUGUAAUAAAAUAUUUUAAAAAGAUACAGACCGCUGGAUUUGAUGCCUCAUACAAUCAGCGGCUUGAAGUUGUCUUGAAAUAUAAUUGGGAGUUUGCGGGCAACCGAUAGCAACAAUAUACCUAAAAAAACGAGAAAGUCAAUGUACUGCUCUUAGAAAUUGGUGACUAUUGUUUCUCUUUCUUUUUCGGGUCUGCCUCAAUGGAACCGAUGCAUAUACUUAGAUUUGACGUGCAGCCAUAAAUCAAUUAAUACGUGGUCAUUACUUUUUGAUAAACGAUUAUUCGGUUAAAGUCUCAUCUCUUCUGCUACUUUAUCUAAGCACCUUCACUAAUAUUUGAAAUAUAUCAGUUUUACUCACAUUUCAUAAAAAAAUUAUUUAUCCAUAAUUUCUUUCAGGAUUCAAAAGCAGCUCUAACCAUUUGGUUAAAGGCCAAAUGACUUAACUUUUGAUGGAAUCACAACUUUCUUAAUAUAUAUGUCUUUUUUUUUAAGUUAUUAAUUUUAGAUCACAAGCUAUAAAAAAAAUAUUUUUUUUUAAAGUAUGUUUGUUAUUGUUUCAAGUAAUAAAGGUAAGUAACAAAUUUACUAUGAGUUAAGGUUUUUCGCUAGUACACGAGCAAUUCAUUCUACGUCACAAGUAUAAAUAAACUAACUAAUGAAUAAAAAGUCACAAUUUGACAAUUUUAUGAAGGAGCCCACUCAAUAUUUGCAGAAGAUUUUUUUUUUUUCAUUUACAAUAACUCAAGAUUAUUAUAACAUCAAAUAGUGAUCAAUGUAUGAAAUAUAUUUUUAAUUAGAAACAAUGACGAUUAUAUUGUACAGUCAAUUAGGGAUUAAUUUAAUUAUUUAAUGACUAAAUUAUUUAACAGCUAUUUCUGAAAGUCUGUUCGUCUAUUUUCCGAGUAGUAUAUAUGAAGUCACAGCUUACACUAAUAAUGGUAAUUCCUCUUGCUAGUGAGACUGUAAAAAAAAAAAUUGAGAAUUUUUUUUUGGUUUCCUUUUUUGUUUCAUCCUUGUUGUCCCAACUCUUUAUGUGCUUCUCACAACUAUAUUAUUCAAUGAUCCAAUUUCUUAUAUAUCUAUCCCACUAAAACUUAUUGUUCACAGAUCUCUCUAUUAAAACCCAAGUUCCAAAGUUUGUUUCAUUUUUAUAUCAAUUAAAAGUUGUAUGUAUCACAGGUUAUAAAAGGAACAAAUUUUCCGAAGUUUGUCUCUCAUUGUUUCAAAUAGAAAAUUUUAUGUCACUAAGUUAUCAAAACAGGAUCAAGUUUUUUAUCACUUAGUUUCGUAUUAAAACCUAAUAUUAGGCGGGCAUUAUGCCGCUAUUUUACAGCAUAAACUUUAGGCGGCUAUUAUGCAAAACUUAUAAAUAUGAGGUGAUCAUUUUGCCGCUAUUAUACAACUCCUAUGGAGGUAUAAUUUCUUUUUUUUUUCUUUUUAGUUUUUUUCUGUGUUAGGCUUCCCAGGCUUAUUUUUAUCGGGAUUUAGUUGAAUAUUUAUGUGGGUUUAUAUGUAAAUUGUGUCAUAUAUAAUAUUUAAUUAUUAGUGUCUUUUUGUAAUUGAGUUAAAAAUAAUGGAAAAAAAGUUCCAAUUGCUAUGAAUAGAGAGAUGACAAACUAAGAAGCACUACUUUUUUUUUCUUCUGACGUAUCGCGAAUAGAGGGUUUCAGUUCUCAUAAAAUCAUAAAUGAAUUUUGAUUUAUAAGAAUUUAUCGUUAAUCCAUAGCAAUUUAGAAUGUAAAUGAACAGCUAAUAAAAUUUAUUUCUUUCCGAAAAAAAUUGAAGAUAAGUGUUAAAGUAGUCAAUGAAGAAAGAGGGAGAAGAUAUGAUUCAUCACGAAAAUGGAGUGGGAAAAUACCUUUUAUUUUUUAAUUAAAUUCUAUUGUCCUUGCACGCAGUUGUGUUUAAGGAUAAAUUAUUAAUUAAAAAAUUUAUUAAAUAAUUGGUUGACAGGGUAAAGUCAUAGCUUCAAAUAACUCCUUCCUUAAAACAAAUUGUAAUUAUAAUUGAUAUUCUAAUUAUUGUUACAAUUACAAUUUUACUAUUGCUAUUGUUACAGUAAUCUUAAUUAAAUAUUAUUAUUAUAACAAUUGUAACUGUUGAUGGAAUUAAGAUUAAAUUUGUUAUUACGAUAAUUCUUAUAGUAAUUACGGUUAUAGUUGUAAUUAAAAUUGUAAUUGUAACUAUAAUCAUAUUGUAAUCGGAAUUACAAUUGAAAUAAAAGUUGUAAUCGUUGUUCUAAUUGAAUUUGGAAUUAAUAUAAAAAAAAUUAAUAUUGGAAUUAUUGUUGUAGGAUACAUAAUUGUAAUUGCAAUUGCAAUUGUAAUUUUAAUUGCAGCUGCAAUUGAAAUUUAUAUUGCAACUCAAAUUAUAAAUUGUAAAUAUAAUUAGAAUUGUUCAACAAACAAUUGCUCGAAAAAGGUGUCCGCGCCAUUUUUCAUCUAUGAAAAAGAAAGAGAAACAACAGUAACCAAUUUCUGAGAGCAGUACAUUGACUUUCUUGUUUCUUCGGUAUGUUGUUGCUGCCGGUUUCCCGCAAACUCUCAAUUAUAUUUCAAAACAACUUCAACCGCUGAUUGAAUAAGGCAUGAGAUUAGGGAUGGCAAAAAUCCCCACGGGGACGGGUACCCUCGGAGAUUUUUCCCAUUCGGAGAGAGUAUGGGGAUAAUUUCAUACCCAAUUUCUUAUUCGAGGAGGGGACGGGGAAAUUUUUUUACCCAAUUUCUUAUUCGGGGAGGGGACGGGGAUGACUUGGAAUCCCCAUCCCCUACCCAUUUCCCCAUUUUAAUUUUUAAUUUUAUUUUAAUUUUUUAAAAUUACUAGUAAAUAAAUAAUAAAAUUUAAAUUAUAAAAUUAUAAAUAUUGGUAAAAAUAAAAAAUAUCAAAAUAUUUAUAUUAUUAAACUUUUAGGCCUAAUUAACUAAUUAAAAUCCUAAAUUUUAUUUAGGACAUUAAAAAGACCGAGUAGAUUCUAUUAGCCAAACGUUUUUUUUUAAAUUUUAAUAUUCUUUAAAUAUUUUAAACUUAAAUCUAUUUUUUAUUUAUUUUUAGAUGUUAUAAUUGCCCACAGUGAAUCACAAUUUUAAUAUCUAAUCUAAUCUAAUAUUUGCUUUUGAUUUGCUUCGAUUUAACUAUUGUGUUGUAAAGGGAAUAAUCCACAUUUAUAAAGUGCCCACGCCACCAUUGAAAAGUUAAUUUUGAAUCUAAAUUCGAUUUUAUUUGUAACAAUUUUGUAUUAGACUAUUAAUUUGUUCAUGAUAGUUUGUAAAAGAAGUUUGUAUCUCUUGCAUAUUGCGUUACUUACUAAUUUAAUGUAUAUGACUUUUGUAAUAGAUAUUAAUGUAAGAUAUAUUUCAAACUUUACUUUUAUUUGAAUUUUUUAUUUUAAUAUGAUUAACUCAAAAUAAAAAAAAUGUAUUAGUUAUUCGGGGAUCGGGGACCCUCGGGGAUCCUCUGUUAUUAUUCGGGGAGGGGAUGAGGAUUCUCUCAAGUAAUUCUGACGGGGACGGGGAGGGGACGGGGACAUACGUAAAAUAUCGGGGAUAGGUACGGGGAGAUCAGUCCCCUCCCCUCCCCUCCCCUCCCCAUUGCCAUCCCUACAUGAGAUCCAGCGUUCUAUAUUUUUUUAAAAUAUUUUAUUACAUGCGACCGCACGGUAGAAAUUUCUGUUUUUCUGUUUUUUCUUUUUUAAAGCCAUCUGAGUCUUUGGAGUAAGCCAUUGACGUGAUGGUUUUAAACUGCAAUGUCUACAAUGACAUAGACUCUUGCCUUAUCCCAUCGUUAACAGGAAAGGCUCUUUCUUUUUCCUUCAUAAUUGAUAACAAUGCAUGUUAACAUCAAAGAAAAUUACAAUUAAUUGAAAAAAUAGUAAAAGAAUAUGUAAACACUAUAAAAUAUUAUAAUUAAUCGAAAAAAUAUGUUAAUACUAUAUAAUUUUAUGAUUAUUUCUAUUACUCUUAAUCCUUAUGAAUAAAUAUAAGGUUAAAUUCGAAUUUAAAUUCUCGUGUAAAUUGUCCAUCUUAAAACAAUUUCUUAUUUUUAAAAAUCUUAAUUUACUUUCAUUUUUAUUAAGAAAACAAAAAAAAUAAUAAUUCAUUAACCUACCUUUAUUUUUUCUUUAUCUUUUUAUUUUUUAAAUAAAAAUAAAAAUAUUUUGAGAUUUUUAAAAGUAAAAGACCAAUUUAAAUGUAGUCAAUUAAAAAAAAUUAAUCUAAAAUUUAUCCAUAAAUAUAUAUUUCGUUUUAUAAAUGCAUGGGUUCCAAAGUAUGACCGGAGAGAAAGUCACGGGCAUUGAUCUUCCUCCGGUUCCACGGAUCCUUGAAAAUAUUAUAUUGCCUAAUAUAUCCCCGAGCUAUUAUUAGUUGAAUGUUUAUAUUCAAAAAGAGUAUUUUAUUCUCUAUCUAACGAUGAGUUAUUAUUAAUAAUGAUAAUAAUGGGGCACUUUUUUUAUAUUAAAUUAUUUGGUAUUUAAAGACUCCAUUGAGCCCUACUAAUUCAAAUUCAAAUCAAAUAAGACUAUUAGAGCGACAAAACUUUUCGAAUAAAUAUUGAGUGAAGCCAUUGGCACCCUCUUAUUAAACUUUUAAAACCCAUAUUUCUACAAUUACAUUUAAGGAUAAAUAUAAAUCUACUAUAUUUUCUCUUUAUAAAGUACAAACAUACAAUUUUUCACUGUUUACAAUUUCUUGGCAUUCAUCAUCAAUUCCAUUCCAAAUAUCAAUGAAUUGUUUGAAUCUCAGGCAUCCAAAAAACUAAAACAAAGUGUUAUAGACCCAACAAUCUUUUGUUUGAAAAAUCUCAUGAUUAUCCAAUGGCUUAGCAUAAAGGAGUGGGACUAAAAGAAUUUAUAAAACGGCAAAAUUACAAGAGAAAAAGAAUUCAAGAGAUGGACGGGAAAUUACAUGAAUGACGAGACCAAAAGCAUAACAUGAGAUAGUGGCAUAAAUAUUUCUGAUAUUUAUUGUUGGGUAUUGCAAAGAAAAUCAAAUGUAGAAGAAGGGCAGUUUUGGAAUUAAAGUGGGUGCUAAUAAUAACGAUAAAUUUUAUAUCAUUGUUUAAUGCGGUGUACUUAUAAUAGGGGUUUUAAAAAGAUAUUAGAGGGGUGCCAAUAGCCUCACUCUAAAUAUUUAACGUAGAUGCAUUCUCAAGAUUUAAACCAAGGACUUUCAUUAAGUUAGAACAACUUUAUGUUAACUUAUCUACGCACUUGUUGGUAAAGAGACUUCAGUCAAAUAAAUGGGUGGGAAUUAGUUUAAUGUUAGAUAUUACUAUCAUUAUUAUUAAUACUAGAGAUGAGCCAAUCAAUUUUCACUAUUACAAUCGACUAUUGUUAAUGCCUAAAAUAUUGUUACCAUCGAUGUGUCAAUCUUCUAAUUUAACUAAUAUUAAAUAUAUCAUUUAAUUAAAUGCAAGGAAAGAUUAAUAAUUCCUUUUUCAUUAAUACAAGCAUCUUUAAUUAAUAAGAUUAUUUUUCUAAUUAUUCUUUUGUUAAGAAAAAAAAAAGGUUGGACGUGGAUGAAAAAUGUUUGUUCAUUAAACACUAAUUCUUGUUCCUUAUUAUUACUUUAAACCAUAUAACUAUCGGUGCAGAGCGCAAUCACGACUAUCUGAGCAAAGCCUAUGGCACUAUUAUGAUUGAUAAAGCAAGGGAUAGGUUAUUCAUCUUUCAAUAUUGAAUCAUCAACUAUUAAUAAAACACUUACGUGGUCUAAUAUGUCUCACACAUAAUUAAAUAUAAUUGAUAGUAGUAAUAAAAAUAGUUAUAAAUUAUGAUUCUACUUUACAUCGACUGAAAAUAAAUAUUAGGUUAAAUAUCAUGUUCUCCAUGUGUGGGUCUCACUUCGAUAUUAUAUAAAAAUCCACUAAUUUACUCAUAUUUAAAAGCUAACUCAAGUUUAAGGGUUGCUUCAAAUUUAUAUUAUUAGCCCAAUAAUUAUUAUCAUCAGUUGGAUAUUAUCCUCAAUAUUAACAUACAACUCUAUUGAUUACCAUAUUAAUUAGAUACAAAAUUUCAGAUCGAUUGUUCGGAAAAAUGCUUGGCACGUAUGUGCCGAUGUUAUUGAUUCUUUGACUCUAUACGGAGAAAUAACACUAUCCACUUUGUAAUUAAACUUUGUAUGCCAUAUAUAACGGUCAAAAUUUUUUAUUACCUGUCACAUUAUUUUUCACAGUACCUAAAUAAUCUUUUGUUAUAUUUAUAAAUUUAUACAUCAAAAUUAGAGUGUACACUGAAUGUGACAAACAAUCUAAUAAAACGAACAAAAAAAUUUGUAACUAGCGCACCGUGGCAGGCGGCUAUAAGGGGUAUUGGUGCCUUGUGCGAAAUUUUUUUAGGUCUUUUUUAAAAUUGAAAUAAGAUAAAAUUUAUAAAGUUAUAAAAAAAGCUAAAAAAAUAAAUCUUAAAUUCAUAUUUUUUAAAAGGUGAGACUACUUAAACUGUGAAAAAUAUUCUGGAUAAUUUUUUACUUUAAACACUCAUCUGUUAAAUUUUUAAAAUAAUUUUUUACUAACACACUUUGAAAAAUGACAAAAUAGCCCUAAAUCUCUUUCAUUAGUCGGACAAUUUUAUUCUCUCUACAACCCCAUCAAGGCAGGCAUUCACAAUCAAACUGGGGUUAUAUCUUCUUGUUCAACAAAAAACUCAUCAAUAAUCUAGAAUCAAAUCUAAGCCAUUAUGCAAGUCUUGCGUUGUAUCCAACGGUGAGUUUGAAAAAGACAAAAAAUGGGACACCAAACCCCAGAGGCAACGUAGCUGGACCCUUAUCAUGAACCAGACGCUGAAAAGAAAAUUGUUGGAAAUUUUGUUUCCAUAAAUAUCAACGAAAGUUGAACAAAAUUCAAAGACUGCUAAGAAUUCUUGUUUUUGAAUAUUCAGUAUACACCUUAAGUUAAACAAUAAUAAAAAAUAAAAAAUCUUGUCAGGGAAAAAUCAAGCCGCAGGAUUUCUUAAAAUCGAUUUUAAGAAGAUUACAAAUAAAGUGAAGUAACAAACCCGCUCUUCUUUAUCAGUAGAUAAAAAAUAAUAAUAAUAAUAAUAGUUAAUUUGUAUAUCUCACGUAGUCUUAUUGUUAUUGCUGUACGAUUAAUGAAUUGAAGUAUAAAAAUUAUGGAGAUGUAGAUAUAUAAAAUUCAAGUGUAAAAUAAUGAUCAAGAUGUAGAUAGAUAAAAUUGUAAUGGGUGUUAAAAGCCAUAUAAUUUGUUUGGUUUUACAAAAUUGUCCUUUAUAAUAAAUUAAAUGGUGGCUAUUUCAGGAAUACAAGAUUUGAUUAAAAUUUAAGUGUUCAAGAUAUUUUUUGAUGGACAAACAGUCACACUUUUUUUAAAUUAAAAAAAAAAUCAUAUCUUUCUACGGUUUGUUUGUAGACUUUUCAUACCUAGAUUUUCUUUGUAGACAUAAUAGUAAACGACGAACAAAUAAUACCAUAAUAUUUUAGGAAAUGAAAAUAAAAUAUAAAAACAUAAUAAUUUCUAAUUGACUGUAACUCCAUAUGGUAUUAUCAUGUUUUUAUCAUUAUAUUUUUCAAUUUACGGUAACUCCAUAUAGUAUUAACAUGUAUUUUAUUGUUACUGUGAAAAAUUUUCUGAAUUUUGAUAUUUUUGAGGACCCAAGCAUCAUGAUAAAUAAACUUGCACUGUUAAUCCAGUACACUUUAUCUUCGUGUAUAUAAAAGAGUAGCAAAUAUAAGCCUUGUCAUACAACUCAAUAUCUCACAAAGGUUAUCUCUGAGGAAUCUUGGUUUUAUUGACAACAUGAGACCACUCUUUGUUCUCUGCACACUUUCGGUGCUUCUCUUGGUAUGAUUUUUAAGUUGAAUGUUAUUAUUCAUUUAGAAGUUAAUUUCUGCAGAAAUAUUAGAACUGGCAAUUUCUAAUCUUUUUAUUAGUUUUUGCAUUAAUAUAGUGAUUGGUCUAAUUGCUAUCUUUGUUUUUCUUUUCGUAUUUCAGCUUGCAAGCACAAUUGAUGCAAGGAAAAACCUGGAGGAAUAUUGGAGAAUUGUCAUGAAAGGACAGCCUAUGCCUGAAUCAGUCCAAGACCUACUUGCCGUGGAUCGUGCCGCUUCUACCACCGAUGAGAAUGCUGAUCAAAAGUCAAAUCCUUUAAUUGUAUCCUAUAAUGUUCAGCCGUCCGAGGUGGAAUCCUUGGCCAAGAAUUUUAACCCGAGGCCGAAUAUUUUUUUCUACGGUUUCCACAACAGUCAUAACGACCAGCCAUCCGAGGUGGAAUCCUUGGCCAAGAAUUUUAACCCGAGGCCGAAUAUUUUUUUCUACGGUUUCCACAACAGUCAUAACGACCAGCCAUCCGAGGUGAAAUCCUUUGAUAAAGACGUAUUGAAACCUGAUAAUAAAGUUGACGCUAAUGCUUAAAUGAAAAUCAUGUUUUCAUCAACGGAGAGAAUUAGCCCCUAAUGAUGUUAAGCAACUGGUCUACUCUCGUCUGUCGUCAUAAUAAGCGUUUGUAUUAGGUUUUUCAAUUAAAUAAGUGGCCGGCGGCCUAGUGCUCUGGCUAUGUUAUUGUGUGUGCGGGUCGUUACUUUUGCUGUACAUGGUAAUGCGAAAGAGGUAUGCAAAUAAGUUGAUGCAGUUGAAGGAUGUGAUCAGUGUAAAAUAUUAUUGGAUAAAAGCGUAUGUUUAAGUUCUUCUUCUCUUUAUUUAUUUUUGUAAAUGGGCCCAAUUGAAUUUUCUUACUGAUGAAUGACAUACAUAACCCUUAUCAGCGCAAUGGGAAAAUUAGCAAAAGCAAUGAAAUUAAACUAGCAAAAGAUUUAAAAAUUUUGAUGACAUUUUUGUUUAUUAUAGAGAUGGUAAAUUGAUUGAUGAGCACCGACCCUCCAUUUAUAUAGAGAUUCAUAACAUACAAAAGGAAAUAAUGAUACAACUAUAAUUUUGAGAAUUUAAUUUAUUGAUAGUGGUUGAGUCAAUUAUGGGCUUAACUCUGUGCCUUGGCUAUUGGCAAUAGCCCACCCCAAAGCAGUCGUCCUGUGAUCUCUAAAAUUAAAUCCCAAAACUCAUUAUAUAUAAACCACUCAAGUCUUAGCUUCCUUUCACAUAUGAUAUCAGUUAUUUUUCUUUAUUUUUCCAACUCUAGGAGAGUAUUUUGAGUGUCAAUUUAUUCUUUACUCUAAAGUGUAAAUAUUCAUUUAGUCUUUAUAUUUUAAUUUAAUUGUCCGUUUAGUUCUUAUAUUUUAAAAAACGUCUCCAAACACUGGUGCUGUUAAAUAUAUUAUCUCAUACCCUUACUUUUUCUUUUCUUUUAUAAUAAUAUUAUUGUAACCAUUUUUUUUUUCCUUCUUGAGGAUAUUAAUGUAAAGAAAAAAUGUUAAUUUAACAAAUUAGCUUGUAAGUAACAUAAAAAUUUCCACAAAAUGUUAUUGUUUUACUUUUAGGAUUAAUUUGGUAAAUUAAUUUUUUAUAAAAUAAAUAUUAAUAAAAUUGUAACAAGGAUAUUGAACAUUUCUUUAAGUUGGCUAAUAAUAAUUAAUUUAUAAAUAAAUUAUUAACAAGAUUAUUUCACAGGUACAAAAAAUACUAAUUUUUUAUAUUGAUAUUUAUUGGUUAAUUUUCUAAUAAAUAGUUAUUGGUCAAUUUGCUAAUUAAAUUUUUAUAGACAAAUUAAUUAAUGUUAAGAAUAUUAUUGUAAGGGUAUUAUUUUAAAAGUAAAUAACACUUAAAAGCAAGAAUGUAACAUAUUUAACUAUAACAGUAACUUUAAGGCAUUUUUUUAAAAUAUAAAAAGUAAAUGAACACUUAACUCAAAUAUAUAUGAAUUAAACGAAAAAUUGCUCCCAAAACAUCAUUUUGAGCAUGCAAAUAUAUCAUUUCAAAAAGUUCUUAUAGAGAUAACUCAUAAUCUUUCGCUUAUAACGAGGACCACCCUGAUAGUUUGAAAUAAUUUCAUUUGAAUAACAUGUUUUAUUUGCAAAUGACUUUUCAACCUCCUUUAAAUUUGUUGUAUUGUUAUUUUUUCUUAACAUAAAUCUUUAAGAAUCUAUUUCUAAUAGACUAGAUAUGAUAUCUAAUAGACUAUCUAAAACAAAUUAAAUAAAUAAGUUGUAAUUUAUUAAAAAAUUAUUGCUUUUAUGAUGGUAAUUAAUGGUGACAAUAAAAAAAAAUUCAACUCAAUAAUAAGAAAAUUCUAUGAUGGAGUGACUAAAAUUACAAUAUCCAUGACGAGAUAAACAUAAAUUUUACAAAUUAUACAUAAGACUAGUAAAUAUAAUAAGUAAAUUAAUAUAACAGUGGUAAAUUGGUGUUUUAAAAUCACAAACAAAACAAACACUUAGUAAAAGUAAUACAAAACUUGUAAAUCAACAAUAAACUUUAAUUAAGUAAAAACAGUUUAUCCAUUUAAUUUAAUUAAACAAAAAAUUAACUCAUCAAUUGGAAACAAAAAAAAAAUUGUAUUGAAAACAAUUGGAAUAAGUUUUAUUGAAUUGGUAUACAAGUUAAUUACGUGAAAUUAUUUUUCUUAAUGUGGAUCAAGCCAAAACAAAAUAAAAAGAUAUUCUUAUAUUACUAGACAUAGGUGAUAUAUCAAUAAAAUUGGAUCUAAUUUUCAGUUUAACACAUAUUUUAUGUAGUUUUAACUUUGAAACUCCACUUCUUAAUUGUACUUAAAGAUCAUUCAGGUUUUCUGUCAAUAGGGUUUAGAAUAAUACAAAAUCACCUUAUCUUACAAAUAGCUAGCUUUCAAAAACAUGAAAAGAGUAGUUUUUUAAAAUUUGACUUUGAGAAUUAAUUUUAUCUUAAAUAGAAUUUUACAUAUAUUAUUACAUAUAUUACAUAAAUCCAAGACUAUCAUUUUUUUGUUUAAAACGAAAACCAGUAAAUAUAUAAGGUAAUUAUUAUUAUAAAGUUACACAUUUUGACAUUUGUAGUAAGAACAUGAGAGGAUACCUGGAGUGUAUUGGGAUUUGGGCUGAAGAGAAAGGAGCCCUUGGACUUGGGAAACAAAUGAAAUUAUCUGCAUGGUCCUUGUACUCAUGGAGGGACUGUAACUUCUGAACCAACAAUGCUGAAAAUGCAGGGUCAAAAAUCAACAUUAACUUGAUGAAUAAUUGUUUGAAAAAAAAAAGGAAGAAAACUUGAUUAAUAUAAAAGAGAGCAAAGGAGCACAACCAUACAGAAGUUGUACAAAGGAAUAUUAAUCAAGCUUGAUUAAUAUUCUUCUUCUAUCCAACACCACAACAUGAAACCCAGUAUUCCUGUUGCAGUAUGGUGAGAACUGUGAAGUGCAGGAAGUAGUUUCCUAAGAGAGAUGAUUGAAUGCUCUUAAUUUUUUUUUUUUUCAGAAAAUCAUUUUAUUUUAAUAAAAGUUUAUUUUUUCUUAAUAAAAAAUUUCAUUUGUUUUUAUUAAGUUGUGUCUCAUAUUCACUAAUAAAAGAAAGUUAUUUGGAUAUAUAAGUAGGAUACCUCAUCUAAUAUGCUAGUAGGAUAAAUCUCUCAUCUAAUAUGCUAGUAUUUUGAGUUAAAUACCCAUAAAUUUUAAGCCGAGUCCACAACAGUCCCCAGAUAACUGAUUUAAGUCCUAGCUACACCAGUAGAUUGAAUAGAAGUGCAAAUAAGUUGAACUCUUUUGUCAUUCAUUUUAGUCCUUUUUUUUUGUCACAUACAUUGAAAAAGGAUAACUCUGUCGUGAUUGUCAUGGCAGAGCCUAUUUCAAACGGUGGUGUAUGCUAAAGGAAAUUAUCAUGAGAUGAGUGAUAAACCAUACAGUCAGUAGCUAAAGCCCAUCAUUAAUCAGCCACAUGGCCACAAAUAUUAUUGGCGGCAAAUAUCUCAACAAAAUCACAAUAAAGAUGAGCAUCCUCGAAGAUUUGUCAUCAACGAUCCCUUAUUCUAGACACCAUCUUUAUUUUGAGCAAGUAUCCUUCAUAUUCCUUAUGUACAAAUGAUUCCAUUCCUUAAUGUAAAUAGGACAGCCUGUCUAGCCAUUACUCUUAAGAGAUUUGGCUGGCUUUGACACUUGUAUAUAAGCUUGUAACCCUCUCGUUCUUUACAAGAAAUAAGAUAAUAUUUUCAGCAUAAUAUUUCUUUUCAAUGAGAUCAAAGAAAUGAAAAGAGAUAUAGUCUAUUAGGUUCGCAAAUCUACUGAAACAAUAUUGUUUCCAAUCAACUCCGAAAUACAACCAACUGAACAACGUUCGGAAAUCGAAAAUCAUUUAUUACCAGUAAGAUUUAUUAUUAUACGCUAGACAUAUGGCUUUAACAGUCACAUUACCACUACAUUUUUAAUCAUGGUAGGUAGGUGCUGGAAUGUAUACAAUAUUAUCAGCCUGGAAGAAAUGGCAGACAUGGGAGCUCCCUGGCUCGAUCCCAAGCACACGAAACGAUGCAUGAUCUGGACUCCAAUGAGACGUAUCCAUGUGGCAAACUGCUACAGCUUCCACUCUAUCUCCAUUAUCACCACCUAAUGAAACACCGAAUAACUUGUUCUCAGUCAUUUGGCUGUGGCAGUAGAAGAUUGCAUAAGGGUAAGGCAUGAUAUGACAUGCCACCAUCUUGGGAGCAAACAUUGGUUUAGGCACUUGUAAAAUAGUGUAAUUUUGGAAAAUGGUAGUUGAUUUUGUGAGAAAUUUUGUGCUUAGAACUUGGAAUUUGGUCUCCAAUCCGAAAGUUCCGUGUACAAAAUCAAGCAUGGAUUCCAAAGAGGUCGCACAAAUUUUGGUUUCUCCUUCGAUGGGAGGAACUUCGCAAUGAUUCAGGGUCCCUUCCAUGGCUUUGGCUAGGGAUGAAUCAUCUGAGAACGAGAAGAAUUGAAGAAGGUAAGGCAGUUGUUUCAAUGAAAAUGGAAUGGAAUCUGCUUCUUCUCUAGGCAAAGCCUGAGGAUAAGCUGAAGGAUCUCUCUUGCGAAAAUAAAUCGGCAUCGUUUCGCCAAUCUUUAGAUCCUUCAAGGCCAUCGUUGAAGGGUCCAUGUGAUUCAUGUGGGAUGGUAUUGAAUGAGAAUCAUGAAGAUUCUCCGAAAGCACCUGAGCACACUGUAAAACAGUUGAGCAAUUCAAUAUCACAACAUAGAUGAAAAAUCAACAACACAAGUUCUAUAAAGUGUAAAACUGAAGGAGCAAAAUAUAUCUUUUUGAGUUAUUGCUUUAAGACAACACUUAUGUACAUGUAUUGCAAAGUAAGCCACUUAAUUAGCACACAUUGAGGAUUAUUACCAGAAAGAGUAGAGAAAGAAGGAGGUUCCAAGCUGAAAAUCGUAACCCCAUCUCUUUUCUAUUAUCGAAGUUUGUUAUAUAUUUUAGUAAUCUUUUUUUUUUCAGGGAGAAGAAACACAGAUAACAAGUGAAGCAGAAAGAGAAGAGAUUGUGUGACUGUAUAUGUCAACAACCAAAUGAUGUGUGUUGAUUUUCAAGUGGACAUUUAUAGCCUGCAUAAGCUGAACUUGUUCUACUGUGCUGAUUAAUUGAAUCACAACACAGUUUGAAUAAUGACCUUAAUAGUCCAAUCCAGCAAAGAAUUCAGCACUCCAAUCAUUUGGGGACACACGUAUUGCACCUUCAUCAGGUCUGCGGAUUUUAAUAGUUUUGACUGAGUGAAUGAUUACUUCAAUUGAUAACAUUGCAUAUUAGAUUACCAGACCUAAAAUUGAUUUCUUAUUAAAAAAUUUACUUGCAAUUUGGAAACUCUCUUUGACACAUUAAUUACAGACUCGAAAUCUGUAUCAAUAUUCCCCAUACAUAGACAGAACUGAGCAUAAAAAGUGGGAAGGCAGAUCGUAAACAAAUUCGACAUGGUAGUUUCCAAGGAUGAAUAGCAUUUUUUUCAUUCAAAAAUGGGAUAAUAUAUCCUUCAGUCACGUAAUGUACACUAAGGCGGCGUUUGGUUGGGAGGAGAGAACAAAGAAGAGGAAAGUAAUUUAAAUUUUCUUUUUAUUUUCAUUGUUUGGUUUGAUAAAAUAUAUAAGAAUUUAAUUUCCAUUAGAAUUUAAUAUCCAUCAUAAUUUGAAUUCCACACCAAGUAGUGAAGAAUUUAAAUUCCUCUUAUGUUAGAAACUAAAGUUUCCAAAAUUACCCUUCAACUUGUUUAAUGUCAUUAAUAAUUAUUAUUUAAUAUUAUAAAUGGAUCACCGCCGGAAAGUCGCCGGACUACCGCCGGAAAGUCACUGGAAAGUUACCGGGCCACCUCGGAAUGUUGCCGGAAAGUCACCAGACCACUGCCGAAAGUUGCCGGACGUCGCCAAAAUCCUGCCGAACGUUGCCAUAAGGUAGUUUCCAAGGAUGAAUAGCAUUUUUUUUUCAUUCGAGAAUGGGAUAAUUUAUCCUUCAGUCACGUAAUGUACACUAAAGCUCUUCUCAACCUAGUGUGCGUCGGAUAUGUGAGCGUCGGGGCUCCAAUCUCCCGUACAAUCUUUAAAAUUUUGUUUGGUCAAAUUAACAGGCUGCACUCACUGUAUUUCCAUGGAUCACACUACUUCAACUAAAAGAUAAGAUAAUAAGUAUCUUUAGGAUUUUACUGAAUGAUUUUUAAGUAGUUUUUAUUAAUUAAUUAUUCAAAUUCGAAUUAAAAAAAGACUAAAAAAUUCAUCUGAAUUUUUCUCACUCCCAAUCUUUAAAAAUAAAACAAAUAAUAAGUCAUAUAAACAAUAUUUUAAAUGCAAUUUUCACUUCAAACAUAUUUCAUUUGAAGUUUAAUUAUAUUCUCCGAUGGAACCUGGAUAAGUUGAAAAAAAAUUUAUUAAUAAAAAAAAUGUACAUCUAAUUGUCUAACGAUGGGUCAAGAACAAAAGGUUAAAAGAUAAUAUACGUGGACAUGAUAAUGCAGAAACCGAAAAUCAAAAGGGCACGAGUUUCAAAUGCUAGACAAAUGAAAGAGACGUGUGAUUGCAGGUCGAUUUUCUUCUCAUCACUAGCCACUAGUGUUGUGCGCGGAAUGCGGAAUCAAGCGCACCAAAUAAUUAUUGAAAAAUAAAGGACACAAGAAUUUACGUGGUUCGGUAAUUAAACCUACAUCCACGGAGACAAGAAAGAAUAAUUGUUUAUUUAACAAUUAAUAGAAUACAAUAUUUGAGUAACGAAUCUCACUUCCCAGAAAACCCAAAUAUACCCAGUACUCUCACACUCUGCAAGAAAGAUAAAUUCCCCAGACACACUUCUCUCACUUCUCUCAAAAGCUUAGAAACUUAUAAGCUUGACAAUUUUGGGAUGAUUUCAAAUGAAUGAAAUCCUUAGCUAUUUAUAGACUUGAAGCUAGUAUUAUUCCACCUAACCCAAGUACUAUUUCACCUAACCCAAGCACUAUUCCACCUAACCCAUGCAAAUAUGUCAAUGGUGUCCAUUUGGCAAAUUUGACAAAUUUGCCAACUUUCCAUUUUUUCUUCAAAUGUUUGGUAGCUCUUUGAAAAAUUGCCACAUGCAUGACUUUUCAACAAUUCUCCACCUCGGCGAAAAUUUGUCCAAAUCUGAGCCGACUACCAACGAACCCUCAUCCCCAAAGUGAUCCUUCAAUAAGGAUCCAGAAUGACUGUGUCGAUUCGACUGUCUACGUACCCAAAAUUUGGGAUCAAGCCAACCGUAGUUCAAAAAUUCUCCAAACUCAACGCAUUCGAAGAAUUAGUUUCAAUCCGUAUAAAGAUUUACUCAAUCUGCACACACGAUUUUCCUUUCCAGCAACUCUGAAACCACAAGGCUGAAUCAUAUAGAUUUUCUCCUCUAAAUCUCCAUGUAAGAACGCCGUCUUAACAUCCAACUGAGCUAACUCUAACUCAUAUUCUGCAACUAAGGCAAGUAGGAUACGAAUGGAAGUAUGUUUUACAAUUGGAGAGAAAACUUCAUUGUAGUUCAUACCUUCCUUUUGAGCAAAACCUUUUGCCACGAGCCUUGCCUUGUAUCGAGGAGUUGUUUGAUUCGGAGAUCCUUGCUUUUUGGUGUAGACCCAUUUAUUGCCAAUAGCCCUUUUCCCCUUUGGUAACUUUACAAGUUCCCAAGUCUGGUUUUGAUGGAGAGAUUUCAUCUCUUCCUCCAUGGCUAGCUUCCACUGAUCACUUUCAUUGCUGCGUAAUGCUUCACCGAAAGUAUUGGGGAUGUCAUCAUCAAUAACUGAAAGUGCAUAGGCUACCACCAUAUCUUUAGUAAGCCAUCCGGGUUUUUUUAUCUCUCUUUUUGGCCUCCUUGUUGCUAUAAAAUCAUCAUCAUCUACAUCAUCAAUUGUUUUUUCAUUUUGUGGGACAUCAGAAGAAACAACCUCUUCUUCAACUUUAGGUGUCACCUCCAUAGUUGAACCAUUCUUUGAUGUAGAACUAACUUGUACAUAUGGAGUUGCAUCAAACUCCACCCGCUGCAAUACCUCUGUGGUCUUGUUCUCCACCUGCUGAGAACUUGAAGCUUUUAUCAUUGAAGCUUCAUCAAAUGUGACAUCUCCGCUACACACAAACUUUUUGUCUUCGAGAUCCCAAAGCUUGAAGCCCUUUACUCCACCUUUGAAUCCCACAAAGAUAGAUUUUUUAGCACGAGGAUCCAGUUUACCAUCUUUGACAUGAUAAUAAGCUGGACACCCGAAUACACGAAGGGAAUCAUAGUCUUGUGCAUGCUUUCCAGACCCCAUUUCCAUAUGAGUUUUACCUCCAAUUGCAGCAGAAGGCAACCGAUUUACCAAGUGACUUGCGUAGCUCACAGUUUCAGCCCAAAACUUUUUAUCUAAACCAGCAUUAGAUAACAUACAUCGUACCUUCUCCAGUAAAGUACGAUUCAUACGCUCAGCCACACCGUUCUGUUGCGGAGUAUGUCUCACCGUGAAAUGUCUUUUAAUACCCUCGUUCUGGCAUACUUGCAAGAAUGGAUCAGAAGUAUAUUCACCCCCAUUAUCAGAUCGUAAUACUUUGAUCUUUCUGCCAGUUUGAGUCUCCACCAAUUUCUUCCACUUCACGAAAAUCUUUAGAACCUCAUCCUUUGCUCGCAUGGUGUACACCCAUACACGUCUAGAGAAAUCAUCAACAAAUAUAACAAAAUAAUGGCUUCCACCAAUUGAUGCAGUCUUGGUUGGUCCCCAUACAUCACUAUGAACAUAUUCAAGGAUCUCACGAGUAUCGUGAUUAGCUGUACCAAACUUGACCCUUGUUUUCUUGCCUACUACACAAUGCUCACAGAAAUUUAAUUUACAGGUUUUGGUACCUUUUAAGAGUCCAUGCCUCAUCAGAGUUUGCAAAGACUUCUCUCCUGCAUGUCCCAGUCGUACAUGCCAUAGCUUGGUGGUGUCACUGUGCGCCUCAACAACAUUUGCUUCAUCAGUUGUACCUCUCUUCAAAUAGUACAAAUUGUGACGCCGAACCCCUUGCAGAAUCAUCAUAGCCCCAUGUGUAAACUUCAUUGUGCCAUCUUCAAUGGUAACUUUGUAACCUUUAGCUUCCAAAGCACCCACAGAAAUUAGAUUUUUCUUUAUCUCUGGAACAAAUCUAACCUAUUUGAGUUCUCUGACCAUUCCAUCAAACAUUUUGAGCCGAAUUGUUUCUAUCCCCAUUGUGCGACAAGGUUGAUUAUUCCCCAUCAUAACUGCACCGGAUUCCAGAUUACGAAAAUCCGUAAACCAUUCCUUAAUAGGACACAAAUGAUAGGUUGCUCCAGUAUCAAGUGUCCACUCACUCGAACUAGCCACGUAUGCUGCAGGAGUAAUACUUAGUGAAUAAUCAGAGUUCUCAUCUUUCCGUGCCAUGUUUGCUGCUGCUGGUUUCUUCCCAUCUCUCUUUUGAGCCUUUGGACAAUCUUUUCUCCAAUGACCCUUUUCAUGAAAAAAGGCACACUCAUCUCGAGCUAUAUUUCUGCUUCUUGAUUUGGAUCAAGAAUUCAUUCCACCACGGUUCUUCUGUUUCUCCAUCGCCCAAUCUCUGCUCACCAAAGCUUCAGACGAUGCUCGUUCAGAAUUUUUAUCAUUAUUCUGAAUCUCCAAACUAGUCAAUGCUGUGCAAACAUCUUUAAAGACGAUCACACUCUUCCCAUAUAUCAAAGUAGUCACAAAAUGGCUAUAUUCCUCUGGUAGUGAGUGUAACAGAAUCAUAGCCUUAACUUCAUCUUUAAUAUCUUCAUCAAGAUUCUUCAAAUCAGCAAGUAACUUUUCAAAUCUUGAAACAUGAUCGUGCAUUGACACCCCAGGCUUCAUUCGAAAACCAUAUACUUGGCUCAUUACAUGAAGGCGAUUUUCAGGACUUUUCACCAGGUACUUCUCCUCCAAUGUACGCCACAAAGUCACCGCACACUCCUCAUCUUUCACCAAGUAUUUCACCUCCUUGGUCAAACAAGAUCUGAUAUGACCACAAGUUUUUUCGUUCAUACGAUCCCAAAUUUCUUCAUCAUACAAGUGCCUUUUAUUUUUUAGAACAACAUCGAGAUCGAUUUGAAUAAGGGCAUCCAUAACUUCGCGCCUCCACAUGCCGAAGUUGAUUUUCCCAUCAAACUUUUCAACAUCGAUCUUUUGGCCUCCUAUAACAUGUGCUGAAUAGCGAUUUGAUAAAUCUCGCCUCCCACCUGAAGUGUCUCCUGAAAUAGUCUCGGUAGAUAUCUCCCUAAUUCUGGAAGUUUCACCUUCUACCAUUUUCUCAACGAACUAUUUCCACUUAAAAAACAGUCUCUAUGAUGUUAAUUUCGCGUGAAUAAAUGCACCAGGAAAGUUCCCAGGAAACUGGACGGGAACUCGGUCCCAAUUAAAAACCAGAAUCCUUAGACUCUUAUCGCCUUUUUUGACAGAACUUUCCUAGACAUGCAAAAAUACACACUACUUACAAUAGACUGUCUCCCAAGUACAAAUGGCCGUCUCCACCGUAUUCGUAAAUAGUGCCGUAUAUGUGAACAGUACCGUAUACGUGAACAAUACCGUAUACGUGAACAGUACUGUAUCCCCCAAGUACGAACCGUCGGCUCUGAUACCACUUGUUGUGCGCGGAAUGCGGAAUCAAGCGCACCAAAUAAUUACUGAAAAAUAAAGGACACAAGAAUUUACGUGGUUCGGUAAUUAAACCUACAUCCACGGAGGCAAGAAAGAAUAAUUGUUUAUUUAACAAUUAAUAGAAUACAAUAUUUGAGUAACGAAUCUCACUUCCCAGAAAACCCAAAUAUAUCCAGUACUCUCACACUCUGCAGGAAAGAUAAAUUCCCCAGACACACUUCUCUCAAAAGCUUAGAAACUUAUAAGCUUAACAAUUUUGGGAUGAUUUCAAAUGAAUGAAAUCCUUAGCUAUUUAUAGACUUGAAGCUAGUACUAUUCCACCUAACCCAAGUACUAUUUCACCUAACCCAAGCACUAUUCCACCUAACCCAUGCAAAUAUGUCAAUGGUGUCCAUUUGGUAAAUUUAACAAAUUUACCAACUUUCCAUUUUUUCUUCAAAUGUUUGAUAGCUCUUUGAAAAAUUGCCACAUGCAUGACUUUUCAACAACUAGCACACAUCCCCUUAAUCAAAAUCUUUUUCAAUAUUGUUUAUUAUAUAAAUGGAUAUUGGUAGUGGUUGAACUUCUAUUAUUUAAUUAUGUUGUCAUUUUCCAUCACUACAACAACAGAUGAUUCAAGUAGGAUCGAUCAAUAAUUGUCGCCCAAUGUUUUGUCUUUUUCAUAAUUUAGUUAUUUUUGUUCAUAUGUCUGACGAAGAAGUUUUAAUUUUGCAAGAGGAAUUCAAGUUGAUAAGACCUUGUCGACUUGUCUUCUGCUGAAGAAUCUUGAAUAAUCAUGCCAAAUUCAAAAAGUGGCAAAAGCAAAAGGCUAAGUUCUUAAUGAAUUCAAUAUUAUUACGAAUUUGGUGCUAGCUCAAUCUUGAAAAUGAUCCAAAAAUUAAAAAGUAAACAUAUAAUAAUCACAUCUACAAAUGUACAUUAUUAGUGAGUCAUUGAUGAUAUCCCAUCACGAAUUCAUUAGCUGACUAAUUAAAGAUACCACGAAAAUAUUAUAUCAUUAGCUGGUCUAAAAAAGUAGUCAAUAAGAAAAUGAAAGGUAAAUUCAUAAAUUUCAGCCGGAAUUUUUUUUUUUUUUUUUAAAAGGACCAAUAAUUGUAGGAAAUGGCUAGCUUCUUAUCCUCUUCACAAAAGAUUAAAUCCUCUUGAAAAGGUUUGUUACUGAAAUACAUAUCAUAUUACACCAACACUCUCUAUUACCAUAUGAAUUUAGAUCUUCCCCUAACUUAAUAUUUCAUAUAAUAUUGUAGGAAUAAUCUUCAUCACCGGAGAUUAGGAUCUUCUCCUAACUUAAUAUCUCAUAAGUGUUGUAUGAGAUUAUUUAGCUCAUGUCAUUAUAUUUUUCUAAAGCUAGGAUUUAAUUUACUUUAUACUUUCCUUAUUAAACAUUAAAACCAAUAAUUUUCUAGGCUAAGUAAAACCAUGAAAUUCAAGUGUGCCGCUUUCUAACCAAACUGCUGCUUCUUUCUCUACCGUUUUUUUUUUUUUUUUUGGUCACAAACUUUAAACUGUGGUAUAUAUAAACUUGAGCAAAGAAGCAUUAUUGGUAGGAUUGGCAAUGAGACGGGAUGGGAUGAGAUUUACCAAUCCCACUCCCGUCCCGCAUAUAUAAUUGAGAUAAAAAAAUGUCUCACUCCCAUCCUUCAAUUUUUUUAUGGGACCAAAAUAUAUCCCAAUCCUGUCCCAAAUUGCCAUCCCUAAUUAUUGGCAAUUCAUUCUUUUAAGAAUUGUUUAUGUAAUGGAAUCAGACCAGAACAGAAUGCAUUAUUGUUCGAUAUACGUAGUCUACAAUAACAAUUGAAGACACCUGAAGAUAAUAUCAAUUAUAGACAAUUGUUAUUGCAAUAUAUUCAAUGCAUUGUUGCUAUCGCUUGUCUGCAAUUAAUUUUAUAUAAAUUAAGCUGAUAUAUCUCAUUUCAGUGUACUAAUAAUUAAGUUGAACGUUGAUGCAGCUACUGCUAUUUCCAGGAACACAGCUUUCUAGGAGCCAUUAUUCGUAAUGUGAGAAGGGAGAUUAAUUAUGGCAGUAGCUAUCUAAAGUAAAAUUUUGGAGAUCUUGAAUUCGCAGAAGCAGAAGCAAUGAGAUUUGGGAUCGAAAUAUGCAAACGGCACAGGUCUAUUUCCAUUCAUUAUUGAAUCAGAUACUAAGAAUGUUGUCAAUCUUGCUGCAGCACUUGAAAGUACUAGAAAAGAGAUUCUUUGAGUGAUAUAUCUCUGAUAUUUAAUUGUUGGCUAGACAACUGGCAAUUUCAAAUUUGUAUUCAUUCCUAGAAUAUGUAACGUGGAAGUUCAUAGAUUAGCUAAACUUGCAGUUAGCGAUCAGAAAGCCGUAUUGUUUGGAUUGAGAAUAUUCCUAUAGAUGUAAAAUCUUAUCAUUUUUGAAGAAUUUUUUACUUUGAAAAUAAAAUAAUUAAGGGCCAUCUCUAUCGUUGCGAAUUGUAACUCGUAGACUUUGCGGUCCACAUUAUGAAUUUAAAAUUCUUGCAUGAUUAAUCACCCACAUGAGCAUGCUCCCCCAACCUGCCACAUCAUGUUACCACUUCUUCCAAUCUGUGUAUACACACACACACACACACACACCAGUAUGGCCUCCAUGCAAAUCACAAACGCAGUAUCUAAUAUUGUUUGUCACUGGCAAGAAACAUGAAUAUUAAAGCCUUCUUUGUUCUCUCCACAGUGCUCUCAUUGCUUCUCUUGUUAUGUAUCAUUUGAUCAGUAAUAAUGUUAGGUUAAUCACAAAUUCAUUAUAUAAAAUAUUUUGUACAAAAUUGAUAACACAUAAUGUACAGUAUCGAUGUGAUAAGAACACCACACAACCCGAUCAUUAUUUUAUAUUUCCAUUCAACCAAUACUAUUUUAUCACAUCAGCUUUAAGAGUAGCUUAAUUAUAGCUAGCUCUAGCAUUACUCGUUUUGAUUCAAAUGAUUUUCGAAUUUUUAUCAUUUGCAUGGUCAAUAUAUAGUUCCUCUCUCUUUUUUUUAUUUUUUAUUAAUUGUUUUCCUUGUGUGCAGUUUGCCAACAUGAUAGAUGCAAGAAAAUACCAUGGAGACGAUUGGAGUAUUGUCGUGAAAAAUCAAGACAUGCCUUGGGAAUCAACUCAAGGUCUCAUUCCCGAAGUUCAAGGCCCGACCAUCUCUAAAACCAAAGCCUAUUGCCAUACACAUGAUGAUUCUGAGCACACCAUGGAGAAGCCUUUUGUCAAUAAGAACUUUGAGCUGAUGCCUGAUGUUUCAAUCUAUGACAACGGUAUUAAGCCAACCAAACAAAAGGCUUUUGCCAAGCACUUCGAGUUCUUGCCUGAUGUUUCAAUUUACGACAACGGUAUUAAGCCAACCAAACAAAAGUUCUUCGCCAAGGACUUCGAGCUCAUGCCUGAUGUUUCUAUUUAUGACAAUGGUGUAAAGCUAGCCAAACAAAGGUUCUCCGCCAAGGACUUCGAACUCAUACCUGAUAUUUCAAUUUAUAACAAUGGUGUAGAGCUAGCCAAACAGAAGGCAUUCGCCAAAGGCUUCGAGCUCAUGCCUGAUGUUUCAAUUUAUGACAAUGAUAUUAAACCAACGAAGAAGAGUUCAUAUGCCAAGGACUUUGAGCUGAAGGCUGAUAUUUCAAUUCAUGAACCGACCGAACAAAAAUAGGUAAUUAGCAUUACGGAUCUGCAGCCAGAUGCUACAAUUUAUCAUAAUUAAAUAGAUGAUCAUGCUUGUAAUCAGGCGCAGGAUGGAGUCUCUUACCAUAUUUAAUGUUCUAGAAGAGUAGCCACAUACGUGCAAUAACGCUUUCCUUGUUUGUGUGUGUUGUCAAAAGCGCUGUUUCUAAAGUAAUGUAAUAAGUGCUGAAAUAACCCAUGCAAUAAAAUCAUGUCAUGCGUCUUUAAUUUUUUUUUUCUCUCUCUCUUAAACAAUCUUAUGAUAGAUUAUUUACAAGUUAUAAUUUAUAAAGAGAGAAACUAUAUUAAAAUAAUGCUUUUUACAUAAAUAUUCUAUCCAUUAAUCUCGUAUAGCUAAUUAAGUUUGUUUUUUUUUUUUUUAUUUACAACGACAUCCUUAGAUGUUUAAAUUGUUUUUUUUUUAAAGGUAAAAGGGUUGGGUCAAUCAAAAUUAAUUUUUUCACCCUGAUCUCUUUGAGAUUCGAACUUAGGUGGCUAGCUAACUAAGAUUAUUUGAAACCAUUCGGUUGGGUUUCUAGGGGCCUUGGAUGUUUAAAAUUUGUAUUUUGAAUUGUUAUUCAGAUGGAACAAUAUAAUUAACUUUAAUUUCAAAGUCAAUUUGACCCUAUUUAAUUUUGAGAUGCUGUUACUUUUAAACUAGCUACUUGGGAAAAAAAAAAGUCGUAACCUUAAAAUAAAAAGUGAUACUGUGUGGAAAAUAUGAUUUUAAAUAAUAAUUUUGACAAAAUAGCAAAGAAAUAUUAUUUAAAUUAUUAUUACCAGCCAAACAAAAAUAGGUUUUUUAUUAUACAAAUGCAAGAUCAAAUCAACUUAAUUUUUGAGUUACAACAACUACUACUUACUAAACACUUUGAUGUCAAUACCAAAUAGGCCUCUUUUUUCCUCUCCCUCUCUAAUUUGUAAGACUACCCAACCAUAUAUUGUAUAAUAUUCAAUUAUUAUAUUAACUAGUUUUAUUUUCUUAUGAUCACAUGAUAUCUUUUUUUUUUCAAGAAUCUGAACAGAUAAUGGUUUUAAAGCUCAGAAGUAGAUCUGAUUCUAAAUAUUUGGAAAUUGAAAAAAAAAAAAAACUAAUUCACAUUUGCAGAAGAAGGUAUGUACUUGAUAACUUGAACGCCAUGAUGGUAUAUAAUUAAAUUUAACUAUUGUUAUAUUUUUAUUUAUUAAUCACUAAUUAUUCACGAUGAAUUUUAUUUGAAUAAGUUCAUAUCAUGAUAGAAUCUUAAUUCAAAUACAUAUGAAAAAAAAAAUCUAUGACUGCACUAAUAAGAUAUUUCAUUUAAUCAUGUGAUAUUAAAAUGAAAAUUAUGAUAGAUAAACUUAAAUUUUCCAUUUUCCCCCCUUUAUCAUCUCACAUGGGCCACUUCAAUUCGCUGAAAUCCUGAUGCUUCGGCCUCCAGAUGUAAAAGAACAUGAGUCACAUAUAGUAUUGGUAGAUGCGUGAAUGGAUCACAUCUCACUCAACCAACAAAUUGCAUGUCAUCUGGAAAAUGAUUUAAAUAAAUGAACAAAUACUCAGUCCUCUAUUUUAAGUUAAGUAUUUGUUUAUUCCUUAUAUUUUAAAAAUAUCUCAAAAUAAGUUGUAGUUAAAUAUAUUACAUUCUUAAUCUUGUUUUUGCUUUGCUUUUAUAAUAAUGCCCUUAUAAUAAUAUUCUUGACAUUAAUUAAUUUAUCUAUAAAAUUUUAAUUAGAAAAUUAACCAAUAAUUAUUUAGUAAUAAAUUAACCAAUAAAUAUUAGUACAAAAGAACUAAUAUUUUUUGUACAUGUGCGACAAUCGUGCUAAUAAUUUAUUUAUAAAUAAAAUUAAUAUUAGUCAACUUAAAGUAAUGCUUAUCAUCCUUGCAAUAAUUUUACUAAUAAUUAUUUUAUAAAAAAUUAAUUUACCAAAUUAAUCCUAAAAGUAAAAUAAUAACAUAAAAAAAAAUUACUGUAAAAAUUUUUAUGCUACUUUGAAGGCUAAUUUGAUAAAGAAUGGAACUACUAGCACUCCUUCAAAAUCUUUUUAAGACCCCUUUUUAAAUACACCCAAUCAAAUAAAUGAAAAAUUAUAUCACUUCUAAAAACAACCAUCUUUAUUCCACAAUUGUCCUUCAAUCUUAUCUCUCAUAAAAUGAUAAAAUUACAAAAAUAAAAAUCUUUUUGUGGAUACUAUUGCAAUAAUGAUCAUUAGCAUUCUUCACAAAUUUGAUUAACAAGUAUGGAAUGGUAUGUAACUUUAGAUUUCUAAAUUUUAACUUUUCUUUAUGUUUUGCAACAAAUAUACCUUCUAUUUUAAUAUAUGAUACCUAUUAAUUUAAUUUUUUUCAAAUAACAAAACUCACUUGUUCAAACAAACAAUGAGACCAAAAAAAGCAAGGGAAAAAAAGUGAACAAAUAAAAGGUAGAACUACUUGACACAUAAAAACUUUAAAAAAAAAUGAAAAAGAAGAGAUCUAGUAAAAGAAGUAUGAGUAUAAAAUAAGCCAGGCAAUGAAAGAAUCAUAGCUUUUCGACAAAUUCCAUGUCAAUGUCCUUUUGGAAUAAAUUUUUAAUGUUAUCUAUUUGAAUAAUGAUGGUGGUUGAGUUUCCACUUUCCAUUAUGCUCUCGAAUGUAAGCUUCUGAUGCGUCUUCUAAAAUAAUUCUAGAUAUUUUAUUUUAAAUUUAUUUGAAUUUGUAAGUUACCCUUUUAAUUGCGGUUAUCAUGUAAACAAUUGUUGCCAAAUCAUAAACAAAAUCCUGAGUAGGGACGAUAAUGGGACGGUUUUGAUCGAUGAUCCACUUAAUCUAAAUCUAAAUUUAUCAUAUUUGGAUCAGUAUAAAAUGAAUUUGGAGUGGGUACAUAUGAAUCUAGAUGAGUAAAUUCAAAACAAAUUUAAAGCACGUAUACAAAUCUAACUUAAAAUUCGGAUCCGUAUCCAUAUCUAAUUAGAAAUCUUUUAAUUUUAUUUUAUUUUUAAAAGUAUUAAACUAUCGAUGGUUUAAUACUUUUACAAUCAAAUUAAACUUAUACCUAGCUUACUGAAAUCAAUACCACAUUUAUGAGAUGCAAUAUAUUAUCAGUUUUAUAUGAAAUUCAAAGUAUUAUUUUUAAUUUUAUUUAAGAUGAAUUAUGUGUUUUAGUUGAUAGUAAGACGUUUUUUUCUCAAAUAUUUUUGUGCUCUUAUUAUUCUUAUGAGGCUUGAAAGUUUAAUAAGAUAAAUUUAUUAAUAUUCUAUUAUAAUAUAUAAAAUUUUAAAAUUAAAAUUGAUAAAUCCAAGAUAGAUUUGGAGCAAAUCCGAACCUUUAUUUUAAAUUUGAACUUAAAUAUACAGUAAAAAUCAUAAAUCUAUAAUGAAUUUAGAGUAAAUACAAAUCUCAAUUUUUAUUAUUAAUCAAGAAUUAGAACAGAAUAGAUCCAGCUGAUAUAUAUGUCCCAUUGUCAUCCCUGUGACUGAUGAAAAGAUAUAGGAAAAUAAACAGGAGUUUAAUAAGCUAGACAAUAAAAGAAUCAUAUAUAGCAAUGAUUGAUUCUUUCUUCCUAUCCUUAUGAAAUCUUUCUCAAUGUCUUUUCUACGAAAUCUUUUUUAAUGUCCUUUUCGAAAAUAUCACCCUUCAGCCAAUGACUUUGAGCUGAAGGCUGGUAUUUCAAUUCAUGAACCAACCGAACAAAAAUCGUUUGUCAACAAUAUGGAUCAGCAGCCAGAAGCUACAAUUUAUCAUUAUUAAAUAGGUGAUCAUGCUUGCAACCAGGCGCAGGACAGAGUCUCUGACCAUAUUUAAAUGUUGUAGAAGCGUAGCCAUAUAUAUGAAACGUUUCACUUUGUUUUCGUAUGUUAUCAAAGGCUCAGUUUUAAAAGUAAUAUUGUAAUAAGUAUUGAAGUGUCCCAUGCAAUAAAAUCGAAGUGUCCCAUGCAACAAAAUCAUGUCAUGCGUCUUAAAUUUAUUUUGCCCUCUUAUUUAUCCUAGAUGGUAAAUACUGUUAUGAUAGAUUAUUCAAAAGGUUAUAAGGGGAGAAGAUAAGUUUAUUUUUUUUUGGGGAAAAACAUUUCCUUGCUGAAAAAAGCAAAAAUUUACAUAAGUACUGCAAUGUCUGUGGGCGGCUCUUCCAACUGAAUAAGAUCGUUAAUCAAAGAGAGUGCUAAUUUUGCUAACUGAUAAGAAACUGUAUUACAAUUUCUAAUUUCUGAAAUGAUCCAUUCAAUCUCCUUUCUACUUGAUAAAACGCCCGUAAUUAGAUGGACAAGAUUUACUGAAUCAAAUUCCACAAUAAAAAGAGUUAAGCAUAAAUCUAUCGCCGGCUUGAUGCCUUCUAGGAUAGCUUCAGCCUCUGCAAACUCGAUGUCGCUAAGAAAAGAUUUCUUGUGGCUGAGCCAGCUAUAAAAUCUCCCUUGAAAUUUCCUAUAAUUGCACCCAAACCUGUAAUUCCAUUGGAGAUGUCAAUCGGUGCAUCAACGUUCAAGUUGUACCAAUGAUUAUCCGGUGGAAUCCAACUAACACCCUUCUUGGUUGGAGGGACUAGAAACUCUUGAAUUGGAGAGCCUUGAGCAGCAGUGUACGAAUUCAAAACAGCUUCAGCCUUGCAAAGAACACUCUUUGGGUCCAUCUUUUGAUUCUGAUAGAGCGCUAUGUUCCUAGAAUGCCAAAUAGACCAUGUAAUCAUCCCAAACGAUGGGUAGUCCUCUUUUGACAGCCAAGAUUCCAAAUUCUUUGCAAAGAGAGCAAAAUCCAUAUGAGGGUUAUUCGUUACAUAAGCAGCCAAAGUUGACAACUUCCACACCUUGAUCGCAAACUUAUAGCCAACUAACUCAUGAAAGGUACCCUCAAUAGCACUAAAACAUCGAUGACAAUUUGGAGAAUCCACUACUUUUCAUUUCAAAAGAUUAUUUGAUGUAGAGAGUAUAUUACGUAGAGCUCUCCAAAAAAAAGAUCGACUUUAGAUGGAAUGGAUAAAAGCCAAGCGGGAUACCCCAAUUAGCAUAGCCAAAUGAACUUAGAGGGGGAAUUAGGAUAAGUAAGACUAAGGGCCACUUGUAACCACUCUUAAAAGUUUACAAAUUUAUUUUGUACAAACUGAUUUGACAUUAACUUAUUGAUUAAAUAAAAAUACAACAACAUGUUUUUAUAUUUAAAAUAUAUAUAUUCACAUAUACGAAGGUAUAUACUUGAACAAUAUGAGUAAUACAUGUGAAUUAAAAUCAUCUCCUAAUCUAAGCUCCAUUAAUUAAUUUUAAAAAAAACUUGUCACAUGUUUUUAGUAUAGUGUAUAAUUAUUGUUAUGUUUUUAUUUAUUAAUUUCCAAUUACCUGCUAUAUAUCUUACUCAACAAUGUUUUGAUCAUGAGAGAAUUUUAAUUCAAAUACAUAUGAAAAAAAAAAGAAGAAGAAAUCUGAGACCAUACUAAUAAGAGAUUUCCUUUCAUGUGAUUUUAAGAUCAAAAUUAUGAUAGUAUGCAAACUUGGUUGCGUUUAGUAUUGUUCUUUAAACGAUGUUUUUGUAUUUAUUUUAUAAUAUAGAUAUGAUUAAUAUUUGAUGAAUUUGAAAUUUUGUUUGGUAUAUAGUAUAUAGUAUGAAUUUGACCACUAAAUACUUAAUAAUUAUAUUUAUAUACAAAAUUAAAAAAAAAUAAGGAUUUCUCUACCUUACGUUUAAUGUAAGGUACAUCCCCUUACAAAUUGAGCUAUAAGUCCCACUUGAGCCCACAGCCAAUAGAGAGGUUGUACCUUACAUUAAAUGUAAGUAGAGAUGGCCAAUGGGUCGGGCGGCACAAGGCACAGCACGUGUCCGUACAACAUGGCACGACACGAGCACGUUUCGGUAGGGCACGAAGCACGGCACGGCACGCAAAAAGGCACGUAAUAAGCACGCUUCAUUGAUAGGCUAAGCACGUAGCCCGUGGGCCAAAGUAUAUCAAAAUAAAAAAUUUUAAUGAAAAAUAAAUAUAAAAUAUCAUGAUUUUAUAAAUAUCUUGAAAUUAAAUUUUUUAAUAUAUUUUUUUAGCAUAGGUUUUUUAAAAUUAAUUUAAGUCCUAGUUUAAAUAAAUAUUCUAAUUUUUUAUGUUUAUAAUUUAUUAAAUGGAUAAAUAAAUAUCAUGAUUUUAUAAAUGAUAAAUGAAAAAUUUUACGACAUUAAUAUUUCAUUUAUGAAAUCAUAACUUAGUUAAUAGUUAAUGGAGAUAUGUUUCAUUUGUGAAUGAAAUAUUUUUCAUAUUUAUGCACAAAAAAAUAAAAUUAUGAACAAAAUAUUUUUAUGAUAAAUUAAAAAUUACAUUUUCAUUCAAUGGAGUUUAUGUGCAAUUAUAAUAUUAGUAGCUCAAAUAAAAUUAGAUGUAAUUGUUAUUCUAGAAUUGUAAUUUUAUUUUCAUUAAUUAUUACUAUGAUCUAUGAAAUUAUUAUUAUUAUUGUCGUUGUUGUUGUUGUUAUUAUUAUUAUUAUUAGGCUGGUAGGGUUAAAAAAGCACGCCAGGCACGUGGACUUUUUUAGGCAUACUGGACAUGUGGACAAAGAAAAAAGGUUGGUGGGCUUUUUUUGGGCACGGCCCACGGCACGAGUUUGGACAUGUGGACAAAAAAAAAGUUGGUAUGGGUUUUUUUUAGCACGAACCACGGCACGGUACGGCACGAGUGGGCUCGUGCCGUGGGCCGUGCCGGCUCACGAGCCCGCGUGGGCUGACAUUUUGUGGGCCGUGCCGUGCUGGCCAUCAUUAAAUGUAAGGUAACAGCUCCCAAAAAAUAAAUGAAAGAGAGAGGCAACAUAGCAUAAUACGGGGCCGGACCCACAUCUUCAUAAAACUAUGUCAUAAAAGCAGUGGUAGUUCCUAUGAACAAAGUGAAGAAUAAAGAUUUGAUGCUGUCUAAUUAUCUUCGUUAACAUUGUAAAAUAGAUAUGGUUUGCUUUCAUAAUAAUAAAAAAUGUUACUGUUACUGAGGCUUAUCAAACAUUUUUUUUCUAUUCUUAUAAAAUAGAAAAUGAGUGAUGAAAAACAAUACCAUACAGCCCAAAUUUUUUUCCAUUUUUACCCCUUUAAUCAUAGCCUAUCGGCCUCUCCAAUUAGUUGAAAUCUUGAUGAUUCGACCACAAGUUGUAAGAGAAAUUCUAGAAUAUAUCUAUUGUAUUAUAACUAAUUAAUGCAUGCACGACAUGCGUAAUUGAGUUUAAUACAACCACCACUUGCAUGAUAGUUUACAAAAUAAAUGCACACAUGUCAUGAUAUUAUUUGCUUGUUGUAUGGGUGACAUAGUACAACAGAUGUAUUCUAGAAUUUCUCCAAGUUGUAAAAUACCAUUUGAGUCACAUAUAUUAUUGGUAGAUGAGUAGAUCGCAUCUCCCUCAACCAACGAAUUGCAUGUCAAUGUGAAAAUUGAUUUAACUGUUUAGUCUGUUUUUCAAUGAGACGUAUUUCGUUCAAACUUUUACCUUCAAUCAAUGGGACCGAAGAAAGUAGGAAAAAAAAAAUUAAACAAAUAAAAGGUAGAACUAGUUGACAGACAAAAUUUUAUCAACAUUUUGAAACAACCAACAUUAAAAAGAAAUAAAAAAAUAAAAGAAGAGAUCUAGUAAAAGAAACAUGAGUUUAAUAAUUAAGCUAGAAAAGGAAAGAAUCUUAGUAAGCUUUUCAACAAGAUCCUUUUCAAUGUCCUUUUCGACAAAAUCUUUAUUGUCAAUAUAUUGAAAAAUGAUGGUGGUUGAGUUGUCACUAUGUAUCUCGAAUUUAAGCUUCUGAUACGGUCUUUUAAAAAUAAUUCUGGAUAUUUUAUUUUAAAUGGUAACUUUUAAUAGUGGUUAACUUGUAAACAAUUGUUGCCAAAUCAUAAACAAAAUCUUAUUGUCUCACGGAAAGAUACUGGAAAAUAAUCAUGAGUUUAAUAAGCUAGACAAUGAAAGAAUAAUAUAUACAUGUUAUAUAGUAACGAUUGAUUAUUUCUUCUUACCGCUAAGAAAUCUUUUUCUAUGCCUUUUUCGACAAAAUCUUUAAUGUUAUAUAUUGAAUAAUGAUGGUGAUUAAGUUUCCAUUAUGCAUCUCUCAUGUAAGCCUCAGUCCCUAGAAUUAACUAGCUCUCAGGAUUCCUGCAUCAGUUAACUACAGCUUCCAGGUUUAUCAAUAAUUAUGGUACACCAUCCUCCAAUAUCUGUGCAUAUAUAAUUUUUUAAACAGGAAUUUUGGAGUUUGGAUCAUAUUAAAAUAAAGGAUAAAUUAAAAAAUAAGACAAACACAUACUCUAACAUAUUUUAUUUUAUCAUGUAAUAUAUUGAAUUUCAUAUUUUUCUGUCUUUUUAGCUUGUUAUAACGAUCCUUUAUAAGAAAUUAAAUGUAUCUUGAUUCUCUCCCACACUAACUUUAGAAGAGAAAAUUAUUUAAUUUGCUUUAUUCUUUUACUACUACUGCGUCAAAAUAACCAACAAUUGACGACAACAAUUAUUGAAUAUGUAACAAAUUUACAUACAUUUUGACGACAUCUUUACUUGUUUGUGUUGGCAUCCUUAUUGGCAAAUUACAACAUCGUUCAGUCUUCUUAUAAUUAAGCAAUUGUCUAUGUAACAUAAAUUAUGUAUUAAGAACAUCAAUAUGGCGUGGAGCAUUGCGCAUAGAAGAGAAGAAGUAAAGUCUUAGGCGUCUACUCCAUGUGGGAAACAUGGGAUUAUCACAAAGAGAGAUUUAAAGAUUAUAACAAAAGAGAGAUUUUAACUAACUUGUUAUGGAGGGAUGAGAUAACGAUCAAGUUGGCAUAAUCUGUAGAGAUAACGACGAGUUUGGAAUAAUCAUGUGGUGAUAAUAUUAUGAUAUUCUGCCUUUUGAUCAACUGAGCACGCUCCCUCUCACAACACAACUCUCUUCAUAAGAAUUGGCCAACAUGGAUUGUCACUUUUCAUGUUAAUUUGAUAUUACCUUGAAUGGCAUAUUAAUUUGAUUUGAAAAAAUGGAACGAGAGUAGAGGAAAAAAGGAGAAUGAAAAGAAAUAAGAAAAAAAAUGAUGAAUUUCAUAUAAAAUCAAAUAAUGAAAUAAUAAAAUUGAGGUCGAUUCUCUUUUUUUUCUCUUUUUUCUCUAAUAAAAAUAUAUCAGAUUAAUGACAAAGUAUUGAUAUUUGAUCCCCUCAGUUUCUCUUAUUAUCUCCCACUUCUCUCAUUUUAAUUUGAAAAGUCAAAAAUACCUACCAAAAUAAUUUUAAGUUUUAAAUUUUACCCUUUCUUCUUUCUCUCCUCUCUCUUAUUCUCCCGACUUCCCUUCAUCUUCGUUUUCUUUAAAAAUUGAAGAUUAGUACACUUUCCUUCAUUUUUUGAUCUUUCUGUAUCGAUGAGAGCAAUAAUUGACAUCAUCAAACAAUCCUUUUCUACCCAAAUCAUGAUUAUAAACAAAAGUAAAAAAUAGCAAUAUCAUGAUAUGGAAUCUUGAUCAUAUCUCAUGAUCCCUCUUCAGCUUCUAUGUUAAUCAAAAAGAAAAAAAUAUAAUCGAUUAAAGAUUAAAUUUAAAUUUUAAAAUGUUGUCCUUUUUUUGGGGGGGGGGGGGGGGGGGGAUAAAAAAGAGUUUGAGAUCAAGAUGACAGUGUUGCAUAAAUAAUUAUUAUUAUAAUAAUUAAAGAAACGGCUUGCAUGUCCACUUAUUGCUAAGAAGAGAAGUGGUUCGCGCCGGCCAGUUCCAAGAAGACAAGUGGUGGGUGUCAGUGCAUGGUUAGUAAUUAUUGGGGACUAGAACUGAUUGCCAAGAGUGAGGGUGCAUUUAAUAUUGAGGUUGAGUAACUUUUAAGAUACUGUACUAAAGUGUUUGGUAAACACUAAUUACGGUAGCUUGGAAACUAUGGUGGUAUUUGUUUUUUAACUUAAUGACUUAAAGUGACUUAACUUAAUUAAUUAAGUUAAUUAGAGGUGUUUGUUUUUAUAACUUAAUGAGACUUUUUAGAUAAUUUUGACUUAAUAAAAUAAGCUAAUUUUUUUGGCUUUUUACUUAAUGGAGAAAUCUGAAUUAAGUUAAUUACUUGCUAAUGUCAAAAAUAUCUCUGUUUUAUAAUUUAUUUUUUAUGUCUAUCCCAAAACUCACCCAUAAAUAUUUACCCCACAUAAAAAUAUCCCUGUUUUUUCUUUCUUAUAUUAUAUACGAUAAAAUUUGAAAUUUAUGGUAUUUUAUAUAUUAAAAUUCUAAAAUAAUUAUGUAUUCACUUGAAUAUAGUUUUGCUUAUAAAUGUUAAAAUAUUAUGGUAUUUAAUAUAUUAUUUAUUUGACAUUCAAAUUUAAUAAGGCUACAAAUGUAAAAGUACAUAUUUUCAGCUUUUUAAGUUGAAAAAAACAAACAGCUUAAUACUUAUUUUCCGAGAUUCAUACGAAAAAACAAACAUAUUAUUCAGAUUCAGACAUUCAGAUCUAUUAAGAAUUCAGACUAAUUCAGGUUUAUUCAGAUUUUAGAUAAAAAAAACAAACGCCACCUAUGUUAAUAUGAUUUUUUUCUUAUAUAAUAAAAAAUUUAUUAUAUCUUUAAUAAUUUUGUCAAAAUUAUUAUUUAAAAUUUAUAUAUACUAUAUAUUAUUAAUUUUUGUUUCAUAUUUACAGUUUUUUUUCCAUAGCAGUUAUAACUUAAAAGGUAUAGCACCUCAAUUUCAAACAGGACCUGAAUCUUGUUCAACAAGCAACAGAUUUAGCACCGAUGAGAGAAGAACAAAUAUUAAUUUUAUUUUUUUUAAUGAGGGCAAUUCUGAAUAUAAUUAUAACUAGUAAAAUGGGAGCUAACGAGAUAAAUUGAGAGGUUUAAUAUCUUUACUCUUAAUGAUAAAAAUAACCACAUCGAAGUGCACUGUUAAAUAAAUAAGUGCCAUCACUAUUUAUGCAAUUUACAUGAUAUUAUGAUUAAUCUUGCAUAUGAUUAUUUAUUAAUAAAAAAUAUGUAACAUGUGCUAGCACAUACUAUUUUCCUCUAAAUUUCUUAUACCACAUUUUUUCCUAUAAAUAGAAAGAGGCACACGUCUUCCACGCAAAUCACACAAGUAAGACUUAGUAUAAUUAGAAACAUGAAUCUCAAAGCUUUCUUUGUUCUCUCCGCAGUGCUCUCUUUGCUUCUCUUGGUAUAUAUGCAUCUCUUUUUUAGGAAAAUUUAACAUAAAGGAUACCUAAUUAAGUUAGUUUUGAUGAGAUUCUCUUUAUCAUUUGUUUGAUCUAAUUUUUUUUUUUUCCUCUUGUUCAGUUUGCUAACAGAACAGAGGCCAGAAAAGAUCAGGGAGAAUAUUGGAGAGGCUUCGUCAAAGAUAGCGACGUGCCAGAAUCAAUUCAAAUUCAUGUUCGCCAGGAUCCUGUCUCAACUGCCUCUGAUGCCAAAGCCCACUGCAAAGAACCUGAAGAUUUAGAGCACAAGAGAGAAAAGACUUAUGUCAAGGAUUCUGACGCAACGAUUGAUAUCUUAGUUUAUCACAACAGUAUUAAACCAACUGAACAAAAGUUAUUUGGCAACCACUUCGAAAGCCCGGAUGCUACAAUUUACCACAAUGACAUUAAACCAACAGAACAGAAGUUAUUUGGCAACCACUUCGAGUCAAGCCCGGAUGCUACAAUUUACCACAAUGACAUUAAACCAACAGAACAGAAGUUAUUUACCAACCACUUCGAGUCAAGCCCGGAUGCUACAAUUUACCACAAUGAUAUUAAACCAACAGUACAGAAGUUAUUUGCCAACCACUUCGUGUCAAGCCCGGAUGCUACAAUUUACCACAACGAUAUUAAACCAAUUGAAAUGAUUAAAUCUUUUGUUAGCAAAUUCUUGUCAAACCCUGAUGCUACAAUUUAUCAUGAGUAACCAGACUCUGCUUUCAAUCGUGUGGAGAGAGCCCGUUAUCCAUCUGUAAUAUUUGUGCGUACGUGUGAUGCUCUCUUUCUAUAAAUAAGUUAUGAGGAGUGCGGUUGUUUAAUGCUCUAAGGCACAAGCUUUGUAAGAAAGUGUGUUUUUAUUGUAAAAUUGAAUAAAAAUUUGUGCCAAGUUAAUUAAUUAUCCCUUUUCUAGUGAUUUUUUUUUUUCUAAUGCUUUGAUUAUUUCCACAAAAUCUUUUCGUAAGGAAAGGGCCUAGCUACUUGAAUCAAUUUUCUCCAUUUCAACGUUAUUAGUAUAAUAAUAAUACAAAAAAUCAUUAAUCUCAGUAAUUGAUAAACAAUAUUCUUUGCUAUUAUAUUGAGAAUUAAUUCCUAAUCUGAGAAAAUAAAUUAACAAUUAAAAAAUAAUAAAAGAUCGUGAACUACUUAGAUUUAUGGCCCUCUCACAUGUCGAUGGUACUUUACAUAAUUAGAAGCCUUUUUAUUAAUUUUAACAGACACCAUUCAAUCAACUUUGGUGACAUACUGAUAAUUGAUGCAAAAUUCUAUUUGGGGAAAAAAAAGUAAAAGAAAGAACUCCUAUUUUAGCUCUUAAAUCUUAAUUUUUCAAAUUUUAGAAGGAUUAAUGAUCAACAUUAUUUAGCCUAUUUUAUUUAAUUUAUAACUAUAGAAAUCCUAAAGCUGAUGGAGUAUACUUAAUACCUUAUUUUCCCCAAUCACAACCGUCUAAAUUCCUGAAACAUUUCAUUUCUUAAAUUUCAACGGUACAGAUUAAUUCUCUUACGAAAACUCAGCGACUUAUCCUGGACCGCCGCUACUAAAAUACAUAAGAGUAAAAUACUAUAGUAUUCCGGGACAAAUUUAUUUCUUCCACGACGCAAUAAAAUGCUGCGUCCAAUAACAUUCUGUUUCCUAAAGCUUACCCAAAUCGCAGAUAGGAACAUGGUUUGCAAUAAUUUUUCUAACAGAUCCUGCCAUCAAAUUCGUUAAAAACUGGUUUAAUUUUUAUUAAAUAAUUUUAAGUAAAUUGAAUAAGAUAAAAAAUUUAAAAAGUUAUUAUUUUAUAAUGAAAAAGCUAGAUCAUCCAUACGUAAUAAAAAAUAGUACGCAUUCACAACUUAAUGCAAUAUAAUCUAGACAACCAAAUAUAUUUUAUGUAUUUUUUACAAAUUGCUUUUAGUAUAAGCAAAUAAGGUGGUUGUCUAAACAUUCAUAUUUUUGGAAGGUCUCAAUUUUUAAUAUUUUCUUAAUAAUUUUCUAAUUAAUAAAGAUAUUUUUUUAACUUAUGUAUUGUAGAAAAACCUAUUAGACAUUUUUAUUAUUAACAACUAUACUACAAUUAAGAGUCUUUUUUGUAUAGAAAAUCAAUAUUUGUAACCUUAUUGAUAAAGAGAAAUGAUUAAUAAUAUUUUUAACCAUUAAUUCAUUCAUUAUUAGUUUUCUCAAGAAAAAAAGUUAAAUUCUUUACCUUUUCAUUUUCCUAAAAAAAACUUGAUUAUUUAACAUUGAAAUCUUUGACUUUUAUUAUUCCUUUAGUUUCUAUUAGAACCUUAUAAUAUAAAAAAUCAAUAGAUAAAAAAAAUUUGUUCCUCCUUUCUUUACGAAGAAAAUUAUUAUAUUUAUUGGUUAAUUUAAAAAAGAAAAAUUAGUUUCUUGAAGUAUGAAGACCAUAUCUAUUAUCUGAUAAUCAAUUCAUGAUCUCGACUUUCUAGCUAUAUUCUGUCAUUCUAAAUAUUUUAUUUGAAAAUAAUAUUGUUUUUAUUUAUUUGUUUGUUUGCUUUUUAAGAGUUCUGAUGGAAGUAAAAAAAACAAAUCUUUUUUACUAAUUUUUUAGGUUUUUUUUAAAAGAUUUUUUAAGAUAUUUUUUUAUUACUGUUAAAAUUUAAGAAUUAAAGAUAGAAUGAAUUUUUGAGUCUUUUCAUAUUUCUUUGAGUAUUGAAAUUACAAAAUAAAAUAUGGCCUUACAAAAAAAAAAUUCGCCUAAGACCCCAUAUACUCUAAUGCCGACUCUGGGUGAAAUUAUUGAUUUUAUUAAUAAUAAUAUGAUGUAUACUAACCAAUGUACAAAACAGUAGUGGGUGACAUAAAUUAGAAUUGUGUUGCAAAAACAAGAGGUUUGAGUGAAAAAGAAUUUACAAACUCACAUUACAAUGUUAUAUAGUUGCCAUAUGUCUCACAUUUUCAAAUGAACAAAAUAUAAUAAAUACAGUAUAAUCUUUAUAACUGAAUAUUCAAUAGAUUAAUAAUCUCUACUGUGUAAUAAUUUUUUAUGGUCAUGACUUAGGCCAAUAGGUUAAAUUAAUAAUUGCAAUAAAUUAAUAAGAUGAUAUUUUUUAUGAAAACCCUUAUAUAACUAUGUGGCUCCAUUCAUAUCAAAAUUAAUAAUUUUUUAAAAUUAUAAAUAUAAUUGACAAUAAUUUUUUAUUUAUUAAAAUGUGAGUCGAUUAUUAUCUUGUUCCCUUAUUACUUCUUUUCCUUGAAAUAUAAAUCUAUUUGAAUCUCGUAUCUAAUUUUUCUUAUUACAUCUAAAAGUUUUGGGAUUGAAUUCUUGAAUUAUAAUAAAAAAAAAUUAUGAAGUGCUUUCGUACACAUAACUGGCUCCAAAGCAAUUGUAUCAUUCUCAACUUUUAUCAUCGACAUGAUUUUAAGUGAUGUCAGCAGUGGUUUAAUUUAUUCUAAACUUAAAAUCUCUCAACUUACAUCAUUUUUAUUAUGAUAAUCCAAGAGGUAAUUAAGUAGAUAAAUACAAUACAGUUAUUGUUUUGGUUUAUCUAAUAUCUAUUUAGUAGAUUAAUUCAUAUUCAAUAAAUUAGAUUAGUAAAAUAUAACGAAAUUUUAGUUAAUUAAAUGUACGUUUAUUGAACUAUAAAUGAACUCUAGAAAUUAAUAAAUUAUUAAUUUACUAAUUACAUAAUAAUUCUUUUAAUUAAUAAAAUUUAAAUAGUCCCAAUGUUAUUAAUUCAUAGAAGUUAUAUGAAAUAUGUGUCAACUAUAUAAUAUCGUAGUUUGUAAACAAAACAUAACUCUUUUGUUAAUUGAAUACUAACGUAAUGCUAUAGAAAUAACAUAUGUGACCAAUUUGCAUAAAUGUAUACUCUCUGUAUCUUAUUACAAAUGCUUUAUAAAUCAGUGACUCAGAUGUUAUUAUCUAAACUCGUGGAAGCAUUACUUUUGUCCCUGCCAAUAUCAUUCAGAUAAAUAGUUGUUGUGCGUUCAGAUUCACCAGGAAUGCUUACGCAAAACAUAGACUGAACCCAAGAGCUUCGAAACUCGAAACUGAACCAAAUCAUUCUAAUGGAAGAGAAACGCCGGGAAGCCAGAGCGCAACCGGCGGCUACGAGCUCGGCCGCAGCUGGAGCCGAGUCAGCGGCAUCCGAGCCGGCUUCGCUCGGCGCCGAGCCGGAGCGCACAAAAGGAAAGCCUCGGCGCUCUCAGCGACUAACGCUUCAUCCACGCCGUCGAAGCGCAUGACUCGCGAGAAGAAUUUAGUUGCUCACACUCCGAUCUACAACCAUAACGUUACAUCUUGACAUUUGUAGUAAGAACGUGAGAGGAUACCUGGAGUGUAUUGGGAUUUGGGCGGAAGAGAAAGGAGCCCUUGGAAUUGGGAAACAAAUGAAAUUAUCUGCAUGGUCCUUGUACUCGUGGAGGGACUGUAACUUCUGAACCAACAAUGCUGAAAAUGCAGGGUCAAAAAUCAACAUUAACUUGAUGAAUAAUUGUUUGAAAAAAAAAAAAAGCAAGAAAACUUGAUUAAUAUAAAAGAGAGCAAAGGAGCACAACCAUACAGAAGUUGUAUAAAGGAAUAUUAAUCAAGCUUGAUUAAUAUUCUUCUUCUAUCCAACACCACAAGAUGAAACACAGUAUUCCUGUUGCAGUAUAUGGUGAGAACUGUGAAGUGCAGGAAGUAGUUUCCUAAGAGAGAUGAUUGAAUGCUCUUAAUUUUUUUUUUCAGAAAAUCAUUUUAUUUUUAAUAAAAGUUUAAUUUUUUUUAAUAAAAAUUUUUAUUUAUUUUUUAUUAAGUUGUGUCUCAUAUUUACUAAUAAAGGAAGUUAUUUGGGUAUAUAAGUAGGAUGUCUCAUCUAACAUGCUAGUAGGAUAAAUCUCUCAUCUAAUAUGCUAGUAUUUUGGGUUAAAUACCUAUAAAUUCUAAGCCGAGUCCACAACAGUCCCCAAAAUAACUGGAUUUAAGUCCUAGCUACACCAGUAGAUUGAAUAGAAGUGCAAAUAAGUUUAACUUUUUUGUCAUUCAUUUUAGUCUUUUUUUUUUUUUUUUUUCACAUACAUUGAAAAAGGAUAACUCUGUCGUGAUUGCCAUGGCAGAGCCUAUUUCAAACGAUGGUGUAUGCUAAAGGAAAUUAUCAUGAGAUGAGUGAUAAACCAUACAAUCAGUAGCUACAGCCCACGAUUAAUCAGCCACAUGGCCACAAAUAUUAUUGGCGGCAAAUAUAUCAACAAAAUCACAAUAAAGAUGAGCAUCCUCGAUUCCAUUCCUUAAUGUAAAUAGGACAGCCUGUCUAGCCAUUACUUUAAGAGAUUUGGCUGGCUUUGACACUUGUAUAUAAGCUUGUAACCCUCUCAUUCUUUACAAGAAAUAAGAUAAUAUUUUCAGCUUAAUAAUUCUUUUCAGUGAGAUCAAAGAAAUGUAAAGAGAUAUAGUCACUACUACAAAAAUGUAAAACAAUGACCCAUAUGUUAUGACGGUUCUUCUAAACAACCGUCAUUAAAGAUAUUUAAUGACGGUUAUUAUGUGAACAGUCAUAAUAUAUACCACUUAUAAUGACGGUUAUGUAAUAAAACCGUCAUUAAAUGUCAAAUAAAAUUUACACUUAGUUUUAAUGACGGUUCAUUUAUAAAAACCGUCAUUAAAAGUCACUAUUUUUAAUGACGGUUCUUAUAUACAACGGUCAUUAUAUGUGUAGUUAAAAAUAAUAUUACUUUUAAUGACGGUUUUUUAAUAACCGUCAUUAAAAAUAAUAAUUUUUAAUCACGGUUUUUACAUAUAACGGUCAUUAUAUGUGUAAUUAAAAUAGUACUACCUUUAAUGACGGUUUUAAAAAAACCGUCAUUAAUAAUUUUUAAUGACGAUUUUUACAUUAAACGGUCAUUAUAUGUGUAAUUAAAAUAAUACUACCUUUAAUGACGGUUUUGUUAAGAACCGUCAUUAAAAAUAAAUUUAUUUUUAAUGACGGUUCUUAACAAAACCGUCAUUAAAAAUCAUACUUUUUAAUGACCGUUAUAUAUUAUAACGGUCAUUAUAUAUAUAAUUAAAAUGCUUUUAAUUUUAAUGACGGUUCUUUAAGAACCGUCAUUAAAAAUUGACAUUUUUAGUGACAGUUGUAUAAAACAACCGUCAUCGUAUAUAUUGAUAUAGUUAUAAAAAAAAAAAAAAAAUUGGCCUUAUACUGAACACCAAAUCCCUAAAAUUACAGAUAAUUUGUAAACAUUAAAAGUAAUGGCGCAAGCACGCACGCCGCCGGUACACUUAGCCCAUGCAGCAGCAACCGAGCACGGUAGCAACAGGCCACCAGCAGUCGCUCUCUCUCUCACGCACACGCAGCAGCAAGCCAACACCAAUAGCCCCUCUUUCUCAUGCUCACUCUCUACUAUGCCCUCUUACGUACUCAAGAAAACUCUAACCCAUAUCCAAACCCUCGCCGUCGAAGAAAACCCAAUCCUUAAUGGCUUGAAAUUAAAGCCUCCACCGUCAAUCACCAUCGAACCAAAUAAACUCUAGCCUUACCAUCACUCUUCGUUUGACUCGCUGAAGAAAGCACUCUAUUAGGUGAGUCUCUGUUGUUUGAUAAUAUAUCUGCACUCUUUGUUGGCCGAAGCUUUUAGACAAUUGCUUUGAUUCAAUUGCUUCGAUUGGUUAGUUCUCUGUGAUUAAUUAGUUAGUUACUUUUAAUUUCAUAUUUUCAUCUCUAACAGUGAAUUUGGGAGUCGAUUUCUCUGUCGGAUUUGUAAUUUUUGCUACAGAUCAAAAACAUCUUGAAGGUGUUUUCAUAUCUAACAACUUGAACUAUCAUUUAUUUUGUCUUGUUAAUGUUCAAUUUUUUUUUCUUUUUUUAUUAGUAUGACAAUUAGUCGAAUGUGCUUGCACAUAAAACAAUCUUUUAACUUGGCGUUGGAAUAUUUGUUUUGAGUUGUGUCCCCUUAAUCAAUGACCAUACAAAAGUUCCCCAUGAUAAAGUGUUUAGCCCUAUUAAUGCCAUAAAGUCUUGCUCUCAAUUUUUCUGAUUAUGCCUAUGGAUUGAUUACCUAUUUCAUUUACAAAUUCAAUUGGCAAAUGUACAAUGCCUGCAUGACACUCACAUUUGGGUUAUGAUGGUAGUCAUUAUGAGGAAGAAUGUUAGAAUAACAUCAGGGGAAACAUCUGGGAGAAGGUAUGUACUGUCAAGCUCUUUGUUAGAAUCAUCACGAAAUUUAUAUUGGAUCUUGGCUGUUCUAUGUGAUGCAUUUUGGAUUUGCUCUUACUAGACAUGCAAAAACCUGUAAAAUGUAUUUUUUUUUUCCAUUUUAGAUUUACUAUCUAGUAUCUUGUAGGUUUAAUCUAAAAUAGAAACCAUUGAGGAUACUGGACACAAUUCUAAUGAAGAGAAAAGAUGUUAGACUUUAGUAUUCAACCUUUUUUUUUUAGCCAUAUUUCUAGACCCCAAGUUUAUGUCAUGAUAAUUGUGUGAUUGAUAAGAUAUUUUGGUUUUGGACUUUAUCUCAUGGAUUUAGAGUUCGAUUAUAUUUGGAAGUGGAAUAAUGCAUUCAUUUACAUAUGAUGUUUGAUGAAGUUCCCAUAAAAUUAAUUCAAUUAUAUAUGUUUAUGGUUCUAAGGAAGCGGGGCAAAAAUUUUAUCAGUGGGUUGAUUUCACUAGUUUAAGUUAGUAAAGCAAAGAAAUUGUCUUUAUGCACUUUAACUUUCCUCCAUUUAAGGUGAAAAAAUUAUUGAAGCUUUUAGAAGUGAAUUGUUCAUUUUGUUUGUGCACUUAUGCAGAUGGAUUUACUUUUGGCUGCUUAACCCUUCCUCACUUAUAUUUUUUCAGUUUAAAUUGCAGUGUUUUGCUGCUGUGCAACAGCACAAGAGGCUGUUUUAUUGUUGUUUCUGUAAAAACACAGCACCAGGAAGCGUCCAGGUAAUGUUUCGCUGCUGUUAUGCAGUAAAAACAACACCUGAAAGUUUCUAGGUGCUAUUUUUACUGCUGUUUACGCAGAAACACAGCACCUAAAAGUGUCUCUAGGUUCUGUUUAGCUGCUAUUAUGCAGCAAAAACAGCACCUGGAAACUUCCAAGUGCUGUUUUUAUUGCAUUUUAUGCAGAAACAAAGCACCUAGAAGCAUUCAAGGGUUGCUUUACUGUUGUUUUGUAUUUAAAAUUGCUGUUAGAAAUUUUGGGUGCUAUUUCUCUGAAAUUUUGCUAUUAACAGUGCAGCUUAAUAAUUUCAUAUGUCGUUUUGAACCUUCUUCAGUUCUUUUCUCUUAUGUCUAUACUUAAUCUUUUCCCCCCUGGUAAUAAGCAGGUACAAUUUUUGCAAGGUAAUAUCUAAGCAUGCUGUUAAUUCUUUGGUUGAGACGUAGUAUUCUAAACUUCAGGCCUUAAUUUUUUUAUUUCCAAGUGUAUAAUGGGUAGGUACUGGAUCUCUUAUGGAUGAUGUAGUUAAUGCUUUUUUAUUGUCUCUAUUUUGGCAAAUGUGUUGUCAUUUAUUAUCUGAACACAUGGUUGAUUAACUUACUUGAGGUAAGUCUAUUAAUUAAUAGUGAUAUGAUACUUUAAAGUCUUGUUUUACAACUUAAGUCACUAAAAUGAUUUAAUAUUUAUGAUUUAUAAUAUAUGAAUAUAUCUUAAUUUCUCUUUAUUCUUUGUAAGAAUGAUGUAGAUUGCUGAAGCUGGUGAGAUUCAUUUGCAAUUGAAGACUUGAUGAGAAAUUAGAUGUACUCACACAUGCCAAUCUUGUUGGUUGCUAGUGCAUUCACUAGUAGAAGUUUAAUGAUUGUUGGAGAUUUUUGUAGAGCUAUCUCUUUGUAAAUGAAACAUUUGCAUCAUUUUGAAUAUGAAACAUUUGUGAAAAAUAAUUGUAAAGAAUUUAAUAUGAAAUUAGAAUUAAAAUAGGGGCUUGAAAUAGCCUUAAAUUUGCCAAAUUUAUUUUUUUAAUAAUAAAUAACAAAGAUGACGGUUAUUUCAAAAGAACCGUCAUCAAAUGUAGUGUUCUAUAACAAAUAUGACGGUUUUCUUCUAAAACCGUCAUUAAAUGUUGUUUCAAUAUUUAAUGACGGUUCUUACAAUAAACCGUCAUUAAAAUGACACAUUUAAUGACGAUUAUUUAGAUAAACCGUCAUUAAAGAUAGAUAUUUAAUGACGGUUCUUACAAUAAACCGUCAUUAAAAUGACACAUUUAAUGACGGUUAUUUAAAUAACCGUAAUUAAAAAUAUACAUUUAAUGACGGUUAGUGAACCGUCAUAAAAAACAUACCCUCUUUAAUGUCGGUGCCUAAGAUGACGGUUUUAAAACCGUCAUCUUAUGUCGUUUAAAACCGUCAUAAAAGACCAAUUUUGUAGUAGUGAGUCUAUUAGGUUGGCAAAUCUACUGAAACAAUAUUGUUUCCUAUCAACUCCGAAAUACAACCAAUUGAACAACGUUCAGAAAUCGAAAAUCAUUUAUUACCAGUAAGAUUUAUUAUUAUACGCUAUACAUAUGGCUUUAACAGUCACAUUACCAAUACAUUUUUAAUCAUGGUAGGUAGGUGCUGGAAUGUAUACAAUAUUAUCAGCCUGGAAGAAAUGGCAGACAUGGGAGCUCCCUGGCUCGAUCCCAAGCACACGAAACGAUGCAUGAUCUCGACUCCAAUGAGACGUAUCCAUGUGGCAAACUGCUACAGCUUCCACUCUAUCUCCAUUAUCACCACCUAAUGAAACACCGAAUAACUUGUUCUCAGUCAUUUGGCUGUGGCAGUAGAAGAUUGCAUAAGGGUAAGGCAUGAUAUGACAUGCCACCAUCUUGGGAGCAACCAUUGGUUUAGGCACUUGUAAAAUAGUGUAAUUUUGGAAAAUGGUAGCUGAUUUUGUGAGAAAUUUUGUGCUUAGAACUUCGAAUUUGGUCUCCAAUCCGAAAGUUCCGUGUACAAAAUCAAGCAUGGAUUCCAAAGAGGUAGCACAAAUUUUGGUUUCUCCUUCGAUGGGAGGAACUUCGCAAUGAUUCAGGGUCCCUUCCAUGGCUUUGGCUAGGGGUGAGUCAUCUGAGAACGAGAAGAAUUGAAGAAGGUAAGGCAGUUGUUUCAAUGAAAAUGGAAUGGAAUCUGCUUCUUCUCUAGGCAAAGCCUGAGGAUAAGCUGAAGGAUCUCUCUUGCGAAAAAUAAAUCGGCAUCGUUUCGCCAAUCUUUAGAUCCUUCAAGGUGAAGAACACCAUCGUUGAAGGGUCCAUGUGAUUCAUGUGGGAUGGUAUUGAAUGAGAAUCAUGAAGAUUCUCCGAAAGCACCUGAGCACACUGUAAAACAGUUGAGCAAUUCAAUAUGACAACAUAGAUGAAAAAUCAACAACACAAGUUCUAUAAAGUGUAAAACUGAAGGAGCAAAAUAUAUCUUUUUGAGUUAUUGCUUUAAGACAACACUUAUGUACAUCUAUUGCAAAGUAAGCACUUCCUUAGCACACAUUGAGGAUUAUUACCAGAAAGAGUAGAGAAAGAAGGAGGUUCCAAACUGAAAAUCUUAACCCCAUCUCUUUUCUAUUAUCGAAGUUUCUUAUGUAUUUUAGUAAUCUUUUUGUUUUUUUUUUUAAGGGAGAGGAAACACAGAUAACAAGUGAAGCAGAAAGAGAAGAGAUUGUGUAACUGUAUAUGUCAACAACCAAAUGAUGUGUGUUAAUUUUCAAGUGGAAAUUUAUAGCCUGCAUAAGCUGAACUUGUUCUACUGUGCUGAUUAAUUGAAUCACAACACAGUUUGAAUAAUGACCUUAAUAGUCCAAUCCAGCAAAGAAUUCAGCACUCCAAUCAUUUGGGGACACACGUAUUGCACCUUCAUCAGGUCUGCGGAUUUUAAUAGUUUUGACUGAGUGAAUGAUUACUUCAAUUGAUAACAUUGCAUAUUAGAUUACCAGACCUAAAAUUGAUUUCUUAUUAAAAAAUUUACUUGCAAUUUGGAAACUCUCUUUGACACAUUAAUUACAGACUCGAAAUCUGUAUCAAUAUUCCCCAUACAUAGACAGAACUGAGCAUAAAAAGUGGGAAGGCAGAUCGUAAACAAAUUCGACAUGGUAGUUUCCAAGGAUGAAUAGCAUUUUUUUCAUUCAAAAAUGGGAUAAUAUAUCCUUCAGUCACGUAAUGUACACUAAGGCGGCGUUUGGUUGGGAGGAGAGAACAAAGAAGAGGAAAGUAAUUUAAAUUUUCUUUUUAUUUUCAUUGUUUGGUUUGAUAAAAUAUAUAAGAAUUUAAUUUCCAUUAGAAUUUAAUAUCCAUCAUAAUUUGAAUUCCACACCAAGUAGUGAAGAAUUUAAAUUCCUCUUAUGUUAGAAACUAAAGUUUCCAAAAUUACCCUUCAACUUGUUUAAUGUCAUUAAUAAUUAUUAUUUAAUAUUAUAAAUGGAUCACCGCCGGAAAGUCGCCGGACUACCGCCGGAAAGUCACUGGAAAGUUACCGGGCCACCUCGGAAUGUUGCCGGAAAGUCACCAGACCACUGCCGAAAGUUGCCGGACGUCGCCAAAAUCCUGCCGAACGUUGCCAUAAGGUAGUUUCCAAGGAUGAAUAGCAUUUUUUUUUCAUUCGAGAAUGGGAUAAUUUAUCCUUCAGUCACGUAAUGUACACUAAAGCUCUUCUCAACCUAGUGUGCGUCGGAUAUGUGAGCGUCGGGGCUCCAAUCUCCCGUACAAUCUUUAAAAUUUUGUUUGGUCAAAUUAACAGGCUGCACUCACUGUAUUUCCAUGGAUCACACUACUUCAACUAAAAGAUAAGAUAAUAAGUAUCUUUAGGAUUUUACUGAAUGAUUUUUAAGUAGUUUUUAUUAAUUAAUUAUUCAAAUUCGAAUUAAAAAAAGACUAAAAAAUUCAUCUGAAUUUUUCUCACUCCCAAUCUUUAAAAAUAAAACAAAUAAUAAGUCAUAUAAACAAUAUUUUAAAUGCAAUUUUCACUUCAAACAUAUUUCAUUUGAAGUUUAAUUAUAUUCUCCGAUGGAACCUGGAUAAGUUGAAAAAAAAUUUAUUAAUAAAAAAAAUGUACAUCUAAUUGUCUAACGAUGGGUCAAGAACAAAAGGUUAAAAGAUAAUAUACGUGGACAUGAUAAUGCAGAAACCGAAAAUCAAAAGGGCACGAGUUUCAAAUGCUAGACAAAUGAAAGAGACGUGUGAUUGCAGGUCGAUUUUCUUCUCAUCACUAGCCACUAGUGUUGUGCGCGGAAUGCGGAAUCAAGCGCACCAAAUAAUUAUUGAAAAAUAAAGGACACAAGAAUUUACGUGGUUCGGUAAUUAAACCUACAUCCACGGAGACAAGAAAGAAUAAUUGUUUAUUUAACAAUUAAUAGAAUACAAUAUUUGAGUAACGAAUCUCACUUCCCAGAAAACCCAAAUAUACCCAGUACUCUCACACUCUGCAAGAAAGAUAAAUUCCCCAGACACACUUCUCUCACUUCUCUCAAAAGCUUAGAAACUUAUAAGCUUGACAAUUUUGGGAUGAUUUCAAAUGAAUGAAAUCCUUAGCUAUUUAUAGACUUGAAGCUAGUAUUAUUCCACCUAACCCAAGUACUAUUUCACCUAACCCAAGCACUAUUCCACCUAACCCAUGCAAAUAUGUCAAUGGUGUCCAUUUGGCAAAUUUGACAAAUUUGCCAACUUUCCAUUUUUUCUUCAAAUGUUUGGUAGCUCUUUGAAAAAUUGCCACAUGCAUGACUUUUCAACAAUUCUCCACCUCGGCGAAAAUUUGUCCAAAUCUGAGCCGACUACCAACGAACCCUCAUCCCCAAAGUGAUCCUUCAAUAAGGAUCCAGAAUGACUGUGUCGAUUCGACUGUCUACGUACCCAAAAUUUGGGAUCAAGCCAACCGUAGUUCAAAAAUUCUCCAAACUCAACGCAUUCGAAGAAUUAGUUUCAAUCCGUAUAAAGAUUUACUCAAUCUGCACACACGAUUUUCCUUUCCAGCAACUCUGAAACCACAAGGCUGAAUCAUAUAGAUUUUCUCCUCUAAAUCUCCAUGUAAGAACGCCGUCUUAACAUCCAACUGAGCUAACUCUAACUCAUAUUCUGCAACUAAGGCAAGUAGGAUACGAAUGGAAGUAUGUUUUACAAUUGGAGAGAAAACUUCAUUGUAGUCCAUACCUUCCUUUUGAGCAAAACCUUUUGCCACGAGCCUUGCCUUGUAUCGAGGAGUUGUUUGAUUCGGAGAUCCUUGCUUUUUGGUGUAGACCCAUUUAUUGCCAAUAGCCCUUUUCCCCUUUGGUAACUUUACAAGUUCCCAAGUCUGGUUUUGAUGGAGAGAUUUCAUCUCUUCCUCCAUGGCUAGCUUCCACUGAUCACUUUCAUUGCUGCGUAAUGCUUCACCGAAAGUAUUGGGGAUGUCAUCAUCAAUAACUGAAAGUGCAUAGGCUACCACCAUAUCUUUAGUAAGCCAUCCGGGUUUUUUUAUCUCUCUUUUUGGCCUCCUUGUUGCUAUAAAAUCAUCAUCAUCUACAUCAUCAAUUGUUUUUUCAUUUUGUGGGACAUCAGAAGAAACAACCUCUUCUUCAACUUUAGGUGUCACCUCCAUAGUUGAACCAUUCUUUGAUGUAGAACUAACUUGUACAUAUGGAGUUGCAUCAAACUCCACCCGCUGCAAUACCUCUGUGGUCUUGUUCUCCACCUGCUGAGAACUUGAAGCUUUUAUCAUUGAAGCUUCAUCAAAUGUGACAUCUCCGCUACACACAAACUUUUUGUCUUCGAGAUCCCAAAGCUUGAAGCCCUUUACUCCACCUUUGAAUCCCACAAAGAUAGAUUUUUUAGCACGAGGAUCCAGUUUACCAUCUUUGACAUGAUAAUAAGCUGGACACCCGAAUACACGAAGGGAAUCAUAGUCUUGUGCAUGCUUUCCAGACCCCAUUUCCAUAUGAGUUUUACCUCCAAUUGCAGCAGAAGGCAACCGAUUUACCAAGUGACUUGCGUAGCUCACAGUUUCAGCCCAAAACUUUUUAUCUAAACCAGCAUUAGAUAACAUACAUCGUACCUUCUCCAGUAAAGUACGAUUCAUACGCUCAGCCACACCGUUCUGUUGCGGAGUAUGUCUCACCGUGAAAUGUCUUUUAAUACCCUCGUUCUGGCAUACUUGCAAGAAUGGAUCAGAAGUAUAUUCACCCCCAUUAUCAGAUCGUAAUACUUUGAUCUUUCUGCCAGUUUGAGUCUCCACCAAUUUCUUCCACUUCACGAAAAUCUUUAGAACCUCAUCCUUUGCUCGCAUGGUGUACACCCAUACACGUCUAGAGAAAUCAUCAACAAAUAUAACAAAAUAAUGGCUUCCACCAAUUGAUGCAGUCUUGGUUGGUCCCCAUACAUCACUAUGAACAUAUUCAAGGAUCUCACGAGUAUCGUGAUUAGCUGUACCAAACUUGACCCUUGUUUUCUUGCCUACUACACAAUGCUCACAGAAAUUUAAUUUACAGGUUUUGGUACCUUUUAAGAGUCCAUGCCUCAUCAGAGUUUGCAAAGACUUCUCUCCUGCAUGUCCCAGUCGUACAUGCCAUAGCUUGGUGGUGUCACUGUGCGCCUCAACAACAUUUGCUUCAUCAGUUGUACCUCUCUUCAAAUAGUACAAAUUGUGACGCCGAACCCCUUGCAGAAUCAUCAUAGCCCCAUGUGUAAACUUCAUUGUGCCAUCUUCAAUGGUAACUUUGUAACCUUUAGCUUCCAAAGCACCCACAGAAAUUAGAUUUUUCUUUAUCUCUGGAACAAAUCUAACCUAUUUGAGUUCUCUGACCAUUCCAUCAAACAUUUUGAGCCGAAUUGUUUCUAUCCCCAUUGUGCGACAAGGUUGAUUAUUCCCCAUCAUAACUGCACCGGAUUCCAGAUUACGAAAAUCCGUAAACCAUUCCUUAAUAGGACACAAAUGAUAGGUUGCUCCAGUAUCAAGUGUCCACUCACUCGAACUAGCCACGUAUGCUGCAGGAGUAAUACUUAGUGAAUAAUCAGAGUUCUCAUCUUUCCGUGCCAUGUUUACUGCUGCUGGUUUCUUCCCAUCUCUCUUUUGAGCCUUUGGACAAUCUUUUCUCCAAUGACCCUUUUCAUGAAAAAAGGCACACUCAUCUCGAGCUAUAUUUCUGCUUCUUGAUUUGGAUCAAGAAUUCAUUCCACCACGGUUCUUCUGUUUCUCCAUCGCCCAAUCUCUGCUCACCAAAGCUUCAGACGAUGCUCGUUCAGAAUUUUUAUCAUUAUUCUGAAUCUCCAAACUAGUCAAUGCUGUGCAAACAUCUUUAAAGACGAUCACACUCUUCCCAUAUAUCAAAGUAGUCACAAAAUGGCUAUAUUCCUCUGGUAGUGAGUGUAACAGAAUCAUAGCCUUAACUUCAUCUUUAAUAUCUUCAUCAAGAUUCUUCAAAUCAGCAAGUAACUUUUCAAAUCUUGAAACAUGAUCGUGCAUUGACACCCCAGGCUUCAUUCGAAAACCAUAUACUUGGCUCAUUACAUGAAGGCGAUUUUCAGGACUUUUCACCAGGUACUUCUCCUCCAAUGUACGCCACAAAGUCACCGCACACUCCUCAUCUUUCACCAAGUAUUUCACCUCCUUGGUCAAACAAGAUCUGAUAUGACCACAAGUUUUUUCGUUCAUACGAUCCCAAAUUUCUUCAUCAUACAAGUGCCUUUUAUUUUUUAGAACAACAUCGAGAUCGAUUUGAAUAAGGGCAUCCAUAACUUCGCGCCUCCACAUGCCGAAGUUGAUUUUCCCAUCAAACUUUUCAACAUCGAUCUUUUGGCCUCCUAUAACAUGUGCUGAAUAGCGAUUUGAUAAAUCUCGCCUCCCACCUGAAGUGUCUCCUGAAAUAGUCUCGGUAGAUAUCUCCCUAAUUCUGGAAGUUUCACCUUCUACCAUUUUCUCAACGAACUAUUUCCACUUAAAAAACAGUCUCUAUGAUGUUAAUUUCGCGUGAAUAAAUGCACCAGGAAAGUUCCCAGGAAACUGGACGGGAACUCGGUCCCAAUUAAAAACCAGAAUCCUUAGACUCUUAUCGCCUUUUUUGACAGAACUUUCCUAGACAUGCAAAAAUACACACUACUUACAAUAGACUGUCUCCCAAGUACAAAUGGCCGUCUCCACCGUAUUCGUAAAUAGUGCCGUAUAUGUGAACAGUACCGUAUACGUGAACAAUACCGUAUACGUGAACAGUACUGUAUCCCCCCAAGUACGAACCGUCGGCUCUGAUACCACUUGUUGUGCGCGGAAUGCGGAAUCAAGCGCACCAAAUAAUUACUGAAAAAUAAAGGACACAAGAAUUUACGUGGUUCGGUAAUUAAACCUACAUCCACGGAGGCAAGAAAGAAUAAUUGUUUAUUUAACAAUUAAUAGAAUACAAUAUUUGAGUAACGAAUCUCACUUCCCAGAAAACCCAAAUAUAUCCAGUACUCUCACACUCUGCAGGAAAGAUAAAUUCCCCAGACACACUUCUCUCAAAAGCUUAGAAACUUAUAAGCUUAACAAUUUUGGGAUGAUUUCAAAUGAAUGAAAUCCUUAGCUAUUUAUAGACUUGAAGCUAGUACUAUUCCACCUAACCCAAGUACUAUUUCACCUAACCCAAGCAUUAUUCCACCUAACCCAUGCAAAUAUGUCAAUGGUGUCCAUUUGGUAAAUUUAACAAAUUUACCAACUUUCCAUUUUUUCUUCAAAUGUUUGAUAGCUCUUUGAAAAAUUGCCACAUGCAUGACUUUUCAACAACUAGCACACAUCCCCUUAAUCAAAAUCUUUUUCAAUAUUGUUUAUUAUAUAAAUGGAUAUUGGUAGUGGUUGAACUUCUAUUAUUUAAUUAUGUUGUCAUUUUCCAUCACUACAACAACAGAUGAUUCAAGUAGGAUCGAUCAAUAAUUGUCGCCCAAUGUUUUGUCUUUUUCAUAAUUUAGUUAUUUUUGUUCAUAUGUCUGACGAAGAAGUUUUAAUUUUGCAAGAGGAAUUCAAGUUGAUAAGACCUUGUCGACUUGUCUUCUGCUGAAGAAUCUUGAAUAAUCAUGCCAAAUUCAAAAAGUGGCAAAAGCAAAAGGCUAAGUUCUUAAUGAAUUCAAUAUUAUUACGAAUUUGGUGCUAGCUCAAUCUUGAAAAUGAUCCAAAAAUUAAAAAGUAAACAUAUAAUAAUCACAUCUACAAAUGUACAUUAUUAGUGAGUCAUUGAUGAUAUCCCAUCACGAAUUCAUUAGCUGACUAAUUAAAGAUACCACGAAAAUAUUAUAUCAUUAGCUGGUCUAAAAAAGUAGUCAAUAAGAAAAUGAAAGGUAAAUUCAUAAAUUUCAGCCGGAAUUUUUUUUUUUUUUUUAAAAGGACCAAUAAUUGUAGGAAAUGGCUAGCUUCUUAUCCUCUUCACAAAAGAUUAAAUCCUCUUGAAAAGGUUUGUUACUGAAAUACAUAUCAUAUUACACCAACACUCUCUAUUACCAUAUGAAUUUAGAUCUUCCCCUAACUUAAUAUUUCAUAUAAUAUUGUAGGAAUAAUCUUCAUCACCGGAGAUUAGGAUCUUCUCCUAACUUAAUAUCUCAUAAGUGUUGUAUGAGAUUAUUUAGCUCAUGUCAUUAUAUUUUUCUAAAGCUAGGAUUUAAUUUACUUUAUACUUUCCUUAUUAAACAUUAAAACCAAUAAUUUUCUAGGCUAAGUAAAACCAUGAAAUUCAAGUGUGCCGCUUUCUAACCAAACUGCUGCUUCUUUCUCUACCGUUUUUUUUUUUUUUUUUUGGUCACAAACUUUAAACUGUGGUAUAUAUAAACUUGAGCAAAGAAGCAUUAUUGGUAGGAUUGGCAAUGAGACGGGAUGGGAUGAGAUUUACCAAUCCCACUCCCGUCCCGCAUAUAUAAUUGAGAUAAAAAAAUGUCUCACUCCCAUCCUUCAAUUUUUUUAUGGGACCAAAAUAUAUCCCAAUCCUGUCCCAAAUUGCCAUCCCUAAUUAUUGGCAAUUCAUUCUUUUAAGAAUUGUUUAUGUAAUGGAAUCAGACCAGAACAGAAUGCAUUAUUGUUCGAUAUACGUAGUCUACAAUAACAAUUGAAGACACCUGAAGAUAAUAUCAAUUAUAGACAAUUGUUAUUGCAAUAUAUUCAAUGCAUUGUUGCUAUCGCUUGUCUGCAAUUAAUUUUAUAUAAAUUAAGCUGAUAUAUCUCAUUUCAGUGUACUAAUAAUUAAGUUGAACGUUGAUGCAGCUACUGCUAUUUCCAGGAACACAGCUUUCUAGGAGCCAUUAUUCGUAAUGUGAGAAGGGAGAUUAAUUAUGGCAGUAGCUAUCUAAAGUAAAAUUUUGGAGAUCUUGAAUUCGCAGAAGCAGAAGCAAUGAGAUUUGGGAUCGAAAUAUGCAAACGGCACAGGUCUAUUUCCAUUCAUUAUUGAAUCAGAUACUAAGAAUGUUGUCAAUCUUGCUGCAGCACUUGAAAGUACUAGAAAAGAGAUUCUUUGAGUGAUAUAUCUCUGAUAUUUAAUUGUUGGCUAGACAACUGGCAAUUUCAAAUUUGUAUUCAUUCCUAGAAUAUGUAACGUGGAAGUUCAUAGAUUAGCUAAACUUGCAGUUAGCGAUCAGAAAGCCGUAUUGUUUGGAUUGAGAAUAUUCCUAUAGAUGUAAAAUCUUAUCAUUUUUGAAGAAUUUUUUACUUUGAAAAUAAAAUAAUUAAGGGCCAUCUCUAUCGUUGCGAAUUGUAACUCGUAGACUUUGCGGUCCACAUUAUGAAUUUAAAAUUCUUGCAUGAUUAAUCACCCACAUGAGCAUGCUCCCCCAACCUGCCACAUCAUGUUACCACUUCUUCCAAUCUGUGUAUACACACACACACACACACACACCAGUAUGGCCUCCAUGCAAAUCACAAACGCAGUAUCUAAUAUUGUUUGUCACUGGCAAGAAACAUGAAUAUUAAAGCCUUCUUUGUUCUCUCCACAGUGCUCUCAUUGCUUCUCUUGUUAUGUAUCAUUUGAUCAGUAAUAAUGUUAGGUUAAUCACAAAUUCAUUAUAUAAAAUAUUUUGUACAAAAUUGAUAACACAUAAUGUACAGUAUCGAUGUGAUAAGAACACCACACAACCCGAUCAUUAUUUUAUAUUUCCAUUCAACCAAUACUAUUUUAUCACAUCAGCUUUAAGAGUAGCUUAAUUAUAGCUAGCUCUAGCAUUACUCGUUUUGAUUCAAAUGAUUUUCGAAUUUUUAUCAUUUGCAUGGUCAAUAUAUAGUUCCUCUCUCUUUUUUUUAUUUUUUAUUAAUUGUUUUCCUUGUGUGCAGUUUGCCAACAUGAUAGAUGCAAGAAAAUACCAUGGAGACGAUUGGAGUAUUGUCGUGAAAAAUCAAGACAUGCCUUGGGAAUCAACUCAAGGUCUCAUUCCCGAAGUUCAAGGCCCGACCAUCUCUAAAACCAAAGCCUAUUGCCAUACACAUGAUGAUUCUGAGCACACCAUGGAGAAGCCUUUUGUCAAUAAGAACUUUGAGCUGAUGCCUGAUGUUUCAAUCUAUGACAACGGUAUUAAGCCAACCAAACAAAAGGCUUUUGCCAAGCACUUCGAGUUCUUGCCUGAUGUUUCAAUUUACGACAACGGUAUUAAGCCAACCAAACAAAAGUUCUUCGCCAAGGACUUCGAGCUCAUGCCUGAUGUUUCUAUUUAUGACAAUGGUGUAAAGCUAGCCAAACAAAGGUUCUCCGCCAAGGACUUCGAACUCAUACCUGAUAUUUCAAUUUAUAACAAUGGUGUAGAGCUAGCCAAACAGAAGGCAUUCGCCAAAGGCUUCGAGCUCAUGCCUGAUGUUUCAAUUUAUGACAAUGAUAUUAAACCAACGAAGAAGAGUUCAUAUGCCAAGGACUUUGAGCUGAAGGCUGAUAUUUCAAUUCAUGAACCGACCGAACAAAAAUAGGUAAUUAGCAUUACGGAUCUGCAGCCAGAUGCUACAAUUUAUCAUAAUUAAAUAGAUGAUCAUGCUUGUAAUCAGGCGCAGGAUGGAGUCUCUUACCAUAUUUAAUGUUCUAGAAGAGUAGCCACAUACGUGCAAUAACGCUUUCCUUGUUUGUGUGUGUUGUCAAAAGCGCUGUUUCUAAAGUAAUGUAAUAAGUGCUGAAAUAACCCAUGCAAUAAAAUCAUGUCAUGCGUCUUUAAUUUUUUUUUUCUCUCUCUCUUAAACAAUCUUAUGAUAGAUUAUUUACAAGUUAUAAUUUAUAAAGAGAGAAACUAUAUUAAAAUAAUGCUUUUUACAUAAAUAUUCUAUCCAUUAAUCUCGUAUAGCUAAUUAAGUUUGUUUUUUUUUUUUUUAUUUACAACGACAUCCUUAGAUGUUUAAAUUGUUUUUUUUUUAAAGGUAAAAGGGUUGGGUCAAUCAAAAUUAAUUUUUUCACCCUGAUCUCUUUGAGAUUCGAACUUAGGUGGCUAGCUAACUAAGAUUAUUUGAAACCAUUCGGUUGGGUUUCUAGGGGCCUUGGAUGUUUAAAAUUUGUAUUUUGAAUUGUUAUUCAGAUGGAACAAUAUAAUUAACUUUAAUUUCAAAGUCAAUUUGACCCUAUUUAAUUUUGAGAUGCUGUUACUUUUAAACUAGCUACUUGGGAAAAAAAAAAAGUCGUAACCUUAAAAUAAAAAGUGAUACUGUGUGGAAAAUAUGAUUUUAAAUAAUAAUUUUGACAAAAUAGCAAAGAAAUAUUAUUUAAAUUAUUAUUACCAGCCAAACAAAAAUAGGUUUUUUAUUAUACAAAUGCAAGAUCAAAUCAACUUAAUUUUUGAGUUACAACAACUACUACUUACUAAACACUUUGAUGUCAAUACCAAAUAGGCCUCUUUUUUCCUCUCCCUCUCUAAUUUGUAAGACUACCCAACCAUAUAUUGUAUAAUAUUCAAUUAUUAUAUUAACUAGUUUUAUUUUCUUAUGAUCACAUGAUAUCUUUUUUUUUUUCAAGAAUCUGAACAGAUAAUGGUUUUAAAGCUCAGAAGUAGAUCUGAUUCUAAAUAUUUGGAAAUUGAAAAAAAAAAAAAAACUAAUUCACAUUUGCAGAAGAAGGUAUGUACUUGAUAACUUGAACGCCAUGAUGGUAUAUAAUUAAAUUUAACUAUUGUUAUAUUUUUAUUUAUUAAUCACUAAUUAUUCACGAUGAAUUUUAUUUGAAUAAGUUCAUAUCAUGAUAGAAUCUUAAUUCAAAUACAUAUGAAAAAAAAAAAUCUAUGACUGCACUAAUAAGAUAUUUCAUUUAAUCAUGUGAUAUUAAAAUGAAAAUUAUGAUAGAUAAACUUAAAUUUUCCAUUUUCCCCCCUUUAUCAUCUCACAUGGGCCACUUCAAUUCGCUGAAAUCCUGAUGCUUCGGCCUCCAGAUGUAAAAGAACAUGAGUCACAUAUAGUAUUGGUAGAUGCGUGAAUGGAUCACAUCUCACUCAACCAACAAAUUGCAUGUCAUCUGGAAAAUGAUUUAAAUAAAUGAACAAAUACUCAGUCCUCUAUUUUAAGUUAAGUAUUUGUUUAUUCCUUAUAUUUUAAAAAUAUCUCAAAAUAAGUUGUAGUUAAAUAUAUUACAUUCUUAAUCUUGUUUUUGCUUUGCUUUUAUAAUAAUGCCCUUAUAAUAAUAUUCUUGACAUUAAUUAAUUUAUCUAUAAAAUUUUAAUUAGAAAAUUAACCAAUAAUUAUUUAGUAAUAAAUUAACCAAUAAAUAUUAGUACAAAAGAACUAAUAUUUUUUGUACAUGUGCGACAAUCGUGCUAAUAAUUUAUUUAUAAAUAAAAUUAAUAUUAGUCAACUUAAAGUAAUGCUUAUCAUCCUUGCAAUAAUUUUACUAAUAAUUAUUUUAUAAAAAAUUAAUUUACCAAAUUAAUCCUAAAAGUAAAAUAAUAACAUAAAAAAAAAUUACUGUAAAAAUUUUUAUGCUACUUUGAAGGCUAAUUUGAUAAAGAAUGGAACUACUAGCACUCCUUCAAAAUCUUUUUUAAGACCCCUUUUUAAAUACACCCAAUCAAAUAAAUGAAAAAUUAUAUCACUUCUAAAAACAACCAUCUUUAUUCCACAAUUGUCCUUCAAUCUUAUCUCUCAUAAAAUGAUAAAAUUACAAAAAUAAAAAUCUUUUUGUGGAUACUAUUGCAAUAAUGAUCAUUAGCAUUCUUCACAAAUUUGAUUAACAAGUAUGGAAUGGUAUGUAACUUUAGAUUUCUAAAUUUUAACUUUUCUUUAUGUUUUGCAACAAAUAUACCUUCUAUUUUAAUAUAUGAUACCUAUUAAUUUAAUUUUUUUCAAAUAACAAAACUCACUUGUUCAAACAAACAAUGAGACCAAAAAAAGCAAGGGAAAAAAAGUGAACAAAUAAAAGGUAGAACUACUUGACACAUAAAAACUUUAAAAAAAAAUGAAAAAGAAGAGAUCUAGUAAAAGAAGUAUGAGUAUAAAAUAAGCCAGGCAAUGAAAGAAUCAUAGCUUUUCGACAAAUUCCAUGUCAAUGUCCUUUUGGAAUAAAUUUUUAAUGUUAUCUAUUUGAAUAAUGAUGGUGGUUGAGUUUCCACUUUCCAUUAUGCUCUCGAAUGUAAGCUUCUGAUGCGUCUUCUAAAAUAAUUCUAGAUAUUUUAUUUUAAAUUUAUUUGAAUUUGUAAGUUACCCUUUUAAUUGCGGUUAUCAUGUAAACAAUUGUUGCCAAAUCAUAAACAAAAUCCUGAGUAGGGACGAUAAUGGGACGGUUUUGAUCGAUGAUCCACUUAAUCUAAAUCUAAAUUUAUCAUAUUUGGAUCAGUAUAAAAUGAAUUUGGAGUGGGUACAUAUGAAUCUAGAUGAGUAAAUUCAAAACAAAUUUAAAGCACGUAUACAAAUCUAACUUAAAAUUCGGAUCCGUAUCCAUAUCUAAUUAGAAAUCUUUUAAUUUUAUUUUAUUUUUAAAAGUAUUAAACUAUCGAUGGUUUAAUACUUUUACAAUCAAAUUAAACUUAUACCUAGCUUACUGAAAUCAUACCACAUUUAUGAGAUGCAAUAUAUUAUCAGUUUUAUAUGAAAUUCAAAGUAUUAUUUUUAAUUUUAUUUAAGAUGAAUUAUGUGUUUUAGUUGAUAGUAAGACGUUUUUUUCUCAAAUAUUUUUGUGCUCUUAUUAUUCUUAUGAGGCUUGAAAGUUUAAUAAGAUAAAUUUAUUAAUAUUCUAUUAUAAUAUAUAAAAUUUUAAAAUUAAAAAUUGAUAAAUCCAAGAUAGAUUUGGAGCAAAUCCGAACCUUUAUUUUAAAUUUGAACUUAAAUAUACAGUAAAAAUCAUAAAUCUAUAAUGAAUUUAGAGUAAAUACAAAUCUCAAUUUUUAUUAUUAAUCAAGAAUUAGAACAGAAUAGAUCCAGCUGAUAUAUAUGUCCCAUUGUCAUCCCUGUGACUGAUGAAAAGAUAUAGGAAAAUAAACAGGAGUUUAAUAAGCUAGACAAUAAAAGAAUCAUAUAUAGCAAUGAUUGAUUCUUUCUUCCUAUCCUUAUGAAAUCUUUCUCAAUGUCUUUUCUACGAAAUCUUUUUUAAUGUCCUUUUCGAAAAUAUCACCCUUCAGCCAAUGACUUUGAGCUGAAGGCUGGUAUUUCAAUUCAUGAACCAACCGAACAAAAAUCGUUUGUCAACAAUAUGGAUCAGCAGCCAGAAGCUACAAUUUAUCAUUAUUAAAUAGGUGAUCAUGCUUGCAACCAGGCGCAGGACAGAGUCUCUGACCAUAUUUAAAUGUUGUAGAAGCGUAGCCAUAUAUAUGAAACGUUUCACUUUGUUUUCGUAUGUUAUCAAAGGCUCAGUUUUAAAAGUAAUAUUGUAAUAAGUAUUGAAGUGUCCCAUGCAAUAAAAUCGAAGUGUCCCAUGCAACAAAAUCAUGUCAUGCGUCUUAAAUUUAUUUUGCCCUCUUAUUUAUCCUAGAUGGUAAAUACUGUUAUGAUAGAUUAUUCAAAAGGUUAUAAGGGGAGAAGAUAAGUUUAUUUUUUUUUGGGGAAAAACAUUUCCUUGCUGAAAAAAGCAAAAAUUUACAUAAGUACUGCAAUGUCUGUGGGCGGCUCUUCCAACUGAAUAAGAUCGUUAAUCAAAGAGAGUGCUAAUUUUGCUAACUGAUAAGAAACUGUAUUACAAUUUCUAAUUUCUGAAAUGAUCCAUUCAAUCUCCUUUCUACUUGAUAAAACGCCCGUAAUUAGAUGGACAAGAUUUACUGAAUCAAAUUCCACAAUAAAAAGAGUUAAGCAUAAAUCUAUCGCCGGCUUGAUGCCUUCUAGGAUAGCUUCAGCCUCUGCAAACUCGAUGUCGCUAAGAAAAGAUUUCUUGUGGCUGAGCCAGCUAUAAAAUCUCCCUUGAAAUUUCCUAUAAUUGCACCCAAACCUGUAAUUCCAUUGGAGAUGUCAAUCGGUGCAUCAACGUUCAAGUUGUACCAAUGAUUAUCCGGUGGAAUCCAACUAACACCCUUCUUGGUUGGAGGGACUAGAAACUCUUGAAUUGGAGAGCCUUGAGCAGCAGUGUACGAAUUCAAAACAGCUUCAGCCUUGCAAAGAACACUCUUUGGGUCCAUCUUUUGAUUCUGAUAGAGCGCUAUGUUCCUAGAAUGCCAAAUAGACCAUGUAAUCAUCCCAAACGAUGGUAGUCCUCUUUUGACAGCCAAGAUUCCAAAUUCUUUGCAAAGAGAGCAAAAUCCAUAUGAGGGUUAUUCGUUACAUAAGCAGCCAAAGUUGACAACUUCCACACCUUGAUCGCAAACUUAUAGCCAACUAACUCAUGAAAGGUACCCUCAAUAGCACUAAAACAUCGAUGACAAUUUGGAGAAUCCACUACUUUUCAUUUCAAAAGAUUAUUUGAUGUAGAGAGUAUAUUACGUAGAGCUCUCCAAAAAAAAGAUCGACUUUAGAUGGAAUGGAUAAAAGCCAAGCGGGAUACCCCAAUUAGCAUAGCCAAAUGAACUUAGAGGGGGAAUUAGGAUAAGUAAGACUAAGGGCCACUUGUAACCACUCUUAAAAGUUUACAAAUUUAUUUUGUACAAACUGAUUUGACAUUAACUUAUUGAUUAAAUAAAAAUACAACAACAUGUUUUUAUAUUUAAAAUAUAUAUAUUCACAUAUACGAAGGUAUAUACUUGAACAAUAUGAGUAAUACAUGUGAAUUAAAAUCAUCUCCUAAUCUAAGCUCCAUUAAUUAAUUUUAAAAAAAACUUGUCACAUGUUUUUAGUAUAGUGUAUAAUUAUUGUUAUGUUUUUAUUUAUUAAUUUCCAAUUACCUGCUAUAUAUCUUACUCAACAAUGUUUUGAUCAUGAGAGAAUUUUAAUUCAAAUACAUAUGAAAAAAAAAGAAGAAGAAAUCUGAGACCAUACUAAUAAGAGAUUUCCUUUCAUGUGAUUUUAAGAUCAAAAUUAUGAUAGUAUGCAAAACUUGGUUGCGUUUAGUAUUGUUCUUUAAACAUGUUUUUUGUAUUUAUUUUAUAAUAUAGAUAUGAUUAAUAUUUGAUGAAUUUGAAAAUUUGUUUGGUAUAUAGUAUAUAGUAUGAAUUUGACCACUAAAUAUUAAUAAUUAUAUUUAUAUACAAAAUUAAAAAAAAAUAAGGAUUUCUCUACCUUAACGUUUAAUGUAAGGUACAUCCCUUACAAAUUGAGCUAUAAGUCCACUUGAGCCCACAGCCAAUAGAGAGGUUGUACCUUACAUUAAAUGUAAGUAGAGAUGGCCAAUGGGUCGGGCGGCACAAGGCACAGCACGUGUCCGUACAACAUGGCACGACACGAGCACGUUUUCGGUAGGGCACGAAGCACGGCACGGCACGCAAAAAGGCACGUAAUAAGCACGCUUCAUUGAUAGGCUAAGCACGUAGCCCGUGGGCCAAAGUAUAUCAAAAUAAAAAAUUUUAAUGAAAAAUAAAUAUAAAAUAUCAUGAUUUUAUAAAUAUCUUGAAAAUUAAAUUUUUUAAUAUAUUUUUUUAGCAUAGGUUUUUUAAAAUUAAUUUAAGUCCUAGUUUAAAUAAAUAUUCUAAUUUUUUAUGUUUAUAAUUUAUUAAAUGGAAUAAAUAAAUAUCAUGAUUUUAUAAAUGAUAAAUGAAAAAUUUUACGACAUUAAUAUUUCAUUUAUGAAAUCAUAACUUAGUUAAUAGUUAAUGGAGAUAUGUUUCAUUUAGUGAAUGAAAUAUUUUCAUAUUUAUGCACAAAAAAAUAAAAUUAUGAACAAAAUAUUUUUAUGAUAAAUUAAAAAUUACAUUUUCAUUCAAUGGAGUUUAUGUGCAAUUAUAAUAUUAGUAGCUCAAAUAAAAUUAGAUGUAAUUGUAUUCUAGAAUUGUAAUUUUAUUUCAUUAAUUUAUACUAUGAUCUAUGAAAUUAUAUUAUUAUUGUCGUUGUUGUUGUUGUUAUUAUUAUUAUUAUUAGGCUGGUAGGGUUAAAAAAGCACGCCAGGCACGUGGACUUUUUAGGCAUACUGGACAUGUGGACAAAGAAAAAAGGUUGGUGGCUUUUUUUUGGCACGGCCCACGGCACGAGUUUGGACAUGUGGACAAAAAAAAGUUGGUAUGGGUUUUUUUAGCACGAACCACGGCACGGUACGGCACGAGUGGGCUCGUGCCGUGGGCCGUGCCGGCUCACGAGCCCGUGGGCUGACAUUUUGUGGGCCGUGCCGUGCUGGCCAUCAUUAAAUGUAAGGUAACAGCUCCCAAAAAAUAAAUGAAAGAGAGAGGCAACAUAGCAUAAUACGGGCCGGACCCACAUCUUCAUAAAACUAUGUCAUAAAAGCAGUGGUAGUUCCUAUGAACAAAGUGAAGAAUAAAGAUUUGAUGCUGUCUAAUUAUCUUCGUUAACAUUGUAAAAUAGAUAUGGUUUGCUUUCAUAAUAAUAAAAAUGUUACUGUUACUGAGGCUUAUCAAACAUUUUUUUCUAUUCUUAUAAAAUAGAAAAUGAGUGAUGAAAAACAAUACCAUACAGCCCAAAUUUUUUCCAUUUUUACCCCUUUAAUCAUAGCCUAUCGGCCUCUCCAAUUAGUUGAAAUCUUGAUGAUUCGACCACAGUUGUAAGAGAAAUUCUAGAAUAUAUCUAUUGUAUUAUAACUAAUUAAUGCAUGCACGACAUGCGUAAUUGAGUUUAAUACAACCACCACUUGCAUGAUAGUUUACAAAAUAAAUGCACACAUCAUGAUAUUAUUGCUUGUUGUAUGGGUGACAUAGUACAACAGAUGUAUUCUAGAAUUUCUCCAAGUUGUAAAAUACCAUUUGAGUCACAUAUAUUAUUGGUAGAUGAGUAGAUCGCAUCUCCCUCAACCAACGAAUUGCAUGUCAAUGUGAAAAUUGAUUUAACUGUUUAGUCUGUUUUUCAAUGAGACGUUUUCGUUCAAACUUUUACCUUCAAUCAAUGGGACCGAAGAAAGUAGGAAAAAAAAAAUUAAACAAAUAAAAGGUAGAACUAGUUGACAGACAAAAUUUUAUCAACAUUUUGAAACAACCAACAUUAAAAAGAAAUAAAAAAAUAAAAGAAGAGAUCUAGUAAAAGAAACAUGAGUUUAAUAAUUAAGCUAGAAAAGGAAAGAAUCUUAGUAAGCUUUUCAACAAGAUCCUUUUCAAUGUCCUUUUCGACAAAAUCUUUAUUGUCAAUAUAUUGAAAAAUGAUGGUGGUUGAGUUGUCACUAUGUAUCUCGAAUUUAAGCUUCUGAUACGGUCUUUUAAAAAUAAUUCUGGAUAUUUUAUUUAAAUGGUAACUUUUAAUAGUGGUUAACUUGUAAACAAUUGUUGCCAAAUCAUAAACAAAAUCUUAUUGUCUCACGGAAAGAUACUGGAAAAUAAUCAUGAGUUUAAUAAGCUAGACAAUGAAAGAAUAAUAUAUACAUGUUAUAUAGUAACGAUUGAUUAUUUCUUCUUACCGCUAAGAAAUCUUUUUCUAUGCCUUUUUUCGACAAAAUCUUUAAUGUUAUAUAUUGAAUAAUGAUGGUGAUUAAGUUUCCAUUAUGCAUCUCUCAUGUAAGCCUCAGUCCCUAGAAUUAACUAGCUCUCAGGAUUCCCUGCAUCAGUUAACUACAGCUUCCAGGUUUAUCAAUAAUUAUGGUACACCAUCCUCCAAUAUCUGUGCAUAUAUAUUUUUUAAACAGGAAUUUUGGAGUUUGGAUCAUAUUAAAAUAAAGGAUAAAUUAAAAAUAAGACAAACAUACUCUAAACAUAUUUUAUUUUAUCAUGUAAUAUAUUGAAUUUCAUAUUUUUCUGUCUUUUUAGCUUGUUAUAACGAUCCUUUAUAAGAAAUUAAAUGUAUCUUGAUUCUCUCCCACACUAACUUUAGAAGAGAAAUUAUUUAAUUUGCUUUAUUCUUUUACUACUACUACUGCGUCAAAAUAACCAACAAUUGACGACAACAAUUAUUGAAUAUGUAACAAAUUUACAUACAUUUUGACGACAUCUUUACUUGUUUGUGUUGGCAUCCUUAUUGGCAAAUUACAACAUCGUUCAGUCUUCUUAUAAUUAAGCAAUUGUCUAUGUAACAUAAAUUAUGUAUUAAGAACAUCAAUAUGGCGUGGAGCAUUGCGCAUAGAAGAGAAGAAGUAAAGUCUUAGGCGUCUACUCCAUGUGGGAAACAUGGGAUUAUCACAAAGAGAGAUUUAAAGAUUAUAACAAAAGAGAGAUUUUAACUAACUUGUUAUGGAGGGAUGAGAUAACGAUCAAGUUGGCAUAAUCUGUAGAGAUAACGACGAGUUUGGAAUAAUCAUGUGGUGAUAAUAUUAUGAUAUUCUGCCUUUUGAUCAACUGAGCACGCUCCCUCUCACAACACAACUCUCUUCAUAAGAAUUGGCCAACAUGGAUUGUCACUUUUCAUGUUAAUUUGAUAUUACCUUGAAUGGCAUAUUAAUUUGAUUUGAAAAAUGGAACGAGAGUAGAGGAAAAAAGGAGAAUGAAAAGAAAUAAGAAAAAAAAUGAUGAAUUUCAUAUAAAAAAUCAAAUAAUGAAAUAAUAAAAUUGAGGUCGAUUCUCUUUUUUUUCUCUUUUUUCUCUAAUAAAAAUAUAUCAGAUUAAUGACAAAGUAUUGAUAUUUGAUCCCCUCAGUUUCUCUUAUUAUCUCCCACUUCUCUCAUUUUAAUUUGAAAAGUCAAAAAUACCUACCAAAAUAAUUUUAAGUUUUAAAUUUUACCCUUUCUUCUUUCUCUCCUCUCUCUUAUUCUCCCGACUUCCCUUCAUCUUCGUUUUCUUUAAAAAUUGAAGAUUAGUACACUUUCCUUCAUUUUUUGAUCUUUCUGUAUCGAUGAGAGCAAUAAUUGACAUCAUCAAACAAUCCUUUUCUACCCAAAUCAUGAUUAUAAACAAAAGUAAAAAAUAGCAAUAUCAUGAUAUGGAAUCUUGAUCAUAUCUCAUGAUCCCUCUUCAGCUUCUAUGUUAAUCAAAAGAAAAAAAUAUAAUCGAUUAAAGAUUAAAUUUAAAUUUUAAAAUGUUGUCCUUUUUUUGGGGGGGGGGGGGGGGGAUAAAAAAGAGUUUGAGAUCAAGAUGACAGUGUUGCAUAAAUAAUUAUUAUUAAAAAUUAAAGAAACGGCUUGCAUGUCCCACUUAUUGCUAAGAAGAGAAGUGGUUCGCGCCGGCCAGUUCCAAGAAGACAAGUGGUGGUGUCAGUGCAUGGUUAGUAAUUAUUGGGGACUAGAACUAAUGAUGGUGAUUAAGUUUCCAUUAUGCAUCUCUCAUGUAAGCCUCAGUCCCUAGAAUUAACUAGCUCUCAGGAUUCCUGCAUCAGUUAACUACAGCUUCCAGGUUUAUCAAUAAUUAUGGUACACCAUCCUCCAAUAUCUGUGCAUAUAUAAUUUUUAAACAGGAAUUUUGGAGUUUGGAUCAUAUUAAAAUAAAGGAUAAAUUAAAAAAUAAGACAAACACAUACUCUAACAUAUUUUAUUUUAUCAUGUAAUAUAUUGAAUUUCAUAUUUUUCUGUCUUUUUAGCUUGUUAUAACGAUCCUUUAUAAGAAAUUAAAUGUAUCUUGAUUCUCUCCACACUAACUUUAGAAGAGAAAAUUAUUUAAUUUGCUUUAUUCUUUUACUACUACUGCGUCAAAAUAACCAACAAUUGACGACAACAAUUAUUGAAUAUGUAACAAAUUUACAUACAUUUUGACGACAUCUUUACUUGUUUGUGUUGGCAUCCUUAUUGGCAAAUUACAACAUCGUUCAGUCUUCUUAUAAUUAAGCAAUUGUCUAUGUAACAUAAAUUAUGUAUUAAAACAUCAAUAUGGCGUGGAGCAUUGCGCAUAGAAGAGAAGAAGUAAAGUCUUAGGCGUCUACUCCAUGUGGGAAACAUGGGAUUAUCACAAAGAGAGAUUUAAAGAUUAUAACAAAGAGAGAUUUUAACUAACUUGUUAUGGAGGGAUGAGAUAACGAUCAAGUUGGCAUAAUCUGUAGAGAUAACGACGAGUUUGGAAUAAUCAUGUGGUGAUAAUAUUAUGAUAUUCUGCCUUUUGAUCAACUGAGCACGCUCCCUCUCACAACACAACUCUCUUCAUAAGAAUUGGCCAACAUGGAUUGUCACUUUUCAUGUUAAUUUGAUAUUACCUUGAAUGGCAUAUUAAUUUGAUUUGAAAAAUGGAACGAGAGUAGAGGAAAAAAGGAGAAUGAAAAGAAAUAAGAAAAAAAAUGAUGAAUUUCAUAUAAAAUCAAAUAAUGAAAUAAUAAAAUUGAGGUCGAUUCUCUUUUUUUUCUCUUUUUUCUCUAAUAAAAAAUAUAUCAGAUUAAUGACAAAGUAUUGAAUUGAUCCCCUCAGUUCUCUUAUAUCUCCCCACUUCUCUCAUUUUAAUUUGAAAAGUCAAAAAUACCUACCAAAAUAAUUUAAGUUUUAAAUUUUACCUUUCUUCUUUCUCUCCUCUCUCUAUUCUCCCGACUUCCCUUCAUCUCGUUUUCUUUAAAAAUUGAAGAUUAGUACAACUUUCCCUUCAUUUUUGAUCUUUCUGUAUCGAUGAGAGCAAAAUUGACAUCAUCAAACAAUCCUUUUCUACCCAAAUCAUGAUUAUAAACAAAAGUAAAAAAUAGCAAUAUCAUGAUAUGGAAUCUUGAUCAUAUCUCAUGAUCCCUCUUCAGCUUCUAUGUUAAUCAAAAAGAAAAAAAUAUAAUCGAUUAAAGAUUAAAUUUAAAUUUUAAAAUGUUGUCCUUUUUUGGGGGGGGGGGGGGGGGGAUAAAAAAGAGUUUGAGAUCAAAGAUGACAGUGUUGCAUAAAUAAUUAUUAUUAUAAUAAUUAAAGAAACGGCUUUGCAAUGUCCACUUAUUGCUAAGAAGAGAAGUGGUUCGCGCCGGCCAGUUCCAAGAAGACAAGUGGUGGGUGUCAGUGCAUGGUUAGUAAUUAUUGGGGACUAGAACUGAUUGCCAAGAGUGAGGGUGCAUUUAAUAUUGAGGUUGAGUAACUUUUAAGAUACUGUACUAAAGUGUUUGGUAAACACUAAUUACGGUAGCUUGGAAACUAUGGUGGUAUUUGUUUUUUAACUUAAUGACUUAAAGUGACUUAACUUAAUUAAUUAAGUUAAUUAGAGGUGUUUGUUUUUAUAACUUAAUGAGACUUUUUAGAUAAUUUGACUUAAUAAAAUAAGCUAAUUUUUUGGCUUUUUACUUAAUGGAGAAAUCUGAAUUAAGUUAAUUACUUGCUAAUGUCAAAAAUAUCUCUGUUUUAUAAUUAUUUUUAUGUCUAUCCCAAAACUCACCCAUAAAUAUUUACCCCACAUAAAAAUAUCCCUGUUUUUCUUUCUAUAUUAUAUACGAUAAAAUUUGAAAAUUUAUGGUAUUUAUAUAUUAAAAUUCUAAAAUAAUUAUGUAUUCACGUGAAUAUAGUUUUGCUUAUAAAUGUUAAAAUAUUAUGGUAUUUAAUAUAUUAUUUAUUGACAUUUCAAAUUUAAUAAGGCUACAAAUGUAAAAGUACAUAUUUUCAGCUUUUUAAGUUGAAAAAAACAACAGCUUAAUACUUAUUUUCCGAGAUUCAUACGAAAAAACAAACAUAUUAUUCAGAUUCAGACAUUCAGAUCUAUUAAGAAUUCAGACUAAUUCAGGUUUAUUCAGAUUUUAGAUAAAAAAAACAAACGCCACCUAUGUUAAUAUGAUUUUUUUCUUAUAUAAUAAAAAAUUUAUUAUAUCUUUAAUAAUUUGUCAAAUUAUUAUUUAAAAUUUAUAUAUACUAUAUAUUAUUAAUUUUGUUUCAUAUUACAGUUUUUUUCAUAGCAGUUAUAACUUAAAAGGUAUAGCACCUCAAUUUCAAACAGGACCUGAAUCUUGUUCAACAAGCAACAGAUUUAGCACCGAUGAGAGAAGAACAAAUAUUAAUUUAUUUUUUUUAAUGAGGGCAAUUCUGAAUAUAAUUAUAACUAGUAAAAUGGGAGCUAACGAGAUAAAUUGAGAGGUUUAAUAUCUUUACUCUUAAUAUAAAAAAUAACCACAUCGAAGUGCACUGUUAAAUAAAUAAGUGCCAUCACUAUUUAUGCAAUUUACAUGAUAUUAUGAUUAAUCUUGCAUAUGAUUAUUUAUUAAUAAAAAUAUGUAACAUGUGCUAGCACAUACUAUUUUCCUCUAAAUUUCUUAUACCACAUUUUUUCCUAUAAAUAGAAAGAGGCACACGUCUUCCACGCAAAUCACACAAGUAAGACUUAGUAUAAUUAGAAACAUGAAUCUCAAAGCUUUCUUUGUUCUCUCCGCAGUGCUCUCUUUGCUUCUCUUGGUAUAUAUGCAUCUCUUUUUUAGGAAAAUUUAACAUAAAGGAUACCUAAUUAAGUUAGUUUUGAUGAGAUUCUCUUUAUCAUUUGUUUGAUCUAAUUUUUUUUUUUCCUCUUGUUCAGUUUGCUAACAGAACAGAGGCCAGAAAAGAUCAGGGAGAAUAUUGGAGAGGCUUCGUCAAAGAUAGCGACGUGCCAGAAUCAAUUCAAAUUCAUGUUCGCCAGGAUCCUGUCUCAACUGCCUCUGAUGCCAAAGCCCACUGCAAAGAACCUGAAGAUUUAGAGCACAAGAGAGAAAAGACUUAUGUCAAGGAUUCUGACGCAACGAUUGAUAUCUUAGUUUAUCACAACAGUAUUAAACCAACUGAACAAAAGUUAUUUGGCAACCACUUCGAAAGCCCGGAUGCUACAAUUUACCACAAUGACAUUAAACCAACAGAACAGAAGUUAUUGGCAACCACUUCGAGUCAAGCCCGGAUGCUACAAUUUACCACAAUGACAUUAAACCAACAGAACAGAAGUUAUUUACCAACCACUUCGAGUCAAGCCCGGAUGCUACAAUUUACCACAAUGAUAUUAAACCAACAGUACAGAAGUUAUUUGCCAACCACUUCGUGUCAAGCCCGGAUGCUACAAUUUACCACAACGAUAUUAAACCAAUUGAAAUGAUUAAAUCUUUUGUUAGCAAAUUCUUGUCAAACCCUGAUGCUACAAUUUAUCAUGAGUAACCAGACUCUGCUUUCAAUCGUGUGGAGAGAGCCCGUUAUCCAUCUGUAAUAUUUGUGCGUACGUGUGAUGCUCUCUUUCUAUAAAUAAGUUAUGAGGAGUGCGGUUGUUUAAUGCUCUAAGGCACAAGCUUUGUAAGAAAGUGUGUUUUUAUUGUAAAAUUGAAUAAAAAUUUGUGCCAAGUUAAUUAAUUAUCCCUUUUCUAGUGAUUUUUUUUUUUCUAAUGCUUUGAUUAUUUCCACAAAAUCUUUCGUAAGGAAAGGCCUAGCUACUUGAAUCAAUUUUCUCCAUUUCAACGUUAUUUAGUAUAAUAAUAAUACAAAAAAUCAUUAAUCUCAGUAAUUGAUAAACAAUAUUCUUGCUAUUAUAUUGAGAAUUAAUUCCUAAUCUGAGAAAAUAAAUUAACAAUUAAAAAAUAAUAAAAGAUCGUGAACUACUUAGAUUUAUGGCCCUCUCACAUGUCGAUGGUACUUUACAUAAUUAGAAGCCUUUUUAUUAAUUUUAACAGACACCAUUCAAUCAACUUUGGUGACAUACUGAUAAUUGAUGCAAAAUUCUAUUUGGGGAAAAAAAAGUAAAAGAAAGAACUCCUAUUUUAGCUCUUAAAUCUUAAUUUUUCAAAUUUUAGAAGGAUUAAUGAUCAACAUUAUUUAGCCUAUUUUAUUUAAUUUAUAACUAUAGAAAUCCUAAAGCUGAUGGAGUAUACUUAAUACCUUAUUUUCCCCAAUCACAACCGUCUAAAUUCCUGAAACAUUUCAUUUCUUAAAUUUCAACGGUACAGAUUAAUUCUCUUACGAAAACUCAGCGACUUAUCCUGGACCGCCGCUACUAAAAUACAUAAGAGUAAAAUACUAUAGUAUUCCGGGACAAAUUUAUUUCUUCCACGACGCAAUAAAAUGCUGCGUCCAAUAACAUUCUGUUUCCUAAAGCUUACCCAAAUCGCAGAUAGGAACAUGGUUUGCAAUAAUUUUUCUAACAGAUCCUGCAUCAAAUUCGUUAAAAACUGGUUUAAUUUUUAUUAAAUAAUUUUAAGUAAAUUGAAUAAGAUAAAAAAUUUAAAAAGUUAUUAUUUUAUAAUGAAAAAGCUAGAUCAUCCAUACGUAAUAAAAAAUAGUACGCAUUCACAACUUAAUGCAAUAUAAUCUAGACAACCAAAUAUAUUUUAUGUAUUUUUUACAAAUUGCUUUUAGUAUAAGCAAAUAAGGUGGUUGUCUAAACAUUCAUAUUUUUGGAAGGUCUCAAUUUUUAAUAUUUUCUUAAUAAUUUCUAAUUAAUAAAGAUAUUUUUUUAACUUAUGUAUUGUAGAAAAACCUAUUAGACAUUUUUAUUAUUAACAACUAUACUACAAUUAAGAGUCUUUUUUGUAUAGAAAAUCAAUAUUUGUAACCUUAUUGAUAAAGAGAAAUGAUUAAUAAUAUUUUUAACCAUUAAUUCAUUCAUUAUUAGUUUUCUCAAGAAAAAAAGUUAAAUUCUUUACCUUUUCAUUUCCUAAAAAAAACUUGAUUAUUUAACAUUGAAAUCUUUGACUUUUAUUAUUCCUUUAGUUUCUAUUAGAACCUUAUAAUAUAAAAAAUCAAUAGAUAAAAAAAAUUUGUUCCUCCUUUCUUUACGAAGAAAAUUAUUAUAUUUAUUGGUUAAUUUAAAAAAGAAAAAUUAGUUUCUUGAAGUAUGAAGACCAUAUCUAUUAUCUGAUAAUCAAUUCAUGAUCUCGACUUUCUAGCUAUAUUCUGUCAUUCUAAAUAUUUUAUUUGAAAAUAAUAUUGUUUUAUUUAUUUGUUUGUUUGCUUUUUAAGAGUUCUGAUGGAAGUAAAAAAAACAAAUCUUUUUUACUAAUUUUUUAGGUUUUUUUUAAAAGAUUUUUUAAGAUAUUUUUUUAUUACUGUUAAAAUUUAAGAAUUAAAGAUAGAAUGAAUUUUUGAGUCUUUUCAUAUUUCUUUGAGUAUUGAAAUUACAAAAUAAAAUAUGGCCUUACAAAAAAAAAAUUCGCCUAAGACCCCAUAUACUCUAAUGCCGACUCUGGGUGAAAUUAUUGAUUUUAUUAAUAAUAAUAUGAUGUAUACUAACCAAUGUACAAAACAGUAGUGGGUGACAUAAAUUAGAAUUGUGUUGCAAAAACAAGAGGUUUGAGUGAAAAAGAAUUUACAAACUCACAUUACAAUGUUAUAUAGUUGCCAUAUGUCUCACAUUUUCAAAUGAACAAAAUAUAAUAAAUACAGUAUAAUCUUUAUAACUGAAUAUUCAAUAGAUUAAUAAUCUCUACUGUGUAAUAAUUUUUUAUGGUCAUGACUUAGGCCAAUAGGUUAAAUUAAUAAUUGCAAUAAAUUAAUAAGAUGAUAUUUUUUAUGAAAACCCUUAUAUAACUAUGUGGCUCCAUUCAUAUCAAAAUUAAUAAUUUUUUAAAAUUAUAAAUAUAAUUGACAAUAAUUUUUUAUUUAUUAAAAUGUGAGUCGAUUAUUAUCUUGUUCCCUUAUUACUUCUUUUCCUUGAAAUAUAAAUCUAUUUGAAUCUCGUAUCUAAUUUUUCUUAUUACAUCUAAAAGUUUUGGGAUUGAAUUCUUGAAUUAUAAUAAAAAAAAAAUUAUGAAGUGCUUUCGUACACAUAACUGGCUCCAAAGCAAUUGUAUCAUUCUCAACUUUUAUCAUCGACAUGAUUUUAAGUGAUGUCAGCAGUGGUUUAAUUUAUUCUAAACUUAAAAUCUCUCAACUUACAUCAUUUUUAUUAUGAUAAUCCAAGAGGUAAUUAAGUAGAUAAAUACAAUACAGUUAUUGUUUUGGUUUAUCUAAUAUCUAUUUAGUAGAUUAAUUCAUAUUCAAUAAAUUAGAUUAGUAAAAUAUAACGAAAUUUUAGUUAAUUAAAUGUACGUUUAUUGAACUAUAAAUGAACUCUAGAAAUUAAUAAAUUAUUAAUUUACUAAUUACAUAAUAAUUCUUUUAAUUAAUAAAAUUUAAAUAGUCCCAAUGUUAUUAAUUCAUAGAAGUUAUAUGAAAUAUGUGUCAACUAUAUAAUAUCGUAGUUUGUAAACAAAACAUAACUCUUUUGUUAAUUGAAUACUAACGUAAUGCUAUAGAAAUAACAUAUGUGACCAAUUUGCAUAAAUGUAUACUCUCUGUAUCUUAUUACAAAUGCUUUAUAAAUCAGUGACUCAGAUGUUAUUAUCUAAACUCGUGGAAGCAUUACUUUUGUCCCUGCCAAUAUCAUUCAGAUAAAUAGUUGUUGUGCGUUCAGAUUCACCAGGAAUGCUUACGCAAAACAUAGACUGAACCCAAGAGCUUCGAAACUCGAAACUGAACCAAAUCAUUCUAAUGGAAGAGAAACGCCGGGAAGCCAGAGCGCAACCGCGGCUACGAGCUCGGCCGCAGCUGGAGCCGAGUCAGCGGCAUCCGAGCCGGCUUCGCUCGGCGCCGAGCCGGAGCGCACAAAAGGAAAGCCUCGGCGCUCUCAGCGACUAACGCUUCAUCCACGCCGUCGAAGCGCAUGACUCGCGAGAAGAAUUUAGUUGCUCACACUCCGAUCUACAACCAUAACGUUACAUCUUGACAUUUGUAGUAAGAACGUGAGAGGAUACCUGGAGUGUAUUGGGAUUUGGGCGGAAGAGAAAGGAGCCCUUGGAAUUGGGAAACAAAUGAAAUUAUCUGCAUGGUCCUUGUACUCGUGGAGGGACUGUAACUUCUGAACCAACAAUGCUGAAAAUGCAGGGUCAAAAAUCAACAUUAACUUGAUGAAUAAUUGUUUGAAAAAAAAAAAAAGCAAGAAAACUUGAUUAAUAUAAAAGAGAGCAAAGGAGCACAACCAUACAGAAGUUGUAUAAAGGAAUAUUAAUCAAGCUUGAUUAAUAUUCUUCUUCUAUCCAACACCACAAGAUGAAACACAGUAUUCCUGUUGCAGUAUAUGGUGAGAACUGUGAAGUGCAGGAAGUAGUUUCCUAAGAGAGAUGAUUGAAUGCUCUUAAUUUUUUUUUUCAGAAAAUCAUUUUAUUUUUAAUAAAAGUUUAAUUUUUUUUAAUAAAAAUUUUUAUUUAUUUUUUAUUAAGUUGUGUCUCAUAUUUACUAAUAAAGGAAGUUAUUUGGGUAUAUAAGUAGGAUGUCUCAUCUAACAUGCUAGUAGGAUAAAUCUCUCAUCUAAUAUGCUAGUAUUUUGGGUUAAAUACCUAUAAAUUCUAAGCCGAGUCCACAACAGUCCCCAAAAUAACUGGAUUUAAGUCCUAGCUACACCAGUAGAUUGAAUAGAAGUGCAAAUAAGUUUAACUUUUUUGUCAUUCAUUUUAGUCUUUUUUUUUUUUUUUUUCACAUACAUUGAAAAAGGAUAACUCUGUCGUGAUUGCCAUGGCAGAGCCUAUUUCAAACGAUGGUGUAUGCUAAAGGAAAUUAUCAUGAGAUGAGUGAUAAACCAUACAAUCAGUAGCUACAGCCCACGAUUAAUCAGCCACAUGGCCACAAAUAUUAUUGGCGGCAAAUAUAUCAACAAAAUCACAAUAAAGAUGAGCAUCCUCGAUUCCAUUCCUUAAUGUAAAUAGGACAGCCUGUCUAGCCAUUACUUUAAGAGAUUUGGCUGGCUUUGACACUUGUAUAUAAGCUUGUAACCCUCUCAUUCUUUACAAGAAAUAAGAUAAUAUUUUCAGCUUAAUAAUUCUUUUCAGUGAGAUCAAAGAAAUGUAAAGAGAUAUAGUCACUACUACAAAAAUGUAAAACAAUGACCCAUAUGUUAUGACGGUUCUUCUAAACAACCGUCAUUAAAGAUAUUUAAUGACGGUUAUUAUGUGAACAGUCAUAAUAUAUACCACUUAUAAUGACGGUUAUGUAAUAAAACCGUCAUUAAAUGUCAAAUAAAAUUUACACUUAGUUUUAAUGACGGUUCAUUUAUAAAAACCGUCAUUAAAAGUCACUAUUUUUAAUGACGGUUCUUAUAUACAACGGUCAUUAUAUGUGUAGUUAAAAAUAAUAUUACUUUUAAUGACGGUUUUUUAAUAACCGUCAUUAAAAAUAAUAAUUUUUAAUCACGGUUUUUACAUAUAACGGUCAUUAUAUGUGUAAUUAAAAUAGUACUACCUUUAAUGACGGUUUUUUUAAAACCGUCAUUAAUAAUUUUUAAUGACGAUUUUUACAUUAAACGGUCAUUAUAUGUGUAAUUAAAAUAAUACUACCUUUAAUGACGGUUUUGUUAAGAACCGUCAUUAAAAAUAAAUUUAUUUUUAAUGACGGUUCUUAACAAAACCGUCAUUAAAAAUCAUACUUUUUAAUGACCGUUAUAUAUUAUAACGGUCAUUAUAUAUAUAAUUAAAAUGCUUUUAAUUUUAAUGACGGUUCUUUAAGAACCGUCAUUAAAAAUUGACAUUUUUAGUGACAGUUGUAUAAAACAACCGUCAUCGUAUAUAUUGAUAUAGUUAUAAAAAAAAAAAAAAAUUGGCCUUAUACUGAACACCAAAUCCCUAAAAUUACAGAUAAUUUGUAAACAUUAAAAGUAAUGGCGCAAGCACGCACGCCGCCGGUACACUUAGCCCAUGCAGCAGCAACCGAGCACGGUAGCAACAGGCCACCAGCAGUCGCUCUCUCUCUCACGCACACGCAGCAGCAAGCCAACACCAAUAGCCCCUCUUUCUCAUGCUCACUCUCUACUAUGCCCUCUUACGUACUCAAGAAAACUCUAACCCAUAUCCAAACCCUCGCCGUCGAAGAAAACCCAAUCCUUAAUGGCUUGAAAUUAAAGCCUCCACCGUCAAUCACCAUCGAACCAAAUAAACUCUAGCCUUACCAUCACUCUUCGUUUGACUCGCUGAAGAAAGCACUCUAUUAGGUGAGUCUCUGUUGUUUGAUAAUAUAUCUGCACUCUUUGUUGGCCGAAGCUUUUAGACAAUUGCUUUGAUUCAAUUGCUUCGAUUGGUUAGUUCUCUGUGAUUAAUUAGUUAGUUACUUUUAAUUUCAUAUUUUCAUCUCUAACAGUGAAUUUGGGAGUCGAUUUCUCUGUCGGAUUUGUAAUUUUUGCUACAGAUCAAAAACAUCUUGAAGGUGUUUUCAUAUCUAACAACUUGAACUAUCAUUUAUUUUGUCUUGUUAAUGUUCAAUUUUUUUUUCUUUUUUUAUUAGUAUGACAAUUAGUCGAAUGUGCUUGCACAUAAAACAAUCUUUUAACUUGGCGUUGGAAUAUUUGUUUUGAGUUGUGUCCCCUUAAUCAAUGACCAUACAAAAGUUCCCCAUGAUAAAGUGUUUAGCCCUAUUAAUGCCAUAAAGUCUUGCUCUCAAUUUUUCUGAUUAUGCCUAUGGAUUGAUUACCUAUUUCAUUUACAAAUUCAAUUGGCAAAUGUACAAUGCCUGCAUGACACUCACAUUUGGGUUAUGAUGGUAGUCAUUAUGAGGAAGAAUGUUAGAAUAACAUCAGGGGAAACAUCUGGGAGAAGGUAUGUACUGUCAAGCUCUUUGUUAGAAUCAUCACGAAAUUUAUAUUGGAUCUUGGCUGUUCUAUGUGAUGCAUUUUGGAUUUGCUCUUACUAGACAUGCAAAAACCUGUAAAAUGUAUUUUUUUUUUCCAUUUUAGAUUUACUAUCUAGUAUCUUGUAGGUUUAAUCUAAAAUAGAAACCAUUGAGGAUACUGGACACAAUUCUAAUGAAGAGAAAAGAUGUUAGACUUUAGUAUUCAACCUUUUUUUUUUAGCCAUAUUUCUAGACCCCAAGUUUAUGUCAUGAUAAUUGUGUGAUUGAUAAGAUAUUUUGGUUUUGGACUUUAUCUCAUGGAUUUAGAGUUCGAUUAUAUUUGGAAGUGGAAUAAUGCAUUCAUUUACAUAUGAUGUUUGAUGAAGUUCCCAUAAAAUUAAUUCAAUUAUAUAUGUUUAUGGUUCUAAGGAAGCGGGGCAAAAAUUUUAUCAGUGGGUUGAUUUCACUAGUUUAAGUUAGUAAAGCAAAGAAAUUGUCUUUAUGCACUUUAACUUUCCUCCAUUUAAGGUGAAAAAAUUAUUGAAGCUUUUAGAAGUGAAUUGUUCAUUUUGUUUGUGCACUUAUGCAGAUGGAUUUACUUUUGGCUGCUUAACCCUUCCUCACUUAUAUUUUUUCAGUUUAAAUUGCAGUGUUUUGCUGCUGUGCAACAGCACAAGAGGCUGUUUUAUUGUUGUUUCUGUAAAAACACAGCACCAGGAAGCGUCCAGGUAAUGUUUCGCUGCUGUUAUGCAGUAAAAACAACACCUGAAAGUUUCUAGGUGCUAUUUUUACUGCUGUUUACGCAGAAACACAGCACCUAAAAGUGUCUCUAGGUUCUGUUUAGCUGCUAUUAUGCAGCAAAAACAGCACCUGGAAACUUCCAAGUGCUGUUUUUAUUGCAUUUUAUGCAGAAACAAAGCACCUAGAAGCAUUCAAGGGUUGCUUUACUGUUGUUUUGUAUUUAAAAUUGCUGUUAGAAAUUUUGGGUGCUAUUUCUCUGAAAUUUUGCUAUUAACAGUGCAGCUUAAUAAUUUCAUAUGUCGUUUUGAACCUUCUUCAGUUCUUUUCUCUUAUGUCUAUACUUAAUCUUUUCCCCCCUGGUAAUAAGCAGGUACAAUUUUUGCAAGGUAAUAUCUAAGCAUGCUGUUAAUUCUUUGGUUGAGACGUAGUAUUCUAAACUUCAGGCCUUAAUUUUUUUAUUUCCAAGUGUAUAAUGGGUAGGUACUGGAUCUCUUAUGGAUGAUGUAGUUAAUGCUUUUUUAUUGUCUCUAUUUUGGCAAAUGUGUUGUCAUUUAUUAUCUGAACACAUGGUUGAUUAACUUACUUGAGGUAAGUCUAUUAAUUAAUAGUGAUAUGAUACUUUAAAGUCUUGUUUUACAACUUAAGUCACUAAAAUGAUUUAAUAUUUAUGAUUUAUAAUAUAUGAAUAUAUCUUAAUUUCUCUUUAUUCUUUGUAAGAAUGAUGUAGAUUGCUGAAGCUGGUGAGAUUCAUUUGCAAUUGAAGACUUGAUGAGAAAUUAGAUGUACUCACACAUGCCAAUCUUGUUGGUUGCUAGUGCAUUCACUAGUAGAAGUUUAAUGAUUGUUGGAGAUUUUUGUAGAGCUAUCUCUUUGUAAAUGAAACAUUUGCAUCAUUUUGAAUAUGAAACAUUUGUGAAAAAUAAUUGUAAAGAAUUUAAUAUGAAAUUAGAAUUAAAAUAGGGGCUUGAAAUAGCCUUAAAUUUGCCAAAUUUAUUUUUUUAAUAAUAAAUAACAAAGAUGACGGUUAUUUCAAAAGAACCGUCAUCAAAUGUAGUGUUCUAUAACAAAUAUGACGGUUUUCUUCUAAAACCGUCAUUAAAUGUUGUUUCAAUAUUUAAUGACGGUUCUUACAAUAAACCGUCAUUAAAAUGACACAUUUAAUGACGAUUAUUUAGAUAAACCGUCAUUAAAGAUAGAUAUUUAAUGACGGUUCUUACAAUAAACCGUCAUUAAAAUGACACAUUUAAUGACGGUUAUUUAAAUAACCGUAAUUAAAAAUAUACAUUUAAUGACGGUUAGUGAACCGUCAUAAAAAACAUACCCUCUUUAAUGUCGGUGCCUAAGAUGACGGUUUUAAAACCGUCAUCUUAUGUCGUUUAAAACCGUCAUAAAAGACCAAUUUUGUAGUAGUGAGUCUAUUAGGUUGGCAAAUCUACUGAAACAAUAUUGUUUCCUAUCAACUCCGAAAUACAACCAAUUGAACAACGUUCAGAAAUCGAAAAUCAUUUAUUACCAGUAAGAUUUAUUAUUAUACGCUAUACAUAUGGCUUUAACAGUCACAUUACCAAUACAUUUUUAAUCAUGGUAGGUAGGUGCUGGAAUGUAUACAAUAUUAUCAGCCUGGAAGAAAUGGCAGACAUGGGAGCUCCCUGGCUCGAUCCCAAGCACACGAAACGAUGCAUGAUCUCGACUCCAAUGAGACGUAUCCAUGUGGCAAACUGCUACAGCUUCCACUCUAUCUCCAUUAUCACCACCUAAUGAAACACCGAAUAACUUGUUCUCAGUCAUUUGGCUGUGGCAGUAGAAGAUUGCAUAAGGGUAAGGCAUGAUAUGACAUGCCACCAUCUUGGGAGCAACCAUUGGUUUAGGCACUUGUAAAAUAGUGUAAUUUUGGAAAAUGGUAGCUGAUUUUGUGAGAAAUUUUGUGCUUAGAACUUCGAAUUUGGUCUCCAAUCCGAAAGUUCCGUGUACAAAAUCAAGCAUGGAUUCCAAAGAGGUAGCACAAAUUUUGGUUUCUCCUUCGAUGGGAGGAACUUCGCAAUGAUUCAGGGUCCCUUCCAUGGCUUUGGCUAGGGGUGAGUCAUCUGAGAACGAGAAGAAUUGAAGAAGGUAAGGCAGUUGUUUCAAUGAAAAUGGAAUGGAAUCUGCUUCUUCUCUAGGCAAAGCCUGAGGAUAAGCUGAAGGAUCUCUCUUGCGAAAAAUAAAUCGGCAUCGUUUCGCCAAUCUUUAGAUCCUUCAAGGUGAAGAACACCAUCGUUGAAGGGUCCAUGUGAUUCAUGUGGGAUGGUAUUGAAUGAGAAUCAUGAAGAUUCUCCGAAAGCACCUGAGCACACUGUAAAACAGUUGAGCAAUUCAAUAUGACAACAUAGAUGAAAAAUCAACAACACAAGUUCUAUAAAGUGUAAAACUGAAGGAGCAAAAUAUAUCUUUUUGAGUUAUUGCUUUAAGACAACACUUAU
rnacentral:lncRNA from 1 species